AAUUGAGAAGGAAAAGUUUGAUGUUAAUAGCCCUUCAUGAUACCUCCUUGCAAGUAACAUGGAAUCACAACUGCUUCUUAGCCAACUUUCUGUUAUGCUCCAGAGCAGGGUAAACUCUCUGAUACUGCAAGACAGCCCAAACAAGGUGCCUGAAAGAGAACUCGGGCCACAGAGGAUCUGGAUUCUGCAAGUGACUAAACGUUGUCUGCCAAAGGAGGAAAUUGCUCAAUCGAGUCUCGCCCGAAGUCCGGAUGACAAUAUCAGGAUCUGGGCAUUCGGCACUAUACAUGUGGCGAUCCAAAUCCGCCACUGAAAUCUCUGAUCGCACACCGUUAUUUGCAGCAUGACCAUUGCAUUCGCCAAUAUGUUCGCUCUGAAACAUUUCCAUCCUUUCCGCACAGACUUGACUGACAGCAUUGACAAUCUCAGAAGUCGAGUUGUAUGGCAUGCAGAUAGAAAAGACCAGCCCUGUGUUCCCAGCUGUGCUCGCCAUCAGCUUCUCAGCCGCCAACCGCACCGGCUCAUAUAACAAGUCCAAGUUACCCCAAAAGUUGAUCUUACAGUUAAUCUUGUUGAUUACACUUCGGUUCUCUAAGAGUUCGUUGAUUUUUUCCUCCAUUAACUGCAUCAAGGAUUCCACCUCACUUGGGUCCCUUUUAAAAUUGUCGAUGCUGAAUGCGUAGACAGUGAUGUACUUCACACCCAUUUCAUAGCAGUACAUCAGACUUGCAAUAAGGGUAGAGAAACCCAUCCUGUGACCCGCUCCUUCUUGCAUGCUUCUGAAUUUAGCAUAUCGACGAUUGCCAUCCAUAAUAAAUGCAAUGUGCUUCGGCAUUGGGCCAUAUGAGAGGAUGGCUAUGAGGCACUUGCGUAGGAAAUUCUGAAGGCUUGAAAGCACACCGGCUGUAACCAUCUCAUUAGGAUUCUCUGCCUUCGGAUCCUACACCAAAAGCAAAUAAAGAACUGAGCACAGUCUUAUAUGUUAUAAGAAUUCUUGUCCAUGUCAGCAUAACAACAAGGUUAUAGCUCUUUGAAGAUUUUUACAAGCCUAAGAGUAUCUCCAUUAGUUCCCUAGAAAAUGCUCCCUACACUCAGAUUUAGCGAGUUGGUAAAUAUAUAUUGGGAACACAAAAAAAAAAACUCUAGCCUCCAACAUUUCCAAAUUCUUAGGUUGCUAAAUAUUUUCAAAUUACAUUGGCUCAACUUUUUUCUAAUUAAUACUUGCAGCUUUAAAGUUAGUUUUAUUUGUACGGUAAAAUUUAAUAAUCAUUAUUCUUCUCUUCAUUACUAUUUUUAUUCGCAUGAAUUACAGUCGGUCAUUUUUCUCUAUUUUUUUUGGAUGGGUAUCUUUAGACUUAUCAACGAGGAUGAUAAAAUCAUUCUUUCCACAGCUCAAAUUAUUCAAAGUGCAUUAAUUGUACACGGUGCGAACUCGAUGGCAAACAAGUGAUUUUACGUUGUGAUUGACACACAAAAUUGGCUAUUGGGAGUUCCAAACAGCUCCCUAAGUCCGAGGACUAAAUAGAGACAUUUAGAAAGCUGGUAUAUUUGGGAAUCUCAUUUAAGUAACUGUUGGAGCAUGAUUUUUUGCUAAUAACAACCUAAAUUAAUUUUAGUGACUUUUUUAGGGGACUAUUGAAGAUGCUCUAAUAACUGAUAUCUAAAUGCUUUAUCAAGAAAUUAAUCAACAUAUGCUGCUGCAAAUAUGAAACUCACCACAUUAGGUGUGGGAAAGAUAAGUGACCCCACCAUUCCGAUGAUGAGGGACUAUACGACCAAUUACCAAAGCUGCAAACAGGAAAACACAUGAUUAAAGAAAAGGGUGAAUGAUCACCAUCAGGAUAAAGUACAGUUAAAAAGAACCGAAACCAAGCAACAUUUGGCAUUAGAAAGAACAUGGUGCAAGGGUUUUACAAGCAAGCCGCACAACGCAGUAAGCCAGUAAUGAGCUCAAGCCGCAUCAUCUUGGGCCAUGAAUGGUGAGAUCCACUGAUUACUAGGUGAUUGGAGCGAAUGAUUUUCCCAGGUGCAAAUGAUGAGAGCCACUGGGGUUUCAGAUCUACAACUAGGCUGCAUAUCCAAGGGGCGUCCAAUUCCAGUUAUGACGCACACGAUGGGAUAAAAAAGCGAGGAGGACAGCACUUCAGUGAAGGUCAGUGUUUCCGCUGCUGAUGCAAAAGCGCCUUAGGGACAAUAGCUUUGCCUUUUAUUUAAGCUCAUCUGGGUUGGAUCAAAUUCUAGUGCUCUUGUAGGUGCCACAAUCCUAGUGUUCUUGUAGGACAAAAAGUUGAUUACGAUUGGAAACUAUAGCUAAACACCAAAUAAAUUAAGAAAGACUGCCGAGGAUUAGGACUGCUUACCCACCCAAAGCUUUCCCCUCACCUCCCAUACGGCCAGUCAAGAACGAACACACGUAGACGUUUCAUCGAGCACAUGUUGAGCAAGGGAGGCGAGCACCAUAGAGAGAGCCAACUGACCUGCAGAUUGAGGACUCGGAGGUCUGGAAGCGAAGGCCGACGAACGAGGGGGGCGAUCGAGCGAGAGCGGUGGCGGAGCAGCGAGCAGGUGGUACUAUUGGAUGAGGAGGGUCGGACUCAGAAGGGGAAUUUGUAGCAUUCCCAUCGUCUCGCUCUCGCGGUCUCGCCGGACGCGCGGAGGCGGAGCGGAGACGGGAGAAGGGCGAGAGAGACACGGAGCCAGCACGUUGCGCUCCUCAAGAAUCCAAUCUUUUUUGUUGUUUUUUUUCGUGUGCUGCGGGUGACCCGUGCCACCACCACGACUCCUCCGUGAGACCGUGACGCUAGCUGGAAACGCCCGCCGGGUCGCGGGCGCGCCUGUUUAUCCGCAACAGUUGGAGCGCGCAGCCAAAUCUCUUCUAGUUUCCACCAUUGUACGGCACUACGGCCACUGCGAUCGUCAACACUUACAAAAAAAAACUUUGUCGUACUUGAACGGCCACUGCGAUCUGGAGCUCAACCCCUAUCUUUCGUUGACCUCGAGUUCACAGGUGCUACGGCACGCAGCUGCCUUCUCGCCGCAUAGGUUGAAUACGUGCAGUGAAUGGGUCAGGGGGGCCGGAGGAGAUGGCGUGCAGCCGCAGUGGAUCUCGCAUGUUAAGUCCAGUCCAUUCGAUCAGUACAUUCCGUCCAUAGAAUUCGAUCUGUUGUAUUCUCUUGGACUAAGCAAGGCGAUUGAUUGGUUUGGACGCUUAUAUGAGGUGAUUCUAGAGAAGGGAUCUGAUGUAUACUUGUAUAGUGAUACACCAUGUAAAAGUGAAGUUCCAACUUGUACAUCACCCUUGGCUGAGACCCCAUCGGUGGUGGUAUUGAACCACAGGGAGAGGGUGAGGGAGAGGGGAGAGGAAGAGGUGGUCCUCACCGGCGAUGAGCACCGUCGUCGACGGUCCUUGCAGGGCGGCGGUCGUCUUGCAACUAGGGCGGUGGAGAAGGAUGUCAAGGGAGGUGGAGCUCUAGUGUGGGGGUCGAGGGCGAUUUGAUCCUGUCCGCCCUUCUCCCUCUUCCUCCCAUGCCGCCACGGCACAUCGGGCGCAACUCACACUCUCCGCCCGCUCUCGUCUCUCACUUGCUCGCUCACGCCACCUCAAAGCUAGCAUGUAGGGCGUUGUCUAGGCCGCGACGUCAGCGCGUGGCACGGCCGCUAGUGCCUCUGCUCGUCGGCAGCGAACAGCUGCGUAUCAGCCAUAGCCGUCGAUCACGCAGAUCUUCGACCCAAUUUUCACACGAUUUUCUAAUUCAAACUUGGUUCCAAACCUCUACAAAACUUGCUGAGGAAUAGUAUGACUACAACUUUGGUUGUUGGCGCUCAAACAAAAGAUCAGCCAAUUGCUCAAAUUUAAGCUCUGAAGAUCGACUCGAAAGCUGCUCUAAGUGUUCAUCGCCAUCCUCAAUUUAGUUUCAUCAGUUAGACUUCUGAACCGUUCCAUUUAACCCACUUCGAGCUUAAAUUUAAAUAUGAGUUCACCCGUUUGAAGCUUAGACAAGUACUCCGAUCAGUCCUAUGCACAUCCGAGUUUUGUUUGGUCAAGAUUUCACCAACCUUUUGUGCGGAGAAUCUCACAGAAAUCAAGUUCCUCUGAAACUUAACAGCCCAUCUAAAAUAUCCAAAAUCAGGUUUGCUCAUCUAAAACUAUCCAAAAUCAGAUUUAAAUCAGAUUUGCUAAAACUGGAUACCAACAUUGACGUACCAUGUUAGAGUCACUUGCAUCAUCAAACUUAGCAUUUGAGCUCCCAAACUUGACAUAUAAAUUAAAUCUCCAAACUUUCAUUAGUGUGCCCCAACAUAGCAUGACACAUCAGCAUCCAGUAUAAGCAAACUUGGUUUUGAAUAUUUUUUUGCACGAGCCAAACAAGUUACAUGACUCGUUUUUUCUGGUUUUCUAGAUGAUCUAAAUGACACAGCGUGCCGACUGCUGCUGCAUUUUUCUUUUUUUACAAAAAUCUCGUAGAAAUGGAAUGAUCUACUGAGCGGGUGGUACUCAUCCAUCCACUGAUCGAAAAGAGUGUUGUAGGCAAAAUUAACAUUUUCUGAUGCUGCUGGGUACAGAAGUACUAUUCACCACUCUGUUUGGACAACAUUUACAGGUAUGGAGAAUUGCAGACGAGACGACGAAAAGACCAUGGAAGCUUCUGUUUUAGCUCUAGAUACACAGAUCACUUUGUAACUGAAUAAAAUAUAACUCAUCGCAUAUGGUGCCUGAAAGAGCAAACUGAAGUUCAGUGCAUCAAGUAAUUCAAAAAUGGAAUCCAAGCUGAAGGAAGGUGCUCUCGCCUCAGUGUUUCCUUUGUCCCACGGCGAACUUUGCAGCGGAUGGUUGGGAGACCAAGGCGCUGGUGAGCCUCGUAGCGGUGGCAUCCAGAGAAGCCUGAAGAUCACACAGGAGAAUAUUCAGGACGAGAAAAAUGGAUCUAGAUCUCCAAAUAGUGAGAGCAUGAGUGACUAAUUCGUUCUGGAAUCUUGGACUACCCACCAUAAUAGACCCCAUCGACCUCCAACACAUCAAUCUGCAGUAGUCAAGAAACUGAGCCAAGUAAAAAUCAUAGCAUCCAGAAAAUCCAGCAAUGUGCUCCAUAACGUGGCUCAGAUGCAGGAAACUGAAGGCUAAAUAUCUUAGCAAAGCUCAAUCUAAUUAAACUGGUGUUUUUUCUGCUCUUUGUGAGUAUAUAAGAGUUUAAGAAAACUAAUGCACAGUUUUUUCAUCACUAAUAACACAUUUUUUUCAUCAUGUGUCCGGUUUUCCAGAUAACUGCGAUGGAACAUAAAUGUGCACAACUCUUAUUGGAUCGUGAUGAACAAAUGGUCAUACUUAUUUGAUGUUGUACCUAUAGUUUCAAACAACAAGGAGCAACAUCUAAGUACAUCCACACAUAUUUAAGAGAACCGUCAGCUUUGGCAUAAUGUCAUACCAUGGAGGGAAUAUGACAUAUUAACAUGAAAUUCACUGAAACAUUGGGCAAAUAAAAAACCUGAUUUGUUUGUGUUAAAAGCAUAUUCUUUUGCGAUUCAAUGAAUUCAGUAAUGUGGAAAGUGUACAAGCAUUGGCUCAGAAUUUAAUUACAAGUUGAUUCACAUGUGCUAAAUUCCUAAGAAGAGUGCUUGAAUCUGAUAGAAAACUCAUCUAGGUAGGUCAGGACUAACCAAUAAUUGUACUCGUGGAUGAUGAGAUAUGAAAUGAAAAGAUACAGAUAUAGAUACCCACAGGUACUUGGAGGCCGAUGACACGGAUACUGUCCAUGAGUUCUUGCACCUUGACUGGAUCAUUGGCCCGCGUUCGCAUCAGUGGCCUCCGGAUUUGGUCCAGUGGAAUUUCCAUUAUCACUGGGCCCUUCUUCUCCGAAUCUGUUGUCAGGGAUGGCACUGCUGCACCUGUAUAACGAAAGUGUAGACCUCGUUUAUACAUUCGGCACCAUGAACUCCAUUGGUAAUCAUUUCCCACACAAGAAAAGAAACCGAUUUGGACAUAGGGAGAUAUAUAUUUUAGCAUGCUGAAACAGUUGGUGUGUCAACAUAUCUCGUGUGUCCAGGGAAAUUACGCAAUGAAAUUAGUAUCUCUAUAUCAGGAGACAUGUGUUCUGCAGGACGCUCAUCCCCUAACUUUUUUUUACUAAUUUCUUUGUAGCUACUUCUGAAUCAGGUAGUGUGUAUUUGCUGAAAAAACUAAAAUGAACUUCCAAUGAAUUUGAACCGCACUAUGGAAUCAAUAACCCACAAUCUAGUUGCUUGAAUCAACUCACUUGGGCACGCCUGCAUAGUGCACACCCUAGACACCCCAGCAAAUUCAGUAACACGAGGAUACAAUGUUUGACAAAAAAUAAAUUCUCUACAUCAGUUCCCCAGCUCAAGAGAUACCAACUUCGUGGACUGAAGUACUGAACUCAAGCACACGCACACGCACUCCAAUAAUUCAAAAACAAAACCUGUUGCAGUACAAUAAGGACUUGUUCGUUUCUUCAGCAUUCCACCCUGGAAUCGUUUUAGCUGAUCAAAACUUAUAUAAAUUACACAAGCAAUCCGGCUAGCAAUCGUCAAGGUUAUUAAAACGACAAAACGUUGAAACACUCAUGGGUGAGUUUUAACUUUUAAACGGUUUAAACAAAGUUUAAACGUAGUUUUAAACAACAUAGGGAAAUUUCAAUAUAUCAUAAUUUCAGGCAAUUAUAUCAAGUCAAAUACCAAACAACCAACAUAAGUUCACAUAAUAAUAUUGUGCAAAAUGACAUGUCCACAACCACAUUACCACAAUAACAGUGGAGCACCCUUCAUCAAUCCUUCUUCCUUCAGCAAGCGAGCAACAGGAGGCUAGAUUACUCACCAGUGGAGCAUACGCCAGCGGACAGUGGGACAGUCAGUCUCUGUACUCUGUAGUCCUGCCGCAGUGGGACAACUGAGGCGGGGCUGGCAGCGCCGGACGGGCGGCGCAAGAGGGAGGACGGCCUGGAGCGCGGCGGCCUGGAGCGGCGGCACGCAGAGGCUCUGAGGCGGGGCUGGAGGACGGCCUGGAGAGCAGCGGCAUGGAGCGGCCUGGAGAGCAGCGGCCUGGAGGGAGGACGGCCUGGAGAGCAGCUGCCUGGAGCGGCGGCGGCCUGGAGCAGCGGCACGCAAAGGCGGGGCUCGCGGCGCCGGAUGGGCGCCGCAGGAGGGUUGGAGCAGCGGCAGCGGCGGCCUGGAGGCUGGAGCGCGCCCUGGAGUACGGCGGCUGGUGAGAACGCGAGUUCCUAAUUGGGUUGGUGAUAGUGCGGCCUGUAGCGGCGGGCUGGGCGGGAGUUUCUAAUUGGGCUGGGCCAAUUUCUAGCAGCAGACGCAUUAAACGCCCGAAACGCGGCGUUUCACUCUAUACCGCGUUUAAACGUCAAAACGCGACGUUUAAACGACGUUAAACGACGUUUUACGACGAAUCGUAAAACGUUUUGUCGUUUCACUUUCUGUCAGCGUUUUAUAGUUUAAACGACGUUUAAACGUCGUUUUAACGUCGUUUUAAUAAGCAUGGCAAUCGUUCCAGGCGAACCGAACAGAUCCUAAGGGAUCGAACAAAGGUGUGAGCAACGCUUCCCAGGAGGACACUACGGAGAAGACGAAGGAUACAACCACUUCAGAAGGAAGGGCGCGUCACGUGAGGAAAGCCAGCGUUCACAUAUCCGGUCCAGAAUGGGCCGUGUAACAUGGUCGUAUUUGGGUUCGCAUAUCCGGUCCAGAAUGGGCCGUGUAACAUGGCCAUAUUUGGGCCAUGUCUUAAUAAGGAGUAUUAAACCCUGGACAAGGGAAACGCAUGGGAAAACAGAUAGCUAUAGCUACACGCCACCAUCCUAUCUUCCUCUCCACGUCUCCUUCCUUCUCCUCUACUCUUCAGCCUUCCCUCAUCAGAGGUGUUAACAAAAGGGGAUCAUGCAAGUACGUUGCUAGAGACAACCUAAUAAUUAGUAUUAAACCCUGGACAAGGAAGGGAAACGCAUGGGAAAACAGAUAGCUACAGCUACACGCCACCAUCCUAUCUUCCCCUCCACGUCUCCUUCUUCCUUCUCCUCUACUCUUCAGCCUUCCCUCAUCAGAGGUGUUAACAAUCUGGUAUCAAAGCCCACCGACCCCGGAUCCCAUCGGUAACUGCCCCCGGCGACCCCGAUCGGCGGCCAUGGCGUACUCCGACGCUGCCACCUGCCAGCUGCUCGACGAAUUGCAGCAUAUGGAAGAGCGCCUCUCCGGCGUCAUCAGCGGGCGUUGCGACGGCGUACAACGACAUGUGGACGAGCGCUGCGACGACAUACAAGCUCACUUCACAUCACGCUGAGAAUCCAUUCAGCAGCAAGUUGACGUCGCGGCGCUACGCGGCGAGGAGCGUCUGAUCGCGCUCGAGGCGAUGAAGUCCGACUACGACCUCUGGCAUCCGGAUCUGGAGAAGCGAGUCGAGGACAUUGCCUUGGAGGUGAACCACGUCAACCGCUUCCUCGAGCAUGAGCAUCAGGCGACGUCCUUCGUCAAGCCCGGCAUAUUCGGUCCUCACGAGUCGGCUGCCGCGCGCUCAUCUGCCGGCCACCACCAUGCCGACGGGCCAUUCGGCCACCGCUUCGAGCCAAAUCACCAGGAGCGUGAGUCGGGGUGUGCGGAUUUCACCCGACUCACGGCCCGGUCAAGGGUACGUACUCAGGCCACCCUACCCGUGUUGCUGGAUUCAUGCCUGAGCAGUUUUAUCCUCACGAAUCACCACACGAGAUGGGUCGAUCUGGUUACGGAAGAUUGCCGAAACUUAAUUUUCCACUGUUUGAUGGGAAUCAGCCACAACUUUGGAAAUCCAAGUGUGAAAAAUACUUUGAGAUGUAUGAGACCGAAUACCACAUGUGGGUGAAAGUAGCUACUAUGCAUUUCGAAGGGCGCGCAGCGCGAUGGCUUCAAUCUGUUGAGCGUCGCCUGCGUCAGUUAUCCUGGGAGGAGUUUUGUACACUUGUCCACGACCGUUUUGGUCGUGAGCAACACGAAACCCUGAUUCGCCAGCUGUUUCACAUUAGGCAAACCACUUAUGUACCUGAGUAUGUCGAUCAGUUUCACUCAUUAGUGGAUGAAACAAGCUUUAGUGGCUGCCCCAGUGUUGGCUCUACCCGAUUUUUCCCUUCCAUUUUGCAUUUACACAGAUGCCUGUCUUACUGGUAUUGGCUCUGUUCUCAUGCAGCAAGGCCACCCCUUGGCGUUUCUCACUAAAGCUCUUGGACCCAAGAAUCAAGGCUUGUCCACGUACGAAAAAGAGUAUAUGGCAAUCAUGGUAGCUGUGGCUCAUUGGCGAUCCUACCUCCAGUUAGCUGAAUUCCAUAUUUACACAGAUCAUCAAAGUUUGACCCAGCUCAACGAACAGCGCCUGCAUACAGUGUGGCAACAGAAACUGUACACAAAGUUGGUUGGGCUACAGUAUCGUAUUAUCUAUAAGCGUGGCUGUGAUAACGCCGCAGCUGAUGCUUGUCUCGUUGUCCCCAACCGGCAUCUCAGUUGUUCCACAUCUCCCAGUGUACUCCAACAUGGAUCACUGAAAUCCAGCAGAGCUAUCAGCAGGAUAAUCAGGCCCAACAGUUACUAGCUGAAUUGGCAAUCAGUUCUGACCACACUUCAGCUUUCACAUUGCAGCAAGGUAUUAUCAGGCAUAAGGGUCGUAUAUGGAUCGGGAACAACAAAGAGUUGCAAUUCAAAAUCAUGUCGGCGCUGCAUGAUUCAUCUGUCGGGGGUCAUUCAGGUGUUCACGUCACAUAUCGGCGGAUUAAACAGCUAUUCUCUUGGAAGGAUAUGAAGCGACAUGUACACCAGUUUGUGCAAUCAUGUGCUGUCUGUCAACAGGCAAAGCCGGAUUGAGCUCGUUAUCCCGGUUUGCUCUCACCUUUGCCUGUUCCUCCACAUGCGUGGCACACCAUUUCCAUGGACUUUGUGGAAGGGCUUCCCAAAUCUAACGCCAUGGACUGCAUUUUGGUCAUUGUGGAUACUUUUUCAAAGUAUGGUCAUUUCCUCUCCCUGGCUCACCCGUUCUCAGCAGCAAAGGUAGCCAAAUUGUUCCUUGACAACAUCUACAAGCUUCAUGGAAUGCCAGUCAAGAUUGUGUCUGACCGAGAUCGGGUCUUCACUAGUAAUUUCUGGCAGCAACUAUUUCAGUUGACUGGUACACAACUUUGUAUGAGCUCUGCAUAUCAUCCGCAGUCGGAUGGGCAAACAGAGCGAGUUAACCAAUGCAUUGAGACAUAUUUGCGCUGCUUUGUUCAUGCGUGUCCAACAAAAUGGUGUCACUGGCUUUCCGUUGCUGAGUUUUGGUAUAACACAAAUUACCAUUCUGCUCUUGGUCGUUUGCCAUUUGAAGUUCUCUAUGGCCACCCACCCCGCUACUUCGGAGUCUCCACAUCAGAAGCUGUCAAUGCCCAAGAUCUGCAAGCAUGGCUCCAGGAUCGUGAGGUUAUAUCACGUCUCGUCCAGCAGCAUCUGGAACGAGCUCAGGCAAGAAUGAAGCGCCAAGCUGACCAAAAGCGAUCCGAACGCAGUUUCAAUGUGGGAGAUCAGGUUUAUCUCAAGCUCCAUCCGUAUGUGCAGUCAUCUGUUGCUACCCGUUCCAAUCAGAAAUUGGCUUUCAAGUUCUUCGGGCCCUAUACUGUUCUGCAACGCAUUGGUUCUGUCGCAUACCGCCUGCAGUUACCCGAACAUGCCACCAUCCACCCGGUCUUUCAUGUAUCACAACUCAAGGCGUCAGUAGGAAGGCAGCAUUCUGUGAUUCCGGUUUUACCAUCUGCUGACCAUGUUUUACAGGUUCCAGUACAACUGCUCGACCGUCGAUUGAUCCAGCGCGGUGGCGCCAUGGUCGCACAAGUGAAAACGCGCUGGUCAGGCCUGGAUCCUACACUGGCCACCUGGGAGGACGCCGAAGCUCUAAAGGCCAAGUUUCCUCAUGCACCCGCUUGGGGGCAAGCGGUGUCUGAAGAGGAGGGGAAUGUGAGCAACGCUUCCCAGAAGGACACUACGGAGAAGAAGAAGGAUACAACCACUGAGAACACAGCUUCAGAAGGAAGGGCGCGUCGCGUGAGGAAAGCCAGCAUUCGCAUAUCCGGUCCAGAAUGGGCCGUGUAACAUGGCCGUAUUUGGGCCGCGUCUGUAAGACUGCCUCCAACAAGGAUCGGUAUAUGGUUCUGUCCUCUAUAUUUAGCGUCUUCACUCGUUUGAAGGCGCCCAACAACGACCGCUAUUUCAUCCACUAAAAGAUAGAGGGUGUCCUUUGGCCGCUACAUUUAGUGUCUUCCUGUGCAUCCGCUAUCACAGCGGCCGCCGCUGCCGAGGAGGAACGUGCACCAGAUCACAAGGUGGAGGCCGCACGCGCCAUAUCACCGGAAAAGGAAGGAGGUCGUGCGGCCGCCGAUGAGGAGAGCAUACAACCAACGUGGAGCAGAGCGUGCGGCCACCGCAAGAAGCAGGAGCACACGCGGCCACCGGCGAGAAGGAGACAGCACAGUCGUCGACAUGGAGAAGAGUGCAGGUGCCAGCGUUGAGGAGGAGCGCGCAUGGCUGCCGGCUGCCGGCGAGGAACCCAAGCGCGCGCAGCCACCAACGAGAUGAAGCAGAGCGAGCAACAGAUCACCAGCAGGAUGAGCAUGCACACCGUCUGUAGCGUUUUCUCUUUUUUUUAUUUCAGUUAGAAAUACAUUGAAAAUAACUGGGUAGAAAUUUGUGGUUAAUAAUAUUAGUGAAAAUAUGGAAAAUGUGAUAAGGACGAAAUUUAGAGGAUAUUGCUAGAGAAAGUCUAGAUAUAGAGAACGAAAUCUUUUAUAAAGUGUUGUAAAGGAUAAAGAAUAUUUCUUUAGAGGACGAAAUUUAGAGUAGAGACAACCUAAUAAUUAGUAUUAAACCCUGGACAAGGAAGGGAAACGCACGGGAAAACAGAUAGCUACAGCUACACGCCGCCAUCCUAUCUUCCUCUCCACGUCUCCUUCUUCCUUCUCCUCUACUUUUCAGCCUUCCCUCAUCAGAGGUGUUAACAAAAGGGGAUCAUGCAAGUACCGUUGGAGGAGGAAGCGGAGAGCGCCAGAUUCCUGCUCCUCGUUCCGCUCGCGCUCCUUCCCCUUCCUGGAGCGAAGGAGGCGUACGGGACCGCGCUGCGGGGGAGGAGGGCGCCGGGGCCCAUCGCCAAAUCCAGGGUCGAACUCGACGCCAUGGCUGCCGUGCUGCUGCCCGGUCUGUUGCCGGGCCCCGCCGAGAGGCCGUAGCGUGUCAGAGUGUCGCGUCGAUGUGUACCACAAGAGUUAUCUGGGCUAGAUGUUAGAGCAAAUGGGCCGAUCAGCACAGAAAUGGCAUGAUUCGAGCGUCACGCAUGUACAACAUCGAGUAGAUCGAUUUUCCAAGUAAGGAGAGUAGGAGACAGACAGACACCUAACACUAUUCCUAAUCUAAAGUAUACUUCAGUAUCUAAAAAUGAAAUGAAUGCUAAUGCUAAAAAUCAGCUAAAUCAUAAGUGAAACGUUAUGCAUACACUAAAGAGGAAAAACGAUAUCCCUCCUCUCAUGGUCCGGGUCUGGUCCGUAAACUCGCACAGAGAUUUAUUGCAUGAUAUUGUACCUCCAUCAGAAGGUCUAGACUAUAUGGUCGGCUGCGAACCUAUAGAGAGGUUUAUGUGGGGAUAUUGUCCCUCUCCUAGACAGUUCGGACCUAUGGUCCGAACGGUCUAUGAGCCCGAAGAGAGAUUCAUGCACGGAUAUUGUACCUCCUACAUAUGGUUCGAACCUUAUGGUCGUACGGUUCGAAAAUCCACAUACAACAAAGAGGGUCCUACAGGGGUACCGUCCCUCCUCUGUUCUAGACCCAUGUGUCACACCCGGAUUUAAGGAAUAAAGUCGGGUGCAUCUCAUAUGUGCACCAAAAAAACAUCACAUAUAAUAAAAAAGUGUAUAGAGAUAAAUAUCACAAGUAUCAUUAUUACAUAGUGGAAGUCUUACAAAAAUAAAUGAUAAUAAUAAAAUGCUAAUAUUAUUCCUUGGCGCCAUCAAGCUGACUAGGAGACGCCACCUAGAUCAACUCGUACUCCUCAUUAUAGGGCUCUUCCUGGACCACCUGCUCUUCACCUGUGGGGGGUUAUAUGUCGCAAGAGUGAGCUCACAAAAGAUCAUAGCUCAACAAGUUGUGGGAAUAAUGUGCAUGAACUCACCAAAGGUGGGAGUUCAUGUGAAGUGUAAGGCUAAUCAAUAAAUAAGGGUUAAAGCUGAGCAUUGCUUUUAAUAAGUUGGUCAAAUUUUAUUAGCAGUUACUAAAUAUAAGUAAAUACCAAACCAGAGUGAUAAUAGAUCAAAAUAGUAAUAAACCCUAAUGCGAUGCAAAUGACAAAUUGAAUUUAAUUCCAUAAAUUAAUCAUGUGAGGGUCCGAGACGCUCAUAACCGUGAGCACGACUGAUAUACCAGUUUUAUACUCCGCGGAGGUUGCACAUCUUUACCCACAAGUCAUGUUACCCAUCUCCCAAGGGAUCGCGAUUUUCCAUACACCUCUACCAAGGAAGCGAGGCAGGGUAACACCACGAGGCCUUUACAAAGUUCCACUAGCUUCAGAUAACCGCUACAGUUUCUAAGAAGCUCCAAUACAUGGAUCCCUCACCUGACCACAAUCGCAGCAAAAUCAACCCAAGGACCUCCCUACACUGACCACUCCCCUACUGCCCAUGUCCCUUUCGGUUAAGGUAAUAAUCCACUAGCUUUCCUAAUUAGUCAGCCAAGUGCGUCCCAUAGUAACCUUGUGGUAGCACUGUUUUCCUGGGUGGUUGCUCCAUGUUCUAAUUAACAUAAUGAUCUUAUCAUGAACAGUAAAUAACAAACUGAUAAUAAAAAUAUGAUCAUGAAUAAUGUGUAUGUCCAUACCCAAAACCACAUAAAGAAAUAGCAGGUACUACAAAAAAAUCAGUGGUAAAUAAGGUAUAAAGAUAGCCAAACUAGGGUAACCUAUUGGGUCCCAUCAAAAUUAACCUAUGCAGAUCAUUAUGAUUAAUAAGAAUAUUAUUGGGUAAAAAGAAGUGAUCAAUGGCACAACUUGCCUUCAACGAGCUUCUGCUCAGCAAUCUCCACCUGCUGAACACAUGGGUCCUCUGUGGCUUGCUCGUCUACUCGCAACAAUACAAACAAACAUGGUAUAGCAGAAAUUAACAUCACACCAAACAAUAGAACAAAAUGCAUGAUAAUAUUCUACGCGUUGUAACGAGAUAGUAGGAACAAGAAUCACUAAAUUCGAAGUUACGGUUGUUAAGUUAUGAAUUUCUAAAGUUAUUUAGUCCUAGUAUAGAAUAAUUGAAGUGAAUAAUUUUAAUCCAAGUUUCAUGGCUAAACAGAGUUACUAGAUGAUAAAGAAUAUUAAAAAAAUUAAUGCCACUAGAAUGGAUCAAUUUGGAGUUAAAAUGAAUUAAAUAUGAAUUAUACAAGUUUCUAGAAUUAUUUUUUACUAAAAAUCAAUUUCUAUAAUUAAUUAUCUGUUUUUUCUGAUCUCUAGACUGGCGCGCAAAAACAGAGAAGUUCGGGGUUAGAUCCGUAAAAUUCCUAAGACUCAGGCUUGUUCAAGGGUGGACUGCGGGUUUAUUCUUAAAUAGUACCGGGACUCUUUAGUAAAUGUGACGCAGCGAAGGGGUAUCUAGUGAUGCUGGUCGUAGGAUCAGAGCCCAACGCCCUAGAUUAAAUCGUGAAGUUCUGAUGUUCAUCAGGCAUACAGGACCGGAGGAUCUAUGAUGGACGGUCCAGAUUUAAUGAACGACGUGGUUAUGCGCUACCACAUCGAAACAGUCCAUCCCGAGAUCUACGGUUACCAACCCUUCCCCCCUCCCCGAUCUAAUCCUAGGCGUUGGAUAGAAAUCCUACGGCGACCACACCACGCUCCCAUCCGGUCACGCCGAGCGAUGGCGCCACGCCCCCUCGCGGCGGAGGCCAUGGCCGGAGGUGGCCAUAUCGGUGGACUACGCCCUAAACUCCAAUUGGUAUGGUGCUAUGUGUGAAGAAUGGCAAAGCGAACUCGCGGGUUGUUCUCGGCGGGGUGCAAGUUCGGCGAAAUUCAUGACUCCGGCGAGGAAUUCCCACGGCUUCAGCAAGCCCCUCCUCGGUUACUCCCUCGCACGACGUCAAUGCGACCAAAACAAGCCUCGGAUGGCCACACGGGAGCCGAAAUCGCACUAAUGAUGGGUAUCCGCGACGACGGUGAUAUACCUCCGCACAGAACGUGCCGGCGCAGUGGAUGGCGUGGAGAAGCGGCGGCAAGAAAAUGGGAGCAGCGGGCGAGGUCGUGGGGUCCGAUAUUUGUAGGCGAGGUGGGGUACGAGGCGGCUGCAAUGGAAUCCGGAGCUUACGGCUGGUAGAGGCAUGCACGGAGGUGGGUGUCGCGCGGAGAAGACGGUAGCGCGUAGGUGUUGAGGGACUGUCUGGUGGGCCCCGCGGAGCAGCAGCACGAGUGCGAGAGAGCGAGCCUAUCAAGGGGCCCCCGCCUGUCGGCGCGUCGGCGCCGUCUCCACUAGCUGGGCCGAGCGCGCGGAGUAAAACAACCAUGGGCCAAAAGUAGUAGGGCUGGCCCAAUUAGAUUUGUUUUCUUCUUUUCUUUUCUGUUUUUGUUUUCCUUUUAUUUUUUUGAAUUCCAAAUUUGAAUUCAAAGUUUUGUGGUGAAAUUUGUACCCAAAUUUUUAGUGUAUGAUUUGAACAUAUUAUUAUGGAAUUAAUUUAUAAAUUUAUUUUGUAUUGUGCAGUAUUUCUCUCUUUCCUUCUCUAUUUUCAAACCCUAAUUUCAAUUUGGGGGUCCAAUUCAAAUCUCAAAUCAUUAUUAUAUUUUUAUUAGUACUAUAGUUAUUAUUAUUAAAUGCACACACAAAUAAAACUCCAACAUGAUGCAUAGAGUAUUUUAUUAGUUAAUUGUUCACCUAAAUUUAGGUAUUCCCAUGUGAUAAUGAGUAGAAGAUCAAAACACCUAAUGACAUCCACCCCUUUUCUUAUUAUUUCCAAACCGGGUAUUACAAAUCAUGCCCCUUAAAAAGAAUCUCGUCCUCGAGAAUAGGAAGGACUAGGGAAAAGGUGGGGAAAAUCUACUCGUAGCUCUUUUUCUCUUUCCCAAGUGGCCUCAUCUUCACCAUGGUGACUCCAUUGCACUUUGCACAUUUUAAUCACUUUACUCCUUGUAACACGAGUCAAAGUAUCAAGAAUCUUGAUAGGAUACUCAGUAUAAGUUAGAUCAUCUUGAACACUAAGAUCCUCCAUAGGUAGUUGCUCUUCAGGUAUCCGGAGGCACUUCUUCAGUUGGGACACAUGGAAGACAUCAUGUACAUCCGCAAGAUGGUCGGGUAAUUCUAGUUGAUAGGCAACUUCCCCCACUCGCUUUAGGAUCAAGAAGGGACCAAUAAAGCGAGGGGACAACUUUCCUUUAACUUUAAAUCUUCGCAUACCCCAGAUCGGUGACACCUUCAAAUACACAUGAUCACCCUCCUUGAACUCUAGCAGUCUCCUCUGGGUAUCUGCAUAACUUUUCUGCCUUGACUGCGCAUAUGGAUGAAAACGGUCAGUAAACACUAAAACCAUUACCGUUUUCAUAUUUUUUAUCGGAAACAAAAUCGAAAACGGUAACUCCAAAAACAGAAACGAUAUCGGUAUUUCAGAAACAUCGGAAACGAAAGUUAGGUGCGGAAAAUACACGGGUAACUGUCGAAAUCUAAAAUACGAUCAAUAAACAUAUCAAACUUCACAAUACAACAAAGUUGACAAAAGAUCACAAAGACCACAAGUUCACAAUUCAUGAUAUAACGAGUUCACAAAAUAACAAGUUCACAAGGAUCACAAAUUUAUAAUAUAAAAAGUUUACAAAGAUCACAAGUUCACAAUAUAACAAGUUCACAGUAUAACAAGUUCAUAAAGAUCACAAGUUCACGGACUCAAAGUUCACAAUUCACAAUAUCCACUCGAUCUAGCUGACAUGGCAUGCUUAGUUAUGAAAUAUUUUUUCCUCACAUAAAGAGUUUUUCACAACCUCACAGGAAAACCCUAAAACCUAGUGUGUGGAAAAGACAGACUGUCAGCUCUCUAUCAUUAUAUAUUACUAAUACAUAACAUGUACAUAGAAAAGGGUGGAUUCGUUCGAGAGACCAGAUCGUUAAUCCCAACUGCCUUCCAACACCAUCUAUCCAAAAAAAUUCUUAAGGUGUCCAAAAAAUACAAAAAUAAGUAAUCCUUAUCUAGAGACGUACAGGCGAUGCGAAAAAUCACAUGCUGGAAAAUUCCAAAAAAUCUGAGACGCAAUUCCGAAAAAAUCCGAGACGCAAUUCCGAAAAAUUCCGAGACACAAAUCCGGUAAUUUCCGACAAAAACCGGUAACCGAAGGAAACGGUCGGUAAAACACCACACCGAUUCCGAUAGAAAAUUCUGAAAACCGAUUCUGUUUUCGAAAAAUAUCGUUACCAGUGAAUCCGAUCAAAAUAUUUUGAAAUCGGUUUCCGGAAUACCAAAAAAUUCUGAAACCAUUUUCAUCCCUAACUGCGCAGUCCUCAAGUUCUCCCUUAUCAACCGGACUUGUUCUUCUGCCUAUUGUAUAAUUUCUGGCCUAAAGAACUGCCUUUCACCAGUUUGAUCUCAAUACAAAGGAGUCCUGCAUUUUCUGCCAUACAGAGCUUCAAACGGAGACAUCUUCAAACUGGCCUGGUAGCUAUUAUUGUAAGAGAACUCUGCAUAGGGCAAACUCUUAUCCCAACUGCCACCAUGUUUAAGAGCACAUGCUCUUAACAUAUCCUCUAGUACUUGGUUAGUUCUCUCGGUCUGCCCGUCAGUUUGAGGAUGGUAGGCCGAGCUGAAAUUCAGUCUUGUAUCCAAGCACUCAUGCAACUUUUGCCAAAACCGAGAAGUAAAUUGUGAUCCCCGGCCUGACACGAUCUUCUUGGGCGCACCGUGUAGACAUACUAUCUGUGCCAUGUACAACCCUGCUAGCCUAGCUCCUGAAUAUGUGGUCUUCACUGGGAUAAAGUGGGCUACUUUAGUUAGCCUAUCCACAACCACCCAUAUAGAGUCGUACCCAGUAGAUGUGCGGGGUAGGCCUACAUUGAAGUCCAUGCCAAUUUCUUCCCACUUUCACUCAGGUAUCUUAAGCGGGUGCAAUAAACCGGCGGGUCUUUGAUGUUCCGCUUUUACCCUCUGGCAAACAUCACAUAGUGCUACAUGCAAAGCAACAUCCUUCUUUAGUCCAUACCACCAAUACUUCUGCUUCAAGUCCUGGCACUUCUUUGUACUGCCCGGAUGGAUGGAGUAAGCUGAGUCAUGUGCCUCCUUCAAUAUGGUCUCCUGAAGACUAUCAAUCUCAGGAACACAAUGUAGGAUUACGGGGAGGCUACGCUAGCGCAAAACAAAAUUUUCAACCCCAUAAUACCAAGAACUACUGCGGUUAUAGGUCAUGGAAUUACCACUAGACGCGCAGAGCAGCGGAAGACGUCUCGAUGUAGACGAACACGUCGAGCAGUGUCGUGCAGUCGUCGGCGUCCUUCACGUCCUCGCACGGUUCGUCCUAGUGCUCCAGAUGCAGCACCUCCGAGGUAUCCACACGUACAGGGAGGAAGCGCCGCGUACCGAACUGCUAGGUUCGCGACGGCGGCUUGGCGAGGGCGAGAGGUGAGCGGCGGCUGCUCGUUUGCUGGUGGCAAAUUAGGUUAAGCCUAACCGCGUCCCCGCCCCUCAUUAUAUAGGCGUUAUGGUGGGCUUCUGACACCGAGGCCCAUCAUUAACCCUAAAGCCCAGUCUAAUUUUGGAUCUAAUCCGAGUUAGGCUUCCUUCCCCCUUAAGUGUGUGACCCUAUAGGUUCACGUACAAAUAGACAUAGCCCGAGUACUCUUACUUGGCCCAAUAAUUGACAACGGCCUCUAGCAAGACAUGUCAACUCCUAUGCGCACGUAAAGAUCAUAUCAGACGAACCAUUGCAACAUUACGUACAUGUUGUUCCCUUUGUCUCACGAUAUUUGGUCUGGCUCUAAGCCGACCUCUCUUUCUCGAUACUGUGAAUUGGAAUCCUUUCAAUGGUUAACUCUUAACCCUAGCACGGCCAUGCAUUUCUUGAUCCAAUCACUCGAGGGGCCCAGAGAUAUCUCUCUCACAAAGAGAGGGACAAAUUCCAUCUUGACUGACCAUGUCUCACAGCAUGCUUCCUGACAAACCCAAAACUACCUUUAUAACUACCCAGUUAUGGAAUAGCGUUUGAUAGUCCCUAAGUAAGUCAAUUCACAUCUUGAGAACAUGCGACAAUCUCAGGUUUAAGGAUACAAUAUUCAUGUUGCAAAAAGAGAACUAUAUUACAAUAUCUCACGUUGGGUCGGUCCAGCCUCAUGUCAUACAUGCGCCCACAUUAUUAGUUUAACAUCUCCAUGUUCAUGACUUGUGAAAUGUAGUCAUCAACUAAUACAUGUGCUAGUCAUCGACUCUGACUAGGGACAUCAUUUAGAAUAACCAUAUAAGUAAAGAAUCUCACAAACAAUUCACAUAAUUGCUAAUCAAUACAAGGUGCCUUCCAUGGAUAUUCAAUUAAGCAAUAUAUAUAUCAUGGAUACAAAGAAAUAUGCUCAUCUCUAUGAUUAUCUCUAGGGCAUAUUUCUAACAGUCUCCCACUUGCACUAGAGUUAAUCUAGAAGAUAUCUAAUACCCAUAGAUCUCAUGUGUGCCUCAUGCUUAGGUUGUGGAAGAGGUUUUGUCAAAGGAUCAGCAACAUUCAAAUCCGUAUGUAUUUUGCAUAUCUUUAUCUCACCCCGCCUAAUGAAUUCCCGUAUGAGGUGAAACUUCCGCAGUACGUGUUUGUUUUUCUGGUGGUUCCUUGGCUCCUUAGCUUGCGCAAUAGCCCCAUUAUUGUCACAGUAGAGGUUCAAUGGACUAGAAGCAUUAGGAAACACACCAAGCUCGAUGAGGAACUUCCUUAUCCAAACACCUUCCUUCGCAGAUUCAGAAGCUGCAAUGUACUCGGCUUCUGUUAUAGAAUCAGUCACAGUCUCCUGUUUGGAACUCUUCCAACUAACAGCACCACCAUUUAUUGUGAACACAAAACCUGAUUGCGAUUUUAACUCGUCUGGGUCAGUUUGGAAGCUAGCAUCGGUGUAACCAGUUACAACGAGAUCCUCCUUACCCCCAUAUACCAGGAACAUAUCUUUAGUCCUUCUUAAGUACUUAAGAAUGCCUUUUACUGCUGUCCAGUGAUCCUCACCUGGAUCAGCCUGGUACCUACUCGUAGCACUUAUAGCGUAUGAAACAUCUGGGCGUGUACUUAUCAUGGCAUACAUGAUUGAUCCAAUUGCUGAGGCGUAUGGUACCUUACUCAUGCGCUCCUGCUCAUUAGCCGUCGCAGGACAUUGCAUCUGGCUAAGGUGUUUACCAUGUGACAUAGGUAUGAACCCUUUCUUGGACUGUUCCAUGUUGAACCGUUUCAAAACCUUGUCAAUGUACGUAUCUUGACUUAAUCCUAUAAGCCUCUUCGACCUAUCUCUAUAGAUCCUUAUGCCCAAAAUAUAUGCUACUUCCCCUAAGUCCUUCAUAGAAAAACUCUUUUUCAGUGAAGCCUUGACGGAUUCCAGCAUAGGAAUGUCAUUCCCAAUCAAUAAUAUGUCAUCCACAUACAAGAUCAGAAAUACAACAACGCUCCCACUUUCCUUCUUGUAAACACAAGCUUCUUCUUCAUUCUGAUGAAAACCAAGCCCUUUGAUCACUUCAUCAAAACGAAUGUUCCAACUCCGAGAUGCUUGCUUCAACCCAUAAAUGGAUUUCUGUAGUUUGCAUAUCUUUCCAGCAUUGAUCGGAUCGACAAAACCCUCGGGCUGUAUCAUAUACACGUCCUCAUCUAGGUUUCCAUUAAGGAAAGCUGUUUUGACAUCCAUCUGCCAAAUCUCAUAAUCGAAAUAUGCGACAAUAGCUAGAAUGAUCCGAAUAGAUUUAAGCAUCGCUACUGGCGAGAAUGUCUCGUCAUAGUCAACUCCUUGAACUUGUUGAAAACCCUUUGCAACAAGUCGAGCCUUAUAGAUGUGAACAUUUCCAUCCAUGUCUUUCUUCUUCUUAUAGAUCCAUUUGCAUUCUAUAGGUCUAACACCAUCAGGCGGGUCAACCAAGUUCCAAACUUGAUUUUCUCCCAUGGAAUCUAUCUCGGAUCUCAUGGCGACAUGCCAUUUCUCGGAAUCUGGGUCCAUCAUCGCUUCUGAAUAUGUUGCAGGUUCGUCGUUGUCUAACAACAACACUUCCCCAUUGCCCAACAAUAGCACUUCUCCUCGUGCCUCAUGAAGCCUUGCUGACCUUCGUGGUUGUGGUGGUGAUUCUCUUGCCAUAGACGUCUCAACUUGUUCUGCUACAUUAGCAUCACUUGUUGAAUCUUGUCCCACUGGCUCAUCCUGAACUUCUUCAAGAUACACCUUUUGUUUACUUUUCUCUCUUUUGAGAAACUCUUUCUCUAAGAACACACCGUUCCGGGCGACAAACACUUUGCCCUCUGACCGGUGGUAAAAGUAAUAUCCUAAAGUUUCCUUUGGAUAUCCCAUGAACAUGCACUUGUCCGAUUUUGGAGUGAGUUUAUCUGACUGAAGUCGCUUGACGUAAACCUCACAACCCCAAAUCUUCAGAAAAGACAAACUGGGAGUCUUCCCAGUCCACAUCUCAUAUGGUGUCUUAACUACGGACUUAGACGGUACCCUAUUUAGUGUGAAAGCUGCUGUUUCUAGAGCGUAUCCCCAAAACGACAAAGGUAGGUCCGACUGGCUCAUCAUUGAUCGAACCAUAUCCAAUAAAGUCCGAUUACGUCGCUCAGACACGCCAUUCCUCUGAGGCGUUCCAGGCGGCGUAAGCUGUGGAACAAUUCCACAACUCUUUAGAUGAUUGCUAAACUCAUGACCCAAAUAUUCACCUCCACGAUCUGAUCGCAGUGCUUUAAUUUUCUUGCCACGCUGAUUUUCUACUUCAUUCUGAAACUCUUUGAACUUUUCUAAGGAUUCAGACUUGUGUUUCAUUAAGUAGACAUACCCAUAUCUACUAAAAUCAUCAGUGAAGGUUAUGAAGUAUUGGAAUCCUCCCCUAGCUGUCGUACUCAUUGGUCCGCACACAUCAGUAUGUAUGAGUUCCAAUAAAUCUAACGUCCUCUCCGGUAAACCCGUGAAGGGCGCCUUGGUCAUCUUACCAAGUAAGCAAGCUUCACAUGUCUCGUAUGAUUCAAAAUCAAAUGAAGUUAAAAGUCCAUCAGAAUGAAGCUUCUUCAUGCGAUUCUCACUUAUAUGACCCAAACGACAGUGCCACAUGUAGGUAGGACUUAAAUCAUUAGGCCGAGGCCUUUUAGCACUAAUAUUACAGAUAGGUGCAUCAUCAAGAUUUAAAAUGAAUAACCCAGUCAUAAUGGAUGCAAAAGCCACAAACAUGCCAUUCUUAGAGAUCACACAACCAUUGUUUUCACUCGCAAAUGAAUAACCAUCCUUCAUCAAACAUGAAGGAGACAUAAUGUUUCGACUCAUACUAGGAACUAGAUAACAAUUAUUUAACUCCAAAAUAAAUCCUGAUGGGAGGUGGAGUUGCAUCGUCCCGACGGUCAACGCAGCAACUCUUGCAUUAUUGCCUACCCGGAAAUCAACUUAUCCUCUUUUCACGCUUCUACUUCUUAUCAUUCCCUGCAUCGAAUUGCAAAUAUGGGCAACCGAUCCGGUAUCAAAUACCCAAGAAUUAAUAUAAGAAUCAGCAAGAAAAAUUUCUGUAAUGUGAAUAGCAAGUGUACCUGCUGCGGCUAUACCCUUACCACCGCGAUCCUUAAUAGAGGCCAAGUACUGCUUGCAAUUCCUUUUCCAGUGACCAAGUUCUUUGCAAUAAAAGCACUCUGCAUCUGCAGCUGGUCUAGCCUUGGGCUUUUGAUUUGGCUUGGAUACUGUAUCUUUUGCCUUGCCCUUCUUCUUUUGAGAUUUACCCUUCUUCUUAAAGUUGGGUUUGUUUUGGACCGCCAUCACAUGGCCGCUGCUGCCAGCACUUUUCUUUAUGUCCCCCUCUGCAGUUUUCAGCAUGCCACAUAGUUCAUUGAGGCCCCUCUUCGCCCCAUGCAUAUGGUAGUUCGUGAUGAAGUUUCCAUAGCUGGGCGGAAGAGAUGCCAAAAUGAAGUCAGUGGCCAACUCUUGGCUUAUUGGGAAGCCUAGCUUCUCCAACCUCUGACUGUAACCAACCAUUUUGAUUACGUGUGGCCCAACUGCUGCGCCUUCUGCUAGCUUGCAUUCCAGAAAGGCUUUGGACACAUUGAACCUUUCAGUCCUAGCCUGAGUCUGGAACAUAUCCUUGAGCGCCACGAUCAUAUCGUGCACCUCAUGGUUUGUCUCAAACUGUAUCUGCAGCUCAGGCUCCAUGCAAGCAAGCAUUAGGCAACUCACUUCAAGAUUAGUAUCCAUUGCUUUCUUGUAAGCGGUUUUAGCUGCAGCAGUUGCAUUUUCACCAGGAUCCUCUGGUAGUGGGGUGUCUAGAACGUCUUCCUUUUUUUCAGCCCUGAGAACAAUUCUCAGGUUACGGAUCCAAUCCGUAUAGUUUGUUCCAUUUAACUUAUCCUUUUCAAGAAUUGAUCGCAAAGUAAAUGUUAGUGUGCCAGGUGCCAUUUAUCUACAACAAAAUAAUGCAAAAUACUAAGACAAAAAUAUCCAUGACAGAGUAAAUCAUAUUAAACAUUUAAUAGUCUACUCCCACUAAAAUCAAUAUCCCUCGAUUGAUACUUAGUGAUUCAGAACCCACAACUAACAAGUCUACUAGUGAGCUUUAGCAUCACCGCUAGAAGACAAGGUAGAUCGGUAAGCAACUCCUUGCUAAUCAUAUCAUAUAUAUGACUCCUGUUGUUGGGUGACAUCUCUAUGUCUCGGCUCCCAACCUUAUGCCUCAAAGUCCUUAACCAUUAAGCUGACUUUGUUUAAGUUAACCAACCCUUUCUGCAGUUCGUAUCCGAUACAAACCUAUCUAGUCAAGGAAAACUGGUGGCACCCUAAUUUCAUAGACCCACCACCAAUUGUACAAGACUUAUGAUAGUGCAAGGUUUGGAGAGGCAUUUAAGCUUAAACAUUUAUGAGGGAUCGUCCUACUUAUAUCAUCGCACGCAAGGACAUAUAUGCAAUAUGAACAAGUAGAACAUUAAGAAUGGCAUUCACACAACAGUUGUGAUUCGGUAUGGCUUGCUGUCACAUGGUGAUCCCCAUCUCCAAUAAUCUGUCCAUCACGAUGAUCUCCAUCUCCAUGAUAUAGGUAUGCCAUCCUUCAGGUGAUGAGUCCUUCAAGACCUAUCUAACGUAUGCUUGUAAACAAAUUACAUAUACGCUUUGGAUCAUCACAUGUUGACACGCAGGUCAUUACAUUAAAUUUGGACAAUACAUAUGGCUCCAGCCGUAUUGCCCAGGUCACGACACGCAGGUCAUGAAUAAUUCAUUAAUAUGUAUCAUAUACACAAUAGCCAUACCGAUCACAAGAUGCCCUGCAAAAACAGGUUAGACAAACACGUUUCUAUAUGUUCGCCACUACAGCAGAUAGCCACGGCGGUCCCGCUGGCCGGUCAGCGGGCGGGGGGUCGAGGGGGGAGCCGCCCCCCGCGGGUCUCAGGGAAACCUCACAGGAUUCCAUGCAUCAUAUGUAUGGAAAUUCCACUGGAAAUCUCAUGCGGUUGAUCAAAUCAACCCAAGUCCGAGACUUUCGACCCGAAGAAGAUUACACUCAUGACGUCGAUCUGUUACGUCAAUCUGCUGGUUGUGUACGCAGUUAGCCCCGAUGGUGAUUCCAGCCGGUAGGGGCAAGUCGCGCACAUAACAGAGAAGGACGAACUAAUCUUUUCAGUCAUAUCCGAUGUAAUCUACUUCAACCCUUUAUAACCAAUUGAUCUAAUCAAACCGUGCAUCCAGACCUAAAACUACGCAGAACCUGCCUCUGAUACCACUGUAGGAUUACGGGGAGGCUACGCUAGCGCAAAACAAAAUUUUCAACCCCAUAAUACCAAGAACUACUGCGGUUAUAGGUCAUGGAAUUACCACUAGACGCGCAGAGCAGCGGAAGACGUCUCGAUGUAGACGAAUGCGUCGAGCAGUGCCGUGCAGUCGUCGGCGUCCUUCAUGUCCUCGCACGGUUCGUCCUAGUGCUCCAGAUGCAGCACCUCCGAGGUAUCCACACGUACAGGGAGGAAGCGCCGCGUACUGAACUGCUAGGUUCGCGACGGCGGCUUGGCGAGGGCGAGAGGUGAGCGACGGCUGCUCGUUUGCUGGUGGCAAAUUAGGUUAAGCCUAUAACCGCGCCCCCGCCCUCAUUAUAUAGGCGUUAUGGUGGGCUUCGGACACCGAGGCCCAUCAUUAACCCUAAAGCCCAGUCUAAUUUCGGAUCUAAUCCGAGUUAGGCUUCCUUCCCCUUAAGUGUGUGACCCUAUAGGUUCACGUACAAAUAGACAUAGCCCGAGUACUCUUACUUGGCCCAAUAAUUGACAGCGGCCUCUAGCAAGACAUGUCAACUCCUAUGCGCAUGUAAAGAUCAUAUCAGACGAACCAUUGCAACAUUACGUACAUGUUGUUCCCUUUGUCUCACGAUAUUUGGUCUAGCUCUAAGCUGACCUCUCUUUCUCGAUACUGUGAACUGGAAUCCUUUCAAUGGUUAACUCUUAACCCUAGCACGACCAUGCAUUUCUUGAUCCAAUCACUCGAGGGGCCCAGAGAUAUCUCUCUCACAAAGAGAGGGACAAAUUCCAUCUUGACUGACCAUGUCUCACAGCAUGCUUCCUGACAAACCCAAAACUACCUUUAUAACUACCCAGUUAUGGAAUAGCGUUUGAUAGUCCCUAAGUAAGUCAAUUCACAUCUUGAGAACAUGCGACAAUCUCAGGUCUAAGGAUACAGUAUUCAUGUUGCAAAAAGAGAACUAUAUUACAAUAUCUCACGUUGGGUCGGUCAAGCCUCAUGUCAUACAUGCGCCCACAUUAUUAGUUUAACAUCUCCAUGUUCAUGACUUGUGAAAUGUAGUCAUCAACUAAUACAUGUGCUAGUCAUCGACUCUGACUAGGGACAUCAUUUAGAAUAACCAUAUAAGUAAAGAAUCUCACAAACAAUUCACAUAAUUGCUAAUCAAUACAAGGUGCCUUCCAUGGAUAUUCAAUUAAGCAAUAUAUAUAUCAUGGAUACAAAGAAAUAUGCUCAUCUCUAUGAUUAUCUCUAGGGCAUAUUUCUAACACAAAAAUCCGUUCUUGAACCAUAUCGUGCCCUGCUCAUCAUCCGUGAAGUCUGGGCCUCUUCCUUCUGUUAUCAGAUCUUUGAUCUCUUGAAUUUUGCCAUCACCGAUCUGACCUUUACGUUUUUCUUGUUCUAAGGUAGGUUCCACUUCUAUGGUAAUUCCUUCAGUGUGAGCAACUAUCCCCAGAUUGAGCUUCUCAAAGUCUUCUGCUAACUCAUCGGGUAAAUGGGCUACAAUAGCUGCAUGGACAUGCUCCUUCCGACUCAAGGCAUCCACAACCAGAUUCACCUUGCUCGGAUGAUAAUGAAUUUCCAAGUCAUAAUCCUUGAUUAGCUCCAACCAGCGGCGUUGCCUAAGGUUGAGAUCCUUCUGAGUGAAGAUAUAUUUUAAGCUCUUGUGAUCAGUGUAGACUUGGCACUUAGUCCCCAUCACAUAAUGCCUCCAAAUCUUGAGAGCAUGCACUACGGCUGCCAGUUCUAAGUCAUGAGUGGGGUAGUUCAACUCGUGUUUCUGCAACUGGCGAGACGCGUAGGCGAUGACAUGUCCUUCUUGCAUAAGCACACAUCCCAAGCCCUGGCGGCACACAUUACAAUAUAUAUCAAAUCCUUUCCGCAGAUCUGGCAUAAUCAACACUAGGGGCGACAUUAACUUAAACCUUAGUUGGUUGAAACUCUCUUGGCAUUCCCAGGUCCAAUUAAAUUCCUUUCCCUUCUCUAACAAUGAGGUCAUAGGCUUUGCCAUCUUAGAAAAUUCUUCAAUGAAUCACCGGUAAUAACCUGUGAGUCCCAAGAAACUCCGAACCUCAGUGACUGUUUUUGGUAUCUUCCAACCCACUAUCUCUGUUACUUUAGCCGGAUCCACUGCGAUUCCACCUUUAGACAUGAUAUGUCCAAGGAAUGGUACUUCAUCAAGCCAGAACUCACACUUGCUAAAUUUGGCAUAGAGUUGUGUCACACCCAGAUUUAAGGGAUAAAGUCGGGUGCAUCUCAUAUAUGCGCCAAAGAAAACAACACAUAUAAUAACAGAGUGUAUAGAGAUUGUUGGGUACUUGUCCUUAAUGUUAUAAAUUAAGAACAAAGCAACACAGAAAUUGUUAAACGUUAAAGUCCUUCGUCCUUCGAAGCAUUAUUUCCCUUGGGAUAUAAUGAGUUUCGGACGAAGGAUAUGAAGGACAUACCUUCAUCAGUACAACAAAUAAUGAAGAAGGAUUCAUAUAAAGUAUGAGAAAUAACAUAAACACUUAAAUAUUAUUAUUAGCUCAUUUCUAUUUUAUUAUUAUGGAAAAAUAGAAAUGAUAACAAAUUACAUAUGUACCUUCGGCUUGAAAGAAGGCAAAAGUACAAGCGUGACGCAAAAGCAAAUGCCAAGUCAGCGUGAACAGUACGGGAGCACUGUUCAUCUAUUUAUAGGCACGGGGCGCAGCCCAUGUAAAAUUACACCCAUGCCCUUUACAUUUGCUAAUAACUAUAUAGUAAUCCAUCGGGGUCUAAAUAGCCUUUUCCCCUUUAAGUCGGUUUCCUUUUCUGCUAUCACGCUGAAGCUCCCCUACGCUUAGCUUCGGCUCUGCGCCAUCCUUCGUAUUCUUUGUGCUUCUUCACACUGUGGUUUUGACCUAAGUCCGAAGGUACCUGUUCAUGUAUCAUACUCCAGAAACAUUGCUAAAUCAUGUUUUUGAGGACCUUCGGAAGCCGAAGGCCCCCAACAGUAGCCCCUCGCAAUAUUAAUUUGUUAGAAUGAUAAAUUCAGAUUGCGAUAUGGAUGAAGGCCUUAAGCCGAAGGUCCGAAAAACACCUUCCGUUUGCUAGAAUAGCAAUAGUCAAUGACAAGUGGGGUCCUCCCACUUGCAACGCACUAUGCGUAUAAAUAAGAGCACACCGCGAGCUCAUUUGGCACGCUUUCUUGCCAUCUGCUCUUGCUUUCCCAAUUUUUAGCUCUUGCAUACCAACGCUUGCUUGGUUUCUUAAAUUUUCUAAGCUUCGGCUUUGAGAACACCUUUUUCCAACAUUUCCGAAGAUGUCUGAAGAUAAAAAGGUUGUUGCCGAAACGAAGAUGAGUCUUUCUGAGGAGAAGAAUCUUGGGUUUCUUGAAUCAAUAGCAAAGACAAAUACAGUGAAGAUCACUAAGGAGAUUUGAGAAGGUUUAUCUGAAGACACUGGUGAUAAUGACAGUUAUGAUGUGGAAAAUGGGGGCGAGGACUCCGAAGAUCGACCGUGGCGACCAAGUCACGCAGUCUUCGAAAAAUCAACUAUUAAGCAGAGUCAUCUUGACAAUAUGAGGGGAAGAUAUUUUCGAGAUAUGUCUCUAGUGAGGGCUGACAAUGGAGACAAGACUGCUGCUACUCCCGAAGAGAAUGAAGUGGUGAUCUUCCGAAGCUUUUUCAACGCUGGGCUUCGGUUCCCCCUAAGCAGUUUUGUGGUUGAGGUUUUAAAGAUAUUCCAGAUUUUUCUUCACCAGAUUACUCCCGAUGCCAUCAUAAGAAUGGGAAUCUUCGUAUGGGUUGUGAGGAGUCAGGGCUUGGAGCCAAAUGCAAAAAGUUUCUGCAGUAUGCACGAACUGUUAUACGAGACGAAGCCCUGGGGUAAGGAACAGUACCACAACAAUUUUGGCUGCUAUAGCUUCGUUGCCCGCUCUGGGUCAAGCUGCCCCGUGCCAACCUUUCGGAAGAGAUGGCCCAGAGACUGGAUGAAAGAAUGGUUCUAUGUGAAAAAUGAUUUAAAGGCACGAGAAGACAUUAAAGAGAUAAUCAUGCGCCCUAUCUGGCAGUGCUUUGGGCUUCGGAAGCCGAAGGUAGAAAUUGAUGAAGCAACCGAAGAAUGCCGAAAGGCCUUUGGCAUAGUUUGUUCCUUCAUCGGGACAAGGGACUUAGUCCAAGAGCACGUGGCCUACAAGAUAUGGCCAUUGGUAGCCAACUGGGAGAUACCGAAAGAGGCCAUCAGCGACCCCCACGAAGGUGGUUUGGUUCGACUAAAAUAUACCUUCAGGUUUGGAGACCAAUUUAUUGAGCCAGACGAUGAUUGGCUAAAGUGUGUCGAAGCUACAAGUGAUGAACUACUUGGGCCGUACUCCAAAGCGGAAGAUAAUGAGCUAUCUGCGGCCUUCGGAAGCCGGAAAAAGAAGAGACUGAACAGAGUUUUUGAUGCUAUUGGGUUCAUGUACCCUGACUACCGCUACCCGUCACGGGGGCGAAAAAGAAAAAGUGCAACCUCCGGGAAAGGUGAUGCUUCAGCUGCUGCAAGCGAGCCCGCGCCAAGAGGAAAAAGGUGAAAGUCCUUACUCACCGACCGCGCUUUAUUGAACCGGCCAUAGUGCCUGAAUUUGGUGGUGAAACCUCUUCGGCUACUGAAGCCAAAGAACCUGUAGCUACACAGACAGCUGAAGAUCCGGUUGCGAUGCCGAAGGCAUCACCAGCCAAAUCAGGUGAGCCAAAGGCCAUUAAUAUUGAAGAAGCAGAAGUCGAAGAAACAAAAAUAUUAGAAGUCAUAAGCCCUUCGAUAGAGGUGACAGUGCCGAAGGCGCAAAAGGAUCUUACAACGACUCCUAAGAGGAAGAGGAUGGUCAACAUACUAGAUGUGCUAGAAACGAUAAAAACUUCAAGCUCUACUCCGAAGAAGACUGCCGAAGCUUCAAAAACACAAAUUGAGGCAAAACUAUCCGAAGCCGAAGCUGCCAGGAGCCCGGCCGAGACCGAAGCUGGGCCUUCAGAGCCCGCCAAGGAGAAAUCCUUGGAAAUCGGAGAAGAAGAAACGGGAAAAGAAGCUGCAGAACAAAUUCUGUCUGAAAAAAACUGCCAUUCCUAUUCCCGAAGCAUCUUCCGAAGCUCUCGAUUAUAUUGUACGACAUGCUUCGGAAAAAAGGUUAUCUGAAGAGGAAAAACAAGAAGCUCAAUAUUAUGUCCAGAAAUUAAAAUAUCCAAAGGGGCAUUAAUAUUCAACGGCAGCGGAGAAGAAGAUUUCUUGUAUUGUCUCCUAGACAGCAAGGAAAUUUCUGUCUGCCAAGAGAUGGGCAAAAGCUUCGGAUUCCCAAUGCUAGAAGAUGGGCUUUCGGUGCUAUCGAAAGAUGAACUGGCGGACAACUUAGCAUAUAAUAGCCUAAAGGUAUGAGAAUGAAUUUUUUAUAUUAAAAAACCAAGAUUUGUUUUAUUUGCUUAUACUUAAUUCCACACUUCUUUUGCAGGGCCUCAUUCUUAGCAACGCCCUCAGGGCACAAAAAAGUGCCGAAGAUAAAGGAUGUACUAUAGCUUUGAACAACCUUCGUUCCGAAGUAAUUGAACUAAGGAACGAAGGUCUUGAAAAAGAUAAGAUUUUAAACUCAUUGUUGAACAAAAUAAAAGAAGACGAAGCUACUUCCAAAGCUCAGGCUGAAGCCCAGAGAAGCGAAAUUGAGGAUCUUCGGAAACAGCUGGUAGAGGCAAAAUUAAAAUGUGCUAUUGCCGAAGCUGACCGAGACACCAGUGACUACUGGAAAAAUUACUGGGAAAAAACAGUUGUAGAGCUUCGCUCUUCAAAAGAAAGAUGCUAUGGAAAAUCUGUAGCAUGUGUACAAAGGAUAAAAACUAGCUUCGCAAAUAUUGGCGCAUAUUCAAAUGAAGACAACUUCGUACUGGGCGAUCCCGAAGGUCCAAUUGAAUGGAUCACCGGCGAAGCCAAAGCUUUUGAGGAAGUUUUGAGUGGCCGUGGGGACGUCUGCGCCUUUUCUGGUGCAAGAGGAGUCGCAUCCAUUUUGGAGAAAGCAGGAUGCGAACAUGUGAAGAUUCUGGUCCAAGCCGAAGCUGCUUUCUCUAUUAAUGACACGAAGGAUCCCUCGGCCGAAGCAAGCUUAGUUGGCGGAAAAUUCUUUACUGACGUUUGGGAAAAUGGCGGCCGAGGGAUGGCCCAUGAGAUAAUAAAAAAGAGCGAAAAAGAUACUCACGAUACGAGAGAAGCAGCGAAGGCAGCUGAGAAAGCUGCGGAACUCGAGAGACGGAUAGGUAUUGCCUAAUUGUUUUUAACUUUAUGUUUUAUUUUUGUGACUUCGAACUUAUUUAUGUUUUGUAUCGCAGCUAAACUAUCUCCUCCCCCAGAGCCCUUUGAGUCAUUGGCCGACCCCGAAGCAAAAAAGGAAGAUGAAAUUACUAAGAUGGCCGAAGCUAUUAUGGACGAAGCUGUGACUCAACUACUAAACGAAGCUGCGGAAGCAGUUUUAAAAGAAGAAUAGCUAUUGUUGUAAAAAAGUUCGGAAUAUUGAUGUAAUAUUUGCUGAACAAAGUGUGUAAUAUUUUAUAGUUUUGAAUGUAAUAUAUAAGCUGUUUGUAAUUCAGUUCUUUACGAUGCAUGAAACUUUACGUACAUACCAUUUUUGAGCCUUCGGCGAAAAAACACCUUCCCUUCUUUUCAUGCUUCGUGAAGAAUAUCCAUAUUCCGUGAAAAUAUUAUGCUUCGUAAGCAAUAGAUCUCCUUUGAUAUUAAAGUUGAUAAAGCUGUACUUCUUCAAAACUUAUUUUGUGCCUUGGCACAACUUCUUCGAAACAAUUUCCGAAGAUCAACAUUGUAUCCCUUUCUUGUGCAAUAUGAUGUAUGAUGUCAUGUUAUGCGAAUGAUGUGAUGAUGUUAUGAUAUGCGAAUGAUGUUUGUGCCGAAGAUACACACACAUUCCCACAGUAGAACACACAAUCUCUUUGCCGUUUAUUUUUCGGCUUCAUAGCUUAUUUUUCGGUGUAUCAGCGCUGACUUUUCGCUGUAAGCCUCCCUUAGGAUCUUCUUCGCCUUCUACUUCGACGGUAUUCGCGUUGACUUUUCGCGCUUUGCCUUAUACUUCGGCGGAAUCAGCGUUUAUUUUUCUCUGUAAGCUCUGCAUUCCCUUUGGAACGACUUUUGAGCAGAAAAUUUACGCUGUGCUCCCUUAGGAACGACUUUUUGUUGUUUCAGCAAACUUACACUGCGUUCCUUAGAACGACUUUUUGUUGCUUCGGCAAAACUUGUAAUAUAAUUGUGAACCCCGCGUUCUCUUGAGAACAAAUUUCAUGCUUUACUGACUUUUGGAACUUCGUGAGUCUGUGAAGAAGGUAUAUUAUAUCAUGACAAUGACGAAGCUAUCACAAGAAAUUGAAAACAACAAAAGAAUUAAGCUUUCAAUGAUUGCUCCUUAUUGAAAAGGAAAAUGAUGACGAAUGCAAAAACUGUUUCAGAGCUAGGAUAUCUCUUAGUAGAUGUGCUUCAAUUCUGGCACAGUACUGUUGACUGUGCGAGCUUCAGACUGCUCCCUGAAGUCUCACUGCUGGUGAGUGUGCUGGCUCCCUUCUAGCUGCUGGCCUUGGGGAUAUGUGGGUUGCAUUGGUGGUGGAGGUGGAGGCUGUUGCCAAGAUGCCUGAGGUUGGCUUGCCGAAGCAACAGAAACUGCAGGAUGGUUACCCACAUACUCUGGUAUGUACGGUGAAUGAUACGAAGCAGUAUGCAUAACUUGCUUCGGCUGGUUCUGUUGGGCUGCAGCUUCUGCUAUCUCCUUCUGUUUCUGGAUGGUGACAUGGCACAUCCUUGUAGUAUGGCCCUUGUCCUCACCGCAGAAUAGGCAAUAAAUUUUCCUGGGCUGAUCCCCAAACCUUCCACCAAAGCCCCUGGCGCCUCUGCCCCUUGGAGCUGGAGGCCGAGGAUAGCUUUGUUGCUGCCCCAAAGCCUAGGAGGAAUAUUGCGGCCUCUGCUGCUGACCUCCUCUGUCGUCAUUCUGAGUAGAGUGGAUUGAUCUAACGUGCCUUGGGUGGACUCUCCCUCUGAAGCCCCUGGUCAUCUCGGAGAACCUGUAAGCUUCCUCCCUUCUCUGCCGAAAGUCAUUAUCAGCGCGGAUAUAUUCAUCCAUCUUCUGAAGCAAUUUCUCCAGGGUCUAACGGGGCUUCCUGGCGAAGUAUUGGGCCGUAGGUCCUGGCCGAAGCCCCUUGAUCAUGGCCUCAAUGACAAUUUCAUUGGGCACUGUUGGCGCUUGUGCCCUCAGACGCAACAACCUUCGGACAUACGCCUGAAGGUAUUCUUCGUGAUCUUGCGUGCACUGGAACAAAGCUUGAGCAGUAACCGGCUUCGUCUGAAACCCUUGGAAACUGGUGAUCAGCAUGUCCUUCAGCUUCUGCCAUGAUGUGAUUGUUCCUGGCCGAAGAGAGGAGUACCAGGUUUGUGCAACAUUCUUGACUGCCAUGACGAAAGAUUUCGCCAUGACUGCAGUAUUGCCUUCAUAUGAAGAUAUGGUAGCUUCGUAGCUCAUCAGAAACUGCUUCGGAUCUGAAUGUCCGUCAUACAUAGGGAGCUGGGGUGGCUUGUAAGACGGGGGCCAGGGUGUAGCCUGUAGUUCUGCUGACAGAGGAGAAGCAUCAUCAAAAGCAAAAUUUCCAUGAUGGCAAUCUUCAUACCAUUCAUCCUCGUUGUAGAAGCCCUCUUGAUGCAGCUCUCUGUGCUGGGGUCUUCGGUGUUGCUCAUCUUGAGUAAGAUGACAUACUUCUUCAGUGGCUUCGUCAAUCCGCCUUUGUAGGUCAGCUAGUCGAGCCAUUUUUUCCUUCUUCUUUUGCACUUGCUGAUGAAGGAUCUCCAUAUUCCUGAUCUCUUCGUCCAACUCAUCCUCUUGGGGCAUUGGACUGGUGGCCUUCCUCUUCUGGCUUCGGGCCUCUUGAAGAGAAAGGGUCUCCUGGUUCGGGUCCAGCGACUGCAGAAUGACAGCCCCUGUCGCUGAAGCUUUCUUUGGCGGCAUGACGAAGGUCUAUGCUUGCCGAAGGUGGUCGAAAAGGGUUCACCAGAGGUGGGCGCCAAUGUUGGGGACUUGUCCUUAAAUGCUAUAAAUUAAGAACAAGGCAACACAGAAAUUGUUAAAUGUUAAAGUCCUUCAUCCUUCGAAGCAUUAUUUCCCUUGGGAUAUAAUGAGUUUCGGACAAAGGUUAUGAAGGACAUACCUUCAUCAGUACAACAAAUAAUGAAGAAGGAUUCAUAUAAAGUAUGAGAAAUAACAUAAACACUUAAAUAUUAUUAUUAGCUCAUUUCUAUUUUAUUACUAUGGAAAAAUAGAAAUGAUAACAAAUUACAUAUGUACCUUCGGCUUGAAAGAAGGCAAAAGUACAAGCGUGACGCAAAAGCAAAUGCCAAGUCAGCGUGAACAGUACGGGAGCACUGUUCAUCUAUUUAUAGGCACGAGGCGCAGCCCAUGUAAAAUUACACCCAUGCCCUUUACAUUUGCUAAUAACUCUAUAGUAAUCCAUCGGGGUCUAAAUAGCCUUUUCCCCUUUAAGUCGGUUUCCUUUUCUGCUAUCACGCCGAAGCUCCCCUACGCUUAGCUUCGGCUCUACGCCAUCCUUCGUAUUCUUUGUGCUUCUUCACACUGUGGUUUUGACCUAAGUCCGAAGGUACCUGUUCAUGUAUCAUACUCCAGAAACAUUGUUAAAUCAUGUUUUUGAGGACCUUCGGAAGCCGAAGGCCCCCAACAGAGAUAAAUGUCACAAUAUAAUUAGAGUACUUAUUACAUAGCGAAAGUCUUACAAAAUAAGAGAUAAAUAUAAAACAAACUAAAGUCCAUCCUUGGCGCCAUAAAGUCGACUGGGAGACACCAACUAGAUCAAAUCGAACUCCUCGUUGUUUGGCUCCUCUUGAACCACCUGUUCUUCUCCUGUGGGGGGUGUCAGACAGCAAGGGUGAGCUCACACAUGUUCAUCGCUCAACAACUUGUGGGGAAUAAAGUGCAUGAACUCACCAAAGGUGGGAGUUCAUGUGAUGUGUAAGGCUGAUUAAGAAUAGGGGUUUAAAGCUGAGCAUUGCUUUUAAUAAGUUGGUCAAAUUUUUAUUAGCAGUUACUAAAUGUAAGUAGAUACCAAACCAUAAUAAGACUAGAACAAAAUUAAUAAAUAAUCCCAUGCAAUGCAUAUGACAAAUUGAAUUUAGUUUCAUAAUUUAAUCAUUCGAGAGUCCUGAGCUGCUCUUGACGGUGAGCUUGGCUACUAUACCAGUUUUACACUCUGUAGAGGUUGUACCCUGUACCCACAAGUCAUGUUACCCAUCUGCCAAGGGGUCAUGAGUCCCAUUGUCACACCCGGUUUUAGGGGGCAAAACCGAAUGCAUAGCAUAUGUGGGCCAUGAUCUAUUUCCACACAUAUGUUGAUGUCGCAAGUGUAAUAUAUCAAAAGAACAAUGCAUAAAAGCAUAAAUAACGAUUAUAUUAACAUAUUACACUUCGAACACACAUAAUGUCUUAACCUUUAUUCAUCAAAGUACAGCGAAACAUGGACAUCCAUCCACAGGAAGAUGACCGGGGGUAUCACUAGACUAGCAUCCAUGGAGCUCAGCAUCAUAACUUCAUCUGCAAACUUCUGAUCAAAAUUUAAGCAAGGGUGAGCUCACUUAUGGUCGGGGCUCAGCAAGUGGGGGAAAAUGCAAGGUAACAAGGUAAGGCUAAAGUUUAAUGUGAUUGGCAUUUUAGUUGGUCAACAUUUUACUAUCAACACCUGAUUACUAGGUAUAAGUAUAUAUCGAUCCCAAUUAAGCAUAAUUCAUAAUCAGCAUGAAUUUAAACCAUUUGAGCAAAUACCAUCAACAUGAAGCUCAACCUCUUGAGCGCACCACUUAAGCAUACCGCUUAAACAAAACCAAUCACGAUUCAUUUCCAUCUUCAAGUUCAAUUAUCAUGUGAGGGUCCAGGCUGCUCAUAACCAUGAGCACGGCUGAUAUAUCAGUUUUACACUCGGCAGAGGUGGCACAUCUUUACCCAUGAGUCGUGAUUCCCUUCUAGCCCGGGUUUGCAAGUCCUGUAUUCACUUCCGAGGUGACUGGCUAGGGUCUCACUACGAGGCUUUUCCCUAGAGUCCUCAUUAUGCAAAUGCUGGAAAUGGUCAAACUGCAUAAAGCACACCUAACGUAACCAACUUAUAGAUCAGUCUGUAGGGUAAAGCUUGGGAACUAUGCACAUAUCCAAUCUGCCUGAGCCGGAAAUAUAAGCGCUUGGCAGAUGCCCCCAUUCCGGGCGACCACGACCAGACCCAACAUAAGACUUCCCUAGUUAUUUAGCCAAGGUCGUCCCAUACCACCCUCAUGGUAGCACUGUUUUCCCGGGUGGUCACUCUAUGUUCCAAUUAAAUCAUAUGAUCUUACUUAAUCGUCAGAUUAGCAACAAUAAUGUAAACUUAUCAUUUGAAACAUUAAUAUCACAAACAGGAGUGACUGCAUAAAGUUAAGUUGUAGCAAUAGCAUAGCUACGAAGGCAAAGUAUAAUACCCAAGUUUGAUCAAGGAAUACAGUAGAAAAGGUUAGGUGUAUCUGAAUAGGUAACCCAUCAAAUGAUGCAUAUAUAUAUAUAUAUGCAUAAUAUAUAUAUAUAUAUAUAUAUCCAAGAAUAAACUUUAUGAAAUGUAUUGUUUGGGAUCAAACAGAGUAUGCAGAGGGAGAAGUCCACUUGCCUUGCUUAUUGAAACUUGAGUUUCUUCCACGGAUCGAAAUAGAUCUUGAUUCUUAACUACUAGAUCAACCACUCAAUAUAACACAAACAAACAAGAAGAAACAAACACCACUCAAUAACAUACAACAUUCACCAUACACAAAGCUAAAAGAAAGCUUAACGAAAAGAGCAUUCGUUUUCUAAGAACGUCGCAAGUAAUGGUUAUAAUAAGAAGGUAUUCUUUUAAAAAAUAUGUGAUCUAUACUUUAUAAAACAAGACAUGAGCUUAAAAAUAUCUUAAUUAAAAUAUACAAAUAUUAGGUUCACCUAUUUAAUCUUUUAUAAAACGUCACAUGUGAUAUGUCUAAGAUUAAGGGUUUAUAAGAUGAUAAAACACGUUAUAACGAUAUUAAACCUUUUUAACCUUUUAGAAAAGAUACAUGUUAUAUAUCUAAGGUUAAUGGGCUACGAAACACGUUAUUAAUUUUGGAAGCAUUAUGGAACAUCUUAUAAAUCAUUGUUAAACAUUCACUUAUGAUAAACUAAGAUAUAAGUCUAAAUAGGUUUUAUGUGAAAAGAUCAUUAUUAUUAAACACCUAUUUUUAUGAAAAGCUAGGUUAUAGGCCCUUAAGUAGAUUUUCAUGCAAAAGAUAAUGAACAAAUAACUACCUUUUAUUUUUUAUUAGAAGGCACAUGGUCUAUAUUCUUUAUUAAGAAAGCUAUAUACAAAACAAUAUGUAAAUUAACAUUUUUUAAAUAUAAAAAGAACAUGAACACUAAUUUCUUUAUUUAAUCCUUUAGGAAAACUAAAUGAUAUAUAUAUUUAAAUAAUAUGGAUUUAAUGUGAUGAACGGAUUAAUCACGCUUAUAUUACUAGUUAAGGACAAAUUGAAAUGUAAGCCUAAUUAAUAAAUUGUGAGAAAAUAUAAAUAAUCUAUUGAUUAUAUUUAGUUUCAAUUUAGGAAUAUAUGACCUAAAUCAUUUGAAAGGAAAAAUGUAUAAACUAUCAUUUUAGUUUAUAAAAGCAAUGACCCUUGUUAUCUUUUAAUUAAGAAAAUAUAAAUAAUCUAUUAAUUGGACAUAUAUUUAUCUUUUAUUUAUUAAGAAACAUAUGGUCUACAUAUUCUUUUAAGUUUCUAUUUAAUACGGCUAUACUUAAACAUCUAUAACGAACCUUGUUAAAUCAAAAACAUGAUAUCUAUUAAAAAGGUCAGUUUAAAAUUAGAAACAAAUUAUCUACUUUAUUAGUAAGAAACCUAUGUUUAACAACAUAACUAUCAUUUUCUUUAUUAGGAAAGUAUGAACGCCUAAUUAAGUCAUUUUAACAUUAUAAUAAAAUUCUAUUCUUUCGGGUUUUCUCCUUUCUUUCUUAAAUAGAAAUUAUACGUGUGGCUAAAAUUGUUUACUUAAUUCUUAUAACAUUAAUAUUCUAAGAAGUACUUGUAAAUUACUAAAUGGGACUUUUAAUAACAUAUUCAUGGUUAUUAUGACAUAAAUAAGUAUUUUACUAAUUCUAAGUAAUUUAAGUGCUAUACUUAUGAAUACAUUUAUCAUGAAUAGUAAAAUAUAUAUCUUCAUUUGACCAGGAAUAUGUGGCUUAGUAUUUAUUCUAUUUCUUUAUGUCAAUAAGUUUACACUUAAAAUACUACUAAUAAUUAUCGUUCCACACACACUAAAUCAAUUAUGAGCAAUCAAAAAUUAUUCCAAAUGCAAAUAAAAAUCAAACACUUAAAAGAAAAUUCAUUAUCAUAAUUACCAUUAAUAAACUAACUGCAUUAUUUUUAUUUAAUGGUUUUUAUAGUGUUACAAACCUACCCCUCUUAAAAGAAUCUCGUCCUCCAGAUUAAGGAAGGCUAGCAUGAAAGCAAAGGAGAUACAUGGUUAUUUGUAGGUUCUUAGUUCAUAUUGAACUCUUCUAAUAUUAAGGAACUUCCUUUCUUCUUUGCUCCGCAAUGUAUACUAAUCAAGCGACCUUCAUCAUCGUACUUAUAAAAGAGUUGGUCUUCUGAAUUAUUGCUUAGGUCAUGCUUGGCAGCUUUCUCCUCUAGUCGGUCUAGACGCUUCUUGGGGCAUUCGCGAAUAAUAUGUCCUUCAUUUUUGCAGUAGUAGCAAGCACCUCUUGCUUUAAGUUCUUUGCGAGUCAACUUUGCUUGACCAACAGGGGGUGAGGGUUGAUUUGGUGUUUGUAUCUCAUAUAGCUGAGCCUGACUUGAUUCUUCUGUUUGGGUAUCCAUGUGUUUCGUGGCUUUUGCUUGUGGUUGAGGUGGACUAAUCAUGUAUCCAAACAUUUUUCUAUUCCUUUUGUUGUUCUUCAUUCCAUUCAUCAAAUAUCUCUGUGACUCAUUUUUCUCGUUCAUAGUUGUUAAGGUAGGAAUAUUGGCGUUGGCAUCAUUUUCUUCAUUUCCGUUGGGGUUCAUCAUCUAGUCAGCGGGUAAAAGAGUUAGUGAGACAGACUACAUAAGAGGCUUGCAUGACAUUAAGAUAAAGAGCUAACACAACAUUUUGAUUUCCAAGAUAAGAUUAGUUAAGGAUGAUUUCCGAUUCCGCCUAGCUUCAUCAUACUACAAGAGUGUACAAGUGUUAUAAUCCUUAACAGAGAUCUUUUGAACCUUAUAUGAUAGGAACGGGGGUGCUCGAUCUUCCGUCAGGUGUAGGUAACUAUCAAUUUGGUGGAGAUGUCACACAGACGAUCCGGCUUCCAAUCAACACGACUAGAACCCCGCAAUCGCAGCACCACUUCUCCUCUAGUUAUCAACCAUGCACUGUGCGAUUGACCUUGCCACGAGGGCUAAUUCCUAGCUGAGAAUCGAAGACACAGGCAAGAACAAGAAAGAACACAAUCUAGAAUAUUGCGGAUGAAUGAUUAAGCUCACAAGUUGGGGUCUCACAAACCGAUCUACGGCGACUAUUCUUGAGAGAUCUAAACUUAAGCAAAACCCGCCUCUAACAAGGAUGUGGCGGCUAUUAAUAAAGACUCUAGGGCUAUGCAAACCCUAGACGCGCCCCUAAUGGGCUCAACGAAGAUACACGGCCCAAAAGCCCAAAAGACGGCGUCGCAACGUCGGAACAGAUUUUGAACGUCAACUUGGGCCUCCAUCUUGAUCCCGACGUCCUAGCUGGUCCUCCCCUUCAUUCCUAAGUACAAUUAAAUCAUUAGGUAGCAUACUACUCUCAAAUGCACAAGAAUAAUUACUUAGGAACGAGAUCACUUGUAAAUUCAAUUGUCGAACGCGUGCGCGAGUAAUUGGGUAGUCAACUUGAGGAGUGUUGUUUGUAUCCAUGGGAGUGAUGUCCUCAUCAUCCUCCCCCUCUUGAAGUGGAGUCAUCCUUGACUCAAGCUCAUCUUCUUCUCCCAAAUAUGGCUUUAAAUCUGAAAUAUUAAAGGUGGGACUAAUCCCAAACUCGGGGGGCAACUCAAGUUUAUAUGCAUUGUCAUUAAUCUUCUCCAAAAUUUUAAAUGGUCCAGCAACACGGUUGGGCAAGAUCGCUCCAGGAAUCAAAUCAAUCUGGUGCUCAAUCCCACAAAUGGGAGGAAGUCCUUGAGGUAACUAAGAGGGAAAACAUCUCAGAACUGCUGCAAAAGGUUAGCCACAGAUGCAGGCAAAGUGCUAGCAAUAUCAUCAAUAGAAAAGAAAGCAUCUUUGCAUACCAAGACAUAGCAACAAGCAUCAGUAGCAUGAGUUUCAAGCAGAUCAGAUUUAGUAGCAAGCAUGACAGGAGCUUUCAAUUUAAUUUGUUGCUGAAUUUAUGUCUCAUUAGUUGGUUCCUUAUGGGUACUUGUAGCUCUAUCUUUAUCAGCUUGUACAAUUUCAGCAAGAGUCAAAGGUAGCAAAGUAAUGCUUUUAUCUUUAUGCCUAAAAGUGUAUGUAUUACUCCUACCAUGGUGACGUGCAUCAGUAACAUAUUCCCAAGGUCUACCCAACAAAAGAGAACAAGCUUCCAUAGGUACUACAUCGCAAUUCGCAUAAUCAGAAUACAUACCAAUGGAGAAAUGCACUCGUACCAUGUGUGUUACCUUAACCUUGCCUGAAUCAUUGAUCCACUGAAUGUGGUAUGGAUGUGGCCGUGGACGUGUGGUAAGGCCAAGCUUCUUGACCAAAUCUGAACUCACCAAAUUAUUGCAGCUUCCACCAUCAAUAAUAACACGUGCAUGCCGAUUCUCGAUGGAGAAGAAAGUCUGGAACAAAGUAUGGUGUUGCUGCUUCUCUGAUGAUUUAGGCUGAGAACUAAGAACACGCUGCACCAUGAUGCUUUGAAGAUUCACCGUAGCAUCAGCACCAAGCAUGGCAUCAUCAUUAGCAGCAACAUCACUGGAGUCAUCAUCGUCACCCUCACCGUCGAAAGCACUAAUGUAGCCAUCAUCCGUAGCAAUGUAUGUUCGCUGACUCGGGCAAUCCUUCUUCACGUGACCAAUCCCAUGACAGCGGUGGCAAACAAUACCCGAAGAACGACCACUGGAAGGUGCUGCAGGUGCUGGUGAAUUCUGUUUCUUGGCGGGUAGUUGUAAAGGAAGGUUACCAACAUGUGCAGCAGGUGUCAAAGGUGUAUGAAUCGAGGCAGCUGUGUGCGUCCAUGAUGUAGAGGAGGCGCCAAAAAUAUCCCUAGAUCGAUGUUGGCGUCCCUGUAAUUCCUUCUCUGCAAGCAUAGUAAACUGGAACAACUUGUUGACAGUGUUAAAUUCUUUGUAAUCCACAAUGUCCUGAAUGUCAUGCCGCAAACCUGAAUAAAAACGGCAAAGAGCGUCCUCAUGUCCCUCUACUAUCCCACAACGCUGCAAUCCCUUCUGAAGCUCAGCAUAAUAAUCUUGAACAGAUUUAUCCCCUUGCUCUAAACACAUCAAUUUCUUACGCAAUUCUCUAUGAUAAGAUGGGGGAACAAAUCUAUCGCGCAUAGCUACCUUAAGAUCUUCCCAAGUCGUAGGUGCUCUACCAUCCCCAACUAGACCAGUCCACCAGACAAUAGCAAAAUCUUUAAAUUCACUAGUGGCUUGUCUAACUUGAUGUCGUUCAGGUACAAGGUGGGCAGCAAGUUUCUGUUCUAUCGUCAUCUCCCAAUCAAGAUAUCCCUCAGCAUCAUAAUGACCCGAAAAAGAAGGUAUAGAAAAUUUAAUCUUAGCAUAAGGGUCGUCAGGAGCAUGAUUGUUAUUACCUUGCUGGCAGUGUGGCAUACCUUCUGUGUUUUGAUGAAGACGACGACGUAGGCGCAAAUCUCUGGUGGCCGCUUCAUCAUAAUUACCUUCUUCAUCAAACACCGCAUCAUCGGGAAGACGUGGACGAGGAGGUGGUGGUGGCGGUGCUUGUUGUUGCGUCUCCAACACAGCAAGUCUGUCGACGAUCUGGGACAAUCGUCGAUCCAGCCUCUCGUAAGUCUUGCCAAGGUUCAUGUCAAUGAAGGCAUCAUGCACUGACUUGUGGACCAUCUCCUCCAUUUGCUCCUUCGGGAGCUUGUUGUUUGCCUCAAGAUCUUGGCGGCUAACACAUUCAUCGAAGUAUGUAGGGAUCCUUGCUUCUUUGUUGUCGCCUGCCAUCGAAACACAAAAAUAGGAAACAAACGAUGACGGUUAUCCCUGAUAAUUUCACUACACGCUCCUCUCAGGUGGAACACAGGAACACGCUCUAAUGUAUCUUACCAAGCUCUUACAAGUGUCUGACGAAAUACAAGCAAAUGAUGGUACAAUCGGAGGCUAGUUCGUGAUACUUACCAAGAGGUAGUGAAACCGCGAUUACAAGGUCAAAUCUGUAUUGAUCAGAAGAUAUAGUAUGUGGAGCUGUAGGACAGGCACAAUAUGUAUGUGAAUGUGGAACAAAAUCGAGUGCAGAUGAGCGAAGUUCAAUAAAUAUCCAAAGCACAAAUCACAAUUGUUGGCUAAGAGAUGUAUCCGAGGCGUAUCACAACAAGCUGGAACAAGGAACAAUGGAAAUAGUAGAAUGGCAGUACCGUAAAUGUUGUACUCGCGAGGCCAAAAAGGCACUAGUAGGAUUCACUGGUGAUUUUGUUUUUCUUUUUUGUAUGAUUUCUUUGAUAUUUUUAUCAGCACAAGAAGCAACAAAAUAGGAGCUACACCAAGUUUCACCUAAAACAGAGAUCAGAUGUGGUCUACAGAAAAUGAGCAAGUUCUCUGAAAAGCGUGCAAGAGCUUUGACAAUUUUUUCUUUAUUUUCCUGAUUUUUUUGGAAAAUUUUAUCGAAACCAAACAGGCCGUAUGCGAGUUUGGCUGGCCUCAGAAUGGUGUCAACAAGCUCCUGUAAAAAUUUUAGAUUUUUUGGACACCCGAGCGAAAAGUUAUGCCCGGUUUAAGGAAGGUACCUCAAGUUAUGUUUUUGGAGGCACGACUAGAAAGCGGCGGCUAGGGCAAAAAUUCCCUAUCUGCAAUCACAGCGGUUAGGGCAAGUCGAUUAAUGGGGUGGAUCGACUUGUGAUCUGGGUAAUGGUGGAUGGGAUAGCGGCGUAUCUGCAAUCUAUCUAGGGCUGGCGCGGCGGCGGCUAGCGAGGGCAAGUCGAUUAAUGGGUGGAUCGACUUGUGAUCUGGGUAAUGGUGGAUAGUAUAGCGACUAGCGAGGGUAGUUGAUCUACGACGAAGAUACACCCUAAACCAGCAACACGACUCAACCACGGACACGAACUGAACAAAGCGAAUCUGAAAACGAAAUUGCAAAGGCUAAACAAGGGUUCUAGGACAACGGAAUUUUUUUUGUAUGGCAAUUAUCUGGAGUUAUAGGAUGAAAAACCUAAACUAAACUAGGGUAAGCUUGACGGUAAUACCUGAGUAUUUGAAUACCACUUGAUAGGAACGGGGGUGCCCGAUCUUUCGUCAGGUGUAGGUAACUAUCGAUUUGGUGGAGAUGUCACACAGACGAUCUGGCUUCCAAUCAACACGACUAGAACCCCGCAAUCGCAACACCACUUCUCCUCUGGUUAUCAACCGUGCACUGCGCGAUUGACCUCGCCACGAGGGCUAAUUCCUGCCUGAGAAUCAAAGACACAAGCAAGAACAAGAAAGAACACAAUCUAGAAUAUUGCGGAUGAAUGAUUAAGCUAACAAGUUGGGGUCUAACAAACCGAUCUACGGCGACUAUUCUUAACAGAUCUAAACUUAAGCAAAACCCGCCUCUAACAAGGAUGUGCCGGCUAUUAAUAAAGACUCUAGGGUUAUGCAAACUCUGGACGCGCCCCUAAUGGGCUCAACGAAGAUACAUGGCCCAAAAGCCCAAAAGACGGCGUCGCAGCACCUGAACAGAUUCUGAACGUCAACUUGGGCCUCCAUCUUGAUCCCGACGUCCUAGCUGGUCCUCCCCUUCAUUCCUAAGUACAAUUAAAUCAUUAGGUAGCAUACUACUCUCAAAUGCACAAGAAUAAUUACUUAGGAACGAGAUCAAUUGUAAAUUCAAUUGUCGAGCGUGUGCGCGAGUAAUUGGGUAGUCAACUUGAGGAGUGUUGUUUGUAUCCAUGGGAGUGAUGUCCUCAUCAUUAUAGAUUUUAGAGCAUGAUAUCCAAAUCAUCUUCCUAAUCCAACAGUAUUUUUUAGCACAAUUUGAUAGAAAGACUUGAGCGGGACUUUAGGGCAACUAGAGUGGAGCAUCACAUUGUUUGCAUAUAGCAGAUGACACCAUACUUUAUUCUCUUUAUAAAGAGGCAAAACACAAUAGGUGCGAGAGAUUCUCCAAAUUUAUUCAUAUAUCACCUAGCACAAUUACAAAUCUUGAAAGGGGCAACACCUUGUCAUUUUUUUCUUCGUGAGACAUACUCCUUCUAGCUAAAUGAUAUAUUAUUCUUCCUUGUCAGAUGCACCAAUCAGAGCUGGAGGUCGAUUGUCUUCAACUACUAUUCUUUCUCUAGAUGGGGUUUCCAAACACAUGGUUCUCUCAGUAUGUUGGAUUACUGCCUUAGUUCUUUGUAACCAAUUCUUUCCAAGAAUCACAUCCUUUCCCAUUGUUUCUAUCACUAUAAGAUCAGCUAGAAAAUCUAUCCCAUUGAUUUUAACACUUACAUUUGGACAUAUGUAGUUUACUAACAUUUUUCUUUCCGGUGCACUGAUGGUCUUCCUUGAUCUCAAGGGACACUUAAAGAUACCAUACUUUGUUGCAAACUGGGCACUAAUAAAAGAAUGUGUUGUACGAGGAUCAUACAACACAGUGGCGAUGGUUGUGUGAAUGACGAGUGUUCCAAAAAUUACUGCAUUUUCAUAUGGAAUGGUUCCUGUCACUGCAUAACUUGUCCUUCCUAUGGACUUUUUCUGUUGUUUAUUCUUUAUUGAUGCAUGAGUUUGAGGGUGUUGUAUUUUCUUUUGGACCUUAUUGAUCUCCACAUCCUUCUUAGGACAACUAUUAAGAAGAUGGCCGGUAUCACCACAGCCAAAGCAAGCACGACUUGAUGAGUUACAUGGUGGAGUUGUCUUUACGUUGUUGGUAGAAGUUUCUGUGCAUUUUUGUUCAUAUUCCAUGUCUGAAGACUGAGAUAGCUUCAUCUCGGAAGUGAUCUGUAGUGAACUCUUCUCAGGACAGUUACGGAAGUAAUGGCCUUCAUGUCCACAUUGAUAGCAAGCUUUUCUUGAAGUUAUUUCUUGACUUUUUCCAUGUUUCCCUUUUUGUUUCUUGGACCUAAUGUGACCACGAGGCUGAAACUGUGUGCAAGUAAUAGUCCAUCCAUCAAUGUAACACUCAUGUGUUUCUUCUUGGGGGCUGGGCAUCCUUGUGAUGUUUCCUUUUUGAAAUACUUUGCAAUUCAUCAACUGACAGGGCAUUAGGUAUAAGAGACUCUGCUACUAGUUGUUCAGGGGAAGACAUCUAUCUUUUUAUGCCAGAAAAUAAAAUCUGGUUCUUCUGUUUUGCAGUUUCAUGUUCAUUUGCAUUGAUUUGGCGACAAGGAAUUCCAUAGUACUCAUAACAACAUGUUCUAAGGUCACUUGUCUGUUGGUUUGGUUGUGCAUCCUUUUGUGUCUUUAAUGUCUGUUCAUCAGUUGUUUUAUUUAUAGUGUUGUUUUGACUUGCCAACACACAGCAUUCUUUGCAUUUAGUGACAUCACUUGUAGUUGACAUUCCAAGGUCUGACAUCUGUAUGGGUAUGGAAGAAUGGAAGGGACGAAAAUUUUGAGCAAAGACAGACUGUAGAGAGUAGAGAAAACCCAUCUAUCUAAGGUUUUACCUAGCUAACUGAUGCCGUUGUGGACAAAAGUCACACAAUACACCAAUAAUCAUUUCAAAGAAGCAAAUCAAACAUGAACACAAAGGACAAUGAACUCAAGCAUACCAGCACAACACAACUCAAUUCUACACAUUCAACCAAAACAAAAGGUGAGACAAGGUUUGGAAUAAGAAAGAUAUUAUAAAGUCAAGGAGUCAGGUAAGAAAUAGCGAGGAGUCAUACAAGACAUGUUUGUUGGUGGCCAAGAGUGAAAUAAGCUAACCAUGAACUAUUAAAGUGAGGAUAAAUGAUACAAUCAAGGAUAUGAAGUGAGUUAGGGAGAAAGCUUUAUCAAGGAGACAAAAUAGGUAAGCAUUAUCAAGGAGAAGUAGUGAGGCAAAGAUUUCAAUAUAUCAAGGUAGAUAUUACCCAAGGAUGGCAAUACAAUGGUAAGAAAACAAAAGUAUAAGAAGUCAAGGGUUAUAUAGCAAUAUUAUGGAUUAGAGAACCACUAUAAUAUAAUCUUGCCCUUACCGAUCUAGUCGAAAAUCUUAAUACUAAAGAACAAUCCUAUCAACCUAGUCAAGAAGUCUGGUAAUAGAUCCAAGUGAUCCAUAACAAAACUUCUUGCGGAGUGGGGAUAAGAUAGAGAAUAAGGCAUCAUCAAUAGCUUCAAAAGAGUUUCUUCUGACAAUCUUCGCUUCAAGUUCCAUAAUCUUGCUUGAUCAUUUUGCAAUGCUUCUCAUUAUAACCUUCUGAUAGACGAAGAAUCAGACAAGAAGGGUUGAAGAUAAAAGAGACGAGUUUUGAUAUAAAGUAAGUUUUUAUGGAGACAAUUAAGUCAAGUUUUGAACGACUGACUGGGCUUUCCAUUUCUAACUAAUCUAGCGACCUACGGUCACAUUGCUUUGAUACCACUUCUGUCACACCCGGUUUUAGGGGGCAAAACCCAAUGCAUAGCAUAUGUGUGCCAUGAUCUAUUUCCACACAUAUGCUGACAUCACAAGUGUAAUAUAUCAAAAGAACAAUGCAUAAAAGCGUAAAUAACGAUUAUAUUAACAUAUUACAUUUCGAACAGACAUAGUGCCUUAACCUUUAUUCAUCAAAGUACAGCGAAACAUGGACAUCCAUCCAUAGGAAGAUAACCGGGGGUAUCACUAGACUAGCAUCCAUGGAGCUCAGCAUCAUAACUUCAUCUGCAAACUUCUGAUCAAAAUUUAAACAAGGGUGAGCUCACUUAAUGUCGGGGCUCAGCAAGUGGGGGAAAAUGCAAGGUAACAAGGUAAGGCUAAAGUUUAAUGCGAUUGGCAUUUUAGUUGGUCAACAUUUUACUAUCAACACCUGAUUACUAGGUAUAAGUAUAUACCAAUCCCAAUUAAGCAUAAUUCAUAAUCAGCAUGAAUUUAAACCAUUUGAGCAAAUACCAUCAACAUGAAGCUCAACCUCUUGAGCGCACCACUUAAGCAUACCGCUUAAACAAAACCGAUCACCAUUUAUUUCCAUCUUCAAGUUCAAUUAUCAUGUGAGGGUCCAGACUGCUCAUAACCGUGAGCACGACUGAUAUAUCGGUUUUACACUCUGCAGAUGUGGCACAUCUUUACCCAUAAGUCGCGAUUCCCUUCUAGCCCAGGUUUGCAAGUCCCGUAUUCACUUCCGAGGUGACUGGCUAGGGUCUCACUACGAUGCUUUUCCCUAGAGUACUCAUUAUGCAAAUGCUGGAAAUGGUCAAACUGCAUAAAGCACACCUAACAUAACCAACUUAUAGACCAGUCUGCAGGGUAAAGCUUGGGAACUAUGCCCGUAUCCAAUCUGCCUGAGCCAGAAAUAUAAGCGCUUGGCAGAUGCCCCCGUUCCGGUCGACCACGACCAACACCCAACAUAAGGCUUCCCUAGUUAUUUAGCCAAGGGCGUCCCAUACCACCCUCAUGGUAGCACUGUUUUCCCGGGUGGUCACUCCAUGUUCCAAUUAAAUCAUAUGAUCUUGCUUAAUCGUCAGAUUAGCAACAAUAAUAUAAACUUAUCAUUUGGAACAUUAAUAUCACAAACAUGAGUGACUGCAUAAAGUUAAGUUAGCAUAGCUACGAAGGUAAAGUAUAAUACCCAAGUUUGAUCAAGGAAUACGGUAGAAAAGGUUAGGUGUAUCCGAAUAGGUAACCCAUCAAAUUAUGCAUAUAUAUAUAUCCAAGAAUAAACUUUAUUAAAUGUAUUGUUUGGGAUCAAACAAAGUAUGCACAGGGAGAAGUCCACUUGCCUUGCUUAUUGAAACUUGAGUUUCUUCUACGGAUCGGAAUAGAUCUAGAUUCUUAACUGCUAGAUCAACCACUAAAUAUCACACAAACAAACAAGAAGAAACAAACAACACUCAAUAACAUACAAAUUUCACCAUACGCAAAGCUAAAAGAAAGCUUAACGAAAAGAGCAUUCGUUUUCCAAGAACGUCGCAAGUAAUGGAUAUAAUAAGAAGGUAUACUUUUCAAAAAUGUGUGAUCUAUACUUUAUAAAACAAGACAUGAGCUUAAAAAUAUCUUAAUUAAAAUAUACAAAUAUUAGGUUCACAUAUUUAAUCUUUUAUAAAACGUCACAUGUGAUAUGUCUAAGAUUAAGGGUUUAUAAGAUGAUAAAACACGUUAUAACGAUAUUAAACCUUUUUAACCUUUUAGAAAAGAUACAUGUUAUAUAUCUAAGGUUAAUGGGCUACGAAACACGUUAUUAUUUUUGGAAGCAUUAUGGAACAUCUUAUAAACCAUCGUUAAACAUUCACUUAUGAUAAACUAAGAUAUAAGUCUAAAUAGGUUUUAUGUGAAAAGAUCAUUAUUAUUAAACACCUAUUUUUAUGAAAAGCUAGGUUAUAGGCCCUUAAGUAGAUUUUCAUGCAAAAGAUAAUGAACAAAUAACUAUCUUUUAUUUUUUCAUUAGAAGGUACAUGGUCUAUAUUCUUUAUUAAGAAAGCUAUAUACAAAACAAUAUGUAAAUUAACAUUUUUAAUUAUUAAAAGAACACGAACACUAAUUUCUUUAUUUUAUCCUUUAGGAAAACUAAAUGAUAUAUAUAUUUCAAUAAUAUGGAUUCAAUGUGAUGAAUGGAUUAAUCACGAUUAUAUUACUAGUUAAGGACAAAUUGAAAUAUAAGCCUAAGUAAUAAAUUGUGAGAAAAUAAAAAUAAUCUAUUGAUUAUAUUUAGUUUCAAUUUAGGAACAUAUGACCUAAAUCAUUUGAAAAGAAAAAUGUAUAAACUAUCAUUUUAGUUUAUAAAAGCAAUGGCCCUUAUUAUCUUUUAAUUAAGAAAAUAUAAAUAAUCUAUUAAUUGGACAUAUAUUUAUCUUUUAUUUAUUAAGAAACAUAUGGUCUACAUAUUCUUUUAAGUUUCUAUUUAAUACGGCUAUACUUAAACAUCUAUAACGAACCUUGUUAAAUAAAAAACAUGAUAUCUACUAAAAAGGUCAGUUUAAAAUUAGAAACAAAUUAUCUACUUUAUUAGUAAGAAACCUAUGUUUAACAACAUAACUAUCAUUUUCUUUAUUAGGAAAGUAUGAGCGCCUAAUUAAGUCAUUUUAACAUUGUAAUAAAAUUCUAUUCUUUCAGUUUUUCUCCUUUCUUUCUUAAAUAGAAAUUAUACAUGUGGCUAAAAUUGUUUACUUAAUUCUUAUAACAUUAAUAUUCUAAGAAGUACUUGUAAAUUACUAAAUGAAAAUUUUAAUAACAUAUUCAUGGUUAUUAUGACAUAAAUAAGUAUUUUACUAAUUCUAAGUAAUUUAAGUGCUAUACUUAUGAAUACAUUUAUCAUGAAUAGUAAAAUCUAUAUCUUUAUUUGACCAGGAAUAUAUGACUUAGUAUUUCUUCAUGUCAAUAAGUUUACACUUAAAAUACUACUAACAAUUAUCGUUCCACACACACUAAAGCGAAAUUCAAUCUGUAAACGUUUUCUAGUAUGAAAAUCACCGAGGUAGUGAAUAGUGACAGUAUUCAUUUUAAAAUUAUAAAAUCGUAGACAUAUCCGAAGUAUUGCCACGGAGUUCGAAUUUGGCUACACGUAUACAUCGCAAUCUCUUAAAUCAUACAUGUAUACACAUAUCCCAAAAUUAAUUGAAUUCGCAAACCAGAGGCAAAAUCGCAAAUUUGCCUUCUUCUACCUUGGUGUUUUUGUUCAUGCACAUGAAUGGAGGUCGACGUGCAGGGAGGCGGUCUUGGCGGGUAGGGAACGGGCGCGGCCGAGGUGCCGCGCGGACGGAGCUCCGACGGGGCUCCACGGACAGCGGGGCGGACGGCGACGGCGUGGGCGAACUCCAACGACGGCGUGGGCGAGCAAGGAGUGUGUGUGAGAGAGAGGGGCGAGCUCGGGUAGGGAGGAGGGAGAGAGGAGCUCGGUUCCAUUUAUAGGGAGAGGAUAGGGCGCCGGGGGAGGGAAGAGAAACGACGGCCGACCAUGAAUUCCAUUAAUGGCGCCAUCAGUUUCAAUGGGAAAGAACGUGGGGGGAAGAGAAACGGCUGCAUUGAAGCUUCUUUACGCCGAGGGAGAACGGUCGCGGGCGGGGUCGCUUGGGCGCGACACUCGGGCGUCGGGCUGGCUCGGCGGUCCUGGCGCGGUCGGACGGCCAAGCGCGGUGCUGGGCGCGCGGGUGGCGCGAGGUGUCGGGAUCGGCGCCUGGGCUGCUUUGCUUGGCCACGGGGGCGCGGUUCCUGGCGUCGGGCUCCUGGGCGCGGCCCAACAAUGGCUUGGCGCGAGCUGGUGCAGCACGUCGGGCGGUCAGCUACGUCCUGGCGACUGCGCGUGGAAGGGAAGCAAGGGGAGAGGGGAGGAGAUAGAGGGCUGGGUGGGGCCCGCUUGCAAGAGAGAGAAAAGGGGAGGGGGAAAGUUCCUUGCGGCGGUGGCGGCUUCAGCUGGGAGGGGGACGCGCGUGGCUGGGAGUAUUCCUUUUUUUGUUUUUUUCUAUUUCUUUUCUAAGUUCAAAAAAAUAUUUUAAACAACCCUAAAAUUCAUAAUAAUUAAACCAAAAUUAUUUAUAAGUAAAAUAUUUAUUUUUGGAGUAAUAAUUAUUAUAUUAUUUAUUUGGAUUUCCAUUUAAGAAGAAAUUCUAUUAAAUAUCCAAAAUCAAUUAUGAGCAAUCAAAAAUUAUUCCAAAUACAAAUAAAAAUUAAACACUUAAAAGGAAAUUCAUUAUCAUAAUUACCAUUAAUAAACUAUCUGCAUUAUUUUUAUUUAAUGGUUUUUAUAGUGUUACACCCAUACACAUCUACCAAGUGAAAGUCACCUAAAGGGGGUGAAUAGGCAAAUCUGAAAUUAAUAAAGUUUAAGCACAACUACAAGCCGAGGUUAGCGUUAGAAAUAUAAUCGGGUCCGAAAGAGAGGGGGAAAACAAAUCACAAGCGAAUAAGAGCGGAUGACACAGUGAUUUGUUUUACCGAGGUUCGGUUCUUGCAAACCUACUCCCCGUUGAGGUGGUCACAAAGACCGGGUCUCUUUCAACACUUUUCCUCUCUCAAACGGUCACUUAGACCGAGUGAGCUUCCUUCCUCGAUUUCCCGGGUCACUUAGACCCCGCAAGGACCACCACACAAUUGGUGUCUCUUGCUUCGCUUACAAGGCUUUAAGAGUAAGAAUGAGAGAAAGAAGAAAGGCCAACCAAGCAACAAGAACAACAAAAGAAUACAAGUCGAUCUUCUCACAAGUCCUAAAAACUAGAGUUGAAUUGUGGACUUUGAUUUGAUCGGUGGCUUUGAUUUGUGUCUUGGAGUGUUGUGUAUUGCUCUUGUAUUGAAUGAGGAGUAGUGAAUGCUUGGAUGCCUUGAAGAGUGGUGGUUGGGGGGUAUUUAUAGCCCCAACCACCAAAAUGGUCGUUGGGGAAGGCUGCUGUCGUAUGGCGCACCGGACAGUCCGGUGCGCCAGCCACGUCACCCAACCGUUAGGGUUCGACCGUUUGAGCUUCUGACAUGUGGGCCACCGGACAGUCCGGUGGUGCACUGGAUAGCUCCUGUUCACUGUCCGGUGCGCCAUCUGGUGCCUGCUCUGACUCUGCGCGCGCAGUCGUGCACUGUUCACUGUUCCUAUAGCUGUUGCAGACGACCGUUGGCGCAGGUAGCCGUUGCUCCGCUUGGCACACCGAACAGUCCGGUGGUACACCGGACAGUCCAGUGAAUUAUAGCAGAGUGGCUCCUAGAAUUCCCGAAGGUGGCAAGUUUGGAGUCGAACUCCCUGGUGCAUCGGACACUGUCCGGUGGCACACCGGACAGUCCGGUGCGCCAGAUCAGGGCAGCCUUCGGUUGUCUUUUGCUCUUUUUAUUUGAACCCUUUCUUGGACUUUUUAUUGGUUUGUGUUGAACCUUUGGCACCUGUAGAACUUAUAAUCUAGAGCAAACUAGUUAGUCCAAUUAUUUGUUUUGGGCAUUUCAACCACCAAAAUCAUUUAGGAAAAGGUGUGAGCCUAUUUCCCUUUCAAUCUCCCCCUUUUUGGUGAUUGAUGCCAACACAAACCAAACCAAAUAUAUAAGUGCAUAAUUGAACUAGUUUGCUUAAUGUAAGUGCAAAGGUUACUUGGAAUUCAACUAAUAUACAUUUCAUAAGAUAUGCAUGGAUGCUUUCUUCAUUUUUAACAUUUUGGACCACGCUUGCACCACUUGUUUUGUUUUUUGCAAAUGUUUUGGAAAUUCUUUUUCAAAGUCUUUUGCAAAUAGUCAAAGUUAUAUGAAUAAGAUUUUGAUAAGCAUUUUCAAGAUUUGAAUUUUUCUCCCCGUGUUUCAAAUGCUUUUCCUUUGACUAAACAAAACUCCCCCUCAAUGACAUUCUCCUCUUAGUGUUCAAGAGGGUUUUAGAUAUUACUUUUGAAAGAGGUCAUACCAAUUUGAAAUUAUAUCAAAAAUAAGAUACCAAUUGAAAAAACUCUUUAAUACAAAUUGAAAGACUACAAAUUUUUGAAAUUGGUGGUGGUGCGGUCCUUUUGCUUUGGGCUAAUACUUUCUCCCCCUUUGGCAUGAAUCGCCAAAAACGGAUACUUGUGAGUGAAAUAUAAGCCCUUUUUCAAACUUUCUCCCCCUUUGGUAGAUAAUAUAGGAGUGAAGAUUAUACCAAAUUGGAGAGCGGUGUGGAGCGACGGCGAAGGAUGAAUAAUUCGAUGGAGUGGAGUGGAAGCCUUAUCUUCGCCGAAGACUCCAUUUCCCUUUCAAUCUAUGACUUAGCAUGAAAUACACUUGAAAAGCACAUUAGUCAUAGCAUAUGAAAUAGAUGAUCAAAGGUAUAUAUGAGCAAUGUGUGCAAAAUAUCAAUCAAAAUUCCUAGAAUCGAGAAUGUUUAGCUCAUGCCUAAGUUUGGUAAAUGUUUUCUCAUCUAAUGGCUUGGUAAAGAUAUCGGCUAAUUGAUCUUUGGUGCUAACAUAUGCAAUCUCGAUAUUCCCCCUUUGUUGGUGAUCCCUUAAAAAGUGAUACCGAAUGACUAUGUGCUUAGUGCGGUUGUGCUCAACGGGAUUAUCCGCCAUGCGGAUUGCACUCCCAUUAUCACAUAGGAGAGGAACUUUGGUUAAUUUGUAACCAUAGUCCCUAAGGGUUUGCCUCAACCAAAGCAAUUGCGUGCAACAAUGACCUGCGGCAAUGUACUCAGCUUCACCGGUAGAUAGAGCUACAUAAUUUUGUUUCUUAGAAGCCCAAGACACCAGGGAUCUUCCCAAGAACUGGCAAGUCCCUGAUGUGCUCUUUCUAUCAAUUUUACACCCUGCCCAAUCAGCAGCGAAAUAACCAAUUAAAUCAAAUGUGGAUCCCUUGGGGUACCAAAGGCCAAACAUAGGAGUAUGAACUAAAUAUCUCAAGAUUCGUUUUACGGCCCUAAGGUGAACUUCCUUAGGAUCGGCUUGGAAUCUUGCACACAUGCAUACGGAAAGCAUAAUAUCCGGUCGAGAUACACAUAAAUAAAGUAGAGAUCCUAUCAUCGACCGGUAUACCUUUUGAUCUACGGAUUUACCUCCCGUGUCGAGGUCGAGAUGCCCAUUAGUUCCCAUGGGUGUCUUGAUGGGCUUGACAUCCUUCAUCCCAAACUUGGUGAGUAUGUCUUGAAUGUACUUCGUUUGGCUGAUGAAGGUGCCCUCUUGGAGUUGCUUCACUUGAAAUCCUAAGUACUUCAACUCCCCCAUCAUAGACAUCUCGAAUUUUUGAACCAUAAUCCUACUAAACUCUUCACAUGUAGAUUUGUUAGUAGACCCAAAUAUGAUAUCAUCAACAUAAAUUUGGCAUACGAACAAAUCAUUUGCAAUUGUUUUAGUAAAGAGAGUAGGAUCAUCUUUUCCGACUUUGAAGCCAUUAGCGAUAAGAAAAUCUCUUAGGCAUUCAUACCAUGCUCUUGGGGCUUGCUUGAGCCCAUAAAGCGCCUUAGAGAGUUUAUAGACAUGGUUAGGGUACUCACUAUCUUCAAAGCCAGGAGGUUGCUCAACAUAGACCUCCUCCUUGAUUGGUCCAUUAAGGAAGGCACUCUUCACGUCCAUUUGGUAAAGCUUAAAGCCAUGGUAAGUAGCAUAGGCAAGUAAUAUGCGAACUGACUCAAGCCUAGCUACGGGUGCAUAGGUUUCACCGAAAUCCAAACCUUCGACUUGUGAAUAUCCCUUGGCCACAAGUCGGGCUUUGUUCCUUGUCACCACACCAUGCUCGUCUUGCUUGUUGCGGAAGACCCACUUGGUUCCUACAACAUUUUGAUUAGGACGUGGAACAAGAUGACAUACCUCAUUCCUUGUGAAGUUGUUGAGUUCCUCUUGCAUCGCCAACACCCAAUCCGAAUCCUUUAAUGCGUCUUCCACCCUGUAUGGCUCAAUAGAAGACACAAAGGAGUAAUGUUCACAAAAAUGAGCAACACAAGAUCGAGUGGUUACCCCCUUUUGAAUAUCGCCGAGGAUAGUGUUCAUGGGGUGAUCUCUUUGUAUUGCUUGGUGGACUCUUGGGUGUGGCGGCCUUGGACCCUCAUCAUCUUCCUUGUCUAGAUCAUUAGCAUCUCCCCCUUGAUCAUUGUCCUCCUCUUGAGGUGGCUCCUCUUGAUCUUCAUUUUCAUCAUCUUAUGAUUGAUCCUCAUCUUGGGUUGGUGGAGAUGCUUGAUUUGAAGAUGAUGGUUGAUAUUGUGUAUGUGAAGGCUCUUCGGAUUCCUUAGGACACACAUCCCCAAUGGACAUGUUCCUUAGCGCGACACACGGAGCCUCUUCAUCAUCUAGCUCAUCAAGAUCAACUUGCUCUACUUGAGAGCCAUUAGUUUCAUCAAACACAAUGUCACAAGAAACUUCAACUAGUCCAGUGGACUUGUUAAAGACUAUAUAUGCCCUUGUGUUUGAAUCAUAACCAAGUAAAAAGCCUUCUACAGCCUUAGGAGCAAAUUUAGAUUUUCUACCUCUUUUAACAAGAAUAAAUUAUUUGCUACCAAAGACUCUAAAAUAUGAAACAUUGGGCUUUUUACCGGUUAGGAGUUCAUAUGAUGUCUUCUUGAGGAUUCGAUGAAGAUAGAGACGGUUGAUGGCGUAGCAAGCGGAGUUGUUUGCUUCCGCCCAAAACCGGUCCGAAGUUUUAUACUCAUCAAGCAUGGUCCUCACCAUGUCAAGUAGAGUUCUAUUCUUCCUCUCCACUACACCAUUUUGUUGAGGUGUGUAGGGAGAAGAGAACUCAUGCUUGAUGCCCUCGUCCUCAAGGAAGCCUUCUAUUUGUGAGUUCUUGAACUCCGUCCCGUUGUCGCUUCUAAUCUUUUUGAUCCUUAAGCUGAACUCAUUUUGAGCCCGUCUCAAGAAUCCCUUUAAGGUCUCUUGGGUUUGAGAUUUAUCCUGCAAAAAGAACACCCAAGUGAAGCGAGAAUAAUCAUCCACAAUAACUAGGCAGUACUUACUCCCGCCGAUGCUUAUGUAAGCUAUCGGGUCGAAUAAAUCCAUGUGGAGUAGCUCAAGCGGCCUGUCAGUUGUCAUGAUGUUCUUGUGUGGAUGAUGUAUACCAACUUGCUUCCCUGCUUGGCAUGCGCUACAAACCCUGUCUUUCUCAAAAGGAACAUUUGUUAGUCCCAAAAUGUGUUCUCCCUUUAGAAGUUUGUGAAGAUUCUUCAUCCCAACGUGGGCUAGUCGACGAUGCUAGAGCCAACCCAUGUUAGUCUUAGCAAUUAAGCAAGUGUCGAGUUCAGCUCUAUUAAAAUCAACUAAGUAUAGCUGACCCUCUAACACUCCUUUAAAUGCUACUGAAUCAUCACUUCUUCUAAAGACAGUAACACCUAUAUCUGUAAAAAGACAGUUGUAACCCAUUUUGCAUAAUUGAGAAACAGAAAGCAAGUUGUAAUCUAAAGAAUCUACAAGAAAAACAUUGGAAAUAGAAUGGUCAGGAGAUAUAGCAAUUUUACCAAGUCCUUUGACCAAACCUUGAUUUCCAUCCCCGAAUGUGAUAGCUCUUUGGGGAUCAUGGUUUUUCUCGUAGAAGGAGAACAUCCUUUUCUCCCCAGUCAUGUGGUUUGUGCACCCGCUAUCGAUGAUCCAACUUGAGCCCCGAAUGCAUAAACCUACAAAACAAGUUUAGGCCUUGUUCUUAUGUACCCAAACUGUCUUGGGUCCUUUGACAUUAGAAACAAGCACCUUGGGUACCCAAACACAAGUCUUUGACCCCUUGUGUUUGCCCCUAACAUAUUUGGCAACUAUUUUGCUUGAUUUGUUAGUUAAAACAUAUGAUGCAUCAAACGUCUUAAAUGAGAUGUUAUGUUCAUUUGAUGCAAUAGGAAAUUUUUUUAGGCAAUUUAACAUGGGUUGAUUGCCUAGAGCUAGAUGCCUCACUCUUAUACAUAAAAGCAUGAUGAGAGCCAGAGUGAGACUUCCUAGAAUGAAUUCUCCUAAUUUUGUGUUCGGGAUAACCAGCAGGGUAUAAAAUGUAACCCUCGUUAUCCUAAACCAUGGGAGCCUUGCCCUUCACAAAGUUAGACAAUUUCUUAGGAGCACUAAGCUUGGCAUUGUCUCCCUUUUGGAAGCCAAUACCAUCCUUAAUGCCUGGGCAUCUCCCACUAUAGAGCAUGCUUCUAGCAAAUUUAAAUUUCUCAUUUUCUAAGUCAUGCUCAUUAAUUUUGGCACUAAGUUGAGCUAUGUGAUCAUUUUGUUGUUUAAUUAAAGCUAGGUGAUCAUGAAUAGCAUCAACAUUAAUAUCUCUACAUCUAGUACAAAUAAUGACAUGCUCAACGAUAGAUGUAGAGGGUUUGCAAGUAUUUAAUUCAACAAUCUUAGCAUGUAAAAUAGCAUUCUCAUCUCUAAGAUUGGAAAUAGAAACAUUGCAAACAUUUAAAUCUUUAGCCUUAGCAAUUAAUUUUUCAUUCUCAAUCUUAAGGCUAGCAAGAGAGACAUUCAAUUUAUCAGUCUUAGCAAUUAAACUAGCAUUAUCGUUUCUAAGAUUGGCAAUUGAAUCAUCACAUACAUUUGAUUUCUCAACCUUAGCAAUUAAUUUAGCAUUUUCAUUUCUAAGGUUAGAAAUAGUGUCAUGGCAAGUGCUUAGCUAACUAGUCAAUUUUUCACAUUUUCUAUCUCCUGAGCAUAAGCAUUUUUAACUUUAACAUGCUUCUUAUUUUCUUUAAUAAGGAAGUCCUCUUGGCUAUCCAAGAGUUCAUCCUUUUCAUGAAUAGCAUUAAUCAAUUCAUUCAAUUUUUCUUUUUGUUGCAUGUUUAAGUUGGCAAAAAGGGUGAGCAAAUCAUCCUCAUCAUCACUAGAGCUAGCCUCAUCACUAGAUGUUGCAUAUUUAGUGGAGGCUCUAGCUUUUACCUUCUUUUUGCCGUCCCUUGCCAUGAGGCACUUGUGGCCGAUGUUGGGGAAGAGAAUACCCUUGUUGACGGUGAUGUUUGCGGCGUCCUCGUCGGAGGAGGAGUCGGUGGAGCUCUCGUCGAAGUCCUACUCCUGGCAAACAUGGGCAUCGUCGCCCUUCUUCUUGUAAUACUUCUUCUUCUCCUUGCUUCUCCCCUUCUUGUCGUCGCCCCUGUCACUAUCACUUGAUAAUGGACAUUUAGCAAUGAAAUGACCGGGCUUACCACACUUGUAGCAAACUUUCUUGGAGCGGGGCUUGUGGUCCUUCCCCCUCCUUUGCUUGAGGAUUUGGCGAAAGCUUUUGAUGAUUAAAGCCAUCUCCUCAUUAUUGAGCUUGGAGGCGUCGAUGGGGAGCCUACUUGAUGUAGAUUCUUCUUUCUUCUCCUCCGUCGCCUUGAAUGCGAUGGGUUGCAUUUUGGGUGUGGAGGAGGCGCCUUGCUCGAUGAUUUUCUUGGAGCCUUUGAUCAUCAAUUCAAAGCUCACAAAUUUUACUAUCACUUCCUCGAGAGACAUUAGUUUAUAUCUAGGAUCACCACAUAUUAAUUGAACUUGAGUAGGGUUAAGAAAAACGAGUGAUCUAAAAAUAACCUUGACCAUUUCAUGGUCAUCCCAUUUGGUGCUCCCGAGGUUGCGCACUUGGUUCACCAAGGUCUUGAGCCGGUUGUACAUCGCUUGUGGCUCCUCCCCUUGAUGAAGCAUGAAGAGACUGAGCUCCCCCUCGAUCAUUUCCCGCUUGGUGAUCUUGGUCACCUCAUCUCCUUCGUGCGCGGUCUUGAGCACGUCCCAAAUCUCUUUGGCACUCUUCAACCCUUGCACCUUAUUAUACUCCUCUCGACUUAGAGAGGCGAGGAGUAUAGUAGUGGCUUGGGAGUUGAAGUGCCGGAUUUGGGCUACCUCGUCUGAGUCAUAGCCUUCAUCCCCCAUGGAUGGUUCCUGUGCACCAAAUUCAACAAUGUCCCAAAUACUAGCGUGGAGUGAGGUUAGAUGGUGCCUCAUUUUAUCACUCCACAUACAAUAAUCUUCACCAUCAAAAACCGGUGGUUUGCCUAGUGGGACGGAAAGUAAAGGGGUACGUUUGGAAAUGCGAGGAUAGCGUAAGGGGAUUUUACUAAACUUCUUGCGCUCAUGGCGCUUAGAAGUGACGGAAGGCGUGUCAGAGCCGGAGGUGGAGGGCGACGAAGAAUCGGUCUCGUAGUAGACCACUUUCUUCAUUUUCUUCUUCUUAUCGCCACUCCGGUGCGACUUGACGCGGGGAGGUGACUCCUCCCUCUUCUUAUUGCCGGACUCCCCCGAUGGAGCCUUCCCGUGGCUUGUGGCGGGCUUCUCGCCGGUUACCAUCUCCUUCUUCGCGUGAACUCCCGACAUCACUUCGAGCGGUUAGGCUCUUAAUGAAGUACCGUGCUCCGAUACCAAUUGAAAGUCGCCUAGGGGGGUGAAUAGGCAAAUCUGAAAUUUAUAAAGUUUAAGCACAACUACAAGCCGAGGUUAGCGUUAGAAAUAUAAUCAGGUCCGGAAGAGAGUGGGGAAACAAAUCACAAACGAAUAAGAGCGGAUGACAUGGUGAUUUGUUUUACCGAGGUUCGGUUCUUGCAAACCUACUCCCCGUUGAGGUGGUCAAAAAGACCGGGUCUCUUUCAACCCUUUCCCUCUCUCAAAUGGUCACUUAGACCGAGUGAGCUUCCUUCCUUGAUUUCCCGGGUCACUUAGACCCCGCAAGGACCACCACAUAAUUGGUGUCUCUUGCUUCGCUUACAAGGCUUUAAGAGUAAGAAUGAGAGAAAGAAGAAAGGCCAACCAAGCAACAAGAACAACAAAAGAACAUAAGUCGAUCUUCUCACAAGUCCUAAAAACUAGAGUUGAAUUGUGGACUUUGAUUCGAUCGGUGGCUUUGAUUUGUGUCUUGGAGUGUUGUGUAUUGCUCUUGUAUUGAAUGAGGAGUAGUGAAUGAUUGGAUGCCUUGAAGAGUGGUGGUUGGGAGGUAUUUAUAGCCCCAACCACCAAAAUGGCCGUUGGGGAAGGAUGCUGUCGUAUGGCGCACCGGACAGUCCGAUGCGCCACCGGACAGUCCGGUGUGCCAGCCACGUCACCCAAUCUUUAGGGUUCGACCGUUGGAGCUUCUGACAUGUGGGCCACCGGACAGUCCGGUGGUGCACCGAACAACUUCUGUUCACUGUCCGGUGCGCCAUCUGGCACCUGCUCUGACUCUACGCGCGCAGUCGCGCACUGUUCACUAUUCCUAUAGCUGUUGCAGACGACCGUUGGAGCAGGUAGCCGUUGCUCCGCUUGGCACACCGGACAUUCCGGUGAAUUAUAGCGGAGUGGCUCCCAGAAUUCCCGAAGGUGGCAAGUUUGGAGUCGAACUCCCUGGUGCACCAGACACUGUCCGGUGGUUCACCGGACAGUCCGGUGCGCCAGACCAGGGCAGCCUUCGGUUGUCUUUUUCUCUUUUUAUUUGAACCCUUUCUUGGACUUUUUAUUGGUUUGUGUUGAACCUUUGGCACCUGUAGAACUUAUAAUCUAGAGCAAACUAGUUAGUCCAAUUAUUUGUGUUAGGCAUUUCAACCACCAAAAUCAUUUAGGAAAAGGUGUGAGCCUAUUUCCCUUUCACCAAGGAAGCGAGGCAGGGUAACACUACGAGGCCUUUACAAAGUUCCACUAUCUUCCGAAAACCCGCUAUAGUUAUGGGAAGAGAAAUUGCAAGAAUCCCUCGUCUGACCGCCAUCGCAGCAAAAUCAACCCGAGAACCUCCCUGCAUACCUACUCCCCUACUCCCCUUGCCCCUUUCGGGUAAGGUAGUCUUCCACUAGCUUUCCUAAUUAGUCAGCCAAUGGCGUCCCAUUCCACCCUUGUGGUGGCACGUGUUUCUCAUGUUAAGCUCCAUGUUCCAAUUAAAAUUAAUGAUCUUGACAUGAACAUAAAUAACAUAACAGAAUAAUUGGAACAGGGAUAUAAUGAAAUAUUAACCCCAAACCAUAUAAAGCAAUAACAUAACUACCCAAAUGAUUCAGGGAUAAACAAGGUAAAAAGGAUAACCAGUCUAGGGUGACCUAUUGGGUCCCAUCAAAAUUAAACCUAUGCAUGAAUAAGUGAUAUUAAAGAACAUUAUUGGGUGAAAAGUGGUCAAGGGCACAACUUGCCUGGGACUUGAGAUUCCAGGUACCAGGAUGAUCCUCAUAUGCUUGUGACCUCACUGCUAGUCGUAGCAAUAAAAACAAACAUGGUAUAUGCAAAAUUAACAUCACACCAAUCAUAAGAACAAACUAUAUAACAAUGAUCUACGCGUUGCUACGAGAUCGUGGGAUCGAGAACCACCAAAAUUGGAGUUACGAUUAUUAAGUUAUGACUUAUGGGAGAUCUACGUGAUUUAUCCAUUAAACUAUGUUAUAACUUGGUUAGUGUAAAUCAUAUGAGAGAUUAUUCUAUAAAUAAUUAACUCAACAUUAGUUUUAAUUAUAACUUGACUAGAGAUCAUAUUUUAAUCAUAUUAUAAUUAUGGACAGAUUAAAUUUGAUUUAAAAGUUAAUCUAGUAGACAUAGGAUAAAUAAAUAUCUAACUAUAAAAGUAUGAGACAUGGUUUAAUUAAUGUUGUUACUGAGUAGUAAUUAUUUAUACAAAACUAACGCAACUUGAACGGAUCAAAACAGAGUUAAAAUGAGAUAGUUAUGGAUUUUCACAUUUAUAGGUGCUAUGUACAAGAUUAAUUAGAAGAUUAAUUUUAAUAUGGUUUUCAUGUCAAAACAGAGACACUAGUUAAUAAACAAUAAUAACAAAAUUAUAGAAACUGGAAUGAAUCAAUUUGGACUUAAUAUGAAUUUUCUAUGGAUUAAACAAAUUCUAGCCAUUAUUUUUAUAUUAAAAAUAGAUUUCCAAUUCAAUUUCUCUGAUUUACAAACUCCCUGGACUGGGCGCAUGAAAACCAAAGAGUGCAGGGUCUCUGGCGCAAAAGGACCUAAGACUCAAGCGAACCCCUAUAUGGACGGCGAGUUGAUUUAUGUAAAGCGCACGGUCUCUUAUGCAUAAUCCUCUGGCCGAAGGGGUACCGACCAAUCCUGGCCACACAAUCUAAAAUACCGUCUAUAUUAGAUUAUUUUAUUUACGAAACAACGCGCGAUCACAGUCGAACGACAACCGUUGAUUCUGAGAUCUGCGAACCAGAUUUAAAAUAAGCGAGGACUAGUAGCCACACCCCCGGAUCUAGAUCGGACGAACCCCAUUACCCUGACCGAACCGACAGCAAGCACAUCUAAUCGCAGUCGUACGUGUCGCGAACGACGACUAGGAUUAACUCUAGCGAACCGUUAUUUUUGGAUCUAAUCCAGUACGCCCAUUUGGAGAUCUACGGCUAGCCUUCAUUCUCCUACCUCUAUCCAAGCCGAGCGACGGCGCCGCCAGCCGCUGUGGCAGAGCUUCACCGGCGAACAGUGAACCUCGCACUCCCGCCCCCAUAACUUGAAGCGUCCCGAUCCUUUGGGACUCAGAUGUGAAACAAUUACUAGUCACAGGAGGCUAGUAACCACAUUCCUUACUUUAAAUAGUACAUAGUUCGAAUAAAAGUUAAUACAAUACCAAAGUACAAGCUCGAGAGAGAGCCAGAAUUACAAAGCGCAGUAGAAGAUAAACUAGCCCAAGCCACAGGCAGAACUGGGUGCAGACACAGCCCCCUAAAUCAAGCAUAGCAGAAAAGAAGUCUUUAGCUGCUGAAAAACAUAAAUAAAUGUGGGUGAAUAGACUAGGUAUUCCGCAAGCCCAUCCCGCUCCCAUAAAGAGAAAGGGACCUAUAUAAUACAUGCUUUAUAUGGUGGAGUUGAAGUCACUCUUCUUUUUACAGAGAAAGGCAAUACUUUGAUGGUUUUUCCCAAAGAAGGAAAUAGCACUUUUUCACACUCAACCACCACUGAGCUUCCCGCUCCCGUGGCAUUGUUUUCAUCUCCAAAAACACACUCACUCACACACUUCCCUGUUCCCGGAGGUUAUAAAACACUAAUUGUCAUACCACACCAGACUCGUCCAUUCCAGUGGACACGGACUAUUCGAAUAGGUUUGAACUCUGCGCAGAGGGGUACACUUUACCCACUAGUCCGGUUUCUGCGAUCUCACCGUCGUGAGACCCGAAUGUCGAAUCUCUUUCUUUCCUCGCAUGUCCUUACCUUAACGGUUAUACCGUAAGGAGUCAGGACACCGCCAUGUCCAAACCGGACAAAACAUUCCCCCUCCUUAUCCUCCCGAUGCUCCCCAGCCUUCAUAACCCUGAGGUUUGGACCGUAUGAGUUCAGAUUGAGUGACUGCCCAUACAAUCUCGAGUGGUUGUACUUAUCAUGAGUACAGGUAGUGAAGGAUGACAAACCGGUCCUUAUAUGAGGGGACAAUCCUUCUGCUCACACCUAAACCGGCUGAGCCAUCACCUUAGGCCCUCCCCUAAACAAGGGAGUCCCUGAUCAUCCCACUCACAAAGUGAUGAGGGUGAAUACCCUUCAUCAUACACUUUUUGAAAACAUCGUUUAGUAAAAACAUGCCCUUUUCCCAUCCCACAUUUUGUACUCAAACAGAUGUUUGUUAAUGCGGGCUAUCUCUCUACUCACAAUGCAAAAGAUCCAUCCCUUAACCCCGGCUUACGUAGUGGUAGAGAGAAUAGGUAAUUUAUGCAUCAAGGGAAGAAUGGACUUGCCUUCGUCGAAGCUCUCCUGGCACAAAAGAUCUAUCUCGGAGGGGUCGGGUUCCUACCCUUCUUCCGCAGCUACAAAUUCCGGAGCAUCGGAUCCCUCUUCUUCUAGCAAAAAUAGAUAAUGAACAGUACAUCAAUCAUGGUGACUUGGUGGGGUGUGCCAAUUUUUAGACAUUAUUAUUUUGUGCCCUAAAUUUUAUUUAGACUCUUUUUGGUGCAUAAAAUAUCAAUAUAUAUACUGGGCCGGGGGGGGGGGGAUUUCAGCCUAGCCGAGCGCGGCCGCGCGCGGCCGUGUUGGUAGGCGGCCUACUUGGCCCGCCAGUGGGGGAACAACGCGGGGAUGGCGCAGGCCCACGUGCCAGAGGGAGGGGGAGGCUGAUGGCACUAGGAGGGGGUGACGGGGGGGGGGGGGCGAACCGAUCGAGCCUGACCGCUAGUGAGGUCCGCGACGGUUCUCCGCCGGGCCCCGGUUCUGUGACGGUAGAGUGGUGGCAAGGCACGGGCGAGGGUAGGGGAUCACGGUGGUAGGGUCAAUUUGGCCGGAGGGCGCUUGGGAUGGCCGGUCCACGGCGAGGUGGCGGGCGCCCGCGGCGGGGGAGAUCGCUGUUGAGGCUGUCGAGUGCAAUAGGAGAAGGGGGUGGGUGCGUUGUGCUCGCGAGGACACGGUGAAGCUCAAGAGCUACAAUAAUUGGACUAGAACGCAACAGAGAGGGGAGGGCGAGACUCACCGGAGUGGAGGAAGGGCGCGGCGGCGCUGGCUCAAUCGAGCUCGGGAGAGGGAAGAGGGAGUGGACGAGGCUAGUGUGGGGAAAGGCGAAGCUCGGGCGGUUCUUUUUAUAGGCGCCUGGGGCGGGGAAGGGGGCGAGAGGUGGCGACCACCGGCGAGCUUGCCACAGCGGGGAUGGUGGCGCACAGUGGUGGCGACGGGAUGGCUCGGGCAGACGCAAGGCGCCAAACCGAGCUGGUGAGCGUGAUAAUGGCGAGGCGACGGGGCGGGCAGUGGCCCCACGGCGAUCGCGUCGCUAGCCCGGUCACGGGCGCGAGGAAGGCACUAACAAGCAGGACCUGCUUGCCAGGGAGAGAGAGAGACUGCGAGAGAGCGAGGGGGAGUGCGGCUGACGGGUGGGGUCGGGCUGGCAGCAGCGAAGGGGAGCGCGGGCACGCGGGCGAUGGGCCGCUUGGGCCGCGAGGGAGAAAGGGAGGCGCGGGCACGCGGGAGAGAGGGGGGUUUGGGCCGGAAACGACCCAUCCGCGGGGGAGUGUUUUCUUUUUUUUCUUUUUCUAAUUUAUAUUUCCAAUUUCUAUUUCUUAUUUCUAUUUCUUUUAUCUUUUUUUCUUUUGAACAAAUAAUUAGCUAAAUAAUCUUAGGUGCUAAAAAAAUAUUCUAUGUGAGGUGCUUCUAACAAUCAUAAUGUAUGCAAAUGAUGAGAUGUCCUAUGAGGUGGAGUCUAGGGAGCAAUUAGGGGGGGGGGUUAGGGGAUUAGGGUUCCAAACCUUGGGUUAAAUUUUGGGAUGUUACAAACCUACCCCACUUAAAGGAAUCUCGCCCUCGAGAUUCAGACUGGGCUUGAGAAAAGGUAAGGGUAUUCCCUCCUCAAGGAGUCCUCACUCUCCCAGGUAGUUUCCUCUUCUCCUUCUCUGCUCCACUGAACUUUACAGAGUCUCACUUCUAAGUUGCGGGUCUUUCGGACUGCUGAGUCAAGAAUCUUUACUGGCUUUUCUCGGUACUGAAGAUCCUUGUCAAUCUGGAUUGCCUCUUCUUCGAUGUGGUUUUCUGGUACUUGCAGGCAUUUGCGGAGCUGGGACACGUGAAACACAUUGUGGAUAUCUGACAUAGAUUCCGGCAAUUCAAGGCGAUAUGCUGCGGGUCCUACUCUGCCAAUGAUGGGAUAGGGACCGACAAAUCGCGGAGCUAGCUUUCCUUUCACUUGAAAUCUUUUGACUCCGCGCAUCGAGGAGACCUUGAGGUAGACGAAAUCUCCUUCCUCAAGUCUGAGUUCUCUCCGCCUGUUGUCCGCAUAACUCUUCUGCCGACUCUGAGCUUCAAGUAAUCUUUUGCGGAUCAGGGCAACCUUCUCUUCUACCUCUUUAACGAAGGCAGGUCCUUCUAGUGUCUUUUCCCCUACGUUGGACCACAUUAGAGGGGUCUGGCACUUCCGUCCAUACAAUGCUUCGAACGGUGACAUCUCGAUACUGGCCUGGUAGCUGUUGUUAUACGAGAACUCUGCAUAAGGCAAAUUGGACUCCCAAUUUCUGUCAAACAUCAACACGCAGGCUCUUAAUAAAUCCUCGUGGACCUUGUUGACCCUUUCUAUCUGACCAUCUGUCUGGGGGUGAUAGGCGGUGCUGAAGUCUAGUUUGGUGCCCAUAGCUUGCUGAAGGCUCAUCCAAAAUUUUGAGGUGAACUGUGUUCCCCUAUCUGACACUAUCUUCCGUGGAAUACCAUGGAGUCUGACUAUCUCUUUAAGAUAUAUCCGGGCAAGGGUGGCUCCUCCGAAGGUAGUUUUCACUGGGAUGAAGUGGGCUACCUUGGUAAGACGGUCUAUUAUCACCCAGAUAGAGUCAUUCCCUUUUUGUGUCCAGGGCAGUCCGGUUACAAAAUCCAUGCCUGUUUCCUCCCACUUCCAUUCGGGCACUAGAAGGGGUUGCAAUAAGCCUGCAAGCUUCUGAUGCUCGGCCUUAGUUCGUUGGCAAGUGUCGCACCGGGCCACAUACUGUGCUAUCUCUUUCUUCAUUCCUCUCCACCAAUAUCUGGUUUUGAGGUCUAGGUACAUCUUGGUGGUCCCUAGGUGGAUAGAGUAGGCUGAGUUGUGAGCUUCGUCAAGCAGGACUUCUCGUGCCUCCCCUUUUGGUACACACAAUUUUUGAACUAAAGGACUCCUUCCUCAUUUGUCCUAAAGUCCGGAAGUGGUUCCUUGCGAGCCUUUUCCAUAAGACCUGCUGUCUCAGUGUCCAGGCGUUGAGCCUUGCAUAUGAGGUCUUCUAGCAUUGGCUUGACUUCUAGGCUGCCAUUGUCUCCCAAACAUGCAUUCAGCUGAGCUAAUUCUUUCUUCCAAUCUUCUAAGAAGUUGGUUCCUUUCUUCCCGAAAGGUUUUCGGCUGAGGGCGUCUGCUACCACGUUGGCCUUCCCGAGGUGGUAGUGGAUCUCAAGGUCAUAAUCUUUGAUCAAUUACAACCAUCUUCGCUGACAGAGGUUGAGGUUUGGCUGAGUGAAGAUAUACUUCAAACUCUUGUGAUCGGUGAAGAUGUGACAUUUGUUCCCAAUUAGGUAGUGCCUCCAUAUUUUUAGGGCAUGCACUAUGGCUUCUAAUUCCAAGUCGUGUGUGGGAUAAUUCUGCUCGUGUGGCUUCAGUAAGCGUGAUGCAUAUGCAAUGACUUUCUCAUUUUGCAUAAGUACACACCCUAAGCCUUGCCUUGAAGCAUCACAGAAGACGACGAAAUCCUGAUGGAUGUCUGGCAACGUCAAAACGGGUGCGGUUGUGAGCUUCUUCUUUAUGAUUUGGAAGCUUUCUUCACACUUCGGGGUCCACACAAACUUAUUGUCUUUCUUGAGGAGCUCGGUCAUUGGUCUGGCUAUGCUGGAGAAUCCUUUGAUAAAACGUCGGUAAUACCCUGCCAUUCCCAGAAAGCUUCGAACUUCACUAACGUUGGAUGGCUGCUUCCAUUUGGAUACUGCUUCUACCUUGGACGGGUCUACUUCUAUUCCUUCUGCAGUCAAGAUAUGCCUAAGGAAGGCUAUCUUUUCUAACCAGAAUUCACAUUUGCUGAGCUUAGCGUAGAGUUGAUGUGCUCUGAGUCUUUCGAGGACCAUCUGGAGGUGAUGCUCAUGAUCUUCUCGACUCUUGGAGUAGAUAAGGAUGUUGUCAAUGAAAACUACAACAAAAUUAUCCAACUCUUCCAUUAAUACCUUAUUCAUGAGGUUCAUGAAAAAGGCAGGUGCGUUGGUUAGUCCGAAGGGCAUUACUGUGAACUCAUACUGUCCGUAUCAGGUGACAAAUGCAGUCUUUUGAAUAUCUGCUUCCUUGAUUCUCAGCUAGUGAUAUCCUGACCUUAGGUCUAUCUUGGAGAAAUACUUGGCCCCUUGAAGCUGGUCGAAGAGGUCGUCGAUCCAAGGGAGUGGAUACUUGUUUUUGAUUGUAACUUCAUUCAAGGAUCGGUAAUCAAUACACAUCCUCAUACUUCCAUCCUUUUUGGUGACGAAAAGGACUGGUGCUCCCCAAGGAGACAAGCUAGGAUGAAUGUACCCUUUUUGUUGGAGCUCUGCGAUCUGGAGUUUUAAUUCUGCUAGUUCGGUGGGAGCCAUGCAGUAUGGUCUCUUUGCGAUAGGCGCAAUGUCGGGGACUAGAUCUAUGUAGAACUCCACUUCUCUUUCUAGUGGCAUUCCUGGCAAUUCUUCUAGGAAUACAUCCAUGAAUUCUUCUACCAUAGAUAUGCUUUCUGCUGCUAGAUUAAACACCAUUGGAUCCUUAGCGGGUGGCUGAGCCUGACAAGAAACUGACUUUCCUUGGUGGUCCGUGAGAAGAACAGUCUUAUUUGCGCAACUUAUGAUGCCCUUGUGUUUGGUUAACCAAUCCAUUCCUAAUAUCACAUCAAUCCUUUGGGAUGGCAAUAUGGUUAAGUCUGCCAAGAACACUACCCCACUUAAAAAAAUUCUGACUUGGGAGCAUUUGAGCUGGCAUAAAAGGUCUGACCCUGGGGUUCGGGUGACCAAGGGAAUUUCUAGGUGGGUAGAGGGAAUGCCAUGCUUAUCCACAAAACUAGUCGCUAUAAAUGAAUGGGAUGCUCCUGAAUCAAAAAGUACAGUAGCGGGAGUAAAUUCAACAAGGAACUCACCGAGCACUACUCCCGGAGCUUGCUGAGCCUCUUGAGCAUCGACGUGGUUUCUUCGUGCCCUGCCAUGAUACUGGGCCUUGCUCUGCUGGCUGAUGGAGGAGGGUGCCUUGGAGGCGGGUGCUGGGGUAUUCUUGGGGCCAUUCACCGAGUUAGAGUAAGUAGGUCCUGAUGCCUUCAAAUGGGGGCAGUUAUUCUUGAAGUGACUGGGGUCUCCGCAGUGCCAACAUGCAUUAGCUGGUGGUUGGUUGCUUGCGACUGAGGGGGCCUGAAAAGAGCUCUGACUCUGCUGACUGAAACAUGACGGAGUGGGUCCAGCUGGUCUAUUGAAGCUUGGUCCCUUGGGUGGAAAUCCAAAGGAUCGAGUUCUCUGGUGCCGGUCUUGUUGCUGAGCUCGGAGGACUUGGAAUUUCCUCUUGAGGUGACCUUUUUCUUCUUGCCUUGCCCUUUCCACUUGUAUGGCCUUGUCUGAGAGGUGCGAGAAGAUGAGGAAAUCUUGGCCAGCAAGGAUGGUCUUGAGUUCUAGUCUUAGCCCUUUCAGAAAGCGGGCCAUCUUCUUGGCUUCUGUGCUGACGUCGUCAGACGCGUAGUGAGCUAAUUCUGUGAAUUUGUGCACGUACUCACUGACAGAUCUUCCACCUUGAGUUAGUUACCGAAAUUCAUCUUCCUUGAGCUGAACGAUCCCUUGGGGCACAUGAUGUUCUCGGAAAGCAGUUUCAAAUUCUGCCCAGGUAGCAUCUCUGACGGCAGUGCUGAAGGUAUCCCACCAUGAUAGGGCCAUCUCGGAAAGUUGAUGAGCAACCAAUUGAACACGCUGAUUCUCAGGGCAUCCAAUGGCUUCUAACUUCCUUUUUAUCGUGUGCAACCAGUCAUUAGCAUCGAGGGGAUUGCUGGAUCCAGCGAAUGUGGGAGGCUUGAGCCUUAGAAAAUCUCCCAUCCUGUCUUGUGGUCUUCCACCAUUCGGGCGCUGAUUCUCCAGACUUCUAGUGAGGACUUCAAUCAGUCGGGUUUGGUUGGCUAGAACUUGGGCUAAAUCUAAUGGCAGCUCCGGAGGUGCAGGGAGGUGGGUCUCACUCCCUUCUCCACCGGCUUCUCCUUCAGCUCUUAGGGGAACCCUGCUCCAAUCCCGGAGGCGAUAGGCGUGGUUUUAUCCGAAGCCAUCUACCAGGGGGAGAGAAUUACUACUAUGCAUGUGCCAAUUUUUUUCAACCAUGUUAUUUUAUUCAUCACACAAGUUCAUUACAAGCAUUCAGUUACCACAAGUCGCACUACACACGAGCGCUUUCUAAGGUACUUACGAACUCCAUUUCUAAAGUGUCCCUGAAUUCCUUGAGAAGGUCGUCAAGGCUAGCUAGGGACAUGUCCUCGACAUCGGACAAGUUCUCUAUCCUGGAGGGAGGUAGUGCUGGAGGGGCUUCCUUCUUCCGCUCAGUCUGGCACCCUUGGCUCUUGGUCUUCUUUCGGAUUUUCUUUGUGGGGGUGAGCUUCUUUAGCUUCUUAUCGUAAUCCAUCUUCAGGGUUCGGUAGGCUUCACGAGUGUUGGCCUCUUCACCUUCUGCUAUUUCGAGACUCUCUUGGAGGGACGCCUUCUCCUUUUUAAGUUCCUUGACCUGUUGCUCUAUGCUUUCCACCCGGGAGUUUAGGUGGGUGCAGUGGGAGGAAAGGUCAUCAUAGUGGUUAUCGAGAGUGUGGAGAUAUCCGGCCAUAUAGACGAUGGUGGGGUCCUCCUCAGUAGGAUCUCUUCCUGACAGGGCCUGAAGUCUUUUCCUCCAGGUAGGGCUAUUUUUUGUUGCUAGGUGGGAAGUAACGAAGGGGGGUUUCAAAACCUCUCUGCUGUAGUUUUGGCAUAGCUGUCAGAGGGCUUUUCGGGCAACAUUUUGGCAUGUGUCUGGGAAGCAGUGUCCGGUGAAGGUGACUUGGAAAGGGGGUGGUUUGGGUAGCUUCGACUUUCUCCCAGGUAGACUGCCAUAGAGCACUUCUCAGUUCCGUUCUCACGGUAUUCUUUCUAGACGUACUCCGGCUUUUUGCGGAUUUCCAUGCGAAGCGCGCAACUCCGCAAGAGAUGAGGGAAUCCUUCCACCUCUGAGCAGUAGGAUGUCUUAAUGACCAAAGAGCCUUCCAUCUCGUAGAAGAAAAGAAGGGUCUGUUAAUAUUAGGGGAAAGGAGAGAAGAUUUUCUUAGAGGUAAGAGGCAUUUUCUUUUUAAGGCAAACUUUUAAGGUCGAGGCUGCAAUCUACGGCCAGUCCUAUGGUCUCUGAUACCACCUGAAGCGUCCCGAUCCUUUGGGACUCAAAUGUGAAACAAUUACUAGUCCCAGGAGGCUAGUAACCACAUUCCUUACUUCAAAUAGUACAACGUUCAAAUAAAAGUUAAUACAAUAGCAGAGUACAAGCUCGAGAGAGAGCCAGAAUUACAAAGCGCAGUAGAAGAUAAACUAGCCCAAGCCACAGGCAGAACUGUGUGCACACAUAGCCCCCUCAAUCAAGCAUAGCAGAAAAGAAGUCUUCAGCUGCUGAAAAACAUAAAUAAAUCUGGGUGAAUACACUAGGUAUUCCGCAAGCCCAUCCCGCUCCUGUAAAGAGAAAGGGACCUAUAUAAUACAUGCUUUAUAUGGUGGAGUUGAAGUCACUCUUCUUUUUCCAGAGAAAGGCAAUACUUUGAUGGUUUUUACCAAAGAAGGAAAUAACACCUUUUCACACUCAACCACCACUGAGCUUCUCGCUCCCGUGGCAUUGUUUUCAUUUCCAAAAACACACUCACUCACACACUUCCCUGUUCCUGGAGGUUAUAAAACACUAAUUGUCAUACCACACCAGACUCGUCCAUUCCAGUGGACACGGACUAUUCGAAUAGGUUUGAACUCUGCGCAGAGGGGUACACUUUACCCACUAGUCUGGUUUCUGCGAUAUCACUGUCGUGAGACCCGAAUGCCAAAUCUCUUUCUUUCCUCGCAUGUCCUUACCUUAACGGUUAAACUGGAAGGAGUCAGGCCACCGCCAUGUCCAAACCGGACAAAACAUUCCCCCUCCUUAUCCUCCCGGUGCUCCCCAGCCUUCAUAACCCUGGGGUUUGGACCGUACGAGUUCAGAUUGAGUGACUGCCCAUACAGUCUCGAGUGGUUGUACUUAUCGUGAGUACAGGUAGUGAAGGAUGACAAACCGGUCCUUAUAUGAGGGGACAAUCCUUCUGCUCACACCUUAACCGGCUGAGCCAUCACCUUAGGCUCUCCCCUAAACCAGGGGGUCCCUGAUCAUCCCACUCACAAGGUGAUGAGGGUGAAUACCCUUCAUCAUACACUGUGAAAACAUCAUUUAGUAAAAACAUGCCCUUUUCCCAUCCCACAUUUUGUACUCAAACAAAUGUUUGUUAAUGCGGGCUAUCUCUCUACUCACAAUGGAAAAGAUCCAUCCCUUAACUCCGACUUAGGUAGUGGUAGAGAGAAUAGGUAAUUUAUGCAUCAAGGGAAGAAUGGACUUGCCUUCGUCGAAGCUUCCUGGCACAAAAGAUCUAUCUCAGAGGGGUCGGGUUCCUGCCCUUCUUCCGGAGCUACAAAUUCCGGAGGAUCGGAUCCCUCUUCUUCUAGCAAAAAUAGAUAAUGAAUAGUACAUCAAUCAUGGUGACUUGGUGGGGUGUGCCAAUUUAUAGACAUUAUUAUUUUGUGCCCUAAAAUUUAUUUAGACUAUUUUUGGUGCAUAAAAUAUCAAUAUAUAUAUACAUAUAUAUAAAAAAGGAAAGGAAAAAAAAGAAAAAGAAUAGAGAUUUCCUCAGCUAGCUGGGUCGGGGGAGGAUGACGGCGCUAGGAGGGGGGUGACGGGGGGGCAAACCGGUCGGGCCCGACCGCCGGUGAGGUCCGCGACUGUUCUCCGCCGGGGCCCCGGUUCUGUGACGGUGGAGUGGUGGCAAGGCACGGGCGGGGGUUGGGGAUCACGGUGGUAGGGUCAAUUUGGCCGGAGGGCGCUUGGGAUGGCCACUCCAUGGCGAGGUGGCAGGCGCCCGCGGUGGGGGAGAUCGCCGGUGAGGCUGCCGGGUGCAAUAGGAAAGGGGGUGGGUGCGUUGUGCUCGUGAGGACAUGGUGAAGCUCAAGAGCUACAAUAAUUGGACUAGAACGCAAUAGAGAGGGGAGGGUGGGACUCACCGGAGCGGAGGAAGGGCGUGGUGGCGCUGGCUCAAUUGAGCUCGGGAGAGGGAAGAGGGAGUGGCCGAGGCUGGUGUGGGGAAAGGCGGAGCUCGGGCGGUUCUUUUUAUAGGUGCCCGGGGCGAGGAAGGGGGCGAGAGGUGGCGAGCACCGACGAGCUUGCCACGACGGGGAUGGUGGCGCACAGUGGUGGCGACGGGAUGGCUCGGGUAGACGGGGCGACGGGAUGGCUCGGGCAGACGCAAGGCGCCAAACCGAGCUGGUGAUCGCGAUAAUGGCGAGGCGACGGGGCGGGCAGUGGCCGGCGGUGAUCGCGUCGCUAUCCCGGUCAUGGGAGCGAGGAAGGCGCUAACAAGCGGGACCCGCUUGUCAGGGAGAGAGAUAGAUCGCGAGAGAGCGAGGGGGAGUGCGGCUGACGGGUGGGGCCGUGCUGGCAGCGACAGAGGGGAGCGCGGGCGAGCGGGCGAUGGGCCGCUUGGGCCGCGAGGGAGAAAAAGAGGCGCGGGCGCGCGGGAGAGAGGUGGGGGUUUGGGUCGGAAACGACCCAUCCAAGGGGGGAGUGUUUUCUUUUUUUCUUUUCUAAUUUUUAUUUCCUAUUUCUAUUUCUUAUUUCUAUUUCUUUUAUAUAUUUUUCUUUUGAACAAAUAAUUAGCUAAAUAAUCUUAGGUGCUAAAAAAUAUAUUCUAUGUGAGGUGCUUCUAACAAUCAUAAUGUAUGCAAAUGAUGAGAUGUCCUAUGAGGUGGAGUCUAGGGAGCAAUUAGGGGGGGGGGUGUUAGGGGAUUAGGGUUCCAAACGUUGGGUUAAAUUUUGGGAUGUUACAUAACUUCACCGAAGACGUGCUACACAGAGAAAAGAUUGAUGUGCACUUGGACGUAGGUUCCAUACCCAAAGUGAUGGUGUAGCAGAGCCAGUCCCCAGUGCGGUGCGGUUGGCGGCGGCAGAGAAAGUACGACGAGGAAUCGUCGCCUCCUAGAGAGCACAACAUGCACGCUGGAGUUUCGAUGGGCAUCCACACACACUGGCGAACGAUCAUGACCAAUCCGAGGACUCUAAACGACGACCGAGGCGGAGAACGUCAAUGGCGGUAGGUCCUUUCUCCCUCGGUAUGGUGGCUUUGGAGAUGUGUGCUCGAGGAGGUAAAAAGGGUUGGUACUUAUCAGCACAAGCGGACACAUAGCUUAAUCAGUUGUAGCCGCCACGAAAUCCACAUUCCCAUAAGCAGGUUCGGUGGAGAUGAGGUGGGGCGUGGCCGAAAUCCCAAGCGGAUCCAUCGGAUUCAGGUGCAACAAAUCGAGCAGGAAGACGGUUCUGUUCGGUGGGCCCCACGGGACAAUGCGCGCGUGCGGUGGGGGAGUGAGGCUGGCGGCGUGGGCCCACAUGGCGGCGAGUUGAGGUGUGUGCGCGGGCGGAGUCUGGCGGCUAGGGUUUGGCGCAGUGGAAGUGCUGGUGGAGAGAGGAUUGGGCCACGCGGGAGUGAAGAGCUGAUAGGGCCGAAAUGAAGUCCCGAGGCCUAGGUAGGUUUCCCCUUUUUAUUUUAUUUUCUUUUUUGAUUUGUUUUUCCUUCUCAUUUUGAUUUGAAAUUUCAAAUUCAAACCUGUGGUAAAUUAUCCUCAGAUUAAGAGUAUAAUUUGAACAUGCUAGUAUUACUUUUAUUUAAAAUAUUUAUUUUGUAUAUAUUUUCUUUUUUUCUAUAUUCUUUUCUAAUUUCUAAUUCCUCAUUUUUAAUUCAAUUCAAAUUCAAAUCAUGUUUUGAACUUCCAAGUUUUCAAAUAUCAAACUUAACUCUAUACAAGACAUAGCAUCUACUAUUUUUUAAUAUUAUUAUUUAUUAUUUCCCCUUGCCAUUUAUUUAUGGUGGAAAAUAAAUGGGUUUAUAAACAUUUUCCUUUCUCAUUUUCUAUUUUAUGAUCUUAUUUAAAAUUGGAGGUAAAGUUUAUCUUUUACAUAAAAUGCCUCACCACAAAAUCAACAAGAGAUCAACCGUGCUUUAUCUAUUUAUUGGUCGCUUAACUAAUUUAGCAUUAUUGUUCGAAUAUGAGGAGGAAAAGUUCUAAUAGGUUCUUCAAAGGUCUUAAAAAUUCUCACAACACUAUUAUAUAUUUUUAUUUCUUCAUCUUAUUAUUUUAUGAUAUGUUUACUUUUAUUUUAUUUUAUUUUAUUUUAUUAUUAUUUUCUCCUACCAAUUUUUGGUCUUACAAAUCCUAUCCCCUUAACAGAAAUCUCGUCCUCGAGAUUUGUAAUAAAAUGGUGUAUACUCACAUUGUCUCAGAACAUAUGCACAAAUAAAAAUCUCGGCAUGAUGUGUAUCUUAUUAUCAACACAUGGGGUCAAAUAGACCUUAUUGUUACUCCUAAAACAGUAAAAUACUAACUACUAACUAAAGUAAUAUUUAGGUCUUACAAAUAGUAAUAUAUAUAUAUAUAUAUUUAUGUAGCUUGGUGGAGCUGGUGGUGGUGGUGGAGGUAGUGGGUGUUGUUGUUGUCUUUCCAACCGUGCUUGCCUCAUUUCUUGACGCAUCUCUAGCCGGUCCUGACGUAUUUCCUGGCGUUCUUGCCUUAUCUGAUUUUGCAUUUCGUUCACCAUGUUUGUCAUUUGUUGUAGUACCAGCAUUUGGGCGGCACACUGGAUCGGUCCCAGCUAGUGGAGGAUUUGGAGGAUUCAUUUCAGUUUGUUGUUGCCUGAUAGUCUUCCCUUUUUGGUAUUGACCAUAAGAGUUAGAAGCAUAUGGUAGGAUAGUUUUGCAAGGAAAGUAUUUGGUAGUCAGAAUGAAUAGGCUAGUAGCUGGUUAUGAACUAAAGAUUCUUUAGCAGGGCUUAAUCUUUGUUUUAUGUCCAGAUUGGGGUAACUAGUCGUAUAAGACGAAUUUCCAAAGGUAAGAUAGAAUCUGUCAAGAUGAGAUAGAUAUGGGUGAGAUAGACUUACAUGAUGUAGGUCAAAAUCUUGUUUGAUGUUAGGUGGGGAUAGUCAGAUUAUGCAAUUCAUCAUGAUUCUACUGGUUGAGUUAAAUCUUUUUGCUCUUGGUUGAGUUGGUCUAAUGUGCUAAGUUAAGUUAACACCUGGCUAGUAGGGUCCAAUCGCUAAUCUAUUUAAGUAGACCACAAUAGAUUAGAUCAUGUUAGAAUAUCAUUUAGUUAAGCACAUCAAGCUUACUUUAUCUAUAUGAAAUUAUAGUAUUUUUUACACCUAAAAUUUUCAUGCCAUUAGCGGUUGUGGUAUAGAAAACAAGGGUACAUCAGGUUUUAACUAUUAGGUGAGUGUAGAGAAGAUUUGGGGUCACAGAAAAUUAGGUAAGGGAGACUUUUAUUCUAGAUGGUGGAUCUUGAUUCAUCUGAAGAUCUGUUUCUACUAAUAUCCUUCAUCGUCGAAGUUAACCUUCUGCUUGGGUCUAAUUUAGGAACCAUCGGUUAUGGUGUUAGAUGCUAUUAUCUGAGUUGGGAUAACAAUUGCGGGUACAUGGGGUAGGUAGAUUAAACAUAAUUUUACUUUGCUUUUGGGAUAAAUGGGUUGGGCAACCUAUAACAUAGGUUAGGUCAUGGUUUCUCAGACGAAUUGGUCUAAGACACCAAUUUAGGUUUAAAACCUAUUUAUAGGAAUAUGGUCUAAUCUAUGUUACCAGUAUUAACUAACUUGUUUAAGUAACUUCCUUUAGAUUAGAUCGUAUUAGAUUAGGCAGGGUCUAGAUUAGAUUGGAUAUAACUAGAUUAGAAUAGUUUAAAUUAGAUAGAUCUACCAAGGUAGGAUAUAUAUUAUUAGGAUAUGUUAGAAUCUUUUGAGAUAGGAUGGAUUAUAUGGUGUAGGUAGGCCAGAAUCUCUGAUAGAUCAAAACAGAGGGUUAUGCAACCAUCGAAUGAUUAAGGUAAUUGCAUAAGGCCAAGUUGGUCUAUCGUUCUUAAUUUAGUGCAGAGUGAACUAAGUUAAAACAUAUUUUAUAGGAGUAGAGUCUCAUUUAUUUCAUCAGUAUUAUCCUUCUUGUUAAGCAACUUAUAUUUGAUUAGCUCAACUUGAGGUUAGCCUUCGUUAGGUUAGAUUAAUCUGUCACAUUAGGUCAGAUCUAGGUAUGACUAGCUUCGACUAGAUAAGAUCCAAUUAAUUUGGGUUAGACAAUGAUCAUGGUGGGAUAAGUCAAGUGGUUUUAGUCAUGCAAAUAUAACUUAGAUCUGAUCUCAUUAUUUUGGAUUAGAUCCUGGUUGUUACUUUAGGAUGAGUUAAGUAAAGUGGUUAGGAUAAGACAAAUCUUUCAAGAUAAGCUGAAUCUAUUAAGAUAAGAGGGAUUUUUAAAGAUAAAAUGGAUCUAUUAAACUAGCUAUAUUUUUAAUUAGGGAAUAUUCUGUGUUGUCUAUUUUAUAAAUAUUUUCCCUUAUGUCUCGGUGUAUAUGCAGAUGCAAUUGUGGAAAUUACUCCAUAAUCCAUCACACUCAAUCAAAGAUCCAAAUCAGACAAGUAUCAUAAGAACAAACACUCAAGCGUAUAGAUACAUAUAAAAAUAGUUUUAUUUUUGUUCCUAAGAGUAGGUCUCCAAUUCCUAAAGAUCACUUUAGGCACAGGAUUUCAAAGUGUGAAAUCCACAUUUGUCUUUAGAAGGAAAAGGUAAGAAUAAUUAGAGUAAAGCGGAAAUAGAUGAGGAAAGAUUAAGAAAAGUUUAGAAAGAAUCAGAGUAGCGAAGGUAAGUAAAUAAGGGUUUUGUCCAUUUCUAUCUAGGUUUCGUCCUACAGUCAACAUUACUCUGAUACCACUUCUGUCACACCCAGAUUUAAGGGAUAAAGCCGGGUGCAUCUCAUAUAUGCGCCAAAGAAGACAACACAUAUAAUAAUAGAGUGUAUAGAUAUAAAUGUCACAAUAUAAUCAGAGUACUUAUUACAUAACGGAAGUCUUACAAAAUAAGAGAUAAAUAUAAAACGAACUAAAGUCCAUCCUUGUCACCAUAAAGUCGACUGGGAGACGCCACCUAGAUCAAAUCGAACUCCUCGUUGUGUGGCUCCUCUUGAACCACCUGUUCUUCUCCUGUGGGGGUGUGAGACAGCAAGGGUGAGCUCACACAUGUUCAUCGCUCAACAACUUGUGGGGAAUAAUGUGCAUGAACUCACCAAAGGUGGGAGUUCAUGUGAUGUGUAAGGCUGAUCAAGAAUAGGGGUUUAAAGCUGAGCAUUGCUUUUAAUAAGUUGGUCAAAUUUUUAUUAGCAGUUACUAAAUGUAAGUAGAUACCAAACCAUAAUAAGAAUAGAACAAAAUUAAUAAAUAAUCCCAUGCAAUGCGUAUGACAAAUUGAAUUUAGUUUCAAAAUUUAAUCAUUCGAGAGUCCUGAGCUGCUCUUGACGGUGAGCUUGGCUAGUAUACCAGUUUUACACUCUACAGAGGUUGUACCCUAUACCCACAAGUCAUGUUACCAUCUACCAUGGGUUCAUGAGUCCCAUACACCUCUACCAAGGAAGCGAGGCAGGGUAACACUACGAAGCCUUUACAAAGUUCCACUAGCUUCCGAAAACCCACUAUAGUUUCUGGGAAGAGCAAUUGCAAGAAUCCCUCGUCUGACCGCCAUCGCAGCAAAAUCAACCCGAGAACCUCCCUGCACGCCUACUCCCCUACUGCCCUUGCCCCUUUCGGGUAGGGUAGUCUUCCUCUAGCUUUCCUAAUUAGUCAGCCAAGGGCGUCCCAUUCCACCCUUGUGGUGGCAGGUGUUUCUCAAGUUAAGCUCCAUGUUCCAAUUAAAAUUAAUGAUCUUGACAUGAACAAAAAUAACAUAACAGAAUAAUUGGAACAUGCAUAUAAUGAAAUAUUAACCCAAAACCAUAUAAAGCAAUAGCAUAACUGCCCAAAUGAUUCAGGGAUAAACAAGGUAAAAAGAAUAACCAGUCUAGGGUGACCUAUUGGGUCCCAUCAAAUUAAACCUAUGCAUGAAUAAGUGAUAUUAAAGAACAUUAUUGGGUAAAAAGUGGUCAAGGACACAACUUGCCUGGGACUUGAGAUUCCAGGUACUAGGAUGAUCCUUAGAUUCUCGUGACCUCACUACUAGUCGUAGCAAUACAAACAAACAUGGUAUCGGCAAAAUUAACAUCACACCAAUCAUAAGAAUAAAUUGUAUAACAAUGAUCUACGCGUUGCUACGAGAUCGUGGGAUCGAGAACCACCAAAAUUGGAGUUACAGUUAUAAAGUUAUGAUUUAUGGGAGAUCUAUGUGAUUUAUCCAUUAAACUAUGUUAUAACUUGGUUAGUGUAAAUCAUAUGAGAGAUUAUUCUAUAAAUAAUUAAAUCAGCAUUAGUUUUAAUUAUAACUUGACUAGAGAUCAUAUUUUAAUCAUAUUAUAAUUAUGGACAGGUAAAUUUAAUUUAGGAGAGUUAAUCUAGUAGACAUAGGAUAAAUAAAUAUCUAACUAUAAAAGUAUGAGACAUGGUUUAAUUAAUGUUGUUACUGAGUAGUAAAUAUUUAUACGAAACUAACGCAACUUGAACGGAUCGAAACAGAGUUAAAAUGAGAUAGUUAUGGAUUUUCACAGUUAUAGGUGCUAGGUACAAGAUUAAUUAGAAGAUUGAUUUUAAUAUUGUUUUCAUGUCAAAACAAAGACACUAGUUGGUAAACAAUAAUAACAAAAUUAUAGAAACUGGAAUGAAUCAAUUUGGACUUAAUAUGAAUUUUCUAUGGAUUAAACAAAUUCUAGCCAUUAUUUUUAUAUUAAAAUAGAUUUCCAAUUCAAUUUCUCUGAUUUACAAACUCCCCGGACUGGGCACAUGAAAACCAAGGAGUGCAGGGUCUCUAGCGUAAAAGGACCUAAGACUCAGGCGAACCCCUAUAUGGACGGCGGGUUGAUUUAUGUAAAGCGCAGGGUCUCUUAUGCAUAAUCCUCUGGCCAAAGGGGUAUCAACCAAUUCUAGCCACACGAUCUAAAAUCUAUCGUCCAGAUUACAUUAUUUUUAUUAUGAAAUAGCGCGCGAUCACAGAAGAACGACAACCGUUGAUUCCGAGAUCUGCGAACCAGAUUUAAAAUAAGUGAGGACUAGUAUCCACACCCCCGGAUCUAGAUCGGACGGACCACAUUACCUUGACCGAACCGACAACAAGCACAUCUAAUCGCAGCCGUACGUGUCGCGAUCGACGACUAGGAUUAACUCUUGCAAACCGUUAUUUUUGGAUCUAAUCCAGUAUGUCCAUUUGGAGAUCUAUGACUAGCCUUCCUUCUCCUACCUCUAUCCAAGCCGAGCGACUGCGCCGCCGCCGCUGUGGUAGAGCUUCACCGGCGAACAGUGAACCUCGCACUCCCGCUCCCAUAACUUCACCGAACACGUGUUAAACAAGGUAGGUUUCCCCUUUUUAUUUUAUUUUCUUUUUUUAUUUGUUUUUCCUUCUCAUUUUGAAUUCAAAUUUCAAAUUCAAACCUGUGGUAAAUUAUCCUCAGAUUAAGAGUAUAAUUUGAACAUGCUAGUAUUACUUUUAUUUAAAAUAUUUAUUUUGUAUAUAUUUUAUUUUGUUUUCUAUAUUGUUUUCUCAUUUCUAAUUCCUCAUUUUUAAUUCAAUUCAAAUUCAAAUCAUGUUUUGAACUUCCAAGUUUCCAAAUAUCAAAAUUAACUCUAUACAAGACAUAACAACUACUAUUUCUUAAUAUUAUUAUUUAUUAUUUCCCCUUGCCAUUUAUUUAUGGUGGAAAAAAUGGGUUCAUACAAAUUUUACUUUCUCAUUUUCUAUUUUAUGAUCUUAUUUAAAAUUGGAGGUCAAGUUUAUGUUUUCUAUAAAAUGCCUCACCACAAAAUCAACAAGAGAUCAACCUUGCUUUAUCUAUUUAUUGGCCGCUUAACUAAUUUAGCAUUAUUGUUCGAAUAUGAGGAGGGAAAGUUCUAAUAGAUUCUUUAAAGGUCUUAAAAAUUCUCACAACACUAUUAUAUAUUUUUAUUUCUUUAUCUUAUUAUUUUAUGAUAUGUAUAUUUUUAUUUUAUUUUAUUUUAUUAUUUUUUUCUUCUACCAAUUUUAGGUCUUACAAGUUGAUUGUCCCGUAACUUUGGUAGCACCAUCCGCAGAUGUUCCUCAUGAUCACUAUCAUUCUUGGAAUAAACCAGAAUAUCGUCGAUGAAUACCACGACGAAUCUAUCGAGAUACUCCAUGAACACCUUGUUCAUCAGAUUCAUGAAGUAGGCUCACGCAUUAGUUAAGCCAAACUACAUGACUGUGAACUCAUAUAGACCAUAUUGGGUAAAGAAAGCCGUCUUGGGAAUAUCAGAUUGCCUAAUCUUCAUUUGAUGAUAACCCGACCUAAGGUCAAUCUUAGAGAACAACCUAGCACCUCUCAUCUGAUCAAAUAAAUCUUCAAUAUGGGGUAAAGGAUACUUGUUCUUAAUUGUGACAUCAUUUAGUGAUCUAUAGUCCACACACAUCCUUUGCGAAUCAUCCUUGUUCUGUACAAACAGAACCGGUGCUCCCCAAGGUGAGGAACUCGGACGAAUGUACCCUUCUUCUUGCAACUUUGUUAAUCGCUUCUUAAGUUCUUUUAAUUCUUCCACUGACAUCCUAUAUGGCCUUUUUGAAAUGGGAGCAGUACCAGGUAAGAGAUCAAUGACAAAUUCAACUUCCCUAUCUGGUGGCUUUCCGGGUAACUCUUCAGGAAAGACAUCUGGAAAGUCUCUAACCACAUGGAUGUUUCUACCCACAAAUUUUCCAUCUACUAGAAAUAUGGCGGGUCUGGUAGAGGCGAUUAUGGUAAUCUCAACUUGAAAUCUUUCCCCUUUAGAACUUGUGAGUUCUACAGUUCCCUUAUCACAGUGUAUAAUUGCCUUUGUUUUCCUUAACCAGGACAUCCCGAGUAUCAUAUUAUCGGCGUUUCGACCCCGGGGGGUCCCUGGACCGACGAGUGAAUUGUCGCCGCGUGUCCCAGCCCAGAUGGGUCGGCGCGAGACGGAGCACAAAGGGGGGAAGAAACAUGCAAAAGGGGAACCCGCAGCCUUCGUGUUGCCCUGCGCCCAGGUCGGGUGCGCUUGCAGUAGGGGGUUACAAGCGUUCGCGUGGGGGAGCCUUAUGCGCCGGCCCGUUCUCCCGCACGGCCAACCUUCUCGUAUGAGAGCCCUGGACCUUCCUUUUAUAGGCGUAUGGAGAGGGUCCAGGUGUACAAUGGGGGGUGUAGCAGUGUGCUAACGUGUCUAGCAGAGAGGAGCUAGAGCCCUAAGUACAUGCCGUCGUGGCAGUCGGAGAUGUUUUGGCACCCUGUUCAUGUGAUGUCGUGGCCGUCGGAGGAGAGCUGGAGCCCUGUGGGAGGACAACUGUCGGGGCUGUCGAGUCCUUGCUGACGUCUCCUUGCUUCCGUAAGGGGCUGAGAGCCGUCGUCGUCAUGGAGCACGUGGGGCGGCAUCAUUAUUUGUUUACCGGGGCGAGACAGAUGUGACGCCGGUCUUAUUCCCCGUAGCCUGAGCUAGCUAGGGGUAGGGUAAUGAUGGUCUUCCUUGUGACGUGGCAGGUUCGAGCCCGAGGUCGGGCGAGGCGGAGGCUCCUCCUAGGUCGAGGCUGAGUCUGAGCCCUAGGGUUGGGCGAAGCGGAGUUCGUCUUCCAAGGUCGAGGCUGAGUCCGAGCCCUAGGUCGGGCGAGGCGGAGACCGUCUUCCGAGGCCGAGGCUGUGUCCGAGCCCUGGGGUCGGGCGAGGCGGAGACCGUCUUCCGAGGCCGAGGCUAUGUCCGAGCCCUGGGGUCGGGCGAGGCGGAGUCCGUCGUCCAGCGUCGAGGUUGAGCCUGAGCCCUGGGGUCGGGCGAGGCGGAGACUGUCUUCCGAGGCCGAGGCUAUAUUUGAGCCCCGGGGGUCGGGCGAGGCGGAGUCCGUCGUCCACUGUCGAGGUUGAGCCCGAGCCCAGGGGUCAGGCGAGGCGGAGACUGUCUUCCGAGGCCAAGGCUAUGUCCGAGCCCCGGGGGUCGGGCGAGGCGGAGUCCGUCGUCCAGCGUCGAGGUUGAGCCCGAGCCCUGGGGUCGGGCGAGGCAGAGCUUCCUAUGGCGCCCGAGGCUGGACUUAGCUGCUGUCAGCCUCACUCUAUCGAGUGGCACAGCAGUCAGAGCGACGUAGGCAGCGCUGUUUUCUUGUCAGGUCGGUCAGUGGAGCGGCAAAGUGACUGCGGUCACUUCGGCUCUGUCGACUGAAGAACGCGCGUCAGGAUAAGGUGUCAGGCGAUCCUUGCAUUAAAUGCUCCUGCAAUACCGUCGGUUGGCGUGGCGAUCUGGCCAAGGUUGCUUCUCUGCGAAGACUGGGCCUCGGGCGAGCCGAAGGUGUGUCCGUUGCUUGAGGGGGCCCUCGGGCGAGACGUGAAUCCUCCAGGGUCGGCUGCCUUUGCCCGAGGCUGGGGCGAGAUCGUGUCCCUUGAGUGGACUGAGCCUUGACCCUAAUCGCGCCCAUCAGGCCUUUGCAGCUUUGUGCUGAUGGGGGUUACCAGCUGAGAUUAGGAGUCUUGGGGUACCCCUAAUUAUGGUCCCCGAUAGUAGCCCCCGAGCCUCGAAGGGAGUGUUGAUACUCGCUUGGAGGCUUUUGUCGCACUUUUUUGCAAGGGGACCGGCCUUUCUCGGUUGUGUUUCAUUCCGGUGGGUGCACGGGAGCGCACCCGCCGGGUGUAGCCCCCGAGGCCUUGGAGGAGUGGUUUGACUCCUUCAAGGUCUUAGCGCGUUUCGUGAUGCUUCGGCCGGUCUGGUUGUUCCCUCAUGCGAACUGGCCGUAGCCCGGGUGCAUAGUCGAGUCCCAAGUUCUCGGGCUGGUAUGUUGACGCUGUCAACGGUUUGGCCGGAGCCAGUUUUGCGAGAGCAGCCCCCGAGCCUCCGCACAGAGCGGGAGGGCAGUCAAGGACAGACUCGGCUUUUUUCAUACGCCCCUGCGUCGCCUUUCCGCAAGGAGGAGCAGGGAAAGCCCCAUGUUGCCCUCGGACGACGUCGAACAUGGUGUCUCUAAUGAGUUGCUAAUGGGUAAUCGGAGUGGACGCCCGUGCCCCAUUCGUUAGGGGUCGGCUAGUGGCCCGGAGGCGCGCUCCAAAAGUACCUGCGGGUGAUUCGCGGGACCCGAUCCCCUUUUGACGGGGUCCGAGGGCUCGAUGCCUCCCUCUGGUGGGAUUCCGUUACAAAAUCGUUCCCGUCGGUCUCGGAAAUGUCCUAGGGUACCUCGGGAGCGUAGCCCGAGCCUUGGUUAUGAAUCAAACGUACCCAGUGUCAUCCCUCGCUCUGCGUGCUCUAAGGCGGCUGUCAGAACCCUUCGGGGGCCAGCCUACGAACCCCUGAUCAGUAGUGGGCGCGGAGCCCGAGUGGCCUGAGGCAGCCGUUGAACCCUUAGAGGGGCCAGCCUUCGAACCUCUGACCAGUAGUGGGCGCGGAGCCCGAGUGCUCUGAGGCGGCUGUUGAACCCUUCCAAGGGGCCAGCCUUCGAACCUCUGAUCAGUAGGGGGCUCGGGGCCCGCUUCCUUCGCGGAGAAGGAUCCCUUUCGAAGUAUCCCCUUUCCCGGUCCCUAUGGCAUGAGAGAGAAAGAGGAAGCGGAAAAGGAUACAAAAUCGAAUGAUGUGGCGCACCUUUUUUGACGCGGUCAUCAUGGCGGAGGUGAAGCGUCGCCUGCUUCGCCUGCCAAAGGUGCCGCCUGUCCUGCCGCAAAGUUAAUGCGACGGGACGAGUGGUUCGCGGGGCAGCCGUUGUGCGUGCGCGAGCCGUUCGAGGAACGGGCGUCUCACUUUGAGUUUUGAAUCUCGCGGCGGGUUCGGGCGAAGUGUUGAACGGGUCUCGCCUGGGCCUUUAUAUAUUCGGGAGAGGGACCGGUGUCGGUUCUUUACUCUGCUGCUUGCCUCCCACUUAGGUUUUCGCAACCCGAGGGAAUAGCCAGAGAAAGGAAACCGCGCACCUAGUCCUCUCCGCCGCCACCUCUUCUGCUUGGUGAUGGCCGACCGGGUGACCAUUGUUUCGCCGCGCGACUCGUGGCCUUUCUCCACCGUCAUGGCGAAUGAUCUGGAGGCCCUUGUUGCUGAUGAUUUGCUUCGCCCUCUCUCCGGUGACUCGUAGCCGGAGUGGAUGGCCCCUCCGAGCGGAGCCGCCCCGUCCCCGCCGCCGGGGUAUGUGCUGAGCUUCGUCUCCUUUCACGAGCGGGGGUUCGGAGUGCCGGCGAGCCGUUUUAUGCGGGCGAUUCUGCACGUCUACGGGGUGGACCUGCACAAUCUCAGUCCCAACUCCAUCUAGCAAGCAGCCAUCUUCGCGGCGGUUUGCGAAGGAUAUUUGGGGAUUGCCCCCCAUUGGGACCUGUGGACCCAUCUCUUCUUCGCAGAGCUUUUUGCCUCGUCGACGGGGGAAAGAAGAGUUCGCAUGGUGGUGAGGGCCGGUGGCUGCAUCCUCUAGUUGAGGCAGGCGCGGUCGCUGCAGUACAUCCCUGCCAUCCUCGCGUCUUCGAACAAAGGGUGGCAGCGCCGGUGAUUUUAUCUCCGAAAUGACGACGCGAGGCUCCCGUCGUUUUCUCAACGAGUGGUGACCGCCACCGCCGAUAACUGGCGCUACAGGACCCCGCGCGAGAGACAGAAGAAUCUCCAGCCCCUUUUGAAGGCCUUGGAGGAGCUGCAAGAAAGAGGGCUCACCGCCGCGGGGGUGGUUGCCGCCAUUCAUCGCCGGAGGGUGCUCCCCUUGACGGAGCGGCGGCUGCCGCUUUGGGAGAUGAUGCCGGGGGUCGACUUGGAGGGUUUUCAGAUGUCCUCGGAUCCCCUUCCCGCCGACGACCUUCACAGGCGGGUAGCCGACACGGUAGGGAAGUUAGACACCGGCGCCCUUUCCCAGCUCUCGAUGCGUCCCGAUCGUGGGUGUGUGUCCCUGGUGAGUGUCCGCUCCUUCUUCCUUCUUGUGUCGGAUUGCCCUUGGUUCUCACAGUCGAAACUUUUCGUCCGUUUCCAGGUGGUGGGGUUUCACAAGCCUUCCCUGCCACCGGUCCCGGAGGACGCGGUGGACCGAGCUGCGUGGAGGGUCGUCGCGGAGAAGAGGAAGGAGAAGAAGGACGCGAAGAAGGCUCGGGCUCGCGAGCGGAUGUGGGCUCGGGACGCCUUGGAAAGGCUUCGUUGUCAGCAGAGGAUGGGCUCCCGAGGGAGCCGUCGCCGGAGACGCCUGAUGACGACGACGACAAUGAAGACGAUGAUGAAGACGACGACAUGGCUGCCCGCCUCAGCCUCAGCCCGGAUCUGAGGCCGGGCCAGGGGUCGUCGAGCCAGCCCCUGAGCGGGCUGGCGCCGUCGGUAUCUGGGGCCGGGACGUCGGGGUCCCGGUCCGAAGAACGGGGGUAGGCCGAGGGGGUACUUGACCCCUUGGCCGAGGUAGUUGAGGCGACCCCGGGGAGUCAGGCCGAGCCGCCUGCUCCCCAAGAACCGUUGCCCGUACCGACUGCGCAGGAAGGUGAUCCUCGGGUCGUCGUGGCUGCGCCUGGGCAGUCCGUCCCUCUGGUGCCUCGGGCGCCCAGGGCAAGGAUGCUGCCAAAGCCGGCAGCGGGGCUGACCUCGGUGGUACCUUCGAGGAUCGAGACUCGAGAGACCUCCCCACAGGCACGAUUGAUCAUGGCCCGGAGUGGGUAAGUAUCUUAAGAUACCUUCAUCCUGGCUCCUCCUUCGUGUGUCCUGAUCCUGCUCUUCCUUUUCUUCCUAGCAAACGGAGGCAUGGUUCGACCGGUCUGGCUCCCUGGAAGAUCCUCAAAACGGCGCCGGCUUCUGCAGCCAGUGUCGCACCGGGCCUCGCCGGCCAGCUGGCCUCCUUACAAGAUGCCCCAAAGCGGGGGCCCAGGCGGCACAAGUUGCCGUGGGGCGAGCUCCCGAGGCCGACUCCUCCGUCGAGGCGGCCGUCGUGCCGAGGGAGACUGCUGGCGCGGCUGCGGCCUCGAGCCCACCAGACGCGUCGCCGGCGCUGGCACCGGCUUCUGCCAAGGUGGUUGCUGUUCUGGCCGUGGAGCCACCCGUCGCCGCCGAUGCUGAGAUGGCUGAGGCGUCGCUACUUGAUGCCUUGGAGAAGGGGGGCGCAGAACCGCGACCCGUCUUGGGGAGCGGCAGCCUCGUCCCCGCGCGACGCAGUCCCGACGGGCGGCGUCAGUCGCUCCGGUUCUGGACCAGUGGGGCUUCGGACCCCCUCUUCGUUCUUGACGAUGAGCGAGAGGAGCAGUCUUGGGACGAGCUUCAUGAGUGUGCCGAGGCAACGGUGGGGUCGCUUCGGUCGACCUUGGAGGUCCUUUGCAGGGACGUUCCCAAGAUCCUCCAGGUAAUGAUUUCAAGCAUACCUUUCACGUGAUCAAGGCAUUCUUUAUGACGCCCCGCUUCCUCUCCUCAGGAUCUGACGGAUCUGAGCGCCGCCAAGUCGUCGUUCAUCCGUCGUGAGGCCGAUGUCUAGGGUUCGCUGUGGUCCCUAAGGACCACGCUUGCCGGGGCUACCGAGCGCCUCUCCCAACGGAGCGCCGAGGUGGCGGACCUUCGGUUGCUCUGUGUCGAUCUGGGAGCAGAGGCAGCGGUGGCACGCGUAGAGGCGCAGCGGCAGCAGUUGGAGCUUGGCCAGGUCAUCGGCGAGCGGGACCAAUCUCGGGGUCGGGCCGCCGAGGCUGAAAGCCGGGCUGAGGCUCUUGGAGUCCAGUUGGCCGAGACGUCUGCUCGGGCUGGAGCCCUUGCGGCAGACCUAGCCGUGGCCCAAGCCGCAUCCUCGGAGCAGCGUGCCCGAGCCAAAGGUAUGUCUUGGCCAUUUUAAGAUUUUGAUUCAGCUUCGUUCCUCAACUCAUGUUUGAAGUCUUCCGCUUUGGCUGUUUGUAGAGCUCGAGUCUGCCCUCGAUGAGUCCACCAAGGCACUUGCCCAGGCGGCCGAGCAGAGGGAGGCCGACCACGUGGCCAUGUCCGAGGCCAUCUCGGCCUUCUGCCGGGUCUUUGGUUUCGACGAUGUCCCCUCGGGAAGCUCCCCUCAGAGUCGCCUUCAGGCCUUGGGUGACCACGCGCGCGGCAGACUCCGCGAGGCGCUGCAUCACGGCGUUAGGCGGGCCUUCGCCGUGCUCGCUUCCCACUACGAUGUGGAUCUGGAGCGGGUCAGCGAGGGGUAUUGCCUUCCCGAUGAAGAUGAAGCUGCCCUGGCCGAAGUCCAGAGGCUUGACGCGGCCGCCGCGGGCCCAAGCGCGGUGCUGGCGACCACCUUCGAAGCAGAGAUCCUCCCGCUUGCGCCGUCGUCCGAGGCUGGGGCGGAUCUCGCCAAGGGUGGGGACGAAGCCGAGGGCGCGGCUCCUUCUCCGGGCGACGCCUGAUUCUGCCGGAGCAGUUUAUUUUGAAUGCAUAUGUGUCUUUUGCGGCCGCCGAGGCCCGAACACUUUAUCAUCAUAAUAUAAGGUUGUGUUUCUUUUCCUCCUGUGUUGCGUAUCCGGACUCGUUCGUCAGUAGCAGGAUUUCUUACCCAAGCAAGAGUUAUUUUUCAUGGUAGGCGACGAGUGAGGUAUCCGUAUCCCAGAGGCGUAGGAGUCCCUCGGCUCGGUCGGCCUUGCCACUUACAUGCACCCUUAUUUGUUUCUUGGGGUCCUGUUACUGAUAUAGCCGGGAGACGCGAAAGUCGUUUUGAUGGAAGACUUUUUUCGAGGAAAAUUUUGACGCAGAGGGGGUUUCCCCCUUCUAGCCCCCGAGGGAGGGUCGGGCUUUGCCGAGGCAAGGCUGAGCCUUCCUUGAUGGUUAGACUUCAUAUGUAAACGAGGUAUAUGAACGGCUUGAAAACAUCUUAAGGGUAGAAGCGACGUAGCUGUCGGAUGUUCCAAGCGUUGCUGUAGACCUCGCCUUGACUGUUGGCCAGCUUGUACGUCCUGGGCUUCAAAACCUUGGCGAUGACGAAUGGCCCUUCCCAGGGAGGCGUGAGCUUGUGCCGCCCUCGGGCGUCUUGUCGUAGUCGAAGCACCAAGUCGCCCACCUGGAGGUCUCAGGACCGAACCCCUCGGGCGUGGUAGCGUCGCAAAGACUGCUGAUACCACACCGAGUGUAGCAAGGCCAUGCCCCGAGCCUCUUCCAGCUGGUCCAGUGAGUCUUCUCGGUUGGUUCGAUUGCUUUGGUCGUCGUACGCCCUCGUCCUUGGGGAACCGUAUUCUAAGUCUGUGGGCAAGAUGGCCUCGGCCCCAUAGACUAGAAAGAACGGUGUGAAGCCCGUGGCUCGGCUCGGUGUUGUCCUCAGACUCCAGACCACCGAGGGGAGUUCCUUCAUCCAUCGCCUGUCGAACUUGUGGAGGUCGUUGUAGAUCCUCGGCUUGAGUCCUUGCAGAAUCAUGUCGUUGGCACGUUCUACCUGCCCAUUCGUCAUGGGGUGAGCCACGGCGGCCUAGUCCACCCAGAUGUGGUGAUCCUCGCAGAAGUCCAGGAACUUUCUCCCGGUGAACUGGGUGCCGCUGUCGGUGAUGAUGGAGUUCGGGACCCCAAAGCGAUGGAUGAUGUUGGUGAAGAACGCCACCGCCUGUUUGGACCUGAUGCUAUUUAUGGGUCGGACCUCGAUCCACUUGGAGAAUUUGUCGAUGCCGACCAGCAGGUGCGUGUAGCCCCCGGGUGCCUUCUGCAAGGGACCGACGAGGUCCAGACCCCACACAGCAAACGGCCAGGUGAUGGGUAUUGUUUGCAGAGCCUGAGCGGGUAGGUGCGUCUGCCUUGCGUAGAAUUGACACCCUUGGCAGGUGCGGACAAUUCUAGUAGCAUCGGCCACCACGGUCGGCCAGUAGAAACCUUGUCGGAAAGCGUUUCCAACAAGGGCUCGAGGCGCUGCGUGAUGACCGCAAGCCCCCUAGUGUAUUUCUUGUAAUAACUCCUGACCUUCGGUGAUGGAUAUGCAUCGCUGGAGGAUGCCGGAGGGGCUGCGGUGGUAGAGCUCCUUCCCGUCACCCAGCAAGACGAAUGACUUCGCGCGCCGCGCCAGUCGCCGAGCCUCGGCUUGGUCGAGGGGUAGCUCUCCUCGGUGGAGAUAUUGCAGGUAUGGGGUCUGCCAGUUUCGAUUAGGCGUGACCCCAUUCCGCUCUUCCUCGAUGCGCAGUGCCUCACCCUCGGGGGCCGAGGGCGCCUCGGGCAGGGCCGAGACCUUCUCGAGCUCGGGCGUGUCGUCGGUCUUGACUGAGGGUUGAUGUAGGUCUUGGGAGAAGACGUCCGGGGGAACCAUUGUUCGCGCCGAAGCUAUCUUCGCUAGCUCAUCCGCAGUCUCGUUGUAUCGCCGGGCGACGUGGUUGACCUCGAGCCCGUAAAACUUGUCUUCCAGGCGCCGAACCUCGUCGCAGUAGGCUUCCAUAUUCGGGUCGCGACAGUGGGAGUUCUUCAUGACUUGCUCAAUGACAAGCUGCGAGUCACCGCGAGCGUCGAGGCGUCGGACCCCUAGCUCGAUGGCGAUGUGCAACCCGUUGACCAGAGCCUCGUACUCAGCCACGUUGUUGGACGCCGGGAAAUGGAGGCGCAACACGUAGCGGAGGUGCUUUCCGAGCGGCGAGAUGAAGGGCAGGCCCGCGCCUGCCCCUGUUUUCAUCAGCGACCUGUCGAAAAACAUGGUCCAGAGUUCCGGUUGGACUGGAGCUGUUGGAAGCUGGGUGUCGACCCAUUCAGCCACAAAGUCCGCCAAGACUUGGGACUUGAUGGCCUUCCGAGGGGCGAACGAGAUUGUCUCGCCCAUGAUUUCCACCGCCCACUUUGCAAUCCUACCCGAGGCCUCUCGGCACUGGAUGAUCUCCCCCAGGGGGAAGGAUGACACCACAGUCAUCGGAUGAGACUCGAAGUAGUGUCGCUACUUCCGCCGCGUCAGAAUCACCGCGUACAACAACUUCUGAGUUUGUGGGUAGCGGAUCUUGGUCUCGGACAGUACCUCACUGAUGAAGUAGACUGGCCUCUAGACGGGCAAUGCAUGCCCCUCUUCUCGUCUCUCAACCACGAUCGCGGCGCUGACCACCUGAGUGGUAGCGGCGACGUAGAUCAAGAGGGCUUCUCCGGCAGCGGGGGGCACCAGGAUGGGUGCGUUCGUAAGGAGCGCUUUUAGGUUCCCGAGGGCUUCCUCGGCCUCGGGGGUCCAAGUGAAGCGCUCGGCCUUCCUUAAGAGGCGGUACAGAGGUAGGCCUCUUUCGCCGAGGCAUGAGAUGAAGCGGCUCAGAGCCGCAAGGCAUCCCAUGACCCUCUGUACGCCUUUCAAGUCCUUGAUGGGCCCCAUGUUGGUGAUGCCGCGAUUUUCUCCGGGUUGGCCUCGAUGCCCCGCUCGGAGACGAUGAACCCCAAGAGCAUGCCUCGGGGGACUCCAAAGACGCACUUCUCGGGAUUGAGUUUUAUGCCUUUCGCCUUGAGACACCGGAAUGUCGUUACAAGGUCAGAGAGGAGGUCGGAGGCUUUCCUCGUCUUGACUACGAUGUCAUCGACGUAAGCCUCGACCGUUCGACCAAUGUGCUCUCCGAACACAUGGUUCAUGCACCUUUGGUACGUCGCGCCCGCAUUCCUCAAACCAAAUGGCAUAGUAACGUAGCAGUACAUGCCAAAGGGCGUGAUGAAAGAAGUCACGAGCUGGUCGGACUCUUUCAUCCUGAUUUGGUGAUACCCUGAGUAGGCAUCGAGGAAAGACAGGGUUUCGCACCCAGCAGUGGAAUCCACGAUUUGAUCGAUGCGAGGCAGAGGGUAGGGAACCUUCGGACAUGCUUUGUUUAGACCAGUGUAGUCUACACACAUCCGCCAUUUCCCUCCUUUCUUUCUCACAAGCACAGGGUUGGCAAGCCAUUCGGGAUGGAAUACCUCUUUGAUGAACCCUGCGGCCAUCAGCUUGUGGAUCUCCUCGCCUAUGGCUCUGCGCUUUUCUUCGUCGAAUCGGCGCAGAGGCUGCUUCACGGGUCGGGCUCCAGCUCGGAUAUCCAGUGAGUGCUCGGCGACAUCCCUCGGUAUGCCAGGCAUGUCCGAGGGACUCCACGCAAAGACUUCGGCGUUCGCGCGGAGAAAGUCGACGAGCACUGCUUCCUAUUUGGAGUCGAGCUCGGAGCCGAUCCGUAUCUGCUUGGAGGCGUCGUUGCUGGGGUCGAGAGGGACGGACUUAACCGUCUCUGCUAGCUCGAAGUUGCCGGCGUGGCGCUUCACGUCUGGCGCCUCCUUGGAGAGGCUCUCCAGGUCGGCGAUGAGGGCCUCGGAUUCGGCGAGGGCCUCGGCGUACUCCACGCACUCCACGUCGCAUUCGUACGCGUACGUGGGGCCGACGGUGAUGUCCCCGUUGGGGCCCGACAUUUUGAGCUUGAGGUAGUUGUAGUUGGGGACGGCCAUGAACUUGGCGUAGCAUGGCCUCCCCAGUACUGCGUGGUAGGUUCCUCGGAACCCGACCACCUCGAACGUGAGGGUUUCCCUUCGGAAGUUGGAGGGAGUCCCGAAGCAAACGGGCAGAUCGAGUUGUCCGAGGGGUUGGACACGUUUCCUGGGGAUGAUCCCGUGAAAAGGCGUCAGGCCGACCCGGAUCGAGGACAGAUCGAUCUGCAGGAGCCCGAGGGUCUCGGCGUAGAUGAUGUUGAGGCUGCUGCCUCCGUCCAUGAGGACCUUGGUGAGCCUGACGUUGCCGACGACGGGGUCGACAACGAGCGGAUAUUUCCCCGGGCUCGGCACGCGGUCGGGGUGGUCGCCCUGGUCGAAAGUGAUGGGCUUGUCGGACCAGUCUAGGUAGACUGGCGCCGCCACCUUUACCUAGCAGACCUCCCGACGCUCUUGCUUGCGGUGCCGAGCCGAGGCGUUCGCCACUUGCCCACCGUAGAUCAUGAAGCAGUCGCGGACCUCGGGGAACUCCUCUGCCUUGUGAUCCUCCUUCUUGUCGUCGUUGUGGGCUCGGCCACCUUCCGCUGGUGGCCCGGCCUUGUGAAAGUGGCGCCGAAGCAUGACGCACUCCUCAAGGGUGUGCUUGACGGGCCCCUGAUGAUAGGGGCACGGCUCCUUGAGCAUCUUGUCGAAGAGGUUGGUGCCUCCGGGAGGCUUCCGAGGGUUCUUAUACUCAGCGACGGCGACAAGGUCCACUUCUGCGGCGUCGCAUUUCGCUUGCGACUUCUUCUUGCCCUUCUUCUUGGUGCCGUGCUGAGCGGACGCCUUGGGGAUGUCUUCCGGCUGGCGGCCCGGGGGCUGCUUGUCCUUCCGGAAGAUGGUCUCAACCGCCUCCUGGCCAGAGGCGAACUUGGUGGCGAUGUCCAUCAGCUCGCUCGCCCUGGUGGGGGUCUUGCGACCCAGCUUGCUCACUAGGUCGCGGCAGGUGGUGCCGGCGAGGAACGCGCCGAUGACGUCCGAGUCGGUGACGUUGGGCAGCUCGGUGCGCUGCUUCGAGAAUCGCCGGAUGUAGUCCCGGAGAGACUCUCCCGGCUGCUGGCGGUACCUUUGGAGAUCCCAGGAGUUCCCAGGGUGCACGUGCGUGCCCUGGAAGUUGCCGGCGAAGGCUUGGACCAGGUCGUCCCAGUUGGAGAUCUGCCCCGGAGGUAGAUGCUCCAGCCAGGCUCGAGCGGUGUCGGAGAGGAACAGGGGGAGGUUGCGGAUGAUGAGGUUGUCAUCGUCCGUUCCACCCAGCUGGCAGGCCAGUCGGUAGUCCGCGAGCCACAGUUCUGGCCUUGUCGCCCCCGAGUACUUUGUGAUGGUAGUCGGGGUUCGGAACCGGGUCGGCAACGGCGCCCGUCGUAUGGCUCGGCUGAAAGCCUGCGGACCGGGUGGUUCGGGUGAGGGGCUCCGAUCCUCCCCGCUGUCGUAGCGUCCCCCACGCCUGAGGUGGUAGCCUCGGCGCACCUUCUCAUCGAGGUGGGCUCGACGGUUGCGGCGGUGGUGCUCGUUGCCGAGGCGACCCGGGGCCGCAGGCGCCGUGUUGCGCGUGCGCCCCGUGUGGACCGAGGCUUCCCGCAUAAAUCGGGAAGUCACAGCGCGAUGCUCCGAGGGGUACCCCUGCCUUCGGGAGGCAGAGCUUUCGGCCCGUCGGACCGCGGCAUCCUCCAGGAGAUUCUUGAGCUCUCCCUGGAUACGCCGCCCUUCGGUGGUCGAUGGUUCCGGCAUCGCGCGGAGUAGUAUUGAUGCUGCAGCCAGGUUCUGGCCGACCCCACUGGAAGCCGGUGGCGGCCUUGCCCUGACGUCGUCGGCAAUGCGGUGCUGGAUGCCCUGGGGUAGAUGACGCGCUUCUCCGGCCGGAGCUUGGUCUGCCCAUUCCUGCCCGAUGUUCCGGCGGAACUGCUCAAGUGUUCCUGCUCCCUCGUCGAGCCUGGCCUGCAUCUCGCGGAUUUGCUCGAGCUGUGCGUCCUGACCCCCCGCAGGGACUGGGACCACAGCUAGCUCCCGAAGGAUGUCAACGCGAGGCGCAGGCCUAGGGGGAUCACCGUUUUCUGGCAUACCAAGAUGGUUGCCUUCGCCGGGACCCCCUAGAUCGACGUGGAAACAUUCACGACUUGGGCCACAGUCCUCGUCACCGAAGCUGCGGCUACCAUCGGAACAAUCGGAGAGGAAGUAGUCGCAUGCGGUCAUGAAGUCCCGCAUGGCACUGGGGUUACCGAGCCCGGAGAAAUCCUAACAAAAGUCGGGCUCGUCAUCUUCCUCGGAACCCGAGGGUCCGUAGGUCGAGACGGCCGUCAGUCUGUCCCAGGGCGACCACAUAUGGUACCCCGGAGGGUUGGUACAUGCCUCUAUGAAGGCUUCCACCGAAGCGAGGUCGCUUGGUGGGUCGAAGCUGAAUCCAAAAGGCACGAGAUGGGAAUCGGUCGGUACCUCUUGGUCGACGGGCGGUGACAAAGUUGCAUAAGGGGCGGACUGCACCGUUGUCUCAGGUACGAGGGUGACGCCCAGCAAGUCCUUCGCGAGCGUGCUAGCGUCGUUCGUCUGCUUGGGGUUGGCAUGUUGUGGGGAAACGGCGCUCGUCUUCGUCUCAGACGCAAGGUCGAAGACCGACGUGUCCCCCGCUGGGGCGCCGACGUCGUCGACUUGCUCGAUAGCCGACGAGGUGCCGCCUCCUGCUUGGCCAUGGUUGCCCCGCCUCCUACUCCAUCGGCGGGGGAGGUGACGGGACAAACCCGGAUGUUGUUCUUCCGCCACGUGGGGAAGACGUCGUUGAUUCCGCCGCCGGCGGGCGGGCUAACGAUCGCCAUUGUCGCUGUCGCGCGGCGGAGGAAGGAGUAUCAUGUCGUAGCUGCCGUCGAGGGACAUGAACUCAAGACUCCCGAAACGGAGCAUCGUCCCGGGUUGGAAAGGUUGCUGGAGACUACCCAUCUGGAGCUUGACGAGAAGCUGUUCGUCAACACGCAGCAGGCCCCUACCUGGCGCGCCAACUGUCGGCGUUUCGACCCUGGGGGGUCCCUGGACCGACGAGUGAAUUGUUGCCGCGUGUCCCAGCCUAGAUGGGUCGGCGCGAGACGGAGCACGAAGGGGGGAAGAAACAGGCAAAAGGGGAAACCCGCAGCCUUCGUGUUGCCCUGCGCCCAGGUCGGGUGCGCUUGCAGUAGGGGGUUACAAGCGUUCGCGUGGGGGAGCCUUAUGCGCCGGCCCGUUCUCCCGCGCGACCAACCUUCUUGUACGAGAGCCCUGGACCUUCCUUUUAUAGGCGUAAGGAGAGGGUCCAGGUGUACAAUGGGGGGUGUAGCAGUGUGCUAACGUGUCUAGCAGAGAGGAGCUAGAGCCCUAAGUACAUGCUGUCGUGGCAGUCAGAGAGGUUUUGGCACCCUGUUCAUGUGAUGUCGUGGCCGUCAGAGGAGAGCUGGAGCCCUGUGGGAGGACAGCUGUCGGGGCUGUCGAGUCCUUGCUGACGUCUCCUUGCUUCCGUAAGGGGUUGAGAGCCACCGUCGUCAUGGAGCACGUGGGGCGUCAUCACUAUUUGUUUACCGGGGCGAGCCAGAUGGGACGCCGGUCUUGUUCCCCAUAGCCUGAGCUAGCUAGGGGUAGGGUAAUGAUGGCCUUCCUUGUGACGUGGCGGGUCCGAGCCUGAGGUCGGGCGAGGCGGAGGCUCCUCCGAGGUCGAGGCUGAGUCCGAGCCCUGGGGUCGGGCGAAGCGGAGUUCGUCUUUCGAGGUCGAGGCUGAGUCCGAGCCCUAGGUCGGGCGAGGCGGAGACCGUCUUCCGAGGCCGUGGCUGUGUCCGAGCCCUGGGGUCGGGCGAGGUGGAGACCGUCUUCCGAGGCCGAGGCUGUGUCCGAGCCCUGGGGUCGGGCGAGGCGAAGUCCAUCGUCCAGCGUCGAGGUUGAGCCCGAGCCCUGGGGUCGGGCGAGGCGGAGACUGUCUUCCGAGGCCGAGGCUAUGUCUGAGCCCCGGGGGUCGGGCGAGGCGGAGUCCGUCGUCCAGCAUCGAGGUUGAGCCUGAGCCCUACGGUCGGGCGAGGCGGAGACUGUCUUCUGAGGCCGAGGCUAUGUCCGAGCCCCAGGGGUCGGGCGAGGCGGAGUCCGUCGUCCAGCGUCGAGGUUGAGCCCGAGCCCUGGGGUCGGGCGAGGCGGAGCUUCCUAUGGCGCCCGAGGCUGGACUUAGCUGCUGUCAGCCUCACUCUGUCGAGUGGCACAUUAGUCGGAGCGACGCAGGCGGCACUGUUUUCUUGUCAGGUCGGUCAGUGGAGCGGCGAAGUGACUGCGGUCACUUCAGCUCUAUCGACUGAAGAACGCGCGUCAGGAUAAGGUGUCAGGCGAUCCUUGCAUUAAAUGCUCCUGCGAUACGGUCGGUUGGCGUGGCGAUCUGGCCAAGUUUGCUUCUCUGCGAAGACUGAGCCUCGGUCGAGCCGAAGGUGUGUCCGUUGCUUGAGGGGGCCCUCGGGCGAGACGUGAAUCCUCCGGGGUCGGCUGCCUUUGCCCGAGGCUGGGCUCGGGCGAGGCGAGAUCGUGUCCCUUGAGUGGACUGAGCCUUGACCCUAAUCGCGCCCAUCAGGCCUUUGCAGCUUUGUGCUGAUGGGGGUUACCAGCUGAGAUUAGGAGUCUUGGGGGUACCCCUAAUUAUGGUCCCCGACACAUAUCUAUACUGCUUUCUUCUAAUACUAUAGGUGUAGACCAAAAUUACCUUCCAUAAUUGUCAGUGUUAAUAUGUGUGUCAUAUAAUUUGCUUCAACAGGCCCUUUAUGGGUAAUUACUAGCAGAGGUUUUUGCAUAGUUUGAAGUGGUAGUUCAUUUGUGGUGGCAUAUUGAGCAGAAAUAAAUGAAUGCGUAGCUCCAGAAUCAAAUAAUAUGACUGCUGGAAAUGAAGUAAUGUAAAACAUACUGAUAGCGAUGUCCGCUCCAUCAGCAGUGGCCUCGGCACUGACUUGGUUGACCCUGGCAAUGCUGAAUCCCUUGCAAGAGGUUGGAGUCUAUUGCUUGUUCUGAGCUGGUGUGCUGGAAUUCCCCAUCGGACAAGCAUUUUCAUAGUGCCGAACCUGACUGCACUUAAAGCAUGUAGGGCAUGUUCUCUAUCCUGCGGGCCUCGCCGGGGUGCCAGUGAGGGCAGCCUGAUGAGUGUGGGGUGUCUGUGGAGUCCCCUGUGGAGCGUACUGAGCUGGGCGCGAUCCUCCUCCAGGACGAGCUGGUGUACCCUGGGGUGGAGCAUAUCGAGGGCAAAUACUGCUGCUACCCUGCCCUUAGGUAAUGGCCUUCCUCUUCAUUUCACCCAGUUGAACACGCUUGUGUUUAAAAACUAGAGCUUCGUCUAAGAGUCUCUGAAAUGACGGAAAGGUGUGAGCAACCAGUGCAUACUGCAGUGGCCCAUUAAGUCCCUCUAUGAAGUGUUCCCGCUUCCUUUCAUCAUCAGCCACUUCAACUGGAGCAUAUCUUGAUAGUUGAAUAAAUCUGUCAUGGUACUCACUGGCUGACAUAUUGCCUUGUUUCAAUGACAUAAAUUCCUUAUUCUUAAUCUUCAUCAGUCCAGCAGAAAUAUGGUAAUUUCUGAACUAUGUGGUGAAUUCUGCCCAAGUCAUAGUAUCAACAGCAUCAUGGGCAGCAGUGUAAGAGUCCCACCAAUCAGCAGCGGGUCCUCUAAGAUGACCAGAAGCGUAGAGCACCUUCUCCCAGUCAGAGCAUUGAGCAAUAUUUAACAUCUUCUCCACUGACUUUAACCAAUCGUCGGUGUGCAGAGGAUCUGAAGAGCUGGCGAAGGUAGGUGGUUUGUGGCUCAUGAACUCCCGGUGCUUGUCGCGGGGUGGAACUGGUGGUGGUGGAGGAGGCAUUGGUGCUUGUUGUUGUCGCAUCAUUCUCUCUUGACACAUUUCCUCCCUCAUCUCUUGCCUUUCCUGGCGCAUCUCUUGAUGUUCCUGCCGUAUCUGCGCUUGCAUUUUCGUCAUAGUAUUGGCCAUUUGUUGCAGCAUUUGCAUCUGGGCUGCAACCACAGGAUCAGUCCCGGCCGGUGGGGGAUUUGGAGGAUUCAUCUCUGCUUGUUGUUGUCUAAGCACCCUCUGGUUGUGUGGGUUGGCAGGUAGAUCAAUUCUUCCUCCCUUCCUGAUAUUGACCACCUGGGUUAGAAAUACAUGGUAAGAUAGAAUUGACCACCUGGCUGCAACCACAGAAUAUUUUGGGUUUUUAUUACCUAAGUAGAUUAGUAUGUCACCUACUCAUUCUAAUUACCUUAUGGUAGUACAUGCUAGAAUGCCCUGCUAUACUAUUUCAAUCAAUCAAAGAAGCAAAUCAAGCAUUUACCAUCAGAACAAACAACCAAUUACUUCAAGUAGAGAAAAUAAUUUUAAUUUUGUAUUUGGAUUUCCUAUCUCUUUAGAGGGUCAUGGAUGUAGGUUCCAAAGUGUGAAAUCCUCCUUGUCUUAGAAUAGAAAAGGUAAGAGUAAUCAGAGUAGAACAGUAGAAGGUAAGACACGAUCAAUAAAAGUAUAAAAAGAAUCAGAGUAAGAUAAGUAGGUAAGGGUUUUGUCCUGUUCUAUCUAGGUUUCGUCCUAUAGUCAACAUUUGCUCUGAUACCACUUCUGUCACACCUAGAUUUAAGGGAUAAAGUCGGGUGCGUCUCAUAUGUGCGCAAAAGAAGAACAACACAUAUAAUGACAAAGUGUAUAGAGAUAAAUGUCACAAGUAUCAUUAUUACAUAGCGAAAGUCUUACAAAAAUAUAUGAUAAUAUUAAAACAAACUAAUAUUAUUCCUUGGCGCCAUCAAGCUGACUGGGAGAUGCCACCUAGAUCAACUCGUACUCAUUAUAGGGCUCCUCCAGGACCACCUGCUCUUCACCUAGGGGUUAUAUAUCGCAAGAGUGAGCUCACAAAAGAUCAUAGCUCAACGAGUUGUGGGGAAUAAUGUGCAUGAACUCACCAAAGGUGGGAGUUCAUGUGAAGUGUAAGGAUGAUCAACAAAUAAGGGUUAAAGCUGAGCGUUUCUUUUAAUAAGUUGGUCAAAUUUUAUUAGCAGUUACUAAAUGUAAGUAAAUACCAAACCAGAGUGAUAAUAGAUCAAAAUAGUAAUAAAUCCCAAUGCGAUGUAAAUGACAAAUUGAAUUUAAUUCCAUAAGUUAAUCAUGUGAGGGUCCGAGCCGCUCAUGACCAUGAACACGGCUGAUAUACCAGUUUUACACUCUGCAGAGGUUGUACAUCAUUACCCACAAGUAAAAUUACCCAUCUGCCAAGGGAUCACAACUUCCCAUACACCUCUACCAAGGAAGCGAGGCAGGGUAGGCCUUUACAAAAGUUCCACUAGCUUCAGAAAACCCGCUAUAGUUUCUAGGAAGCUCCAAUGCAGGGAUCCCUUGCCUGACCUCCAUCACAGCAAAAUCAACCCAAGGAUCUCCCUACACUGACCACUCCCCUACUGCCCUUGCCCCUUUCAGGUAAGGUACUCAUCCACUAGCUUUCCUAAUUAGUCAGCCAAGGGCGUCCCAUACCACCCUUGUGGUAGCACUGUUUUCACGGGUGGUCGCUCCAUGUUCCAAUUAACAUAAUGAUCUUAUCAUGAACAAUAAAUAAUAAACUGAUAAUAAAAGCAUGAUCAUGAAUAAUGUGUAUCUCCAUACCCAAAACCACAUAAAGCAAUAUCAGGUACUUCCAAAAAUUUAGUGGUAAACAAGGUAUAAAGAUAGCCAAACUAGGGUAACCUAUUGGGUCCCAUCAAAAUGAACCUAUGCAGAUCAUUAUGAUUAAUAAGAACAUUAUUGGGGAAAAAGAAGUGAUCAAGGGCACAACUUGCCUUCAACGAGCUCCUACUCAGCAGUCUCCACCAACUGAACACCUGGGUCCUCUAUGGCUUGCUCGUCUACUCGCAACAAUACAAACAAACAUGGUAUAGCAGAAAUUAACAUCACACCAAACAAUAGAAUAGAAUGCAUGAUAAUAUUCUACGCGUCGUAACGAGAUCAUAGGAACAAGAAUCACUAAAUUCGAAGUUACAGUUAUUAUGUUAUGAAUUUCUGAAGUUAUUUAGUGCCUAGUAUAGAAUAAUUCAAGUGAAUAAUUUUAAUCCAAGUUUCAUGGCUAAACAGAGUUACAAGGUGAUAAAGAAUAUUAAAACAAAAUUAAUGCCACUGGAAUAGAUCAAUUUGAAGUUAAAAUGAAUUAAAUAUGAAUUAUACAUGUUUUUGGAAUUAUUUUUGUACUAAUAAUCAAUUUCUAUAAUUAAUUAUCUGAUUUUUCUGAUCUAUGGACUGCGCGCACAAAAACAGAGAAGUUCGGGAUUAGAUCCGUAAAAUUCCCAAGGCUUAGACUUCUUCCUGGGUGGACUGCGCGUUUAUUCUUAAAUAGUCUAGGGACUCUUUAGUAAAUGCGACGCGGUGAAGGGGUAUCUAGUAAUGUUGGUCGUUGGAUCAGAGCCCAACGCCCCAGAUUAAAUCGUGAAGUUCUGAUGUUCAUCAGGCAUACAUGACCGGAGGAUCUACGAUGGACGACCCGGAUUUAAUGAACGAUGUGGUUAUGCGCUACCACAUCGAAACCGUCCAUCCCGGGAUCUACGGUUACCAACCCUUCCCCCCGAUCUAAUCCUAGGUGUUGGAUAGAAAUCCUACGGCGACCGCACCACGCUCCCAUCCAGUCACAACGAGCGACGGUGCCACGCCCCCUCGCGGCGGAGGCCAUGGCCGGAGGUGACCGUAUCGGUGGACUAUUCCCUAAACUCCAAUUGGUACGGUGCUAUGCGUGAAGAAUGGCAAAGCGAACUUCAUGGAUGCGGAACUCAUUGCGGACGAAGUCGCACGCGGGCUGUUCUCGGCGGGGUGCAAGUUCGGCAGAAUUCACGACUCUGGUGAGGAAUUCCCAUGGCUUCAGCAAGCCCCUCCUCGAUUACUCCCUCGCAUGACGUCAAUGCGACCAGAACAAGCCUCGGAUGGACACGCUGGAGCCAGAAUCGCACUAUUGCUGGGUAUCCGCGACGACGGUGAUAUACCUCCUCGCGGAACGUGGCGGCGCAGUGGAUGGCGUGGAGAAGCGGCGGCGAGAAAAUGGGAGCACAAGCAGGCUAGGUCGUGGGGUAUGAUAUUUGUAGGUGAGGUGGGGUACGGGGCGGCUACAACGGAAUCCGGAGCUUACGGCUGGCAGCAGCAUGCGCGGAGGUGGGUGUUGCGCGGAGAAGACGGUAGCGCGUAGGUGUUGAGGGACUGCCUGGUGGGCCCCGCGGAGCAGCAGCACGAGUGCGAGAGAGCGAGCCUACCAAGGGGGCCCCGCCUGUCGGCGCGUCGGUACCGUCUCCACUAGCUGGGCCGAGCGCGCGGAGUAAAACAGCCAUGGGCCAAAAGGAGUAGGGCUGGCCCAAUUAGAUUUAUUUUCAUCUUUUCUUUUUUGUUUUUGUUUUCCUAUUAUUUUUUUUGAAUUCCAAAUUUGAACUGAAACUUUUGUGGCGAAAUUUGUAACUAAAUUUUGAGUGUAUGAUUUGAACAUAUUAUUAUGGAAUUAAUUUAUAAAUUUAUUUUGUACUGUGUAGUAUUUCUCUCUUUCCUUCUCUAUUUUCAAACCCUAAUUUCAAUUUGGGGUCCAAUUCAAAUCUCAAAUCAUUAUUAUAUUUUUAUUAGUACUAUUGUUAUUAUUAUUAAAUGCACACACAAAUAAAACUCCAACAUGAUGCAUAGAGUAUUUUAUUAGUUAUUUGUUCACUUAAAUUUAGGUAUUCCCAUGUGAUAAUGAGUAGAAGAUCAAAACACCUAAUGACAUCCACCCCUUUUCUUAUUAUUUCCAAACUGGGUAUUACACUAUGGUCGGACGGUCCGUGAGCCCGUAGAGAUGGUCCUACAGGGAUACUGCCCUCCAAACAGUAGGCCCCCCAUGGUCGCACGGUUUGAGAGCCUGCGAAGAGGCUCCUGCAGGGAUAAUGUUCCUUUUUUCUGACGGUCUGUGCUCCAUAGUUUGAUGGUCAUGAAGCCAACAGAGAGCAGUUUCCUCUUAAAUUUUUGUAUAACAUAAGAAUUUAGAGAUUUAGACAAGUUAGGACAGGGGUUUACUUUGACGACUCCUUUGGAGAAAGUAGAUAUAGAUCGACUUUUUUAAACCAGAACCUGAAAACUGAUUCUUGGAAUAAAGUGAUAUGUUUGUUAUGUGAUUACUUUGAUUGUUUUGCUUGGAGUUAUACUAAAAUGUCAGGUUUGAGCCCAGAGUUGGUUGAACAUCGGUUGCCAAUAAAACCCGGGUUCCGCCCAUUUAAGCAAAGGGCAAGGCAAUUUUGUCCCGACUUAUAUCCAAGAAUCAAGGACACAAUUCACCAGUUGUUAGAAGCUAUUUUCAUUAAACCUUGUUGGUACACUGACUGGGUCUCAAACAUUAUGUCAAUGGAGAAGAAAGACUCCAACAAGCUUAGGGUAUGUAUUGAUUUUCGUAAUUUAAAUAGAGCAACCUCUAAAGAUGAAUAUAUUAUGCCUGUGGCCGAUAUAUUAAUUAAUAAUGCAUAUAGAAAUAGAGUCAUUAGUUUUCUUGAUGGUAAUAUCGGAUACAAUCAAAUAUUUAUGACCGAAGAAGAUACGUCUAAAAUGACAUUUGUAUGUGAAAGGGAAAUGUGCCCUUAGGCAUUUCUAUAUUAUUUUGGUGAUUAGAUGCUCAACACAUUCUGUUUUGACUAAUAUGAGCUCAGAGUUAAAGAGAAGCAAAUUAGAGAAACAAAGGUAUGAUUCUAGCACUUAGUAAAUUAUUUUGGUACUAAUUAUGUUCUAUUAAGUGCCAGGCAUUUUCUCAAAAUGAGAGAAAUUAAAUUGGAGAAGGUUGGCUAAGUUCAGCCAAAGCCUGCGGUGCACCGGACAGUGACACAUGGUUCAGCCAACGGUCAGAAGGUAGCACUGGACUGUCCGGUGUGCCACGAGACCAGUGGAUGGCAAUAGUCGGCUUUGCUAGAAAAGGAAGGAAAUCGGGCACUGUUCACUGUCCGGUGAUGCAUCGGACUGUACGGUGCGCCCACGGACAGAAGGCAACCAAAGCCUACAAAAUGGAGCUCCAACGGCUCCUAGUUCCCUUGGGGCUAUAAAAGGGACCCCUAAGCGCAUGGAGCAGGACACCCAAGCAUCCAUUGAACAUCCUACAACGCCUAAACUUCACAAGCACGCAUUUGUUUCAUUGUGAUAGAGAUUUGAGCACUUCUUUGAGUUGUAACUCCGCUGCGUUGUUUCGUGUGCUCGGUUCUUAACUUGUGUGCGUGUUGUUGCGGUGACUCUAGUUCUUGUGUGUGUUUCUAUUCCCUCCCUUACUCUUGUGGUUUAAUUGUGAUCAAUUUUGUAAGGGCAAGAGACUCCAACUUGUGGAGAUUCCUCACAAAGGGAAUACUUGAGAAAAGGAAGAAAAUCGUGGUACUCAAAUUUGAUCUUUGGAUCACUUGAGAGGGAUUGAGUGCAAUCCUUGACCAAAGGAGGUCACCACAACGUGGAGUAGGCAUUGGCCGAACCACGGGAUAAAAUCACUAUGUCACUUGUGCAUUUCCUUAGUGUGAUUGUCUUUCUUCCAUAGAGUUCUCACAUAUUCACUUGCACUAUUGUUCCAAAGUUUAAAACAUAUCUCAAAGGAACAAUCAAGUGAAGAGUUCUCUUUCUCUCUCUAUUCACAACAACUUGGUUUUCAUUUCACUAACAUUUAUAAACCAAGUUUGUGUUGUUUAGAGUUGAUUAUUGCAGGAUCACCUAUUCAUCCCUCUCUAAGUGCUCUCAAUUGGUAUCGGAGCCGUUCUCUUCAUCGAGGGACUAACCGCCUGAAGAUAUGGAUCCUAAAGGCAAGGGGAUGGUGAUCAACGACAAGGAGAAGGAGACUCUCUAUGUUGAUGAGCCAAAAGGUGACAAGCCCACCGACUUAGGCUCAAACAAAAAGAAGGAUGGAAAGAAGAAUAGACGCAUCAAGAAGAUCAUCUACUACAACAGCGACGCCUCCUUCUCUUCACCAAGGGAUGACGACGACGAAGAUUCCUCGUCGAAAAAGAAAACAAUUAAUCAGAAUUACUCUUUUGAUUAUUCUCGCAUCCCUUUUAAUUUGAAUGCACAUUUAUUAUCUAUUCCACUCGGUAAACCCCCUCACUUUGAUGGAGAAGACUAUUCUUUUUGGAGCCAUAAAAUGUGUAGUCACUUAUUUUCUCUCCAUCCUAGUAUUUGGGAAAUAGUGGAAAAUGGAAUGCAAUUUGACAGUAAUAAUAAUCCUAUAUUAAUUAAUGAACAAAUUCAUAAAAAUGCCCAAGCUACUACUGUUUUGCUAGCAUCUCUAUGCAGAGAUGAGUAUAACAAAGUCAACGGCUUGGACAACGCCAAGCAAAUUUGGGACACCCUAAAGAUUUAUCAUGAGGGAAACGAUGUCACUAUGGUCACCAAAAUGGAAUUGGUGGAAGGUGAGCUUGGGAGAUUCGCCAUGAAAAGGGGAGAGGAGCCAACCGAAACGUACAACAGGCUCAAGACCCUGGUGAACAAGAUCCGUAGUUAUGGGAGUACAAGAUGGACGGACCAUGAUGUUGUUCGACUCAUGUUAAGGUCAUUUACCGUUAUUUAUCCUCAUCUUAUAAACCUUAUUCAUGAGAAUCCCAUGUACACCAAGAUGUCGCCCGAGGAAAUUCUCGAAAAAUUCGUAAGCGGGCGCAUGAUGGUAAAGGAGGCUAAGUACGGUGAUGACAUCGCCAACGGACCACUCCCACUCUAUGAGCCACAGCCCGUUGCUCUCAAGGCAACAAGCAGCAAGGAGGCGCUACCUAACAAGGUGGCACAAGUGGAGGCUGAUGGGCUCAACGAGGAGGAAAUGAUGCUUAUAAUCAAGCGCUCUAAGACCGCUUUGAAGGGAUGCAAGGAGUAUCCCAACAAGAAUAAAUCAAGGGGAAAGCGCUCCUGCUUCAAAUGUGGUAAGUCUGGUCAUUUUAUAGCACAAUGUCCUGAUAAUGAUAAUGACUAGGCACAAGAAAAGAAAGGGAAGAUGGAGAGGAAGAAAAACUACAGGUAGGCGAAGGGUGAGGCACACAUUAGCAAGGAAUGGGACUCCGAAUGUUCUUCAUCCGACUCCGACGAUGAAGGACUGGCUGCCUCCGCCUUCGACAAGUCCUCCCUCUUUCCCAACGAGCAUCACACAUGCCUCAUGGCUAAGGAGAAGAAGGUACAUACAUGAGAUACCCCUAAAUACACUUCUUCCAGUGAUGAGGAAUCUUCCGAUGAUGAGGUAGAUUAUAGUGAUAUCUUUAAGGUAUUAGAUAGAUCUAAAGUAGAUAAAAUCAAUGAAUUAAUUGAUGCCCUUAAUGAGAAGGAUAGGUUGUUAUAAAAACAAGAAGAUAUUCUCUAUGAAGAACAUGAUAAAUAUGUUAAUGUGCAAAAAUCUCUUGCUCUAGAAACUAAGAAAAAUGAAAUAUUGUCUUCUGAGUUAUCUUCCUGCCAUGAUUCUAUUUAUAGUCUUAAGAGUUUAAAUGUUGAUUUAAAUUCAAAGCUAGAAAAAGUAAAUGUUACUAGUUCAUCUGUGGAGCAUGUCUCUUUUUGCAAUAGAUGUAAAGAUGUCGAUAUUGAUGCCUGCAAUGCUCAUGCUGCCACUAUUAUUAAAUUGAAUGAUGAAGUUGCAAAUCUAAAUGGUCAACUUAAAAUUUGCAAGGGUAAUUAUGAAAAGACAAAAUUUGCCAAGGAUGCCUACACCAUUGGUAGACACCCCUCCAUUAAGGAUGGACUUGGUUUCCAAACGGGAAUCAAGAACUUAAUAAGCCAAAGGACUUUCAUUCUCAUCAAGGAGAAAGGGAAGGCUCCUAUGGCUAGUAGCUCUUGUUCUUCACAUGACAAAAAGAACCAUGCUUAUCUGUAUGCUCAUGUUAAGAAUGCUUCUAGUGUUGUUCAUCAUGAUCAUUCUAUUUUACCUACUCGUCAUGGUGCUGCUUUUGAUUCUUAUGCCAUGUAUGCAUCAUCUAGCUCAUCGUAUGUUCAUGGUAGGAGUAGACCUAGGCACCAUGUUCAUCAUGUUGUCUCUCAUGCAUCUAGGAAUGCAUCUAAUGGCCUAACUAUGCUUUAUCAUACUUAUGCUGCUUCAUAUGUGCUAACUUGCAAAAAUGAUAAAGUAGUUGCUAGGAAUUUGGGGCCUAAGUGCAAGAGAGACAAAACUUGCAUCUGGGUUCCAAAGUCUUAUGUGACUAACCUUGUAGGACCAACCAGAGUUUAGUACCUAAAACCCAAGCUUAAAUCACCUUGCAGGUUUAUGCAUCCGGGGGCACAAGCUAGAUUAUUGACAGCGAUGCACAAACCACAUGACGGGGGAGAAGAAGAUGUUCACCUCCUACGUCAAGAAUAAGGAUUCCCAUGACACGAUCAUAUUUAGAGAUGGGAAUCAAGGCAAGGUCAAAGGUUUGGGUAAAAUAGCCAUCACUACCGAGCAUUCAAUUUCUAAUGUGUUCUUAGUAGAAUCACUUGGUUACAAUUUACUUUCUGUAAAUCAAUUAUGUUAUAUGGGCUAUAAUUGUUUAGUUACAAAUAUUGAUGUAUCUGUCUUUAGAAGAAGUGAUGGUUCAUUAGCUUUUAAAGAUGUAUUAGAUGGCAAGCUCUAUUUAGUCAAUUUCUCUAAAGAAAAUGCCGAUCUAGAUGCAUGUUUAAUAACUAAGACUAAUAUGGGCUGGCUCUGGCACCACCGUCUAGCAUAUGUUGGAAUGAAGUAUCUUCAUAAGCUUCUAAAGGGAUAACAUGUGUUAGGACUAACCAAUGUCUGUUUUGAGAAAGACAGACCAUGUGCAGCGUGCUAGGCAGGGAAGCAGGUGGGAACUACUCAUCCAAGCAAAAAUGUGACGACCACAUCAAGACCACUGGAACUCCUCCACAUGGAAUUUCUUCGGGCCCGUUGCUUAUCUUAGCAUUGGGGGAAGUAAGUAUGGUCUUGUUAUUGUUGAUGAUUUUCCCGCUUCACUUGGGUAUUCUUUUUGCAGGAUAAAACAGAAACCCAAGGUACACUAAAGCGCUUCCUAAGGAUAGCCCAAAAUGAGUUUGAGCUCAAGGUGAAGAAGAUCAGGAGCGACAAUGGAUUUGAAUUCAAGAAUCUUCAAGUGGAAGAGUAUCUUGAGGAGGAAGGCAUCAAGCAUGAGUUCUCUGUUCUCUACACAUCACAACAAAAUGGUGUUGUAGAAAGGAAGAACAGGACACUCAUCAACAUGGCUAGAACAAUGCUUGGAGAGUACAAGGCGCUUGAGCGGUUUUGGUCAGAAGCUGUAAAUACAACUUGUCAUGCCAUAAACCGGCUCUAUCUUCGUCGCCUCCUCAAGAAGACGUCCUACGAACUCCUACCCGGUAACAACCCAAUGUUUUGUACUUUUGUGUAUUUGGGAGCAAAUGCUACAUCUUAGUUAAGAAAGGUAGGCAUUCGAAGUUUGCUCCCAAAGCUGUAGAAGGGUUUUUACUAGGUUAUGAUUCAAAUACAAAGGCAUAUAGAGUCUUUAACAAAUCUUCGGGUUUGGUUGAAGUAUCUAGUGAAAUUGUAUUUGAUGAGACUAAUGGCUCUCUAAGAGAUCAAGUUGAUCUUGAUGAUGUAGAUUAGGAUGAAAUUCCAAUGUCCACAGUGAGAACUAUGGCAAUAGGUGAUGUGCGAUCGUAGGAACAACAAGAACAAGAUCAACCAUCUUCCUCAACACUAGUGCAACCCCCAACUCAACAUGAGGAACAGGUACCUCAAGAUGCAGGCAUGAAUCAAGCGGGAGCACAUGAAGAAAAGGAUAAAGAUGAAGUACAACAUGCACCUCUAACUCAAGUCCGGGACACCAUCCAAAGGAAUCAUCCAGUGGAUCAGAUUUUAGGUGACAUCAGCAAGGGAGUAACCACUCGUUAAAGUUUAGCUAAUUUUUGUGAACAUUACUCUUUUGUUUCUUCUAUUGAGCGUUUCAGGGUAGACGAAGCCUUGUAGGAUCUGGACUAGGUGUUGGCCAUGCAGGAAGAGCUCAAUAACUUCAAGAGAAAUGAAGUAUGGAGCCUGGUGCCAUGUCCAAAGCAAAAUGUUGUGGGAACCAAGUGGGUGUUCCACAACAAGAAAGAUGAACACGGGAUGGUGACAAGGAACAAGGCUCGACUUGUGGCAAAAGGUUAUGCCCAAGUCGCAGGUUUGGAUUUUGAGGAGACUUUUACUCCUGUAUCUAGGCUCGAGUCAAUACGCGUAUUAUUAGCCUAUGCUGCUCACCACUCGUUUAAGUCAUUUGAAAUGGACGUGAAGAGCGCCUUCCUCAACGGACCAAUCAAGGAGGAAGUGUAUGUGGAACAACCCCCUGGCUUCGAGGAUGACAGAUAUCCCGACCAUGUUUACAAGCUCUCUAAGGCGCUCUAUGGACUUAAGCAAGCUCCAAGAGCAUGGUAUGAAUGCCUUAGAGAUUUUUUUAUUUCUAAUGCUUUCAAGGUUGGGAAAGUUGAACCUGCUCUUUUUACUAAGACUUGUAAAGGUGAUUUGUUUGUAUGCCAAAUAUAUGUCGAUGACAUAAUAUUUGGUUCUACUAAUCAAAAGUCUUGUGAAGAGUUUAGCAGGGUAAUGAUGAAAAAAUUCGAGAUGUCUAUGAUGGGCGGGUUGAACUACUUCCUUGGAUUUCAAGUGAAGCAACUUAAGGAAGGAACGUUCAUCUCCCAAACGAAGUACACUCAAGACUUGCUCUAAAGGAUUGGGAUGAAGGACGCUAAGCCCACCAAGACUCCAAUGGGAACUGACGGACACUUGGACCUCGACAAAGGAGGUAAGUCCAUUGAUCAAAAGGCAUACCGGUCUAUGAUAGGUUCUUUACUUUAUCUUUGUGCUAGUAGACCGGAUAUAAUGCACAGUGUAUGCAUAUGUGCUAGAUUUCAAUCCGACCCCAAGGAAUGUCAUCUUGUGGCCGUGAAGCAAAUUCUUAGAUAUUUAGUUCAUUCACCUUGCUUUGGGAUCUGAUAUCCAAAGGGGUCUACCUUUGACUUAAUUGGAUAUUCAGAUUCCGACUAUGCCGGGUGCAAGGUUGAUAGGAAGAGCGCAUCGAGGACUUGUCAGUUUCUGGGAAGGUCUCUAGUGUCCUAGAGCUCUAAGAAAUAAACAUAUGUUGCCCUAUCUACUGUUGUGGCUGAGUAUGUUGUCGCAGGCCAGUGUUGCUCGCAACUACUUUAGAUGAGGCAAACCCUCCGGGGCUUUGGCUACAAUCUAAGCAAAGUCCCACUCCUAUGUGAUAAUGAGGGUGCAAUCCUCUUGGCGGAUAAUCCUGUUGAACACAGCCGCACUAAGCACAUAGACAUCCGGCAUCACUUUUUGAGAGACCACUAGCAAAGGGGAGAUAUCGAUGUUUGCCACAUUAGCACCGAAAACCAGCUAGCCAAUAUCUCCACCAAGCCUUUAGAUGAGAAAAGGUUUUGCAGGUUGCGUAGUGAGCUAAAUGUCUUAGAUUCGUGGAACCUAGAUUGAUCUAUAGCAUACAUGUGUUUUAUGCCUUUGAUCAUGUUCAUUAAGCAUUUAUGUCUUUACUUGCUUAUUUCUGGUGCUCAAGUUGUACAAGUCACCCCCGGACCUCAUAAGUUCUUAUGCAAAUGAUGCACAUGUUUAAGGGGAGGAUGUACUACAACUUGACCCUUUGAUACUAAUGUGUUUGCUUGAGUGAUAUUGAUAUAGUCUUAAAGAUGAAUUGAAAGGUCACAUGUGGACUUGGACAAAGAAGAGGCUUCCACUGCAUUACGGUAUCAAUAUAUUGUUCCAAGUACCUAUCUGUGUUUUCUCAUUGCCUUUGGUUUUACUUGUGAUUUUUGUGCGGCAAUGGGGUUAAGAGGCCAAAAAGUUAUUCUGUUUUGGUGCUUAAUGCCAAAGGGGGAGAAAUUACGGCCAAAGCAGCUGUAUUUUUGCUUUAGGAGGAAUUACGGCCAAAGCCAUUGUGAGUAUUGUGAGAGGAAUGGCCAUUUGGCUAAUUUUUGCUUUAGGAGGAAGAGAGAUGAGCGGCGGGUUUCUAAGAUGAGUAGAGGAAACAUGAACCACCCUUCUCAUGGUGUUCGUUAUCCUUCUGUUUAGAGACGUCCUGCAGGGCCUAGAGGUGCUUUGCCUAUUGACGCUAGGCCUCAGGAAGAGAGACCACGUGGUGGUCGUACCUGGUGGGGUGCUGGUCGUGUGCCAUAUGGCCAAGGAUCCCAUGACAGCGGACCACAAUUUCUUCUUGUGGUGAUCGCUUCCCUUCUGGAUUGGGGAUGGUUGGUGUUUUUCCUAACACUUUUAUGGGUAGAUGCCGCAUCACUAGUAUUUUUAUCAGUUUCCUAACCCCAAUUUUGUUCCAUUUGAUCACCUUGUGCCUUUCUAUUGAUACAGGACGGAUGCCUGGAGAACAUAUGGCUCAUGGAUUCCGGCUGUUCGCGCCACAUGACUGGAAGCAAAAAAUGGUUCUCCAGUGUUGACCCCGUGAUUGGUACGGAAUACAUCACAUUCGAGGAUAAGUCAAGAGGUAAGAAAAUCUCUCAUGGCUCCGUUCGAAUGAACAAGAGUUUUGUUCUCAAGGAUGUUGCUUUUGUUUCGAAUUUGCAUUUCAAUCUGCUUUCUAUUUCGCAACUCUUUGAGGAUGACUAUGAAGUGUGUUUUAAAAAGGGCUUGUCUCAGGUUUUGGAUGCUCAGGGGAUCGUGUUUGUCAGAUUUCCCCUUUUGGUCGAGUUUUUAGUGCUGAUUUUUCACUUUCUUAUGUCCCUUCUCGAUGCUUGCUGAUGGGAUCCUCUUCUUUGAUUUGGAAGUGGCAUAGAAGACUUGGACACUUGAGCUUUAAUCUUUUGUGUAGACUAAGCUCACUUGGCCUGAUCCAAGUAUUGCCCAAGUUGAAAUUUGAGAAGGAUCUUGUCUGUCACCCUUGUCGUCAUGGAAAGAUGGUUGUUGCUUCCCACUCCCUGGUCACCAAGGUGAUGACCUCACAGCCUGACGAAUUGCUUCAUAUCGCACUGUUGGUCCAGCUCGGGUUUGCUCUUUCGAGGGGAUGUGGUAUGCACUUGUGGUUGUUGGCGAUUUUUCUCGCUACUCUUGGGUGAUCUUCAUGAAGGCAAAGGAUGAGGCUUUCACUCAUGCUCGAGAUUUGAUUUUAGAUUGCAAAAUGAGUUUCCCAAGAAUGUCAUGAGAGCUAUACAUAGUGACAAUGGCACAGAAUUCAAAAAUACUCAUUUUGAAACCUUUUGUGCUUAUUUGGGACAUGGGGAUCAGUUUUCCUCUCCGUAUGUGUCUCAGCAGAAUGGCAUUGUUAAACACAAGAAUCGAACCCUUGUUGAGAAGGCCAGGAUGAUGCUUGAUCAAUAUAGGACUCCUAGGCGUUUUUGGGCCGAAGCGAUCAACAUUGCUUGCCAUGUGUUGAACCGCAUCUUUCUUCUAGCUUUCUUGAACAAGACUUCUUAUGAGUUGCGGUUUGGAUGACCACCGAAGGUUAGUCAUUUAAGGGCGUUUGGCUCCAGAUGCUUUAUGCUGAAAUAGGGUAAUUUGGACAAAUUUGAGCCUUAUCGUGCUUAUCGUGUUCUUAACUUGGAGACUAACUGCAUUACAGAGACUUGUGAAGUAACAUUCGAUGCGACUGCACCUUGUCCAUCCCCUAUCUUUGAGCCUGCAGGUCCACAUCAGAUGGGACAGACCAUCUUUGUGAAGGAGGAGCAUGCCACCACUGAUUUGGGUGAUCUCGAGCCGACUCCACUGGCUACACCAGUUGAGCCUGCUUCCACUACUUCGGCUGACGGACCCGAUCCCACUACUUCCACUACUUGGGGUCCACUCAAGCCAGCUCCUUCUGAGACUGUAGAAGUUGAUGUUGCUAUUGAGGGGGAGGCUACCUCUUCGAGAAUGGCUCCACGAUAUGUUCUGCGUGAUCAUCCUCCUCAACAAAUGAUUGGUGAGAAUGAUAUGCGAGUCACUCACUUCAGGUAUCAACAGAUGUCUCAUUUUGCUCACUCAGCUUUUGUUGCUUCUUUUGAGCCUCGAGAUGUUGGACAUGCUUUGUCUGAUUCUAACUAGGUCAAUGCUACACGUGAGGAGCUCGAAAAUUUUGAGAGAAAUCGGGCUUGGGUUUUGGUGCCCCUCCUUCAAACUGCCAUCCCAUAGGUACAAAAUGGGUUCUAAAAACAAAGAAAGUGAGGAUGGGUUGGUAGUGAGAAACAAGGUGAGGUUGGUUGCGCAAGGGUAUUGCCAGAAAGAGGGUAUCGAUUAUGAUGAAACCUUUGCCUCUAUUGCCCAUUUAGAGGCCAUUAAGAUUCUUUUAGCCUUUGCUGCUUCAAAGGGUUUUAAGCUUUUUCAAAUGGAUGUCAAAAGUUCCUUUUUGAAUGGGUAUGUAGAGGAAGUGGUCUAUGUGUGUACUGUGUAACACCCUGAAUUUGGGGGUAUAAAAUUUCUUUGCUCAUAUUCACAAAUUCAGGUGUUACUUCCCUUUUCUCAUCCUUCCUCAUCCUUUUCUUUCUCAUUUCUAUAGGAGAAAAGUGCUUAUUUUAUUUGUAAUUAUAGUUUAUUAUGUUAAACCCUAAGGGAGUAUGAAUUGUUGCAUCAUGUUGAACCCUAGAUUUCACUUUUGCUUGGUGCAUAAUUCUUUGAAAGUUUGAUUUGAAUUUGUGGCUCAUUUGGAUUUGAAUCAAUUGGAGAAAAUAAAAAGAAAAAGAGAAAACAAUUCCAGAAUAAAAAGAAAAGGAAAGAAGCCCACUCCCCCGCCCCCCUCGGCCUUUCGGCCCACCAGGCCCAUCCCGCGCGCGCGCUCUCCUCCCCCCGCUCUCUCUGCCCUGGCGGGCCCGCCCGUCAGCGCAGCCGCCUCUCGCGCGCCCGCCUCCGCUCUCCCCUCUCUCUCUGCUCGCGGGCCCGGGCUGUCAGCCCCGUCGUCCCCGCGUAACCGCCGCCGAGCUGCGCGCGCCCGCCUUCCCCGCGCCCACGUCGCGCGUGGAGCUCGCAACUGACCCGCCCCUGGCCACUUGAGCCCCGAGCCCCACUCGCCCUCUCCCCCUCCCCCAUUUGCGCUCCAGUAGACCCUCUUCCCCCCUCGCUGCGCGCACGCAGAGCGCCGCCGCCAUAACCCCCGCCGUCCCGAGCUCGGUUCCCCGUCGCCGUUGGAGCUCCGCCGCGCCCUUUGCCCCGGUGAGCUCCGCCCCGACGUCCGCAACCCGGGACGCGCCCCAAUUCCCUCUCCCCCUCCCUAUUUCUCUCUGCCCGCGCUCACCCGCCGUUCCCCGUGCAGCCGCGGAGGUCCCCCACCGUAGCCCCGGACCACCGUCGCGCCAUUGCCGCCGCCGAGGAGUCCCCGGAGCCCGUCUUGAGGUAAGGGACCUCUCCCGCCCCUAUCGACCUUUGUUUUGCUCUCUGCCGCGUGUAAUUCCUCGCCGGAGUAGAGUAAUCCCGCCGCUCCGCCGUGAACCGCCCCCCUCCGGUGCCCCUGCCCCGACCCAGACCCCACCAGAGGACUCCCCGUGCCCUCCCCAACCUUCCCGGCCACUCAGGUCGCCCCAGAGGCCCGCCAAACGCCCGCGCCCCUCGUCUCCGGCGAGCCCUCCGCCGUGGGGACGAGCGCCGCCGCCCCAGCUAGCCGUAGGAAAGACCCAGGCCGCCCACCCGAUCCCCGCCGUUCAUCCCAGAUCGGGCGGCCCUGAUUCAACUCGCCCGGACCCAAUCCUGGCCGUCCGCCGGAGAUCCAGCGGCCCAGGCCCACUUCCCCCUCACCCCGUCUCCCUGCCAGUUGGGCCCCGCCUGUCAGCCCGCCCGCGCGCUCGCCCUGCCCGCCGGCCCCGCCUGUCAGCCCGCCCGCGCGCGCUCUGCCCGCCGGCCCCGCCUGUCAGCCUGCCCGCGCCCCGCGCUGCCCGCCCGGUCCCGCCUGUCAGUCGCCCAGGCCGCCGCGCGCUCGCGCGCCCGCCCGCAGGAUCUAAUCCUGGCCGUUCGCUUGAGAUCCGACGGCCGUAGGAGCCCGAUACCCCUUCGCCUGCGCAUUUUCUUAAAGAGACCCCCGGUUUUCUGGAAUUUGAACCCGCCGUCCCUGGUUUCUCGCAGUUAAGUCCCUGGCCCUUUUAUUUAAUUCAAAAUAGGUAUUUAGGGUAUAAUUUUAAUCCCCAAACUUGUAAAAUUCAUAACUUUGUCAUAUGAACUCCAAAUGAGGUGCUUCAAAUUGCAAAAUGCUCAUUAUGCUUUUGUCUAUCUAUUCAAACAGUGUUUCCCUGUUGUUUCCAUGUACCAAUUAAUAGUUAAUCACUAGGAUAGGAUUAAGACUAUUGGAACCUUAUUUGAGAUGAUUAGAAAUUGGUAGACUUUAAUAAAAGUUGGAUUACUUAAGUUUAUGGACUUAAACACCCAAGUUUAGGAACUUAAAACCAGGUAAUGAUUUAAUCCCACCACUGACUUAAACCUGAUUAGUGGAUAAUGAAUCACUUAGUAUAGUCCUCUACCCUAGACCUAGGGAACACUAGAGUGCCUAUCCCUUUUCUACUAUGAACUUGUGAUCCCUUUGCUGCAUAUGUUUGGUAUGUUGCUUUUUGUUUGUUAUCUUCCCAAGUGCAUAGUGUGAAUGAUUACUUUACGUAGACAACGAGCAGUCUGUGUUUCCCGAGGAGGUUGCAGAGGAAGUCCCUGAUCUGCAGUUUGGUGAAGGCAAGUGUCCUCUGUCCCAUUAUGUCCUAUUCAUUUAUAACUUACUACCCCGCACUACUUACUUGAAACCUAAGGAUUGACUAGCUUUACAUUUUACUUUAUCCUUGAUGACCUUAUGGGCUAUUAUGGUUAGCACUUUGCUAUUGCUUUAACAUAAUCAAUGAACAUGAUGUGACUAUUUAUGAUACUGUUAUCCUGAUGAUGUUGAUGAUCUUGUGAUACUCUAGGGGGCUCAGGCUGUUUCCUGAGUACCUCUCCGUAAGGACCUGUUCGUUGAGAGACCACCCGGGAUAACAGUGCAACCAUGAGGGUGAAAUGGGAUGCCCUUAGCUGAUUAAUUGGAUGAACUAGAGGUGUAGUUGCUUAGCCGUCGUGCCGUCAAUGGGGUCCAGGCACAGUGCUCGCUCUGCCGAGGCUGAGUGCCGAGGUUCUUUCGUUUUGCUCUUUGUUAGUCACUCUCCUGCGUGGAGGGGUACUGUGUUUAUCAAACUGGAGAAACCUAACGGGCAGCUAUGAUCUCUAGGGAAUCUUUGUAAAAGCUACGUAGUGAUGCCCUGCCGGACCACCUAGGUAGUGGUCAAUGGGGAUUAGCUCUCCCCGGGUAGAAAGGGAAUCAUGACUCAUGGGUAAAGUGUGCAACCUCUGCAGAGGAUUAGAAACUGAUAUAUCAGCCGUGCUCACGGUUAUGAGCAGCCUUGGGAUCCUCUUUGAUUAGAGAUACAGAUGGUUCGAGAUACAAGGAUUAUGUUAUGGUUUCGGUUCGACUAUGAUGAUGAUGUUCCUCGAUGAGGAAAUGGUUUACGGGUUGGUUAAUGCUAAAAUCUGGCUUCUACUAAUGAUAAAUACCUGACCAACUAAAAGCAACUGCUUGAGCCUAACCCCACAUAAAGCUAGUCCACUUCAGCCAAACGGGACAUUUGCUGAGUACGUUGAUGUGUACUCAUCCUUGCUUUACCACAAAACACCAGGUUGUCCGCAUUGUAACCACUGCUCAGGAGAAGGUGAAGCCGUGGAAGGAGACUUCCAGGAGUUCCAAGACUACGAUGAAUUCUAGGUGUGGGUUGGCGGCAACCCCCAGUCAGCUGCCUGUGAAGGCCUUAGCUUUACUGCGUUUCGUUUAGCACUUUGAUUUACUUGUUAAGACAAUGACUAUGUGGAUGUCUAUGACUCUAUGAUGUAAUAAGUACUCUUUUAUGUUAUUAUUCGAGCAUUGUGUGAUGAUGUUCAUUUAUGUAAUCGCUGUGUACGUGAGUUCUGAUCCUGGCACGUACAUAGUUCGCAUUCGGUUUGCCUUCUAAAACCGGGUGUGACAUAAGUGGUAUCAAAGCCGUGCUGACUGUAGGACCGCUGACCUAGAGUAGCACUGGUCGUACUAAGGACUAUUGACCUUCCCUCUCACCUUGACAUCUGAUGUUACUUCAAAAGUCGGUCACCUCGACCAACCCUAUGUUUUACUAUCUAUAUAUACUAUACCUUGUUAAAAAUUUUUAUCUCAUUCUGUUUAUGGUUUACUCACUUGUCAUAUUAGUUCUGCUCUUACUCUUGUGCUUACGGUGUCUUUUGUAGAUGGCUCGUCUUAGACACACUGCACGUAAGUCGGUGAUUCCUUUCCUGCCGUCUCGACUUGCGGAGCGUCCUCUGCACCGCACCGUGUCCGGUCAGUCGAGUCACCUGGAGAGGCUGCACCACCGCUUGCGUGAGGAGCAGGAACGCCGGCGCCAGCACAGAGAGCAGCAGGGCUCUUCCUCCCCACCCCAGCGAGAGGUGGAGUCCGUGAGGCCCCGUUCCUCUGUUGCCCAGCUGGAGGCGCCCCCUGCACCACCGCGGGACGUCCCGGCUGUUGGAGGAGCUACUGGAGGAGAUCCUGGAGGAGACCCCGACGACGACGACUCAGACCACAGCACGGAGUCCUCUGAGCCGCAGGAGGCGGAAGGAUGGGUCGCCCGACCCAUCACCCGUGACGCCGCUCGCGGUUGUCACUUCCACGACGCACUCGACACCUUGCUGCGCCAGGCUUUCGACCGGCACACCUGGUCGAUCGAGUAUCGUUGUGUAGUCUACCAGCACAGUCGCGGGAGGUACCCGGACCGCUGGGAGGCUACCUGCCUAGUUCGCCGUCCGGAGGAUGACCUCCGGGGUGCGGAGGCCGUUUCGGAGCACUAUUCCAUCUCCGAGAGGGACACUGCAGAGGCGGCUAUGCAGGAUGCAGCACGGCGUGCACUCUCCCAGUACUGUUCUUUGUUCGGUGGGGUGGCCGACGGUCUUAACCUUCGGUACUACCCCCGCCGCCCUACUGGCAGCACCGAGAGUGUGGUUGUCUCACCUGUUGGUGAGGCUAACCCUAGGUUGAGCAGCACAGUCAACCUAGUCGCGGUGCUUAACACUGAGCUGGAUCACUCUCUGGACGAGCUAAGCAGGGCUCGAACGGAGAUUGCGGAGUUGCGUGCUGAGUUGGCAGAGCGCCAUCACCAGGAGGGUGGUUCUCCCGCUCCUGUCGGGACUCAGCACCCAUACCGCUCACCACCACGUGGUCACCACACUUAUGGUUCCCCUGUCUGUAAGACCAGGAUAGAUCUGGAUCCUUAGAUCGUUAGCGUCGGAGUUUGUAAUAAUUCUUAAGUCAGAUGUCUUACUCUUAGGUAGUCAGUUUAGUUUGCUUAUCAGUUGCUUCCAUUUAGUUUAGUUUGCUUAUCAGUUGCUUUCAUGCUUGUUAUGAUGAACUUGUACUGGAUUUGAAUCUUUGUAAUGACUGUUGCCAACCUGCGGGUUUCCCCUGCAGUUUGGCUUAGCUAGUAAUAUUAAUGAAGUCAGUUGUUUAGUUGGGAAACCAUUUACUCUUACUUUCCUUUCUUAUCUGAGAAGCUGUGUUGAAUCAUGAAUGAGGAUCAGUGAAGCUCUUUGUUCACUCAGUGUCAUGAAGAAUUCUGUAUUCUCUUUUCUUAUGCUGAAGGGUUGUAAGAUCAAUGCUGAUGUAUGAAUGUCUUCCACAGAUGUCUGACAACAGGCGCCGAUGCAACAGGCGUGCUCAGCUGGAACAGCAUGACCAGCAGGAGGAAAAUCAGAGGCAGCCUCCCCCACCACCCCCGAUGUCAGUGGAGCAGAUGUUCUUGAUGCAGACCCAGGCAGUGCAGGCCAUUGGGCAGACUCUGGCAGCCAUGCAGCAGGCUCAACAGCAACCCCAACCCCAAUUGCAAGUGCAGAUGCCCCAGAUGCCACGAGAUAAGCGUGGUGAGUUCAUGAGAGGGCACCCUCCUACCUUCGCCCAUUCUGCUGACCCCAUGGAUGCAGAAGACUGGCUGCGCGCAGUGGAAAGGGAGCUGCGCACCGCCCAAUGCGACGACAGGGAGAAGGUUCUGUAUGGUCCCCGCCAGCUGAGGGGAGCAGCCCAGUCCUGGUGGGAGUCCUACCUCGCCACCCAUGCUGACCCCGAAGCCAUCACUUGGGAGGAAUUCAGCGAGAGUUUCCGUCGGUACCAUGUGCCAGAGGGACUGAUGAUCGUGAAGAAGGAGGAGUUUCUGGCUCUGAAGCAGGGACCCCUGUCUGUUAGUGAGUACAGGGACAAGUUUCUGCAGCUGUCUCGCUAUGCACCUGAAGACGUCAACACUGAUGCCAAGAGGCAGUACAGGUUCAUGAGAGGUUUGGUGGAUCCCCUGCAUUACCAGCUGAUGAAUCACACCUUCCCCACCUUCCAGCACCUGAUCGAUAGGGCAGUCAUGACUGAGAAGAAGCGUAAAGAUAUGGAAGAUCGGAAGCGCAAGAUGAGUGGACCCCAGUCCGGAGGCAUCAGCCGUCCGCGUUUCUCAGGCAGUUCAUCUCAGCAAGGCAGACCUGGUCACCCACAGGGAUAUCAGAAUCAGAAUCAGCGUCCGCAUCAGCAGCAGUUUCAGAGGCAGUACCCACAGCAGCAACAACAGUAUCGUCAGCACAGCCAGCAGGGAGGUAAUCAGUAUCAGAAGCAGAACAACCAGGCACCUCGCCUUCCUGCCCCAGCAGCGAAUCAGAGCAACCAAGCAGCCCCAGCACAAGGAGGAGGCAGAGGAUGUUUCCACUGUGGAGAUCAAGGUCACUGGGCGAUGCAGUGCCCGAAGAAGAUGGCGCAGCAGCAGACCAACCCCAAUGCUCCGACAAAACAAGGUGUACUGCAGCCGACAGCCGGCAAUCGUAACCAAGCGUACAACCGUGGAAAGGUGAACCACUUGGAGGCCGAAGCAAUCCAGGAUGCACCAGAUGUGGCAGUAGGUAUGUUCUCAGUCGAAUCUCAUCCCGCAAAAGUGCUAUUUGAUACUGGUGCAACUCAUUCAUUUGUCACUGCAACCUGGGUAGAAUUGCAUAACAUCUUAGUAGAGGCAAUGAUGCCGCCCAUGAGGAUUAAUUCGGUUGGUGGCAAGGUGCAAACGGAUAAAAUAUGCUCAAACAUAAUGGUGGAAAUAAGGGGGAUAGGAUUCCCCAGUGACUUAAUAGUAAUAGACACCCCUGGGAUAGAUGUUAUUCUAGGGAUGAACUGGUUAAUGAAGUACGAAGCAAAUGUUAGUUGUGACAAGAGGACCGUAACAUUGAAAUCCCCGUCAGGAGAAGAGGUAGUGGCCGAGCUAAGGAUGCCUAAAUCAGAAGGAGUCUGCCAUCAGAUUUCAGUUGAUAGUAAGGAGCCCAACCCGCUCGAGGCUAUCAAGGUUGUGUCCGACUUUCCGGACGUGUUUCCCGAAAGAGUUAACGGGCAUGCCACCCGAGAGAAAGGUUGAAUUUGCCAUAGAGCUUAUCCCUGGUACCGCCCCCAUUUCCAAAAGAGCCUAUCGAGUGUCUGGACCAGAAUUGGUGGAACUCAAGAAGCAUCUAGAUGAGAUGUUAGAGAAGGGUUACAUCAGGCCCAGCACCUCGCCUUGGGCCGCUCCAGUGUUGUUUGUAGAGAAGAAAGAUGGUACCAAAAGGAUGUGCAUAGACUACAGAGCCUUGAAUGAAGUCACUGUCAAGAACAAGUACCCCCUGCCAAGGAUAGAAGAUUUGUUCGACCAGCUCAGAGGUGCCAGCGUAUUCUCGAAGAUAGAUCUGAGAUCAGGUUACCAUCAGCUCAGAAUCCGACCCUCAGAUAUACCGAAGACGGCAUUCAUCACCAAGUAUGGGUUAUAUGAGUUCACAGUUAUGUCCUUUGGUUUGACAAAUGCGCCAGCCUUCUUUAUGUACCUGAUGAACAGUGUGUUCAUAGAUUAUCUGGACAAGUUUGUGGUAGUGUUCAUCGAUGACAUUCUCAUAUACUCUCAAAGUGAGGAAGAUCAUGUAGAGCAUUUGAAGAUGGUAUUGCAAAGACUUCGAGAGCAUCAACUGUAUGCCAAGCUGGGCAAAUGCGAGUUCUGGAUUCAUGAAGUCUUAUUUCUGGGUCACAUCAUAAAUCAAGAUGGGUUAGCAGUGGAUCCAAAGAAAGUAGCAGAUAUCCUGAACUGGAAAGCACCGAAGGAUGUUCGUGGGAUCAAGAGCUUCAUUGGAAUGGCUGGAUACUAUAGGAGUUUCAUUGAAGGCUUCUCAAAGAUUGCUAGACCAAUGACAGCGUUGCUAGCGAAGAAAGUUGAGUUUAAGUGGACUCAAAAGUGUCAGGAAGCAUUUGAAGAACUGAAGAAUAGAUUGACUACAGCUCCUGUGUUAGUCCUGCCAGACGUUCACAAGUCAUUCUCAGUGUAUUGCGACGCUUCGUACACCGGAUUGGGAUGUGUGCUAAUGCAAGAAGGAAGAGUUGUAGCAUAUUCAUCUCGGCAGCUGAAGAUCCAUGAGAAAAAUUAUCCCACACAUGACCUGGAGUUGGCAGCAGUGGUUCAUGCCUUAAAGACCUGGAGACAUUACCUGUAUGGGCAGAAGUGCGACAUCUACACAGAUCAUAAAAGUCUGAAGUACAUAUUCACCCAGUCAGAGUUAAACAUGAGGCAGCGAAGAUGGUUGGAAUUGAUCAAAGACUAUGAGUUGGAGAUACAUUAUCAUCCAGGCAAAGCCAAUGUUGUUGCAGAUGCUCUGAGCAGGAAGAGUCAAGUCAAUAUGUUGGUCACGUACCCGAUGCCGUAUGAGUUAGCCAAAGAGUUCGACAGACUGAGCCUCGGUUUCCUGAACAGUACGCAAGGAGUAACAGUGGAAUUAGAGCCCACCCUAGAGCGGGAGAUCAAAGAAGGGCAGAAGGAUGAUGAAAACAUCAACAAGAUCCGGCAGCUGAUCUUAGAAGGAAGAGGCAAAGACUUUCGAGAGGAUGAAGAGGGGGUAAUAUGGUUCAAGGACCGAUUGUGUGUCCCCGACCUCAAACCUAUUCGGGAAUUGAUCCUAAAGGAAGCUCAUGAGACAGCCUACUCCAUACACCCAGGGAGUGAGAAGAUGUACCAGGAUUUAAAAAGGAGGUUUUGGUGGUAUGGCAUGAAAAGAGAGAUCGCAGAAUAUGUCGCCAUCUGUGAUAGCUGUCAGAGAACCAAAGCAGAGCAUCAGAGGCCUGCCGGAUUGUUGCAGCCAUUGCGGAUUCCUCAGUGGAAGUGGGAUGAGAUCGGGAUGGAUUUUAUAGUUGGCCUACCUCGUACCCGGGCCGGCUAUGAUUCCAUCUGGGUGGUCGUGGACCGCUUAACAAAGGUGGCCCAUUUCAUACCCGUGAAGACGACAUACACCGGAGCAACGUUAGCUGAGUUAUACAUGUCACGGAUAGUCUACCUUCAUGGUGUGCCAAAGAAGAUAGUGUCAGAUCGAGGAACACAGUUCACCUCUCAUUUUUGGCAGCAGCUACAAGAAGCUUUGGGCACACAUUUGAACUUCAGCUCAGCUUAUCACCCGCAGACAGACGGUCAGACUGAAAGAACUAAUCAGAUCCUAGAAGAUAUGUUGAGAGCCUGUGCGUUGCAAGACAAGUCAGGAUGGGACAAAAGAUUACCUUAUGCAGAAUUCUCCUACAACAAUAGUUACCAGGCCAGCUUGAAGAUGUCGCCGUUUCAGGCACUCUAUGGACGGAGUUGUAGGACUCCGCUGCAUUGGGACCAGCCUGGAGAGAGACAGGUGUUUGGCCCCGACAUCUUACUUGAAGCCGAAGAGAAUAUCAAAAUGGUUCGGGAGAACCUGAAGAUAGCACAAUCAAGACAGCGGAGCUAUGCGGACUGAAGGAGAAGGGAACUGAGUUUCGAAGUGGGAGAUUACGUCUAUCUGAAGGUGUCACCUAUCCGAGGAGUCAGAAGGUUCGGAGUCAAAGGCAAGCUAGCACCCCGGUACGUUGGACCGUAUCAGAUUCAAGCAAAGCGUGGAGAAGUGGCCUACCAGCUUGACCUACCAGAGAGCUUGUCAGCAGUGCACAAUGUGUUCCAUGUGUCGCAAUUGAAGAAGUGUUUGCGAGUACCAGAAGAACAGUUGCCAGUGGAGGGUUUGGAGGUCCAGGAGGAUCUGACAUACAUAGAGAAGCCAACGCAGAUUCUGGAGUUUGCAGAUAGAGUCACCCGGAGGAACACCAUCAGAAUGUGCAAAGUCAGAUGGGGUCACCACUCUGAGGAAGAAGCAACCUGGGAAUGAGAAGAUGAUCUGAAGGCCAAAUACCCUGAACUCUUUGCUGACCAACCUUGAAUCUCGGGGCGAGAUUCUUUUAAGGGGGAUAGGUUUGUAACACCCUGAAUUUGGGGGUAUAAAAUUUCUUUGCUCAUAUUCACAAAUUCAGGUGUUACUUCCCUUUUCUCAUCCUUCCUCAUCCUUUUCUUUCUCAUUUCUAUAGGAGAAAAGUGCUUAUUUUAUUUGUAAUUAUAGUUUAUUAUGUUAAACCCUAAGGGAGUAUGAAUUGUUGCAUCAUGUUGAACCCUAGAUUUCACUUUUGCUUGGUGCAUAAUUCUUUGAAAGUUUGAUUUGAAUUUGUGGCUCAUUUGGAUUUGAAUCAAUUGGAGAAAAUAAAAAGAAAAAGAGAAAACAAUUCCAGAAUAAAAAGAAAAGGAAAGAAGCCCACUCCCCCGCCCCCCUCGGCCUUUCGGCCCACCAGGCCCAUCCCGCGCGCGCGCUCUUCUCCCCCCCCGCUCUCUCUGCCCUGGCGGGCCCGCCCGUCAGCGCAGCCGCCUCUCGCGCGCCCGCCUCCGCUCUCCCCUCUCUCUCUGCUCGCGGGCCCGGGCUGUCAGCCCCGUCGUCCCCGCGUAACCGCCGCCGAGCUGCGCGCGCCCGCCUUCCCCGCGCCCACGUCGCGCGUGGAGCUCGCAACUGACCCGCCCCUGGCCACUUGAGCCCCGAGCCCCACUCGCCCUCUCCCCCUCCCCCAUUUGCGCUCCAGUAGACCCUCUUCCCCCCUCGCUGCGCGCACGCAGAGCGCCGCCGCCAUAACCCCCGCCGUCCCGAGCUCGGUUCCCCGUCGCCGUUGGAGCUCCGCCGCGCCCUUUGCCCCGGUGAGCUCCGCCCCGACGUCCGCAACCCGGGACGCGCCCCAAUUCCCUCUCCCCCUCCCUAUUUCUCUCUGCCCGCGCUCACCCGCCGUUCCCCGUGCAGCCGCGGAGGUCCCCCACCGUCGCCCCGGACCACCGUCGCGCCAUUGCCGCCGCCGAGGAGUCCCCGGAGCCCGUCUUGAGGUAAGGGACCUCUCCCGCCCCUAUCGACCUUUGUUUUGCUCUCUGCCGCGUGUAAUUCCUCGCCGGAGUAGAGUAAUCCCGCCGCCGAGCCGCUCCGCCGUGAACCGCCCCCCUCCGGUGCCCCUGCCCCGACCCAGACCCCACCAGAGGACUCCCCGUGCCCUCCCCAACCUUCCCGGCCACUCAGGUCGCCCCAGAGGCCCGCCAAACGCCCGCGCCCCUCGUCUCCGGCGAGCCCUCCGCUGCGGGGACGAGCGCCGCCGCCCCAGCUAGCCGUAGGAAAGACCCAGGCCGCCCACCCGAUCCCCGCCGUUCAUCCCAGAUCGGGCGGCCCUGAUUCAACUCGCCCGGACCCAAUCCUGGCCGUCCGCCGGAGAUCCAGCGGCCCAGGCCCACUUCCCCCUCACCCCGUCUCCCUGCCAGUUGGGCCCCGCCUGUCAGCCCGCCCGCGCGCUCGCCCUGCCCGCCGGCCCCGCCUGUCAGCCCGCCCGCGCGCGCUCUGCCCGCCGGCCCCGCCUGUCAGCCUGCCCGCGCCCCGCGCUGCCCGCCCGGUUCCGCCUGUCAGUCGCCCAGGCCGCCGCGCGCUCGCGCGCCCGCCCGCAGGAUCUAAUCCUGGCCGUUCGCUUGAGAUCCGACGGCCGUAGGAGCCCGAUACCCCUUCGCCUGCGCAUUUUCUUAAAGAGACCCCCGGUUUUCUGGAAUUUGAACCCGCCGUCCCUGGUUUCUCGCAGUUAAGUCCCUGGCCCUUUUAUUUAAUUCAAAAUAGGUAUUUAGGGUAUAAUUUUAAUCCCCAAACUUGUAAAAUUCAUAACUUUGUCAUAUGAACUCCAAAUGAGGUGCUUCAAAUUGCAAAAUGCUCAUUAUGCUUUUGUCUAUCUAUUCAAACAGUGUUUCCCUGCUGUUUCCAUGUACCAAUUAAUAGUUAAUCACUAGGAUAGGAUUAAGACUAUUGGAACCUUAUUUGAGAUGAUUAGAAAUUGGUAGACUUUAAUAAAAGUUGGAUUACUUAAGUUUAUGGACUUAAACACCCAAGUUUAGGAACUUAAAACCAGGUAAUGAUUUAAUCCCACCACUGACUUAAACCUGAUUAGUGGAUAAUGAAUCACUUAGUAUAGUCCUCUACCCUAGACCUAGGGAACACCAGAGUGCCUAUCCCUUUUCUACUAUGAACUUGUGAUCCCUUUGCUGCAUAUGUUUGGUAUGUUGCUUUUUGUUUGUUAUCUUCCCAAGUGCAUAGUGUGAAUGAUUACUUUACGUAGACAACGAGCAGUCUGUGUUUCCCGAGGAGGUUGCAGAGGAAGUCCCUGAUCUGCAGUUUGGUGAAGGCAAGUGUCCUCUGUCCCAUUAUGUCCUAUUCAUUUAUAACUUACUACCCCGCACUACUUACUUGAAACCUAAGGAUUGACUAGCUUUACAUUUUACUUUAUCCUUGAUGACCUUAUGGGCUAUUAUGGUUAGCACUUUGCUAUUGCUUUAACAUAAUCAAUGAACAUGAUGUGACUAUUUAUGAUACUGUUAUCCUGAUGAUGUUGAUGAUCUUGUGAUACUCUAGGGGGCUCAGGCUGUUUCCUGAGUACCUCUCCGUAAGGACCUGUUCGUUGAGAGACCACCCGGGAUAACAGUGCAACCAUGAGGGUGAAAUGGGAUGCCCUUAGCUGAUUAAUUGGAUGAACUAGAGGUGUAGUUGCUUAGCCGUCGUGCCGUCAAUGGGGUCCAGGCACAGUGCUUGCUCUGCCGAGGCUGAGUGCCGAGGUUCUUUCGUUUUGCUCUUUGUUAGUCACUCUCCUGCGGGGAGGGGUACUGUGUUUAUCAAACUGGAGAAACCUAACGGGCAUCUAUGAUCUCUAGGGAAUCUUUGUAAAAGCUACGUAGUGAUGCCCUGCCGGACCACCUAGGUAGUGGUCAAUGGGGAUUAGCUCUCCCCGGGUAGAAAGGGAAUCAUGACUCAUGGGUAAAGUGUGCAACCUCUACAGAGGAUUAGAAACUGAUAUAUCAGCCGUGCUCACGGUUAUGAGCAGCCUUGGGAUCCUCUUUGAUUAGAGAUACAGAUGGUUCGAGAUACAAGGAUUAUGUUAUGGUUUCGGUUCGACUAUGAUGAUGAUGUUCCUCGAUGAGGAAAUGGUUUACGGGUUGGUUAAUGCUAAAAUCUGGCUUCUACUAAUGAUAAAUACCUGACCAACUAAAAGCAACUGCUUGAGCCUAACCCCACAUAAAGCUAGUCCACUUCAGCCAAACGGGACAUUUGCUGAGUACGUUGAUGUGUACUCAUCCUUGCUUUACCACAAAACACCAGGUUGUCCGCAUUGUAACCACUGCUCAGGAGAAGGUGAAGCCGUGGAAGGAGACUUCCAGGAGUUCCAAGACUACGAUGAAUUCUAGGUGUGGGUUGGCGGCAACCCCCAGUCAGCUGCCUGUGAAGGCCUUAGCUUUACUGCGUUUCAUUUAGCACUUUGAUUUACUUGUUAAGACAAUGACUAUGUGGAUGUCUAUGACUCUAUGAUGUAAUAAGUACUCUUUUAUGUUAUUAUUCGAGCAUUGUGUGAUGAUGUUCAUUUAUGUAAUCGUUGUGUACGUGAGUUCUGAUCCUGGCACGUACAUAGUUCGCAUUCGGUUUGCCUUCUAAAACCGGGUGUGACAAUGUGAGACAACCCCUAUUUUUGAGAGUUCUAAGUUUCCUAACCACGUUUUUAAACUCUAAAAAGCCUUGUAUGGUUUGAAACAAGCCCAUAGAGCUUGGUACGAGCUUUUGAAAUCUUUCUUGCUUUCAAAGGGUUUUAAAAUGGGCUAUGUGAACAAAACACUUUUCUCCUCAAGCAUGGCAGCGACACCCUUUUAGUACAGAUAUAAGUGGAUGAUAUUAUCUUUGGUGGCUCUUCUCAUGCUCUUAUUUCCAUGUUCUCAUAUCUUAUGAGUAGGCAAUUUGAGAUGAGCAUGAUGGGCGAGCUGAACUUCUUUCUUGGGCUGCAAAUCAAGUAGAGUCAAGACGAGACCUUUGUGCAUCAAGGAAUGUAUACAAAGGACAUCCUAAAGAAGUUCGACAUGGGUGAGGCCAAGCCUCUUUUGACGCCCAUGUCAACCAUGACGACGCUUGAUGCUAAUGAGUACGAUGAGCCCAUGGACCAGAAGGAGUAUAAGAUCAUGAUUGGCUCCCUUCUGUACUUGACUGCGAGAGGCCAGAUAUACACUUUACAAUGUGCUUGUGCGCUCGCUUUCAAACUUCCCCAUGCACUUCUCAAAGACAGGCUGUGAAACGGAUUAUGAGGUACCCACGCUUCACUCCUUAUCUUGGUUUGUGGCACUCUUCUUCCGUUCUGUCUUUGUGUGGUUAUUCUUAUGCUGAUUUUGCGGGAUGUCGCUUGGUGCGCAAGUCUACUUCUGGUACUUGUCAUUUUUUGGGGACUUCGUUGGUUUCUUGGUCUUCACGCAAACAGUCUAGUGUUGCUCAAUCUACCAUAGAGGCUGAGUAUGUCGUUGCUCGCAGUUGUUAUGGAUGAUGUCUACUUCACGAGAUUUUGGCUUGGAUUUUCAUCAGGUGCCUCUGCUUUGUGAUAGCACGAGUGCCAUAAGUGUUGCCAAGAAUCAUGUACGACAUUCGAGGACCAAGCACAUUAAUGUUAACUUUCACUUUCUUUGUGACCAUUUUGAGAAAGGCGACAUCGAUUUGCGCCACGAUUAUACCCAUCGUCAGCUGGCUGACAUUUUCACCAACCCCUUGAUCAGUCUACUUUUACACAUUUGAGAGGGGAAUUGGGGGUUUGCUUCCCUUUUUGAUCAAGGGCUCCCUUUUUGGUUUUUCUUCUUUUCUGCUGCUUUUCAUGUAGGUUUUAGUUCUUCUUUCUUGCGUUUGUAUUAUAUCUGCAUCCCAUGUAGUAUUUUGAGCUUCACUUGUAUAACUGCUAGAUUGUAACCAUGCUCCUAGUAGUAUGCUCUGUGUGUACAUGAUGAUGCAAUGACAUGCUUAGACUCUUUUUUCUCAUAUUGAUACAAUUUUGUUGAGCUAAGCUUGUUUUUAUAAUUGUGAACUUGACUAUUACUUACUAAAUCCAAAACAUGUUCACCAUUUGAGGUUGACACCUAGCAUGUGUAGGAUGUGUCUGAAAUCCUUUGUGUUGUCACUAGUAUGCUAGGUUGCUAUGUCUCAUGCUCUCAGUCAUUCACUAUUUUUAAUCAUAAAGCUUGUGCUUAAAAUUAAAAUCAAGAUAAGUGCAAAUUCAGAAAGAUCGAGAUAGGUUUGCAUUUGUCACCACCUCUCUAUAUCGAUACUGCUUCCAUUUGCACUUUUGGAUGAUCUUGAGCAGGGUAGUGGAUGAUUGAAACCGGUGACUUUAGCUUUUGAUUGCUUUUCUGCAUAGGCUACACUCGGUCGAAAAGUUAGACAAUGACAAUGCUCAUAACCUUUCACACUCACAUGCUUUUCUUUGAAACUUGUAAUCCACUGCAAAAUCCAAUAAAUCUUGAGAAUUUCAUCUGGUAUCAUUUUCAGAUAUAUUUCUAGCAAGAUGACUGACCACUGUUUGGGGUAGCUUGCCUGGUUUACCUUGAUUGACACUUAGUUGAUUUCCGAUUUACUAUAUGCCUAGUGUUGUCUUUAGUGGUGAACUUCUCUUUUGAACUGCUUAAAACUGAAUCAAAAUGCUUACACUUCACAUAUCUUGUGCAUAUGAUCAGUUUGAGCAUUUGCUAGCACAUGCAUUUAUUGUUGUACACAUAACACAACACCUGUUAAAGCAAUUUUACACUUCGACUGGUAUACUUCUGAAGCUCAUGUAUAUUCUUCAUUUUCUCCUUUCUUUUGCAUUUCUACAUUUUCUCAGGGGGAGCUCUUUGUCAAGGGGGAGUUCUAUUUCUACCCUUAUUCGUGCUUGAUGAGUCCAGUUGUCAACAAGGGGGAGAUAUCUUUGUGAUUUUCUGCCUCAUAACAAGGGGAGAGGUUUUGUGUAUUUAGGGCUUAUGUUGUUCCCAUCAUUAAAGAGGGAAAUUCUUGAUUUGGGAGAAUGCUUUGACAGGGGGAGAGAUUUGAGCCAUUUAGAGCUUUUGCUAGUUGUGUUGAUCCAUUUGCCUCUUUCUAGAGGAACUAGCUUUGAUUUCAGCUUUUGUGUUGAUUUUGUGCUCUGGUAUGGUUUUGUCUGCUAGCUAUUGGUGUUGAGACUUACUUUUGCCUCUUCUUGAGGACUAGCCGUUUUCUGCUUGGUCGUGUUGAGUUGUUGCCCAUUUCUUUGGGGACCAAGUUUUGCUCGCUUUGGAUGACUUGUUUGGCCUCUAUCUAGCUUUUGGUUGUUCGGAUGAGUUUCUCUUUCUAACCCCCUUAACAGAAUCUCGCCCUUGAGAUUCUAGAAGAGGCUAGCAGGAAAAUGAGAUUGGUUCAUUGGUUGAUCACUGCUUUCUUGAGUUGCCUUUGACUCUAUAAGCUUAACUUGCGGACUGUUUGCUUUGACCUUCAGAUGUUCACGACCCACUGAUGCAAUUCUUGAGGAUCUCCUGGACCUGUGGGUUAGGACCCACACACGCUUUCGCUGCACCACUUUGAUCUUGUCGGUUGACGUUGAUCGCAUUGUCUUCAUUGGGGUUAACAACUAACCCCCUUAACAGGAGCGUUGAUAUGCACUUGGUGAAGAUGCUACCGACUCUGAUCUUGACUAAUUUGGAGGAGUUGGAGGUUGCCAAAUGGACAGGUGCAAGAGGAAAGAAUAGCGAGAAAAGGUAAGUAUAGACGGAUUAGAGAGAGCAGGGGGAGAACCCAACUACCUAGCUCUAUGGCACUCAACUAGUAAACUGAUGUCAUUGCGGACCAACGGCCACAACACAUCAACACUCAUUUCAAAGAAGCAAAUCAGUCGUAACACAAAGACAAACAACACAAGCAUACAACAACAAACAUAUCAUGGCUACACGUUAAUGUUAACUAGGUGGUGGUCUUUCCUUACAAAGGGGAAACUACUCUAACGCCAUCGAAAGGCAAGGGGAAUGAUAAGGUAUGCAGGAUAGGGGCAUGAGCAUAAUAAAGGAUGAAGCUAAAGCAAGGAUUAAAACUGACAGGGAGAGAAUGCAACCAAGGUCAGGAUAGGUAAAACACCAUUCUCAAAUCGAGAUGGGAAGGAUGAUAUUUCAAAAGGUAGGCAUAAGAUAAGUAUCAUGGAAUGAUCUAGAGAUUACAAAGGUAAGGGAGAUGAAAGGCAAAAGCACACCAAAAGAUAGAGUUAGGACAAGACUUGCAAUGCGACAGAGGAAAAGGGAACGAACAAGAAUGGGAUGGGUAAGACAUCACUCUUGAAAUGAAAUGGGAGAGGAGGCUUUAAAAUGCAGGUGCAAGAUAAGCAUCAUGGUAAAGAUCGAGGGAUGACAAGGGUUAUGGUGAUAACGGGCAAUCACACAACAAAGGAUGUAUUUGAGGAAAAUCUUGCAAGGUGUUAGAGAAGGGGGAGCAGUCAAUGAUGAGAUAGAUGAGGCAUUAUUCUCGAACAGGGAUGGAAAAGAGGAGGCUUCAAAGGAUAGGUUCAAGAUAAGCAUGAGGGCAAGGGCAUAGAUAUCACGAGGGUUCUAAAGGUAAUAACGGACAAGAAUGUAGGAGAGGAGGUAAAUAGGCAUAAGACUAAGGAUAUAAGUACCAUAAAGGAUGGAGUUAAGAUAGGACCUGCAAAUGGAAAAGGAGAUGGUACGUCCAAGGGCCAGAUAGGUAAACUGUCACUCUCAAAUUGAGCUGGAAGAGUGGAGAUUUUUUUAGAGUGGGAAUAAAGAUGAGUAUCAAGGCAAGAUCGAUGGAUGACAAGGUGCAGGUGCAAGAGGAAAGAAUAGCAAGAAAAGGUAAGUAUAGACGGAUUAGAGAGAGCAGGGGGAGAACCCAACUACCUAACUCUAUGGCACUCAACUAGUAAACUGAUGUCAUUGCAGACCAACGGCCACAACACAUCAACACUCAUUUCAAAGAAGCAAAUCAGUCGUAACACAAAGACAAACAACACAAGCAUACAACAACAAACAUAUUGUGGCUACACGUUAAUGUUAACUAGGUGGUGGUCUUUCCUUACAAAGGGGAAACUACUCUAAGGCCAUCGAAAGGCAAGGGGAAUGAUAAGGCAUGCAGGAUAGGGGCAUGAGCAUAAUAAAGGAUGAAGCUAAAGCAAGGAUUAAAACUGACAGGGAGAGAAUGCAACCAAGGUCAGGAUAGGUAAAACACCAUUCUCAAAUCGAGAUGGGAAGGAUGAUAUUUCAAAAGGUAGGCAUAAGAUAAGUAUCAUGGAAUGAUCUAGAGAUUACAAAGGUAAGGGAGAUGAAAGGCAAAAGCACACCAAAAGAUAGAGUUAGGACAAGACUUGCAAUGCGACAGAGGAAAAGGGAACGAACAAGAGUGGGAUGGGUAAGACAUCACUCUUGAAAUGAAAUGGGAGAGGAGGCUUUAAAAUGCAGGUGCAAGAUAAGCAUCAUGGUAAAGAUCGAGGGAUGACAAGGGUUAUGGUGAUAACAGGCAAUGACACAACAAAGGAUGUAUUUGAGGAAAAUCUUGCAAGGUGUUAGAGAAGGGGGAGCAGUCAAUGAUGAGAUAGAUGAGGCAUUAUUCUCGAACAGGGAUGGAAAAGAGGAGGCUUCAAAGGAUAGGUUCAAGAUAAGCAUGAGGGCAAGGGCAUAGAUAUCACGAGGGUUCUAAAGGUAAUAACGGACAAGAAUGUAGGAGAGGAGGUAAAUAGGCAUAAGACUAAGGAUAUAAGUACCAUAAAGGAUGGAGUUAAGAUAGGACCUGCAAAUGGAAAAGGAGAUGGUACGUCCAAGGGCCAGAUAGGUAAACUGUCACUCUCAAAUUGAGCUGGAAGAGUGAAGAUUUUUUUAGAGUGGGAAUAAAGAUGAGUAUCAAGGCAAGAUCGAUGGAUGACAAGGUGAUGGUGAUAGCAAAUAAAACACAAAAAAGGAUGGAAUUAACACAAAACUUGUAAGGCGACAAGAAGUGAAAAGAAAUCAAGGGAGAGAUUGGUAACUCGCAACUCUCAAACUUUGAGAGGCUUUUAAAGGAUAAGUUCAAGGUAAGCAUUUAGGUAGAAGACAUAAAUAUCGCAAGGGCCAAAGGUGAUAACAGACAAGAGUAUAGGAGAAACGAUGACGGCAUAGAAGAGCCAGUGGUAUAAGCACAAUAAAGAAUGGAGGUAUGUCAAGGCUUACACGCGGUAAAGAAGAGGAUAUUGCCAAGGAUAAGAUAAGUAAAACACCGUUCUCAAUUUGGGAUAGGAGAUUGGAGAUUUUAGAUAACAGAAAUAAUGUCAUCACCAAGGUAUGAUCGAGAGAUGGGAAAGGUUAAGGCAACGCUAAAUAGAGGCACAACAAAGGAUGGAGUUGAAGAUUCACAAGCGAUGAGGAAGAGGAAACGACCAAGGGAAAAGUAGGUAAAGUACAACGCUCAGAUUGAGAUGGAAAAGAGGAGAUUUUAAAGGGCCAGUAUAAGAUAAACAUCAAGGUAAUAUAUAGAGGUGAUAAGGGUAAAUGUGAUAAUGAUGAAAAGCAUAAUCCAUGGACAAAGUCAAGGCAAGACUCACCAAAUGGCAAGGUGGAGAAAACAAUCAAGGAUAAGAUAAGUGAGGUUCCGACAUAAGAGUUGAAGUAAAAAUUCAUUACCGAAGGAAGUUACAAGGAAACAACGAGAUUACCACAGGUGUGCAAAAUGUAAUGAUCACUCAUGGAUCAUUAAUAAACAAGGGUGGUCAAGAACAUGUAAGUUGGAAUGUCUUAAACAAAUACUGGGGGUAUGAAGAUAAGCAUACAUAAAAAUAAGAGUAUGCAAGAUUCCAAUGGUACGAGCAUGCCAAUAUAAAGAGACAAGAAAUUGCUGAAAGAUAGCGACUUAACAACGGAAGAGGAAAGGGUCUCAAAAGAUAAGAAGGUCAUGGACAUAUAAACUAAAAUGUUUAAGUAGGCAGUAGAAAUUUAGAGGCAAGUAUUUGAAACAAGGGUAUUGAAGAAUUCAGGGAUACAAGUAUGUCAAUACAGAGGACAAGAGUUUGCCAGAUGGUAGAAAUUUAAUGACGAAAGAGGAAAGAACCCCAAAAGACAAGAGGGUUAUGGUCAGGGGGCAUCUACAAAGAUGUCGCAAGCACAAGAGUGAGAUCAGAUCUAGUAGAUUGAGAAAAGUAUAGACCAUACUAGAAUAAAAUACUUUUGGCAAGGGGACAUAUAGGAGCACAACAUAGAAUUAGUCGAGCUGACUAAUAUUUUGAAGCACAAUCAAGGAUGGGGUGAAGUAAUAAUAAAUAAGUCCUUAAAACGGCCAAUGCUACUCUAGGUCAGCGGUCCUACAGUCUGCACGACUUUGAUACCACUUAUGUCACACCCGGUUUUAGAAGGUAAACCGAAUGCAAACCAUGUACGUGCCAGGAUCAGAAAUUCACGUACACAUCGAUUACAUAAAUGACUCAUCAUAGCACAAUGCUUCGAAUAACAAUAAAUUGUAAGUAAUAAUAUUACAGACUAGAGCCAUUUACAUAAUAUAAAUCAAAGUCCACAGAAUUGAAACGUAGCCAACAUAAACAACCCACCAUAGGCAGCUGACUGGGGGAGGUCGCUAGCCUAAUCCUCAAACUCGUCGAUGUCCUGGAACUCCUAGAGAUCCGCCUCGACACUGUUCUUCUUCUUUACCUGAGCAUAGAUUGCACCAAAGGCAACCCGGUGUUUUGUGAAAGCAAGGGUGAGUACACAUUAACGUACUCAACAAAGGUCCUGUUUGGCUGUAGUGGACUAGCUUUAUGUGAGGUUAAGUUCAAGCAGUUGCUUUUAGUUGAUCAGGUAAUUAUUACUAGUAGAGAGCCAAGUUUAAUAUUAACCCAAGUUGUUAACCCAAAAGUACCCUUUCCAAACGGAAAGAAUACCACUUACCAUUACCAUAAUCAUAAUAAAAAACCAUCAUCCUCAUCACCACCUGUAAACCAACCAUCUCUGAUCAAAGUAUCUCUAAUCAAUGGAGCUCCCUUGGUCGCUCAUAACCGCGAGCACGGCUGAUAUAUCAGUUUCAUAACACUCUGCAGAGGUUGCGCACUUUACCCACAAGUCGUGAUUCCCUCUCUAGCCCGGGCUUGCAAGACCCUUAUUCACUCCCAAGGUGAAUGGCCAGGGAUUCACUACAAAGCCUUUACAAAGAUUCCCUGAGGCUGUAGCCGCCCGUUAGGUUUCCUAAAUGCACCGCACUCCUCCCCAAGGGGCGAACCAACCUUGGCAGAGCGAGCCGCAUACACCGAGCCCCAUUAACGACACGACGGCGAAGCGAACUACACCCCAGUUCCUCUAAUUAUUCAGCUAAGGGCGUCCCAUUCCACCCUCAUGGUUGCACUGUUUUCCCGGACGGUCAUCCAACGAACCAGUCCUUACGGAGAGGCACUCGAGAAACAGCUCGAGUCCCCUUAAAUGCCACAAGUAUACCAUCAUAUCCAGAAUAAAACCAUAGUAUCAUCAUUGUAUCUCAUCAUGUUCAUUGAUUAAAGUAAAGCGCUAGCAUGAAGCUAACCAUAGUAACCCACAAGGUAAUCAAGGACAAGGUAAAUAGAAAGCUAGUCAAUCCUUAUGUUGUUCAUAGUAUGCGGGACAGUGAAUUAUAAAGUAAAUGGGACAUAAUGGGUCAGAGGACACUUGCCUUCACCAAACAGAUGAUCAGGGUCUUCAGCCUUGUAGAACUCGAAGAGCUUGAUCUUGGGACUAGUGUUUCACCAAAUCUUGAUCGUCGAUUCUUUGAAGCUCAGGAACAGAUCGCAAUCUAUUCGCGACGCGAAGCGAAGACGAACAGGCACAAGAAAACAAACAUAUACAUAUGCAUAAGAACAUUACACCAUACAAGAUAAAACGUUAUAAAACCGAGCAAUAUAAAAUAGAGAGCGCCUCUACGGUUACGCGAGGAAAAGAACCAUGAUAGACGAAGCUAUGGUCGAGGGGUUAGCGCGUUUACGUUAAACAAGUACUAAUUAGAACAUCCAAUUCAACAUAAAUAUAUUAAUUGAUAUUAAUCAAAUGUAAAUUAAUACUACUACUUAGUUUUGACUAACUUACUAUUUUAAUAGUUGACAGUUAAGCAAGUAACUUAAUGAAUAUGAGCGAUUCUAAGCGAGACGAAUUAACGACGCACGACGUGCAAACACGAUGUGCGUAACGCGUGGACACAAAUGACUUAGCACGCGGACAACGCGCCACACGCGAACGGCACACGGCAAGGCGCGCGACACACGCGAACGGCACGCGACAACGCAUGCGAACAACACGAGCGACACUUGCGAACGACACGCGACGAAGUGCGCGAAACAGCACCACAGCAUGCGCACGGUACGCGCGGACCGACAUGCGAAAAUAAUAAAUAAAUGACAACGUGAUUACACUAAAUGAUUAUUAAUAAGUAACAUUUCAGUUAAGGUUAAUCAUAUUGGUGACUAAUUAUAAAUGCGCAAAUCGAAUUCCAAAAUUAGAUUUUAAAAUUGAAUUGUCGCUCUCGUAGCCAUUGGUUAAACAAACCCUUAAAUAAAUUAAAUAAAAUAUCCAACAGUGAAGAUAAAUAUUUCUAAAUUAAUAUAAUUUUAAUACGAAUCUAACGCAAUUUGAAUGGAUCGAAUCGGAUUUAAAACGCAAAAGUUAUAAAUGUUUUAAACCAUACUGUAAUUCACACAAACUAAAUUUACAGAAUUACCAUCAUCUUCUUCCUCUCAUCUUCUUCCUUCCAUCCAUGGAAGAAAGAGGAGGGGAAGAGGAGGGGGCUGCGCAGGGGAAGUCGGGUCGGGCUGGCCGGCCGCGGGCGCGGCCACUGCCGCCGGGAGGGGGAAUAGGGGCGCCAUGGGAGGGGAAACGGAGGGGGGAGGGGUGCCACCGCCGGGGAAGGUGAGGAGAGAGUGAGGGAGGCCCUGCACGGACGGGAAAACGAAGAAACGAAGAAACCCUAGGCACAACAGUAGAGGUUUCUCACCGGGGAAGAAGACUCUCGCUAGAGCCGAGGAGAAAUCCGUCGAUUGCCGGAGAUUCGGGGAUCCAAUCGACGAACCGAACACGCUGCGACGAAGUCCUCGACGAGACGACGCAACGGUACCCUCGGAUUCGGCAGACGAUACACGGAUUGGGAGUAAUUGCUCGUCGAAGUUGUCGCCGGAGUUGGAACCGCCCCGAACUUCAGCAAGCAAUACCGGGAGCUAGGGAUUGGAUUUAAAAAAACCGUUUCGUGUUAUGGAACGGGCUCGACGAGAUGAAGCCGAACAUGUAUAUAUAUCUAGGGUUCGGACGAGAUGAAAAUUCGGAUUUUACCAUUUUAAAAUUCGGAAAAGCCUAGAAAUCCAUAUUUUGUGCUCAAAAUAUUAUAUAUGCUUUCAAAAAUUCCAGAAACUUUUCUAUAAAUAUUUUGGCACCUAAUGAACUCAAAAAAUAUAAUUAGAAUUUCUAAAGACAUUUUUAAGUUCCUCAAAUAAAUAGAUUUUUGUUUCCAAAAAAUAGAAAAAUAUUCCGAAAAUAUGAAAAUUUACCGAGCGCUUCUAUAAGAUAUGUUAACAUGUUUCAAACAUAUUUUCCACUUAGAAACACCAUGCAACGACAUGAAUGCAACAACCAAAGUACCUCUCGGGCUCAUUCCACUAGGUUUACGCUAAUAUAAAACAAAAUAAUUCUCCAUUUUUAGGAAAAAGAGAAAGGAAAGCGAAGAACUGUGAGAGUAACACCUGAAUUUGGUGGAUAUUAAAAAAGAAAUUUUAUAUCCCCAAAUUCAGGGUGUUACACUCUUCUUCUUCCUCUUUCUUCUUAUAUAUGUUCAUGUGUUGGUGUUGACAAUGCACUCAUCGAGGGGGAGAUUGCGAACACAAGGUUGACUUGUCCCUUGUGGUUCAGGUUGAUGAAUAGUGAUUGUCAACGGGUAGCACUCUAGAGUAGUCAGUGGACUGACCAGAGUGUGAGAUUAUGUAUGUGCAACUAUGUCGGCACGCUUGUGGUGUGCAGGUGUGGAGCACAGGGAUGGUGGUUGACGACGAAGGUGAAGGUCAGGCGGGUUCAUGCUGAUGGACCCAUCGGUAAAGGACGAGCGCUGGGAGUUGACUAGGGACCAGAGUGGCCGGGUGACCAGCCAUGGUGGCUGACACCUGGGACAUGCACUAGCAUGAGGACAUGGCAAAGUGGGCCGUGUUAACAACCUGGUCGAGGACUGGCGGGACAAGUGUACAAGACGUGGGGGACACACACGCAGUGCGAUACUCAAGGCAGUUUGGUGGUUGAGCCUCAAAACCACCCUGCGCUAUGGAUGGCGGAUUUUACUGAGUUUGGGCCUCAAAACUCGGUGUCGGCGGUUCAGGAGGGAACCGGUGACGGCACAUGGCAGCACGACGAAGGGUGCGUCAAGGCGAGGCAACAUCGUGUGGAGCACGUGGCUGUCAGAUCAAAAACCUAAGAGUUGGUCUAUUUUGCCCUUGGCGUAGUGGAUAGACUAUAUGUAAAUAGGGGUAGUUUAGGAAAUAGAAAUAACCCUCUAUAAGUAGAGGAGAGGGUUGGUUAGUUCAACAUCACUUGGCUGCCAUUUUGUUCAGAGCACUUGUUUAGUACUCCACGUUUUCUCUCUAGGUAGUCACCAGUUGAGCUGAGGGAUCCACAACGAUUUUGUAAUUGUCGAUUGUGUUUGUGAUAUUUAAGCUUAAUCAGAGGAAGCAUCACCGGUAUGGCCCACAAGUUUUUGUCACCUCUCCAUCUCAGUUGUUUAUCCUUGUUGAAAUUAUGAAGUUUUGUGUUCUUGGUUUCGCCCUUCCCCUUCUCUUGUUAAUUUGUGGAGAACCUUUGAGUUUUUGUGACAUGGGUGCUAUUGGGGAUUGAUUUGGGUGGAGAUAGACCCUUUGGAUCACUAUGUAUGCCCUUAUGGUGAAGUUCUUGGUCGUGAUCCGAGUUGAUUCUUGUUCGAGUUCAUUUUGAGAAAACCCCCAAAAAAACCCAUCUCUCUUUGGUUUUCUGAUCUGUGCUUCGAUUUUUUGUUUGUUCGAUCCAUACUUCACCAGUAAACAUCUUCUACCCUGUGCAAACUUUUUGUGAAGAUUGAGAAUUUUCUAGGCAUUUUUAGUGCCCGACACUGUCGCCCGUGUGCGCGACACUGCUGGACCUAAGGUCGGCAUUGUCGCCCUAACUUUCUAGAUCUUUUGACUCUGAUAUUUUCUAGGAAGUUGGGUCUAUAGUUCUUAGAGUUUUGGUGCAUACAAACGAUACUAGUCUAUGUUGCACUCUGAUCUGCUGCUUUGAGUCCCUAGAGGGCUUCCGGGUUGAACUUUGGGUUCAAAGCCAUGUGCUCGCAAGUCGAGAAUUUUUAGUGGCUCUCAUUCACCCCCCCACCUCUGGUCACCUCACUGGUCCUACACCCAUCCAUGAGCACCUUGGAGAGGCACUUCAAGCCCACAAUUAGCUCGACGACGAGGGGGUAGGUCCCUAGGUGAGGGAUCCUCUCUGGAUGGUCGCGGCGAUCGAAGACAAUCAAAAACUCCGACCACUAGAGGUAUUGUGGGAUGACGGGUUCUGCCGCAUGCACCUCGCAGUGGGCCACCUUGAGGCGGCUCUUGUCAUUGUAGGCUUCCAACCCACCAAAGAUCAUGAGACAUCCCGUCAUUUCGGGAAAGUCUUCUGUGGAAGCCUCUUGUUCUGCUGCCUUGGCAGGCUCCUCUGGAUUUGCCUUCUUGCUAGGCUGUUUGUAGAUGAAGCUCUUUAAGAUCUCACAUUCUUGGAACUUGUAACGGACUAGGAAGCCAUAGUUUUGGCACGACAAGUCCAUCAGCUUCUGGAAAUGGUCACCCCUAUUUUCCGCAGGUGGCCUAGGGGGCUGAUCCAUCAUGGCGACUUCUCCCUCAUCGUGUCAGGGACGAUGGUUCCUCUGGCGCUUGUUGGGGUGCUCUUGACAGUUCUUGUUUACACUGCUUGUGUUGCCAGCAUUGCGCGAGCUCUUCCCCUUGCGUAAGAAGGCCCCUACCACGUCUUCCCCGUUGAAAGGGAAAUAUGUCCUUGGGCCAUUUCUAGUUAUUUUGGUGAUUAGAUGCUCAACACAUUACUAUGAACUAACAACUCCCCAUAUGAGCAUGAGCACAUGUGUUUGUAAAGAAAAUUGAGCAUUACAAGAAAAGCACCCUUUGGGCUUGAAAAUGGGCAUAUUAAAACAUUAAUGGAUCAAAGUGAAAAGGUAUGUUUCUAGCACUUAGUCAAUUGUUUUAGGUGCUAAUCAUGUUUGUCUAAGUGCUAAGGACCAUGUGGAGUCGAACCAAGAGGAGCAAAAGAAAAUUGGCACAAAAAGGAACAAGUUGGGUUGGACUGGGCAGCACCGGACGGUCCGGUGCCAUCCACCGGAUACUCCAGUGUGCACUAGACAAUCCGGUGUUCGUCCGGCCAUACGGUCCGCACGGAGCGCCGGACAGUCCAGUGUGAAAAUAGCCAAUGGCUAUCUGUCACGUCAGUUGCAGCCAAUGGUCAGAUGGCGCACCGGACAAUCCAGUGCCCCCGCCCCCUGGAUAGUCCAACACCCGCCUAAAACGGAAAGUGACCAAUCAGGGGUCUAUUGACCGUUGCAUUGUGCAGUGUCCGGCGUGCCACCGGACAGUCCGGUCCACCCGUAGACAGGGAAGGUUGGGAGCUUCCAAAUGAUUCUCCAAUGGCUCCUAGGCCUCUUGGGGCUAUAAAAGGACCCCCUAGGCGCCUUGGAGUAGCAACUAAGCAUACUUUGAGCACACCACAUCUCAAAAACUCUGUGACCACGCUUUUGAUUUGAUUUGAGCACGUUCUUGAGUUGUGACUCUAUUGUUUUGAUUUGUGCGCUCUCUUCUUUGCUUGUGUGUGUUUUGUUGCUGUGUUGUGCUCUUGUGUGAGUCUCUACUCCCCUCCUUACUUCGGAUUUGAUUGUAAUCAUUUGUGUAAGGCGUGAGAGACUCCAAUUUGUGAAGAUUCCUCACAACGGGAUAUUGAUAUAAGGAAGACGACUAUGGCACUCAAGUUUGAUCUUUGGAUCACUUUAGAGGGGUUGAGUGCAACCCUUGACCAAAGGAGAUCCCACAACGUGGAGUAGGCAUUGACCGAACCACGGUAAAAAUCGUUGUAUCUCUUGUCUAUUUUACUUAUAUCGAUUACUGUCAUCUUGAGUUCUCUACUCACUUGCAAUAUUGCUCCCAAGUUUAAUACUCAUCUUAAAGGAGCAAUCAAGUGAAGAGUUCUCCUUUCUUCUCUCUACUCAUCCUAACUUGGUUUAAGUUCUUACUAACACUUUGUAUAAACCAAGUUUGUGUUGUUUAAAGUUAAUUUCACAGGAUCACCUAUUCACCCCCCCCCUUAGGUGCUCUCAAUUGGUAUCAGAGUCGUUCUCUCCAUCAAGGGACUAACCACCCGAAGAUAUGGAUCCUAAGGGCAAGGGGAUUGUUAUCGACGAUAAGGAGAAGGAGAUCGUCAACAACAAUGAGCCAAAGAGAGAUAAGUCCAUCAAUUCAGGCUCCAAUAACAAGAAGAAGGAUAGGAAGAAGAAGAGGCACAUCAAGAAGAUAGUCUACUACGACAGCGAUGUCUCCUCAUCUUCAACAAAGGACGAUGACGACUCUUCUUCAAAGAAAAAGACGGUUAACCAAAAUUACUCUUUUGAUGAUUCCCUCAUUCCGUACAACUCCAAUCCUCAUUUAUUGUCUAUUCCUCUUAGCAAGCCCCCUCACUUUGAUGGGGAAGAUUAUUCUUUUUGGAGUCAUAAAUGCGUAGUCAUCUAGUUUCUCUUCAUCCCAGCAUUUGGGAAGUAGUAGAGAAUCGAAUGCAUUUUGAUAGUAAUGAUAAUGCUAUAUUUAUUCAUGAACAAAUUCAUAAAAUGCCCAGGCUACUAUUGUUGUUUUAGCAUCUCUAUGCAGGGAUGAAUACAAAAAGGUUAGUGGCUUGGACAAUGCCAUGGAGAUAUGGGACAUCCUCAAAAUUGCUCAUGAGAAUAAUGACGCCACAAUGAUCACCAAGAUGGAGUUGGUAGAAAGCGAGUUCAAGAGCUUCACCAUGAAGAGGGUGAAGAGCCAACUGAUACGUACAACAGGCUCAAGACCCUGGUGAACAAGAUUCAAAGCUAUGGAAGUACAAGAUGGACAGAUCAUGAUGUUGUGUGCCUCUUGUUAAAGUCAUUUAUUGUUAUUGAUCCUCAUCUUAUUAACCUUAUUCGUGAGAACCCCAGGUAUACCAAAAUGUCGCCCGAAGAAAUUCUUGGUAGGUUUGUAAGUGGGCGCAUGAUGGUAAAAGAAGCAAGGUACACCGAUGACAUCGCCAACGGACCUCUUCCUCACUACAAUCGCACCCCGUUGCACUCAAAGCAAUGGCCAACAAGGUGGCACAACAUGAGGCAGCCAACCUUAAUGAGGACAAAAUGGCACUUAUGAUCAAGCAUUUCAAGUCAGCUUUGAUGGGAUGCAAGGACUACCCCAACAAGAACAAAUCAAGGGAAAAGCGUUCAUGCUUCAAGUGUAGUAAGUCCAGUCAUUUUAUUGCUCAAUGUCCCGAUAAUGAAAAUGACUAGGACCAAUACAAGAAAGGGAAAAAGGGGAAGAAGUUCUAUAGAAAGAAGAAGGGCGAGUCGUACAUUGGCAAGGAAUGGGACUCGAACUGCUCUUCAUCCGACUCCGACGAUGAAGGACUUGCCGCCUCUUCUUUCGACAAGUCUUCUCUCUUCCCCAACGAGCGACACACAUGCCUCAUGGCUAAGGAAAAGAAGGUACGGACAUGUCACACUCCCAAGCACACUUCUAGUGAUGAGAAAUCUGAAGAUGAUAUGGAUUAUAGUGAUCUUUUAAGGGCUUGGAUAGAACUAAAGUAGACAAAAUUAAUGAAUUGAUUGAUUCUCUUAAUGAAAAGGAUAUAUUACUAGAAAAGUAAGAGGAUUUGCUUUAUGAAGAACAUGAUAAAGUAGUAGAAGUAGAAAAUCCCUUGCUUUAGAGAUAAAGAAGAAUGAAAUGCUUGUGUUUGAAUUGUCUUCUUGACAUUCCUCUAUUUCUAACCUUAAGAGUUUAAAUGUUGAUUUAAAUGCUAGAAUAGAAAAAUAAGUAUUGCUAGUUCAUCCAUGGAGCAUGUUGCAAUUUGAAUUAAAUGUAAAUAUCCUGAUUUUGAUGCUUGUAGUAAUCAUGCUUCUACUAUUGCAAAGUUGAAUGAAGAAAUUGUCUAAUUAAAUGUUCAACUUAAAACUUACAAGAAUGAAGUAGAAAAAUUUAAAUUUGCUAGGGAUGUAUUUACCAUUGGUAGACAUCCCUCCAUUAAGGAUGGAUUUGGUUUCCAAAAGGGAACCAAGGACACUAAAAGCAAAAAGGCCCUCAACUUCACAAAGAAGGGGAUGGCUCCUAUGGCUAGUAGCUCUCAUUCUUUUCAUGAAAAGAAGAACCAUGCUUAUUUGUAUUCUCAUGUUAAGAAUGUUUCUCAUCAUACCCAUCAUGAUAUUUGUAAUGAUAGUUAUGCUUUACCUAAGCGUCAUGAUGUUAUUUUUACUCCUCGCGCUAUGAUUGCUUCAUCUAGCGGUUUUUAUGCUCAUAGUAGGAGUAGACCAAGGCAUCGUGCAUCUCAUGUUGUUUCUCAUGCGCCUAAGAAUAUAAAUGCAUCUCACAGUCCUUCUAUUCUAUUUCAUACUUUUGAUGCUUCCUAUUUAAUUUAUUCUAAGAAUGAUAGAAUUGUUGCUACCAAUGUGGGACCAAAAUGCAAGAAAGGUAAAACUUGCACUUGGGUUCCAAAAUCUUAUGUAACUAACCUGACAGGACCCAACACAAGUUGGGGACCUAAACACCAAGCCUAAAUUCCUUGUAGGUUUAUGCAUCCGAGGGCUGAAGCUGGAUUAUUGAUAGUGCAUAAGCCACAUGACGGGGAAGAAAAUGUUCACAUCCUACGUCAAGAAUAAGGAUUCCCAUGACACGAUCAUCUUUGGAGAUGGAAACCAAGGCAAGGUAAAGGAGAUAGGUAAAAUAGCGAUUACUACUGAGCAUUCCAUUUCUAAUGUCUUUUUGGUAGAAACGAUUGGAUAUAAUUUACUCUAUGUUAGCCAGUUAUGUCAUAUGGGAUAUAAUUGUUUAUUUACAAAUGUUGAUGUAACUUUCUUUAGGAGUGAUGGUUCAUUAGCAUUUAAAGGUGUAUCUGACGGCAAGCUUUAUUUAGUAGAUUUUAUGUUGGGGGCCUUCGUCCUCCGAAGGUCCUCAAAAACAUAAUUUAACAAUGUCUUCCAAGUAUGGUUUAUGGACAGGUAUCUUCGGAUUCAUGAUAAAAGCGUACGCGAUGAGGAGCAUGAUCGUGACGAAGGUUGUCGUCGCUCCGAAGCUGUGCGCAAGGGAGCUUCGGCUAAAUCGCAGAAAAGGGAACCGACUUAAAAGGGAAAAGGCUAUUCAGUCCUCAUAGAUUUUUCUAUAAGCCAAUAGUAAAUGUAAGGGGCAUGAUUGUAAUUUCUCAUAGGCUGUGUCUUGUGCCUAUAAAUAGAUGACCAGUACCCCCAUACUGCUCACGCUGACUUGUACUCACUUUUGCAUCAUACUUGUACUCACUUGCCUUUUAUCAAGUCAAAGGUACUUUUGUAAUUCAGUAUUGUUUUUACUUUCCCAUGAUUAUAUAAUUAAGAAUAAAUGAUAUGAUAUGAUUGUUUGUGUUGUGUUCUAUAUGCCAUACAUUUAUUCUUCUAUUUUAUUGUAUAAUGCAUUGAUGAAGGUAUGUCCUUCAUGACCUUCGUCUGAAGAUCAUUAUAUCCUAAGGGAAAUAAUGUUUAGAAGGACAAAGGGCAUUAACAUUUAACAUCUUGUGUUGCCUUGUUCUUGACUCAUAGCAUUUGAGAACAAGUCCCCAACAUUGGCGUCCACCUCCGGUGAACCCUUUUUCGACCACCUUCGGCAAGCACUGACCUUCGUCAUGCCGCCGAAGAAAGCUUCAGCGCCAGGGGCUGCCGCACUACAGCCACUGGACCCAAAUCAGGAGACCCUUUCUCUCCGAGAGGCCCGAAGCCAGAAGAGGAAGGCCACUAGUCCAACACUCCAGGAAGAAGAGUUGGAUCAAGAAAUCAGAAACAUGGAGAUAAUCCAUCAGCAAGUACAAAGGAAGAAGGAGAAGAUGGCCCAACUGGCUGAUCUUCAAAGGCAGAUUGACGAAGCCACUGAAGAAGUACGCCAUCUUGCUCAAGACGAACAAGAUCGAAGGCCCCAACACAGGGAGCUUCAUCAAGAAGGCUUGUUCAAUGAGGAUGGAUGGUAUGAUGAUUUUAAUCAUGAUACCUUUACCUUUGAUGAUGCUUCUCCCUUGGUAGCAGAACUGCAUGCUAUCCCAUGGCCCCCAUCAUACAAGCCACCUCAUCUCCCCAUGUAUGAUGGGCAUUCAGAUCCGAAGCAGUUUUUGAUGAGUUAUGAAGCAACUAUAUCUUCAUAUGGAGGCAAUGCAGCCGUCAUGGCCAAGUCCUUCGUCAUGGCAGUUCGGAAUGUGGCUUAAACAUGGUAUUCUUCUCUUCGGCCAGGGACUAUUACUUCGUGGUAGAAACUCAAGGAUAUGCUAGUGACAAGUUUCCAAGGCUUUCAGACAAAGCCAGUCACAGCUCAGGCCCUGUUUCAAUGCACGCAAGAUCAUGAGGAGUAUAUCCAGGCGUAUGUCCGAAGGUUCUUGCGUCUGAGAGCACAAGCCCCUACAGUGCCCAAUGAAAUUGUCAUUGAGGCCAUGAUUAAGGGGCUUCAUCCAGGACCUACUGCCUAGUACUUCGCUAGAAAACCUCCAUAGACUCUGGAGAAGCUGCUUCAAAAAAUGGAUGAGUACAUUAGGGCUGACAAUGACUUCUGCUAAAGAAGGGAGGAAGCUUACAGGUUCUCUCAGAUGACUAGGGGCUUCGAAGGAAGAAUUCACCCGAGGCAUGUCAGGUCAAUUCACAGCUCCACUCAAAGUGAUGACAGAGGAAGUCAGCUGCAGAGGCCACAAUAUACUUCACAAUCUUCGGGGCAACAACAAAGCUCUUUUCGGCUGCCAGCUCCAAGAGGCAGAGGCGCCAGGGGCUUCGGAGGAAGAUAUGGGGACCAACCCAGGAAGAUCUACUGCCUAUUUUGUGGUGAAGACCAGGGUCAUACUACAAGAAUGUGCCAAAUCACCAUCCAAAAGCAGAAGGAGAUCGCAGAAGCCGAAGCCCGGCAAAAUCAACCGAAGCAGGUCCUGCACACUGCUUUGUGUCACUCAUCCUACAUACCAGAAUAUGUGGGUAAUCAUCCUGCAGCUUUUAUUGCUUCGGCUAGUCAGCCACAUGCUUCUUGGCUACAGCUUCCACCUCCACCGCCACUACAACCUGCUUAUUCACGAGGUCAGCAGCCAAAAGGGAGCCAUCAGACUCAUCAGCAGCGAGAUCUCAGGGAGGAAUCCGAAGCUCGCACAGUCAACAAUACUAUGCUAGAAUCAAAACACAUCUAUUGAGAGAUAUCCUACCUCUGAAGCAUUUUUACAUUCAUUGUCAUUUUCUUUUUAAUAAGGAACAACCAAUGUAAAUCUAGUCUUCUUUUCAUUUUUAAUUUCUUGUAAUAGCUUUGUUCUUGUCAUAGUGAAAUAUCUUUCCCACAGAUUCACGAAAGCUCAAAAACUGUUGAAGCUCGAAAGUCGUUCCUAAGGGAAUGCAGAGCUAAAAAUCGCAUUGCAAGUUUUACCGAAGCUACAAAAAGUCGUUCCUAAGAAGCGCAGUGCAAGUUUUACCGAAGCUACAAAAAGUCAUUCCUAAGGAGCGCAGUGUAAGUUUGCCGAAGCUACAAAAAAGUCGUUCCUAAGGGAGCGCAAUGUAAAUUUUCUGCUCAAAAGUCAUUCCAAAGGGAAUGCAGAGCCAAAUACCGUCGAAAUAUAAGGCGAAGCACGAAAAGUCAACGCGAAUACCGCCGAAAUAGAAGGCAAAGAAGUUCAAAAGACGUUCCUAAGAGGAUGCAAAACUUACACCGAAAAAUAAACGGUGAAGCCGAAAAUAAACGGCAAAGAGAUUUUGAUGGUUUCUAAGGGGACGCAGAGAUUGUGUUUCAGCGUGGGUAUGUGUCAUCGGCAUUAGCAUCAUUCUUUGCAUCAUAUCAUCGCAUCAUAUCACAUAGCAUCACAUCAUACAUCAUAUCACAUCAAUGACACCAAUUGGAAACGAAGCUGACCUUCGGAGAAUGCUUUACAAAAAAUGAAAGGAUGCCAAGGCACAAAGCAAGCUGAGAAUUAUAGCUUCAUCAGUUCUGAUGUAGAAAAAGAGAUCUGUUGUUUACGAAGCUUUGAUGUUUUUACAAAGUGUGGAUGAUUCUUACGAGGCAUAAAAACUCUUCUUUGCGAAGCAUGAAAAGAAGGGAAGGUGUUUUUUCACCGAAGGCUCAAAAACAGUAUGUACAUAAAGUUUCAUGCAUCGCAAAGAACUGAAUUACAAACAAUUUACAUAUUACAUUGAAAAAUAUAAACAUCAAACAUUACAGACUUAGUUCACCAAAUAUUACAGAAAUGUUUUUACAAUAAUUGCUAUUCUUCGUUCAAAACUUUCUCUGCAACUUCGUUAAGUAGCUUGGUAACAACUUCGUCGACAAUAGCUUCAGCCAUAUUAAUAAUUUCUAUCGCUUUCUUUGUUUCUGGGUCGGCUAGUGGGUCGAAUGGCUCUGGGGGAGAAGAUAGUUCAGCUGCGGUAGAAGACAUCAAUUAGUCCGAAGUCACGAAAAUAAACAACAAAGCUAAAAACCAUUAAGUAAUACAUAUCCGUCUUUCGAGUUCCGCAGCUUUCUCAGCUUCUUUCGUUGCUUCUCGAGUGUCAUGAAUAUCUUUUUCGCUCUUCUUCAUUAUUUCAUGAGCCAUCCCUCGGCCGCCAUUUUCCCAGAUAUCAGUGAAAAAAUUUCCGCCUAUGAAACUCGCUUCGGCCGAGGGGUCCUUUGUGUCGUCAACAGAGAAGGUAGCUUUGGCCUGGGCCAAGAUUUUAACAUGACUGCAACCUGCCUUCUCCAAAACAGUUGCAACUCCCCUCGCACCAGAGAACGCACAGACGUCCCCGCGGUCACUCAAAAUCUCCUCAAAAGCUUCGGCUUCACCACUGAUCCACUCGAUUACGCCCUCAGGGUCGCCUCGUAUGAAGUUGUCUUUGUUUGAGUAGGCGCCCACGUUGGCAAAGCUAGUCUUUAUCUUUUUCACACAUACCACAGAUUUUUCAAAACACCUUUCUUUGGAUGCGCAAAACUCUGCAACUGUUUUUUCAAAAUAAUUUUUCCAAUAUUCGCUGGCAUCUCGAUCAGCUUCGGCAACAGCGCACUUCAAUUUGGCCUCAGCUAAUUGUUUCCGAAGAUCUUCAAUUUCACUCUUUUGGGCCUCAGCUUGAACUUUAGAACUAGCUUCGUCUUCUUUUAUCUUGUUUACCAAUGAAAUUAAUAUUUUAUCCUUUUCAAGGCCUUCGUUCCUUAGUUCAAUCACCUCUGAGUGAAGGUUGUUCAGAGCCAUUGUGCACCCUUCAUCUUCGAUAUUUUUCUGUGCCCUGAGGGCAUUGCUAAGGAUCAAGCCCUGCAAGAGGAGUAUAGUAUUAAGUAUAAGCAAAUGAAAUAAUUCGUUUUUAAAUACAAAAAUUGAUUUUCACACCUUUAUACUAUUAUAUGCCAAACUGUCGGCCAAUUCAUCCUUCGACAGUACUGAGAGCCCAUCUUCUAACGUUGCGAAUCCGAAGCUUCUACCCAUCUCCCGUCAAACAGAUAUCUCUUUGCUAUCCGGGAGACAGUACAAAAAAUCUUCUUCUCCGCUGUCGUUGAACACUAAUGCCCCCUUCGAUAUUUCAGCUUCUAGGGAUAGUGUUGAGCUUCUCGUUCUUCUUCUUUAGAUAGUCUUUUUCCCAAAGCAUGACGGAUGAUAUAUUCAAUACUUUCUUUUAAAGCUUCGGGAGCAGGAGCGGCAACUUUUUCAGGCAAAGUCUGUUCUAUAGCCUCUUCCUCUGCUGCCUUCUCUUCAAUUCCCGAGGGUUUUUUCUCAGCAGGCUCUGAAGGCCCAGCUUCGGCACUACCCUGGCUCACUGCAGCUUCAACUUUGGUCGGUUUUGUUUCAGCUUCGAUUUGCAUUUUCGAAGCCUCGGCAAUUUUCCCUGAAGGAGUAGAGCUUGAAGCCUUUUCUGAUUCUAGCACAUCUAGUACAUUUGCCAUCCUUCUUCUUUUGGGAGUUGUCGCAAGACCUUUUUGUAUCUUCGGCAUUGUUACUUCCGCCGAAUGGCUUAAAAUUUCUAACAUUUUUGUUCCUUCAGUUUUUGGCUCUUCGGCCUUAUCUUUACCAGUCUUUGCCUCAGCUUGAGGGUGUCUUCGGCAUCGUAGCCGGUUCUUCAGCCUUCUGCAUAGGAGGAAUGGGCUCCUUUGAUUCAGCAGCUGAUGAAGUCUCCCCGCCAAGCUCAGGUAUCACGGCCGGCUCAAUAUAACGCGGUCGGUGGGUAAGGACUUUCAGUUUUUUGCUCUUCGGCGCAGGCUCAUCGGGGGCGGACGAAGCAGCAAUUUUGGCUGAAGCAGUAGCCUUCCUCUUCUUUCCCCGUCCUCGCAGCGGGUAGCAUGAGUCGGGGUAAACAAAACCAAUGGCAUCAAAAACUCUGUAUAAUAUCUUUUUUCCCCGGCCCCCGAAGGAUGUGGAUAAGGCAUUAUCUUCCGCUUUGGAAUACGGCUCAAGCAGUUCAUCACUUGUAGCCUCAAUACAUUUCAGCCAGUCAUCAUUUGGUUCAUCAAAUUUAUCUUCGUAUCUGAAGGUGUAUUUCAGUCGAACCAGCUCACCUUCGCCAGACUUGGUGACAGUCUCCUUCGGCAUUUCCCAGUUCUCUACAAGCGGCCACACUCUGAAAGCUAUAUGCUCCUAGAUUAAAUCUCUUGUACCAAUAAAAAAGCAAACAGUACCGAAAGCCUUUUGGCAUGCUUCGGCCGCUUCGUCAAUCUCAACCUUUGGCCUUCGAAGGUCGAAGCGGGACCAAAUGGGGCGCAUAAUAACUUAUUUAAUAUCCUCCCUUGCCUUCAAGUCAUUCUUCACGUAAAACCAUUCCUCCAUCCACGCUCCAGGCCACCUUUUUCUGUAUGUUGGCACCGGAUAGCUUGCGUUGGGGCGGGCAGUAAAUCCAUAACAGCCAAAGUUAUUGUGAUAUUGUUCCUUGCCCAUGGCCUUCGUCUCAUAUGCAACUUCAUGCAUACUGGAGAAACAUUUCGCGCUUGGCUCCACUCCUUGGCUUAUCAUAGUCCAAACAAAAAUUCCCAUUCUAAUAAUAGCUUCAGGGGUUAUCUGAUGAAGGAAUAUCUGAUAAAUUUUUAACACUUCGACCACAAACCUGCUCAAUGGAAACCGAAGCCCAACUUUGAAGAAGCUUCGGUAAAUCAUAACCUCGUCUUCCUCAGGGGCAGGGACGGUGUUGUCUCCGCCAGCUCUCACAAUAGACAUAUCCCGAAAGUAUCUUCCUCUCAUACUCUCAAGGUGAUUUUGUUUGAUGGUCGAUUUUCCAAAAAUCGAGUGACUUGGCCUCCAGGGCUGGUCCUCAGAAUCUUCACCCCCACUUUUAGCAUUGUAACUAUCACUGUCACCAAUAUCUUCAGAUAGGCCCUCCAAUAUUUCUUUUGUAAUCUUCUCUGUAUUUGAUUUGGCCAUCGAUUCUAAAAACCCAGCUAUAUAAGCAUUCACAGCCUUCUUCUGCUCAAAGAGCCUCUCCUCUUCGGUUAGCUUCGUCUCAGCAGCAACUUUCUUGUCUUCAGACAUCUUUUCUUCGGGAAUGGCGAAAAUGUGUCCUUCGAACCGAAGCUUAGAAAGCUUGAGAAACUAAGCAAGCGUUGGUGAGCAAGAGCUAUAAAAUUGAGCAAACAAAGCAAGUGGCACAAACAGCGUAUCAAAUGUGGUCAGGGUGAGUUCUUAUUUAUACGAUCAACACGCUCCAAAUUGGAGGGACCCGUCUGUCAUUGACUGUUGCUAUUCUAGCAAAGGGAAGGUGUUUUUUCGGACCUUCGGCUUAAGGCCUUCGUCCAUGUCACAGUCUGAAUUCGUUAUCUUAAACAAAUUAAUACUGCAAGGGGCUACUGUUGGGGGCCUUCGUCCUCUGAAGGUCCUCAAAAACAUAAUUUAACAAUGUCUUCCAUGUAUGGUUUAUGGACAGGUAUCUUCGGAUUCAUGAUAAAAGCAUACGCGAUGAGGAGCAUGAUCGUGACGAAGGCUGUCGUCGCUCCGAAGCUGCGCGCAAGGGAGCUUCGGCUAAAUCACAGAAAAGGGAACCGACUUAAAAGGGAAAAGGUUAUUCAGUCCUCAUAGAUUUUUCUAUAAGCCAAUAGUAAAUGUAAGGGGCAUGAUUGUAAUUUCUCAUAGGUUGUGUCCUGUGCCUAUAAAUAGAUGAACAGUACCCCCGUACUGUUCAUGCUGACUUGUACUUACUUUUGCGUCAUACUUGUACUCACUUGCCUUUUACCAAGUCAAAGGUACUUUUGUAAUUCAGUAUUGUUUUUACUUUCCCAUGAUUAUAUAAUUAAGAAUAAAUGAUAUGAUAUGAUUGUUUAUGUUGUGUUUUAUAUGCCAUACGUUUAUUCUUCUAUUUUAUUGUAUAAUGCAUUGAUGAAGGUAUGUUCUUCAUGACCUUCGUCUGAAGAUCAUUAUAUACUAAGGAAAAUAAUGUUUCGAAGGACGAAGGGCAUUAACAUUUAACAUCUUGUGUUGCCUUGUUCUUGACUCAUAGCAUUUGAGAACAAGUCCCCAACAUUUUACUAAAGAAAAUAUCGAUCUAGAUGCAUGUUUAUUUGCUAAGAUGAACAUGGCCUGGCUCUAGCAUCGUCGUCUAACACAUAAUGAGACCAAGAACCUUCAUAAGCUUCUAAAGGGAAAACAUGUGUCAGGACUAACCAAUGUCUGUUCUAAGAAAGACAGACCUUGUGCAGCGUGUUAGGCAGGGAAACAGGUGGCAAAAGUCAUCCAAGCAAGAACGUGAUGAUGAUGUCAAGACCAUUAGAGCUUCUCCAAAUGUCUGUUUUUAGAAAGACAGACCUUGUGCAGUGUUCGGUGCACCCGCAGAUAGGGAAGGCUAGGAGCUUCCAAAUGAAGCUCCAACGGCUCCUAGGUCCCUUGGGGCUAUAAAAGGACCCCCUAGGCGCCUUGGAGUAGCAACUAAGCAUACUUUGAGCACACCACAACUCCGAAACUCCGUGACCACUCUUUUGAUUUGUUAGAGAGACAUUUGAGAGUGUUCUUGAGUUGUGAUUCUAUCGUUUUGAUUUGUGUGCUCUCUUCUUUGCUUGUGUGCGUGUUGUUGCUGCAUUGUGCUCUUGUGUGCGUCUCUACUCCCCUCCUUACUCCGGAUUUGAUAGUAAUCAUUUGUGUAAGGCGUGAGAGACUCCAAUUUGUGAAGAUUCUUGACAACAGGAUAUUGAUAUAUGGAAGACGAUUGUGGCACUCAAGUUUGAUAUUUGGAUCACUUGAGAGGGGUUGAGUGCAACCAUUAACCAAAGGAGGUCACCACAAUGUGGAGUAGGCAUUGGCAGAACCACUGUAAAAUUCGUUGUGUCUCUUGUCUAUUUUACUUAUUGCGAUUAUUGUCUUCUUGAGUUCUCUUCUCACUUGCAAUAUUGCUCCCAAGUUUAAUACUCAUCCUAAAGGAGCAAUUAAGUGAAGAGUUCUCCUUUCUUCUCUCUUCUCAUCCUAACUUGGUUUAAGUUCUCACUAACACUUUGUAUAAACAAAGUUUGUGUUGUUUAGAGUUAAUUUCGCAGGAUCACCUAUUCACCCCUCCCCCUCUAGGUGCUCUCACCCGUUGGCGAACUUGGUCGCUAUGUCGAGGAGGUCGACAGUGGUCUUUGGUCGCCCCUAGACGAGUUCAUGGACGAGUGCUUCAUAGGUUGUGUCGUAAGUGAAGGCACUGACCACAUCGGCAUUGAUGGCAUCAUGGAGUUCGUUCCUUUUCUGGGAGAACCUCCAGAUGUAAUCUUGGAGGCUUUCCCUGCUCUUUUGGGUACACCUCUUACGGUCCUAGGAGCUCCUUGGGCGUUUGUAGGUGCCCUAGAAAUUUCCGAUGAAGGCCUUACUGUGGUCGGUCUAGUCAUGGAUGGUGCCACUUGGCAAGUGCUCAAGCUAGGCCCUUGAUCCCUCCAUGAGGUGAAUGGGAGGAACUUGAUGAUGAGGUGGUCAUCCUUGAUUCCUGCCAUGUGGCAAGCAAGGUGGUAAUCCUCCAACAAAACACCGGAAUUUGAGGAUCGAUUGUACUUGGUGAUGUUGGUUGGCGCUCGCACCUUUGUGCUGAACUGUGCCUUCCUGAUCGCGUGUCCGAUGGUGCGUGGCCCCGACCCAGGUGGGUUGGGGCUACGCUCGCGCGGCUGCUCUACUUCUUGCUCUUGUGUCUGGUUAUUGAGGAUGUGUCAGGUGUCGCAAAUGUCUCUGGGGCAGUUAUUCAGGAGAACGUUCACCCUUGUUGAUCAGGAGGGUUGUGCCCCUUGCUCUAGGAUGAGGUUGUGCGCGUGUCGUAGCUAUACGCGACGGUGGGCACCUGUCGAUCAAUUCUGGCUUGUUGCACAGUGGCUUUCUCAGCUAGGUUGCUGAGGUUUCGGUACAUCACCCUCACCUCCAGUUUGUCUGGCUCGGGGAAGGUUCAAAGCAUAACGGUUGUCAUGGCCAUGUUGUAUCCCGGGUUGAGGAAAUAUUGUGCCCCAUCGCUGCUCUCGGUGAGUUGGUCGUGGAUCUUCCUUUCCCAAGGUCUUUCAGCUUCAAGGCGCUUCUAUUUGAUGUCAUUAUAAACCCGGUCGAGUUUACAGACGAGAGCGUUGAGCUUCUCCUGCUGCUAUCGGAGGGUGGCCUUAAGGAGAGGAUGUGUGCCUUGCACUGGCGCUGAUACUCUUCUUCCUAGUUAGGGGACUCCUUGUCCCCCAUCAUUUUUGUUCUAUGGAGGUGUUGUCACGAAACUGGCCAUUCCCACCGCCUUGUUGGCAUCGGGGUUGGGAUCGAUCGAGCUAUGGCUCGAGUCAUCCUCGAGCAGGUUGAGGACAGACGUUGGUUGAUGGCCGAUGACGACCACAAAUGUUGAAGGUAAAGCUCCCUCUGUCUUCUGCUUGAUGGUGUUGGUAAGUCUGUUAAGGCACCUCUUCAUGGCGGUGGCACGCCUCUUGAUGAGUCACUUCUCCACCUAGCUGCUAGAGGUGACAGAGCGUGCGGGUCCUAAGCCUGUAACGACAAGCAUGUCAGGGUCGACGAUGCGCAGCUUGCCGGUGGUGGUGGUGAGGAAGUUGAGGGAGCCGAACAAGAUGUGGCUUCCUAGUGCGAAGGUCUCGCCACCGGUGAGCGCUGAAGUCUGAGCCAUCGGAGUGGAUUGUGUCACUUGGCACACUAAAGGUCCCCUACCGGGUGCGCCAACUGUCAUGGUUUCGUAAACUCGGGGACGAUAGAAUUUGUAUUCGGUGGGGAUGCUAGCGUGGACUCACUAUGAAUGGUGAAUCACCUCGGACUCAAGCAGAGGGUUAUACUAGUUCAGACUUUCGCCCUAGUCCAGUGUAGUGCUGAUCGUAGAUUCAUAGUACUGUUUGAGGAUUGUGUUACCGCUGCUGCAUGCGUGGGAAGGAGGGGCCCUGCCCUUUUAUAGCUCAAGGGUAGGACCUUACAGAGGAGACUUGUUUCCUACUGGUAAGAGCGUGAUCUGUUGCCCCUAGUUGACGUAUCUUCUUUAACGUAUUUCAUAGGGUCAUGUGUCGCCAUACUCUCGGUCUGGCAUACCAUCACGCUUGUCCGGACGUCUUUCAUAGGGUCAUGCAUCACCGUACUCUCGAUAUGGUGUACUGUCACGCUCGUCUGGCUUACGGGUCCCUGUAGCGAGUCUGAUGUUGAUGUCCUCAUAGUGGCGCAUGGCGGCUCCCAUAGUGUAGUCUCAUGGUGCAAUCGUGCGCGGCGCGACCUCGCCUUUCGUCAUGGACUCUGCGUCAUCCUCCAACGUGCAUAUGUGUACACUAAGUAUGGUGUAUCAUCCUAUCCUUUAUGGUAUAAAACUCACUGUAGGGACUCUGGUGCUUAGGUCCCCCAUUACUGGAGAUGACUGGCCCCACAAGACAGCUGGGAUACGUCAGAGACUGUAUGCGGUGGCAUGUCAUAAUGUUGAUAGGGACUUCUCGACGCCCCUUCGGUAUGUCGCACACAUGUCUAGGCGUGGUUUCCUGAUGAUGCGUCUCAUCGUGGCCGAUGUGGGUUAAUAGUAUUGGAUUCAGGGGGCCUCCGCCUUACUAAGUUGCUCGGUGAGGACUUGGUCAGCCACUCUGCCUUGUGAAGUUGCUCGGCAGGGAGUUGACCGGCCGCUCCACCUCAUAGGAUUUCCUGGCAGAGAGCUAGUUGGCUGCUCCGCCUCAUAGGGUUGCUUGGUAGAGAGCUGGUCCACCGCUCCGCCUCACAGGGUUGCUCGAUAGAGAGUUGGUCCACCGCUCCACCUCGUAGAAUUUCCUGGCAGAAAGCUGGUUGGCCGCUAUGCCUCACAGGGUUGCUUGGUAGAGAGCUGGUCCACCGCUCCACCUCACAGGGUUACUCGAUAGAGAGCUGGUCCACCGCUCCGCCUCACAGGGUUGCUCAAUAGAGAGCUGGUCAGCAAGUGGGCCAUUAAGAGGCUUUGGGCCUACUUCGGGCACCUGGUUCCUAGGUACCCGACAAUAUAUGGUUGGCAUAUACAUCUCCAAAGUAUUUGAGGAAGUAUCAAGUGCUUUUGGCUCAUUAAAACUCUGCCAAAAGGAAGGAGCAUGUGUUGAACAUGAAAUUUGGCAGCACUGGUAUUGUCGGACGAUCCAACGUGUUAGCUCAGAUGGUCCACGCCCUGGACGGUUCGCGAUUAGAUGAGUUUGGGUUAGAGUUCUGAUUUCUUUUAGGAUUCUCUGGAUAUCUCGCAAGAUUUUGUUGGACAAUGCCUAGGAACGGGUGUAGAGCUCCCCCUAUAAAUAUAAAGGAGUACAACCAAUUGAAACACUAACAAUCGAUCUACAAAUGGGUUUUAUCUUAUUUACCUUAUGCAUUAGCCUUAGGAGUAGUUCUAGCCCUAGCUAUAGUUUUCCAACCUUAAUAUUCACCUUGCUUUGGCUUUACGUCGUCUUGAGGCGCUUUGGAUAGCCUAUCGACCCCAAAGCAACCCCAAGAUCCUUCCUCCUCGACUAGGUCCCUCCCAUGAGGCGGGAUCUAGGUUCUUCUUAGAGCCCUCUGCGCCAUCGCAGCCGGUCUGUCACCUUCACACGGACAGUCAGGAACCCCGCAGAGAAGUCCCUAAGGUCUUGUACGUCGCGCGCAGACCCUAGGGAUCAUUAGUAUUUGGCCUGAAAAGGAGCCAACAGAUAUGUAAUAAUAAUAAUAAAUGGUAAUAAUAAUAAUUAUUAUUAUAUCAUACUAUAAAGCACCGCAAUCAUGAAAAUACACCACAAAUGAUAGAGUUAGCUUACAGUACUCAAUCAAGCACCAGUAUACUACUAUAUUGUCUGCCUAAGAGCAGUGGCCAUGAUGGUAUGUCCAUACUCAUCUAAACAUCUUGAACCAUCAAUGGAUACAUAUGUGGGUGUCCACAUAUGUCCCUUGACACCUCAUUUUCAUGACCAAUGUGCGCUAAUAUUAUAUCUAUGAGAUAGGAGUGUUAUCUUGACAUUAUUACUAAAGUAUAAAAGUAUAGCGUGCAUGGGCAAAUGAACUUAUGUGGAUGACUCAAUAUCUUUAACUUUAUUAUAUUAAAAUCCAUAGUUUUCUCAAUACCAGAGUUGAAUAUUUAAUAAAAACCAUGACAAAUAGAUUCACCAUGUGGCCUAUAAAUACAUGGCCUUCUGAUGUUCAUUCUCCCCACCCCAACAACCAUUAUUCAGAUUUCAUAAUACCAUAUAUCGUAGUACCCAACCCCCAUGGAUCCUAAUUAUGGAGAGUGGAAUUUCUCUGAGAUCAAGAUAGCGAAAGCUCUCAUUGCUAGCCACAAUGCCAAGAGUAGCUAUUCUAGUGACAUGAACAAUAAGCAAACUGACAUUAUAGACAUGCUCCAAGCAAGGUUUCCCACAAAAGAGAAGCAUAAGGUAACCAAACUGUAUGUUGAUCUCAUGUUGGAGAAGAUGCAGAUGAUAUUGAGUGGCAACCAACAUGCAACAAUGGGUAAGAAGCUUGUGAAUGACAAGUUUGGGAUGUCGAUAGAGGAUCCAGCCAUAGAUUUCAUGGGUGGUGAUUUAGUGGAGAAAAGGACGGCCAAAAGGAAGGCAAGGGAGGAUAUGAAUACCCACCUAGAUUCUCAGAAGGAGAGGCGGUACCGAAGGUUUUGGACCAUAGACGAACACAGGUUAAUGAUUUCUUUAUUUCACACAUGCAUUUGUUUUGUUCUAUUUAUAUCUUUUGUCUUAUUUUGGAAACACUUUUCACAUUUUCAUGCACAUUAUUGUUACAUUCAUUAGAAUGACGUAUGGGGUAUUGGUUAUUAUGAGGUGUUUGAGAUUUUUUCACUAAUAAUGUUAGUGUGGAUACUAUGCAUUUUUCAAUCUAAUCCUUAUCUUGGUGUAGGAAUUUCCUCUAUGGUUUGCGUGCAUAUGGUCGAAGCGACUGGAAGAACAUCUCAAAGCACUUUGUUACCACUAGGACGCCAAUGCAAAUCUCUAGCCAUGCCCAAAAGUAUUUCCAUAGGAUGGAGAACAUUGCUAGGAGGCAGCGGAGCAGCAUCAAUGACAUUGUCCUCCACGAUGAUGAACCCAGGGUGCAAAGUAAUGAUUCUAGCCUACAGAGGUUCACCUUCACCAGUGGAACCUACAACCCAAAUCAUUAUGGCUCUAGCAGCCAAUUUGUCGCCAUGAGUAACAUUGCCAAGCAUAUGUGGUUUCCAUCUGUAUGUUGUAUUGACCAAGAGAGCACCAGCAACAACCAAAUCACUACCUUAGAUAGAGGUGGGUCUGGUGGUUCUUGUGUGGCUCUAGAGGUGCAGGGGGUUGGGAGCAAGGCAAAACUAAUUAGUGAUUAGGAGGGAGAUUUUCUUGUUGGUCAAUGGAUGAUGAUGCUGAUGAUGAAAUAGGUGUUACAUCUAGCCAAGUACCCUAUGAUUCUUGGCGACCUAUUAGUUCAUCAUAUACAUGUGAAUUAAAUGUUAUAUCCAAUAGUAGGGAGGGCACAAUUUCGUCACAAUGAAACCUUUUGAAUUAUUAUAUGUAUGUGGUCAUGUUCUAGUGUGUCGUCAUUUGCUUCAUUUUUACAACCAAGACCCUACCCCAUCUCCAUGAAUGAAUAAUAUAAAUAUAUUAUAGUUUAGAUAACUUUCACACUAAAGAAAAAGCACAAGAGCUAAACUCACUAGAAUACGCACCAUACCCAUCAACUAACAUAACAAACAACAAAAUGAUCAAAAGCACUAAAUAAAGCUAGAACAACUAGUUAAACAAUCAGAAUAUUUUCAAUUCUGGCCAUCAUCCCUCAAAUCACAGUCUUGUCCUACAUCCCCAUAAUCUUGCGCAUCUCUAAUCGACUUGGUCUGGAUAACAUCCCAUGAUAACUUGGCAAGUAGCUUGAGAGCAAUCUUGAGCAUAGUGUUAACACCUUUGAUUAGCACCUCCUUGUCUCCAUCACUUUGGAGUCCUACCCGAAGUCUUAUAAGCGCGCAUGCAAGGCAUAUAAUCUCAAUAGAACUAUUGUGACACCCUAAUUUCUGAAUUCUAAAAUUCAAUGUUAGUUUGAUAACAUGUCUAGUUAUAUUUAUGUUUCUAGGAGAAAGCAAGAGUUCCAUAAAAAGAACCAAAAAUAAAUGUAAGGUAACAACCUACUUUUGUUGCAUUCAUGUUGGUGCAUGAUUUCUUUGUGUAUUUGACGUUCUAGCCUAGAAUUUGAACUAGGUUUAUAGAUCCUUUUUCCAUCCUUGGCCAAAAUAUCUCCUUUCUCUCUCUCCAUUUUCUCUUUCUAGCCUUGAUAACCACACCAACCCACGUCGGCCACCGCCACACCCAACCACCCCUAGGUCAGCCUCGACCCACAACCACUCUAUGCCCUAGAGGCUUCUCUCCCUACUUUUUGACCACUUUACGCCUCAUGGACAUGCCGUAGACAUCAUAGCCCACGACAACUAGCCAUAGCCACCUCUAGCCACCCCUAGCUUGUAACACCCCGUCCACUCCUAGAACGGCGGUAAUUACUCCUAGCAGCUCUCUAGGACCAAAUAUCAUCCCCACAUACCAACACGUGACUUUUGUGCGUACUUUGUCCUCGCUCAUGCCUACCCAGGAACACUUCCCAUCCGGUCACCCAUCCCAAGACUGCUCUAGACCAAGCACGCUUAACCUAGAGGUUCUUUCGAGGUAGGCUUCAAAAAAAGAAGAUGCACAUGUACGAUUAUUUUAUUAAUUUAUUUAAGCCUUGGGCCAAGAUAUCACCAUCCACUAGAACCAGGAUAUCACAAUUCACAAUCCACCCCCCUUAGAAGAUCGACGUCCUCAUCGAUCAACCCCAAGCAAGGAACCUCCCCUCUUGGACACGUCUGUGUGUCCAGUGUUGUCAUAUGCCAUGCCAUGUGACCACUCUAGUGUCACAUGUGCCAUGUGCCAUGUACCCAAACCCUAGCCCACACACGCCUGUGAAACCGCGAGGUUCAGCUCUAAUACCAUUUGUAACACCCUGUCCACUCUUGAACCGGGGGUACUUACUCCUGGCAGCUCUCUAGGACCAUAUAUCAUCCCCACGGACCAACAUUUGUCUUUUGUGCGUACUUUGUCCUUAGUCAUGCGUACCCAGGAACACUUCCCGGUCAGUCACGCAUCCCAAAAUUGCUCUGGGCCAAGCACGCUUAACCCAUAGGUUCUUUCAAUGUAGGAUUCUGAAAAAGAAGAUGCACCUUGUUGGUAUGAAUAUUCUAUUAAUUCUAUUAGGUCUUGGGCCAGGAUAUCACCAUCCACUAGGGCCAGGAUAUCACAUAGCUUGUGCUAGCCAGCCACACCCUAGAUGUCCCUAGCCUAGCCAGCUAACCAUAGCCAUGCCCUGACCACCACUAGGCAUAUAUAGCUCAUGUUAGUUGGUUUCCCUUAGCCAAUGGUCGCCUUUGGUUGGCCACCUACCUCUAAUGCACCCCAAGGACUGGCCAUGCAUGGUCGCCUCCCUUCUUCACUUCCUCCAGCCCUGACCACCCCUUAAACUCUAUUUGGAUCCAUGGUGCUAAAGUUUAGCACUACACUUUUAGCUAAACUUUAGUACAUGGAGAUCCAAACAAGAGUGCUAAAAGGUGCUAAAAGUGAAGUGCUAAAAUUUAGCACCCAAUAGCAGUUUAGCUCCUCAAGGUGUGCUAAACUUCAUCACCUUGUUAAAGUUUAGCACAUGGGAUCCAAACAGGCCCUUAGCCUCCCUAGUUAGAACCCUCUCCCUCCUGCCACCCAUAGUCAGCCAUAGCCCCUCCCCAACUAACCACAUUCUUUGCGAGGUAGCCAUAGCCAGCCAGAGCCCUUUCCAGCCAACUACGACAGUUCCAAGCUAGCCACAUCCCCUCCUUGACCGGCCAGAAGCAAGUUUAGCUAGCCAUUGCCCAUUUUUUACUGGCCAAGCAAGGUUACACCCUUCUCAAUUACUCCAUAGCUUGAGAGAAGGCUUUGGUAUAAACCCCCCUUCUUUCAAUCUCUUCUCUUCAUGUUUCUAUUUUCAAGUCUAUGGGAAUAUUACAAAGCCGCUCCACCAAGAACCCUAGCCUUGUGCUAAAUAAACUCUUUCACUUAGAGUUCAUAGCAAGAAAACUUUGUGUCAGUAGACUUCUAGAAGGUUUUGUUUGGUGUACUAUUUCUAAUUUAUAAUCCAUGUGUGUCUUUCAAUGCAUAUAGAAGGGGUCAGUUUGAGGGUAUCAUGGAACAAGCUUUCAAAGAACCCAAGACGCUAUAUUCGAUUACAUAUUUGGAAAUUAAUCAUGACAUACAAAUGAUUAUCACCUAGUUUUGGUCCUUCAAAAUUGGGUGUGACAACUAUUCAAAAUAUUUGCACCAAAACAGGCUCUAUCGUGAACUUUCCAGAUUUCCCAAUAAAUGGCAGCAAUUUUUUACCAUUUGGCGAACAUUUUUCAUAUCAUUUCCAUUUAUGGGAGGUAGUUGAAGCAUGGUUUACAAAGCAGACUAUGGUAAAUAGCAACAUGUUUUUCUUGGGGUUGUAAACCUAUAGCGUGGCUAUAAUAAAGCUAUGACAUAUGGUGGUUUAUAAGAAAACCAUAAAACAUAUGAGUAAUUGCUUCAAAAAAUAUGACAAUCAUGAAAUUUGAUGAAGAUAAGUAUAUUUUUAAGGUUCUAGAGAUGUAGGAAACAUUAGUUAAUAUGAUAUUAGGGCAUGAUUUAUAAAACUCAAGUGUUCAAUUUUCUAAAAUACAAAAUUUACUACAAAAUAUAAGUAGAUAAUAAUUAUGUUGUCACUAUUAAUACCCAAAACUAAAAUAGUAGGGCUAUUUCAAAAGCUACAGCUAAGCAAUUUAGAGUACUAUAGCACAAUAUAUUGCUCGUAGUUGACAUAACGAUAAAACGACAAUAUCUUAGUGUGGUCUCUCUCCCGCAUCUAUAGCCUGCUAUUUGAAACCAUGAGUUGAAGAAAUAUUAGAAGACAAAUGGCAGUAGUAGCCCACAUUUCCCUGGCAAUACAACAUGAUAACAGGAGGUGGUUUAUAGUUUUGUCUUGGUCACAUAAAUAGCAUGAAGGGUAACCCAACCAAGUCCUCCUAAUCAUAUUAUCUAUUGUUAUGAUGGCAUUGUUCUCAACCCGCCAUAGGAAAAACUUUAUUUUUGCUAGAAUAUUUUCUUUUCAAAUAUGUUUAAAUGUAGGGCCACCUUCAUUAAUAGAUCAUAGCAUUAUAAGUAGUUUUGACUGAAAAACUACCUUUAUUGCCUAAUUUUCACCCAAUUCUAUCUUGUCCAGAACAUAAAGGAAAGAUAGUAGAGUCCUGAACAAUCUUUUCCCAAUUAGUCAUUAUGUCUUUAAUAAGCCAACAUCAUAAGGAGAUUCGAACCUCUAUAUUUAUCAUUUGACUUACUGAUGUGUUUUUCUAAUCACAUAAAUCGAAAAGAUCAUGAAACUUAAGGGAUUACCAUAAAGCCAUGUGUCUUGCCAAAAAGAGUUUUUUUUUUAUAAUUUGGACUACGAUGUGCCUUCCCUGAAGGUAUACAACUCGUACUUCCAAAAGGUCAAUCCAGGUAAGGAAAUCUGAAUUCUCCUUUUAGAUACUUAAACUUGAUAAUGCCUUGCCAUAAAUCAUCCUUUUCUCAAGCUUCCACCACCAUCACUUACAAAGUAGACUAAUGUUAAUUUUUCUCUAGCACCACAUGUUAAUUACCUUGUGUCACUUUUGGUGGCUUUGAGGGAUCUAGCAAGGGAUAAAGUGCACUUUAGACCUUGUUCCAAACCUUUAAAACUAAUAGUUAGUAGUUAAAAUUAGCUGAGCGUUUUAAAACGGAUGAGCUAAUAGACCAACUAAUUGUUAGUUAUACCUAUCAAAUAGCUAUGAGGGCUUAUUUGGUGACAAUGGAAUUGGAGAUUGAUAGGGAAAUUAGUUCAUUUUCUCUCAAUACUCUCUAAAACACCUCAAUUUUCUUGACGACAAAGAAGCCCUUAGUUAUUAGCUGCUCUAACCCAACUAAAACCAACUAAUAAUUUAUUAACUGACUAACAAUUAGCUCUAGAUGUUUGGAACAGGGCCUUAAACGUUGUGGUGGCUAAUAGACUAGCUAAUUAUUAGAUAUACCUCUCAAAUAGCUAUUAGUUAUUAGCCAGCGCUGACUAAUAAUUAGAUUACCUUAUUAACAAUUAGCUUCAGAGGUUCAUAACACGACCUUAACGUGGUGUUAUAGCAAUUUCCAGAGAGCAGUAUGGAUAGGGUUGACAAUAGGUUUCAUAUUUUACACUAUAGAAUUUAAGUAUCAUUAGCGGAUUAUAAACAAACUUUAUUUCUAUUCAUUUUCGAACUAAAAUUAAUUUAGGGCUUAAACAAAUUAUGAAGAAAAAUUUAGAUCGCAAUACUUUACCACCUAGAUAUGAGAUAGGUAUGAGAUGUAAAUGCAUCUUUUAUCGCUACUCAAUAUUCAGGCUUAAGAAAGGUACAUAAUUUGGCAAAAGGAGAAAAGCAGUUGAAUACGUCCAGUGUCGUCGCUUUUGGCAAGUGACAUUUCUUCGUGUAACUUUAUGGCAACUACACGGCGCAUGAUAGCGAUACGCUGCUUAUUCAGGAUACACGUCGUCAGACAUCAUAACACACAAUGCAACAUAUCGUUCGAUUCAUAGACUCACCCUCACAACACAGAUGGUAAGCAAACAGUUUUCUGGGGAGCCUGAGGCUGAAGAAAAAUCUGAGGCAAUGUUAAAAACUCGCAUCUCAACGCAAACGUAAAAACGUAGCUUCGAUCAUCCACACAGUAGUGUUACAAACUAACUUGUGGUUCUGACAUUUUUGCAUAUAGCUUAAGCAUAGUAGUUCAAGCUUGACUUUUUCUUUGCCUGAACCUGCACGAUUCCUUCAUUGAAGUCCUCGUGAGUUACCUGUGCAAAGAAAAAUCAGGUUAGGAAAUCGCAAUCAUCACAAAAAGAAAAAUCAACAAGUCAAUAAUCAACCUACGGGAUGUCAGAAUCCAUCUAUUGAUGCAAGGAAAAUAUAAUCGAAUCGUGCAUAUGGAGGAGCGGAAGGCUCACCUCUGUAGCAUCCCGCCGUAGAGCGAGCAUGCCAGCUUCUACACAGACUGCCUUCAGCUGUGCUCCGUUGAAGUCAUCUGUUGAGCGAGCCAAUUCUUCGAAGUUGACAUCCGGAUUUACGUUCAUUUUUCUUGAAUGGAUCUACAGUGCGACAUACAGAAAACAUCAGUUGGUAAAUGACCUACUGAGUGAAGCAAAAACAUCAUUCAUUGACAAACUUCAGCAAAUUGAACAUAAGUUGUGGAGACCGACUUGCAAGAUUCUAGCUCUUGCUUCUUCAGAUGGGUGAGGGAACUCAAUCUUGCGGUCCAGCCGUCCUGAUCGCAUCAGAGCAGGGUCAAGGACGUCGGUGUUGAGAACUACGUUACCGCGGAUCACCAGAUCCGCUCCCUUCCCUCCCGUCAGCAGUAGAGGCGCAAGAAGAUGUAGAGAACCCGUCUCCCUUCCCUUAAGCACGACAGAGGAAACACACGAGACACAGGAUAUAGGGUUGGGCCUCUGGCCUCUUUCUCUUCUCUAUUCCAUAUGAGGGGGUACAAGUUAUAUAUAUAUAGAGACGUGAUCGUCAUCAGGGGCAUAUUCGGUAUUUGCCCACAUAACCCUUCAUUAGGGUUUCUCAACACUCCCCCUUGGGCGAAUACCGCGACCAACACAUGCCUCAUUAAAACUCCCAAAAAACCCAAUGGGAAAAUAUGGAGAAAGAGCGCAUGGUGACGCAUAUUGCAUUUACACUUUGUUGCCUCGUUAAAAACCUCAUGUGAGAAACUUCAGGAAAACUCACCAAGGGAAAAAGAGUACAACAGCUGUCAUCGUGACAGAUUUUGAUCCUCUCGGAUCUAGAUUCUAUCGAAUCUUCUACAAGGGCUAACUUUAGAAAUGUGCUCCCCCUGAUCCUUGCAAAAUCAUAUCAAUAAGGCAAAACAUCUUCUUCUAGAAGUAUAUGCAUAUAAAGAUUUAGUAAUCAGAUUGCAUAUCCUUGCAAGGACUAUUUCAGUAACUUUACCUCUACUCACUUCUAGGAUAUACGAGGUAAGUGCACGUAUCAAUAUAAAUAAGUCACUUUGACUGAUGGUGUUCGAUCGACGGGAUCUAUAUAUUUGAUAGAAAAUUCCAUAAAGGUUCACAUAUUGAUCAUCAAGCUCACGCCUUCAGGGCAUAAAAUAUGACAUUUAUUGUCUCACGGUUGUGAUCAAUAUAAGCAUUCGCUCCCCCUGACGAUGACAUCUGUCAAAGUCUUUAUCCCUCAUAACUCAAGCAUAUUCUUCAAGAUAUAUGUCUCAUUGUUCAUCUGGAAUAACGAGAAUGAAUGAGAUUGGGGUGCUAUCAUUUUCUAUCUUACACCACAAUUUAUACAUAGUUGUGCAAAGCAAAUAACAUAUCCUUCAAUAGGACUUAGGGGAUAAUAUAGUUGCAAUAGUACAUAUUCUAAAUAUGACACAUCGCUCGAGGCGUUCAUCCAUUGCAACAUCUAUGAUGGUGUAACAAAAGUCCAUCUAAGAUCGUAAGCCAUCAGGGAUUUUUCAUCGAUCAGAUACAUCGUUAUAGUCUGUCAUUCUGGCACAAUGGGGAUAUUUUGCCAAUAACACCUAAACCUUAUAGGUUUCUGCCAUCAGGGCUUUAGAGGAUACCGUAAUUCCACAUCUAGUGGAAAUUACCAUGAGUAAAACUCAUGGAAUGCACAUGUGCUUAUUCGAUGAACUUCAAGUCCUUUGGUACCUCAUCUUAUUCCUUUUCGGGUCUGUAUGGGUCUUUAUCCCUUUAUAGGGAUUAUCAAACUUUGGUGUUCAAUACAGACUUUGUUUCUUCUGGAUAGGUUCCAUCUGGGAACGAUAGUCUCAACUACGAGAUAUUCUCCCUACAUAGGAGAGUGAUCAUUCAUCAGGAAUGUAUUAUUCGGUAUGAGAUUUAUAUGUUGCAUAUUUAUAAUUCAAAUAUAUGAGUCCUCCUAGGAUCUCAUGACGGAUCUUCAGAAUCCUAUUAACUGCAUAUUUUAAUUCAUGCCAUUUGCCAGAUAUAUUACAUAGCGAAACUGUGUUUAUUCAACACAUAUGUGGGAUGGAUCUCUCACAAGACCACUUGAACCAUCGCAUUCACCACACAUUAUUUCAAUAGUGCCCAUAAUGUCCGAACUUCAAGCUCGUGACUUUCACUUUGCGAUUAUUGGUUCAGCCUCGAUUGCAUUUAUCAAUGACCCGAUAAGAGAGCUUAAAGCACUCAUGCCUAGGACUUUGUUUUGGAUCCAUUUGCAAUCUAGAGGGGCAAGAUAGGUGUCGACAUAUUUGUCUCCCACAUUUAAUAAUGAUCUCCGUUAUUUCCCAAAACGAAAGAUUCAUUGUUCUGUAUUCCCAGCACAAUGAUAUUGCGCGCAUUGCUAGGAAUUUCAUCAUCAAUAUGAACCUCUUCGUGAGGCAAAUCACCAUCAGGGUGAAUUAAUCGGAGGAGAGUUAUCACAGACCACGUGAAUCUGCAAUCAGAAACAUAUGCUUUGACUAAGGCUAAUGGAUCAUAUUCGCAGGCGUCCCCAAGAAUAGAUCAAAUACCAAUAAGUCAAAUGUGGAUAUGAUAUUAAUCCCGGGUAUAUCCACAUCUACAUCAAGUAGAAGCAUUCAAACCAAUAUGGUUACUCCUCAACGAUUUCUGGCAAACUCCAUAUACACAGGAGUACACACCGAACGACAGGUUCAGUUUGGCUUUUGUGUGUUUAAUAGAAUAUUGAGGCAUUACACUAUAUGGGCAUUCCUCCCCCUAAUGCCGAGAUAUUCUAAAAGCAUACAUAUAAAAUCCCCAACCACAAUCAUCUAGUUUGUGGCCAAUGUAUGCUAUUGUGGUGAUUUAUUUGGGAAAUCUUACGCACAUUACAUAUAGGGGUUUUAUACAGUGAGCUUUGGACUUAGAUUAAUGUAGUGGCAUGAAUACUACAUAUUUGUCCUUCAACAUGAAGGGUUAGUCUCAACAUUCAGCGAGACACGCACAACAAGUUGCUUAAUGGUUAUAAUUCUGCAAACUUAUUGUUAUUACUACCAAAUGCACAGUCAAUCAUUAAGAUUUAGACUAAUAUGCACAACACUAUUUUAUUCAUAAGGAUCCUUCAGGGGCUCAUGAAUACCAUUCGUCGUUUGGAGCCAUUAGUUGACUUCAGAUCAACAAGUAAAAUGACCAUCAGGGUUUAACGCUCACAAAGACAUUCACUGGUUGCAUUGUGCUUUAAGCACAUAGGAAAAAUGUGUGUGUUUAUAUUGGUAGUGAAGUGCACGGUAUCAGGCCAAUGCUGCCAAGCAGAGAUUUUUAUAUGAAGAGUUAUAUAGUCCAGCUCGUUUUAUUAUUGCCCAUGGUUUACCCAAUUACUCAUACCGAUCUGAAAUUGGGUAUCAAUUUAUGCAACAUUUUUAGGUAUUAUAAUUUUGAGAGAGAAUUUAUAACAAUAGUUAAUAGAUUGUGAUGCUGCCAGCAGGGCAAACAUUUCUCCUCAUAUUAUAUACCAAUUUGUUCUAUAAAGCAUUAUUUCAAUCUCUUCGUUGUUCGGCAAAAAGAGAAGCUUUGGAAUAGAACAGACAAGGCCAAGAAUUCCUUUUAUCUGGGAAAAUCACCAUAUAACUAGCUUUUGAUGAAGCAAAUGAUGAUAACUGCUUGGCAAGAACGAAACAAUACUGAUAUCCGCCUAGGAUCCAUCUUCAACAACAGAUAUUACUGCUCUCAUACGAAGAAAUCAUCAGGAGUAGAGAGGAUACAACAUGUCUCUACAAGAUCUUCAUAUUUCUAUCACAAAUUAUCAUCACUAGUAGUCUAGUGGUCAAGACAUAUGACUCUUCUGGCUCCGAGGACCAAGAACAUGUUAAUGUCUAAUUUAGCUUCAAGCUCUGUGGUGAUAUGGGAUUUCAUAGCUAGUUUAUACUCUUCUUACUCCUAGUAGAUCAGAGAUAGAUUACGGUAAGCAUUUCAAAGGUGGAAUCCAAUGUAGUUCUGCUACAUAAAGUCCAGGUAUAUGUCCAUUCAGGACCGACCUUUACCAUUUAGCUUAAAGCUAUACCAUACCAAUCAAAGAAUUAUACCAAGUCAAUUCAGUGACUAUAAGUAUUUACAAUUCUGAGAGAUGUAUGCAACACAAGCAUAGAGGUCCUAGAUAGGACGAGUAAAGUGGUUCGACGGGAACACACAAUGGUUUUUCACACAAACAUUGUGAAAAAAUUCUCAGAAUUACCUUUCGAUGUACUCGCAACUUCGUGUUGCUAAGGUACAAGACAUUUAUCUCAAAGUUCGCUUCAUGUCGUUCAGCGACAAAUAGCAAUGUGCCAACAUCUGGUUGAGCAAUGUAUGACUGAGAUUCUAGCAUUUAUUCAUCUGAUAAGGUCUUAUUGCUUACUAAUAAAAUCCCAAUUUGUGAUGUUUUCUGCGCCAAAAAGGCUUUCAUGCAUUAUAUAUCUUCGGUUUACUUCGGAUAAAACUUUUAUGCAUGAGGAGAGAGAGCAAAAAAAUUAACUUAUCUGUGCUUUAUUGUAUUUCAAUUUAUUUUCCCAGAAUAUUCAAGCACUAUAGAGCUUGAUAUAGUUGUUAUGGCCACUUGGCAAUAUAAAUAAAUAUAUGAUGCCACACAAAACAAUCAAAAAAAAUAUAAAGUUAAACAACAUUAUUUAUGAAGGUUGCGCUAUGCUGUGACUUCAGGGACUCGAAUAAUCCACCACAUUCCACGCGAGUACAAGCUCCAGCGUAUCUGGCGUCAACGUGUGUGUGGCCAUCAAGGCUACAACAACGAAUAAGCCUCCGUAACAAGCGCAACAGGCGCAAUUGUGGCUUGAUAGUCGGGGUACAGGAUAAGUCCACACAACUCGGUGAUGGCGGUCCGACUCAACGGGAGUGGUCCGACUAAGUGAGAGUACAACAUAGCAAUCACAUGACGCAGCCAAGUUCGGACGACACAAAUAACGUGUCGUGUUGCCAGGGCGCAACCAAUGCUCGCCAAUGCCAUAACUCAACCGAUUAACAACAAAGUCUGGUCGACAUGUUUGAGUACCCACUAUAUAGUUUAAUCGCUCGAUAUGAGUCCAAAAGCUCAACAUAAUAUAAAUAUUUAGAGCGAUUUAAAUAUGCACAAUAUAGAGUUUACAUGCAUUUUAAUAUUUUCUGCUAAAUAUCUACCACGAUAAAUAAAAGCAGAAAAAUAAACACCAAAAUUAAUGCAUGAGCAUAACACAUCAGGUGUAAAAGGCAACUUCCUUGUAUGUAAGCAUGCAUUUUUCUAGUAAUUAUUUACUACAGGAAAUAAUUAAUUAAGAUACAUACUGCAACAGAAAGCAUGCCUUAUUUUAUUUAUUAUUUGCAUCCAUAAAAUAUGAUAGAAAAAUCACGCAUGUAAUUAUCCGCAUGUAAAAUAUGAUAGAAAAAUCACACAUAGAAAAAUCCAGGAGCCGUAGUUUUCCAACGCCAGAGGAAUAAGCGGUUACGACUUGGUCAAAGAACUGGUAUGGAGUGAGAGGCGGCCAGCCCACAUAGCGCAUGUCACGUGCAUGUGGGCAUGCAAGUUUUUUUUCAUAACAAAAAUCCUAACUACCUCAGCUUUCUCAGGCUUGUACGCACGUACACGCCCACGACAUGAAUGGAUCACGACUUUGACCACAUGAGCCGCCCCCAUUCACCUCGCACUCUAGAACCAUAGGAUGCGCAUGAUUCUCGUGACUAGGCGGGCACGAACUCGGGUGCACGGGCGAGAUUGAGUGGAGCCUCACCGGACAUGGUGGAGCGAUUACGAGAUUCUACCAACAUUAGAUCUAAAAAAAAUUAUACCGUUCAAUUGCGUGAUCCACUCAAAAUUUCAUACGGGCUCGCAGAUAAUAUACGCGAUGAACAAUAAAUUGCAGAUCCGCUCAAAAUUUCAUACCGUGAUUUCUGGUUCGACAAACGGGAACGAAGCCUGUCGCGUAGGACAGUUCGGCAAGGCCGGGGACCUGCCGGUGUGACGGAGAGUUGAUGCAGAUCUGAUCUCGCAGCAACGUCGAGGUAGAGCGUGCUGAUAACGUGUUGAGAACUACGUUACCGCGGAUCACCAGAUCCGCUCCCUUCCCUCCCGUCAGCAGUAGAGGCGCAAGAAGAUGUAGAGAACCCGUCUCCCUUCCCUUAAGCACGACAGAGGAAACACACGAGACACAGGAUAUAGGGUUGGGCCUCUGGCCUCUUUUCUUCUCUAUUCCAUAUGAGGGGGUACAAGUUCUAUAUAUAUAGAGACGUGAUCGUCCUCAGGGGCAUAUUCGGUAUUUGCCCAUAUAACCCUUCAUUAGGGUUUCUCAACAGUCGGCACGGUUCGUUGCAGCUAUGACCUUUAUUCUCUCAUCACUGCUGAAUCCAUCCAGUUGAUUCAGUAAUUCCAACAUUGUUCGCUGAACUUCUCUAUCACCACGAACUUCACUGUACCAAGAGAACAAAAUUAUGGAGCAUACAUCAGAUAAGCUUCUUCGUAAUAAGAAUGAUUGGUUUCCACUAAAUUGAAACAUAAAAAAGUGUUCUACUUUCUGUGGUCUUGUGCAACUGAUUCACAUUUUCAUCUCAUAAAGAGUAUCAUCAGCCAAAGCAGGAAUAGAACCAUGCAAGAGCUAAAAAUGUCAUAAAAGGCAUACCUAUCAAAACGUUUGGUGCCGAUGGCAUCUAUCUCAUCAAUAAAUAUAAUACAAGGAGCUUUCUCUUUGGCAAGCUGGAAUGCAUCCCGGACAAGCUUUGCUCCAUCACCAAUAAACAUCUGAACCAGCAAGAACAUCGUUACUACCCUACUUCAAAAUAUAAAGUAUGCUCAGAAUAAAACAGAUUUUCCAUGGUAAUGCAAUAUCUCCAUUUUGUCGUCAAUGAAAAUGGAACAAAUGGUCAAUAUUAGUAAUGCAAUCAGACUAAUAUUUUAGUUAAAGCACUAAACCAUACAACUUUGUUUCCAAAUUCCAAAUCCAAUUAUAAAAUAGAGACAGAAUGUUAUACAAGAUCCUGAUAAUUCAUCAACCACGACACAUAACUGGCAACUGACUAAACUUCAACAAAGAAACUUUGGACUGACAAACUCCAUAAUAACAGAAAGAUGCAAUCCAUAUAUCCAUUUUCCUCAACAGUAACAAUAUUGGUAUGUACAAAAAGCUUACUUAGACAUUCAGGAACACAGUAGCCCUAGAUAAGUUAACAAACUAUGUUCAGAAGGUAGAAAGCACCAAGACAUUCAAACUUGCUUCUGAGAAGCUUAGCAUAAGGAAAUAUUGCUUCAUGUUAAUUCGUAUACAUAAGAAAAGGAAAUCAACCAGGAUGAUGCAAUUAAAUAAUAAAACUAUUGCAGAAAGCUAACAUAAACAAAGAGUGACAGAAGUUGCAGUACAAAUAUGAUAACAUGAAAUGGAGCAGCAGUGUACCACAAGAUUCAUGUCAGAAAAAAAAUAUCUUAUCAUCGAGAAGGCAUGCAGGCGCAGCUAUAUAACGGACACAUAAAAAAGGAAAAUAAAGCUUAAUUCUCAAGUAAACUGAUUACUUGCACAAGUUGUGGACCAGCUAAUUUCAGAAAUGUUGCAUUCGUCUGUGCAGCACAUGCACGAGCCAUGAGUGUCUUGCCAGUUCCUGGCGGUCCAUACAGAAGAACUCCUUUUGGAGGACGAAUACCCAACUUCUGGAACCGGUCUUUAUGUGUCAUGGGCAGUACAAUUGCCUCUACAAGCUCUUGAAUCUAAAUUCAAUCACAUAAGAUUCAAAAGCACUAGGCCCGGAUGGCUUUACAGGUUUAUUCUUCAAAGUAUGCUGGGAUAUCAUCAAGGAGGACGUUCUUGAGGCUUUUCAUCAACUUCAUAGCAUGAAUGGGGCGGAUUUUCGUUUACUCAACUCUGCCAACAUCGUGCUUAUACCUAAAAAGCCAGAUGCUUUGACAGUGGGGGACUACCGCCCCAUCAGUUUGAUACACAACAUCGCAAAAAUCUUCUCCAAACUGCUUGCUAAUCGGCUGGCCCCCUCCUCAACACUCUAAUCUCCAAAUCCCGAAGUGCCUUCAUCCAGAAAAGAUGUAUACAAGACAACUUCUUUUAUGUGCAUAACGUAGUUAGAAGACUACACAAGCAAAAAAACCAACGCUCUUCCUGAAGCUUGACAUCCAGAAGGCUUUCGACACAGUUAAUUGGGGCUAUCUCCUGGAAGUCCUCCAGACCAUGGGUUUUGGCCCUCGAAGGCGUGAGUGGAUUUCCAUCCUUUUUGGGUCCGCCUCGUCUCGAGCCCUCCUCAAUGGCCGACAAGGAGCAAACAUCCAGCACAGGAGGGGGGUUAGGCAGGGAGACCCCCUUUCCCCUAUGUUGUUCAUCCUUGCCAUUGAUCCGCUGCAGCGUAUCCUGGACCUUGUAGCCAGAAAUGGGAUCCUUUCCCCCAUUCCGCUAACUACAGCAAAACUGAGGACUUCUCUCUAUGCCGAUGAUGCUGCUAUCUUUAUCAACCCUUCUAGAGAAGACCUCCUGGCGGUCAAAGACAUCCUGCACGCUUUUGGCUGUGCCUCGGGCUUGGUCACCAACCUUGAGAAGAGCUCUAUCCACCCGAUAAGAUGUGAUAACAUAGACCUAGACCACGUGCUCCAGCCGUUCCAAGGGACCAGGGGGACCUUCCCGUGUCGUUACCUAGGCCUCCAACUUCACACCCGGGCGCUCCAGAAAAUUCAUGUCCAACCUCUGAUCGAGAAAAUCCAGAACCGUCUAGCCGGAUGGAAAGGAAGCAUGCUCAAUCGGGCUAGUCGUCUCACGCUUAUGUCUUCCGUCUUGUCUGCUAUGCCCACAUACCACUUGCCGGUCUUUCCCCUCGCGACAUGGGCCCGUAAACACGUCGAUAGGAUCCGCCGCUCCUUCCUCUGGAGAGGAAAGGCUGAAUCAAAUGGAGGCCAUUGUCUUGUGGCUUGGCCACUAGUCAGCAAGCCCAAAACCCUAGGCGGUCUGGGCAUCCUCAACCUCGACAAAUUCAGCUGCGCCCUCCGGCUAAGGUGGUGAUAGUCGCCUAGAGGGGGGGGGUGAAUAGGGCGAAACUGAAAUUUACAAAUAUAAACACAACUACAAGCCGGGUUAGCGUUAGUAAUGAAGAAACGAGUCCGUGAGAGAGGGCGCAAAACAAAUCCCAAGCGAAUAAGCAAGUGAGACACGGAGAUUUGUUUUACCGAGGUUCGGUUCUUGCAAACCUACUCCCCGUUGAGGAGGCCACAAAGGCCGGGUCUCUUUCAACCCUUCCCUCUCUCAAACGAUCCACGGAUCGAGUGAGCUUUCUCUUCUCAAUCACUUGGAACACAAAGUUCCCACAAGGACCACCACAAGAUUGGUGUCUCUUGCCUCAAUUACAAGUGAGUUUGAUUGCAAAGAAGGAAUCAAGAAAGAAGAAAGCAAUCCAAGCGCAAAAGCUCGAAAGAACACAAGCAAAUCACUCUCUCUAGUCACUAUGGCGUUGUGUGGAAUUUGGAGAGGAUUUGAUCUAUUUGGUGUGUCUAGAAUUGAAUGCUAGAGCUCUUGUAGUAGUUGGGAAGUGGAAAACUUGGAUGCAAUAAAUGGUGGGGUGGUUGGGGUAUUUAUAGCCCCAACCACCAAAUGUGGCCGUUGGGAGGCUGUCUGUUCGAUGGCGCACCGGACAGUCCGGUGCCCCUGCCACGUCAUCACUGCCGUUGGAUUCUAGCCGUUGGAGCUUCUGACUUGUGGGCCCGCCUGAGUGUCCGGUGCACACCGGACACGUACUGUUUGCUGUCCGGUGUGCCAGUAUGGGCGCGCCUGACCUCUGCGCGCGCAGAGCGCGCAUUAAAUGCGCGGCAGAGAGCCGUUGGCGCGGAGAUAGUCGUUGCUCCGGAGUCGCACCGGACAGUCCGGUGCACACCGGACAGUCCGGUGAAUUUUAGCGGACUAGCCGUUGGAGUUUUCCCGAAGCUGGCGAGUUCCUGAGGCUGACCUUCCUUGGCGCACCGGACACUGUCCGGUGUACACCGGACAGUCCGGUGAAUUAUAGCGGAGUUGCCUCUGGAAAUUCCCGAAGGUAGCGAGUUCGUGUUGGAGUCCUCUGGUGCACUGGACAUGUCCGGUGGUGCACCGUUCACUGUCCGGUGUACACCGGUCAGUCCGGUGCUCCCAGACCAGAGGGCCUUCGGUUCCCACUUUGCUCCUUUGUUGAAUCCAAAACUUGGUCUUUUUAUUGGCUGAGUGUGAACCUUUUACACCUGUGUAAUCUAUACACUUGGGCAAACUUAGUUAGUCCAAUUGUUUGUGUUGGGCAAUUCAACCACCAAAAUUAUAUAGGAACUAGGUGUAAGCCUAAUUCCCUUUCAAUCUCCCCCUUUUGGUGAUUGAUGCCAACACAAACCAAAGCAAAUAUAGAAGUGCAUAAUUGAACUAGUUUGCAUAAUGUAAGUGUAAAGGUUGCUUAGAAAUGAGCCAAUAUAAAUACUUACAAGAUAUGCAUGGAUUGUUUCUUUUAUAUAACAUUUUGGACCACGCUUGCACCACAUGUUUUGUUUUUGCAAACUCUUUUGUAAAUCUUUUUCAAAGUUCUUUUGCAAAUAGUCAAAGGUAGUGAAUAAGAGUUUUGCAAAGCAUUUUCAAGAUUUGAAAUUUUCUCCCCCUGUUUCAAAUGCUUCUCCUUUGAUUAAACAAAACUCCCCCUAAAUGAGAUCCUCCUCUUAGUGUUCAAGAGGGUUUUGAUAUACCAUUUUGAAAUACUAAUUUCUCCCCCCUUUUGAACACAAUAGGCUAUCAAUUGAAAAUAUUCAACACUUAAGUUUUUGAAAUUGGUGGUGGUGCGGUCCUUUUUGCUUUGGGCUCAUUUCUCCCCCUUUUUGGCAUGAAUCGCCAAAAACGGAACCAUUAGAGCCCUUGAAGUGCUAUCUUCCUCUUUGGUCAUAAAUGAGUGAAUUAAGAUUAUACCAAAGACGAAGUCCGGUCCUUUUGCCUUGGGCUCUUACUUUCUCUCCCAAAGACAAAGACCUUUUCUUUGAUGCUCAUUUCUCCCCAAAGAAUAGAGAGUUGCUUGGAGUGAUGGCGAAGUAUGAGUAACGGAGUGGAAGCCUUUGUCUUCACCGAAGACUCCAGUUCCCUUUCAAUAUACCUAUGACUUGGUUUGAAAUAGACUUGAAAACAUGUUAGUCAUAGCAUAUAAAAGAGACAUGAUCAAAGGCAUAUAAAAGAGCAAUGUGUGCAAUUUUAACAAAAGAAGUUCCUAGAAUCAAGAAUAUUGAGCUCAUGCCUAAGUUUGUUAAAAGAUUGUUCAUCAAGAGGCUUGGUAAAGAUAUCGGCUAAUUGAUCUUUAGUAUUAAUGUAAGAAAUCUCGAUAUCUCCCUUUUGUUGGUGAUCCCUUAAAAAGUGAUACCGAAUGGCUAUGUGCUUAGUGCGGCUAUGCUCGACGGGAUUGUCGGCUAUUUUGAUUGCACUCUCAUUAUCACAUAGCAAAGGGACUUUGGUUAAUUUGUACCCGUAGUCCCGCAGGGUUUGCCUCAUCCAAAGCAAUUGCGCGCAACAAUGGCCUGCGGCAAUGUACUCGGCUUCGGCGGUGGAAAGAGCAACCGAAUUUUGCUUCUUUGAAGCCCAAGACACCAAGGAUCUUCCCAAGAACUGGCAAGUCCCCGAUGUGCUCUUCCUAUUGAUUUUGCACCCCGCCCAAUCAGCAUCCGAAUAUCCAAUCAAAUCAAAUGUGGAUCCCUUAGGAUACCAAAGCCCAAACUUAGGGGUAUUAGCCAAAUAUCUCAAGAUUCGUUUUACGGCCGUAAGGUGGGAUUCCUUAGGGUCGGAUUGGAAUCUUGCACACAUGCAAACGGAAAGCAUAAUAUCUGGUCGAGAUGCACAUAAAUAGAGUAAAGAACCUAUCAUCGACCGGUAUACCUUUUGAUCUACGGACUUACCUCCCGUGUCGAGGUCGAGAUGCCCAUUAGUUCCCAUGGGUGUCUUGAUGGGUUUGGCAUCCUUCAUUCUAAAUUUGGUUAGAAUGUCUUGAGUAUACUUUGUUUGACUAAUGAAGGUGCCUUCUUGGAGUUGCUUGACUUGGAAUCCUAGAAAAUACUUCAACUCCCCCAUCAUAGACAUCUCAAAUUUUUGUGUCAUGAUCCUACUAAACUCUUCACAUGUAGAUUCAUUAGUAGACCCAAAUAUAAUAUCAUCAACGUAAAUUUGGCAUACAAACAAAUCAUUAUUAAGAGUUUUAGUAAAGAGUGUAGGAUCGGCCUUACCGACUUUGAAGCCAUUAGCAAUAAGGAAAUCUCUAAGGCAUUCAUACCAUGCUCUUGGGGCUUGCUUGAGCCCAUAAAGCGCCUUAGAGAGCUUAUAAACAUGGUUAGGAUACUCACUGUCUUCAAAGCCGGGAGGUUGCUCAACAUAGACCUCUUCCUUGAUUGGUCCAUUGAGGAAGGCACUUUUCACGUCCAUUUGAUAAAGCUUAAAGCCAUGGUAAGUAGCAUAGGCUAAUAAUAUGCGAAUUGACUCAAGCCUAGCUACGGGUGCAUAGGUUUCACCGAAAUCCAAACCUUCGACUUGGGAGUAUCCUUUGGCCACAAGUCGAGCUUUGUUCCUUGUCACCACACCAUGCUCAUCUUGCUUGUUGCGGAAGACCCAUUUGGUUCCUACAACAUUUUGGUUAGGACGUGGAACUAAAUGCCAUACCUCAUUCCUAGUGAAGUUGUUGAGCUCCUCUUGCAUCGCCACCACCCAAUCCGAAUCUUGAAGUGCUUCCUCUACCCUAUGUGGCUCAAUAGAGGAAACAAACGAGUAAUGUUCACAAAAAAAUGCAAUACGAGAUCUAGUGGUUACCCCCUUAUGAAUGUCGCCGAGGAUGGUGUCGACGGGGUGAUCUCGUUGAAUUGCUUGGUGGACUCUUGGGUGUGGCGGCCUUUGCUCUUCAUCCUCCUUGUCUUGAUCAUUUGCAUCUCCCCCUUGAUCUAUGCCGUUAUCUUGAGGUGGCUCAUUUGAUUGAUCUUCUUCUUCAUCAACUUGAGCCUCUUCCUCAUUUUGAGUUGGUGGAGAUGCUUGCAUGGAGGAGGACGGUUGAUCUUGUGCAUUUGGAGGCUCUUCGGAUUCCUUAGGACACACAUCCCCAAUGGACAUGUUCCUUAGCGCGAUGCACGGAGCCUCUUCAUCACCUAUCUCAUCAAGAUCAACUUGCUCUACUUGAGAGCCGUUAGUUUCAUCAAACACAACGUCACAUGAGACUUCAACUAGUCCAAUGGACUUGUUAAAGACCCUAUAUGCCCUUGUGUUUGAGUCAUAACCAAGUAAAAAGCCUUCUACAGUCUUAGGAGCAAAUUUAGAUUUUCUACUUCUUUUAACAAGAAUAAAGCAUUUGCUACCAAAGACUCUAAAAUAUGAAAUGUUGGGCUUUUUACCGGUUAGGAGUUCAUAUGAUGUCUUCUUGAGGAUUCGGUGUAGAUAUAACCGGUUGAUGGUGUAACAGGCGGUGUUGACCGCCUCAGCCCAAAACCGAUCCGAAGUCUUGUACUCAUCAAGCAUGGUCCUUGCCAUGUCCAGUAGAGUUCGAUUCUUCCUCUCCACUACACCAUUUUGUUGAGGGGUGUAGGGAGAAGAGAACUCAUGCUUGAUGCCCUCCUCCUCAAGGAAGCCUUCGACUUGAGAAUUUUUGAACUCCGUCCCGUUGUCGCUUCUUAUUUUCUUGAUCCUUAAGCCGAACUCAUUUUGAGCCCGUCUCAAGAAUCCCUUUAAGGUCUCUUGGGUUUGAGAUUUUUCCUGUAAAAAGAACACCCAAGUGAAGCGAGAAUAAUCAUCCACAACAACUAGACAGUACUUACUCCCGCCGAUGCUUAUGUAAGCAAUCAGGCCGAAUAGAUCCAUGUGUAGGAGCUCCAGUGGCCUGUCGGUCGUCAUUAUGUUCUUAUGUGGAUGAUGGGUGCCAACUUGCUUUCCUGCUUGGCAUGCGCUAUGAAAGGGAAUUAGGCUUACACCUAGUCCCUAAUUAAUUUUGGUGGUUGAAUUGCCCAACACAAACAAUUGGACUAACUAAGUUUGCCCAAGUUUAUAGAUUACACAGGUGUAAAAGGUUCACACUCAGCCAAUAAAAGACCAAGUUUUGGAUUCAACAAAGGAGCAUAGUGGGAACCGAAGGCCCUCUGGUCUGAGAGCACCGGACUGUCCGGUGUACACCGGACAGUGUCCGGUGCACCAGAGGACUCCAGCUCCAACUCGCCACCUUCGGGAAUUUCCAGAGGCGACUCCGCUAUAAUUCACCGGACUGUCCGGUGUACACCGGACAGUGUCCGGUGCGCCAAGGGAGGUCGGCCUCAGGAACUCGCCAGCUUCGGGAAACUCCAACGGCUAGUCCGCUAUAAUUCACCGGACUGUCCGGUGCAACUCCGGAGCAACGGCUACCUCCGCGCCAACGGCUCUCUGCCGCGCAUUUAAUGCGCGCUCUGCGCGCGCAGAUGUCAGGCGCGCCCAUUCCGGCACACCGGACAAGGAACAGUAGAUGUCCGGUGUGCACCGGACACCCAGGCGGGCCCACACGUCAGAAGCUCCAACGGUCAGAAUUCAACGGCAGUGUGACGUGGCAGGGGGCACCGGACUGUCCGGUGUGCACCGGACUGUCCGGUGCGCCAUCGCGCAGACAGCCUCCACCAACGGUCAAGUUGGUGGUUGGGGCUAUAAAUACCCCAACCACCCCACCAUUCAUUGCAUCCAAGUUUUCCACUUCCCAACUACUACAAGAGCUCUAGCAUUCAAUUCUAGACACACCAAAGAGAUCAAAUCCUCUCCAAAUUCCACACAACGCCAUAGUGACUAGAGAGAGUGAUUUGCUUGUGUUCUUUCGAGCUCUUGCGCUUGGAUUGCUUUCUUCUUUCUUGAUUCUUUCAUUGCGAUCAAACUCACUUGUAAUUGAGGCAAGAGACACCAAACUUGUGGUGGUCCUUGUGGGAACUUUGUGUUCCAAGUGAUUGAGAAGAGAAAGCUCACUCGAUCCGUGGGAUCGUUUGAGAGAGGGAAGGGUUGAAAGAGACCCGGCCUUUGUGGCCUCCUCAACGGGGAGUAGGUUUGCAAGAACCGAACCUCGGUAAAACAAAUCCGCGUGUCACACUCUUCAUUUGCUUGCGAUUUGUUUUGCACCCUCUCUCGCGGACUCGUUUUAUAUUUCUAACGCUAACCCGGCUUGUAGUUGUGUUUAUAUUUGUAAAUUUCAGUUUCGCCCUAUUCACCCCCCCCCCCUCUAGGCGACUAUCAAUUGGGAUCAGAGCCCGGUGCUUCAUUAGAGCCUAACCGCUCGAAGUGAUGUCGGGAGAUCACGCCAAGAAGGAGAUGGAGACCGGCGAAAAGCCCACUACAAGCCACGGGAGCACUUCAUCGGAAGAGUCCCGCACCAAGAGGAGGGAGAAGAAGAAGAGCUCCUCCAACAAAGGGAAGGAGAAGAAAUCUUCUUCUCACCACAAAGAGAAGAAGGAAAAAUCUUCUUCCCACAAGCCGCAUCGGAGUGGGGACAAGCAAAAGAGAAUGAGGAAAGUGGUCUACUACGAGACCGACACUUCAUCAACAUCGACCUCCGGCUCCGAUGCGCCCUCCGUAACUUCUAAACGCCAAGAGCGUAAGAAGUUUAGUAAGAUCCCCCUACACUACCCUCGCAUUUCUAAACAUGCACCUUUACUUUCCGUCCCAUUAGGCAAACCACCAACUUUUGAUGGUGAAGAUUAUGCUAGGUGGAGUGAUUUAAUGCGAUUUCAUCUAACCUCACUCCACAAAAGUAUAUGGGAUGUUGUUGAGUUUGGUGCACAGGUACCAUCGGUAGGGGAUAAAGACUAUGAUGAGGAUGAGGUGGCCCAAAUCGAGCACUUCAACUCUCAAGCGACAACAAUACUCCUCGCCUCUUUAAGUAGAGAGGAGUAUAACAAAGUUCAAGGGUUGAAGAGCGCCAAGGAGGUUUGGGAUGUGCUCAAAACCGCGCACGAGGGAGAUGAGCUCACAAAGAUCACCAAGCGGGAGACGAUCGAGGGGGAGCUCGGUCGAUUCCGGCUUCGCAAAGGGGAAGAGCCACAACACAUGUACAACCGGCUCAAGACCUUGGUGAACCAAGUGCGCAACCUCGGGAGCAAAAAGUGGGAUGACCACGAGGUGGUUAAGGUUAUUCUAAGAUCUCUUAUUUUCCUUAACCCUACUCAAGUUCAAUUAAUUCGUGGCAACCCAAGAUAUACACUAAUGACCCCGAGGAAGUAAUCGGGCAUUUUGUAAGUUUUGAGUGCAUGAUCGAAGGCUCGAGGAAGAUCAACGAGCUUGACGAACCCACCACAUCCGAAGCUCAACCCGUCGCAUUCAAGGCGACGGAAGAAAAGAAGGAGGAGUCCACACCAAGUCGGCAACCAAUCGAUGCCUCCAAGCUCGACAAUGAGGAAAUGGCGCUCGUCAUCAAGAGCUUCCGCCAAAUCCUCAAGCAAAGGAGAGGGAAAGACUACAAGUCCCGCUCCAAGAAGGUUUGCUACAAAUGUGGUAAGCCCGGUCAUUUUAUUGCUAAAUGUCCCAUAUCUAGUGACAGUGACCGAGGCGACGACAAGAAGGGGAGAAGAAAGGAGAAGAAAAGGUACUACAAGAAGAAGGGCGGCGAUGCCCAUGUUUGUCGGGAGUGGGACUCCGACGAAAGCUCUAGCGACUCCUCCGACGACGAGGACGCCGCCAACAUCGCCGUCACCAAGGGACUUCUCUUCCCCAAUGUCGGCCACAAAUGUCUCAUGGCCAAGGACGGCAAAAAGAAGGUUAAAUCUAAAUCCUCCACUAAAUAUGAAUCCUCUAGUGAUGAUAAUGCUAGUGAUGAGGAAGAUAACUUGCGCUCUCUUUUUGCCAACCUCAACAUGCAACAAAAGGAAAAAUUAAAUGAAUUAAUUAGCGCCAUCCAUGAGAAGGAUGAUCUCUUGGACUCCCAAGAGGACUUCCUAAUCAAGGAAAAUAAAAAGCAUGUUAAGGUUAAAAAUGCUUAUGCUCUAGAAGUUGAGAAAUGUCAAAAAUUAUCUAGUGAGCUAAGCACUUGCCAUGAAACAAUAGACAACCUUAGAAAUGAAAAUGCUAUUUUGUUAGCCAAGGUUGAUUCUCAUGUUUGCAAUGUUUCAAUUCCCAACCCUAGAGAUAAUAAUGAUGAUUUGCUCGCUAGGAUUGAAGAAUUGAACAUUUCUCUUGCUAGCCUUAGAAUAGAAAAUGAAAAUUUAAUUGCUAAGGCUAAAGAACUAGAUGUUUGCAAUGUUACAAUUUCCGAUCUUAGAGAUAAUAAUGAUAUCUUGCAUGCUAAGAUUGUUGAACUUAAUUCAUGCAAACCCUCUACAUCUAGUGUUGAGCAUGUUUCUGUUUGUACUAGAUGUAGAGAUGUUAACAUUGAUGCUAUUCAUGAUCAUAUGACUUUAAUUAAACAACAAAAUGAUCAUAUAGCAAAAUUAGAUGCUAAAAUUGCCGAGCAUAACUUAGAGAAUGAAAAAUUUAAAUUUGCUAGAAGUAUGCUUUAUAAUGGGAGACGCCCUGGCAUCAAGGAUGGCAUUGGCUUCCAAAGGGGAGACAAUGUCAAACUUAAUGCCCCUCCUAAGAAAUUGUCCAACUUUGUUAAGGGCAAAGCUCCCAUGCCUCAGGAUAACGAGGGUUACAUUUUGUACCCUGCCGGUUAUCCUGAGAGCAAAAUUAGGAAAAUUCAUUCUAGGAAGUCUCACACUGGCCCCAAUCAUGCUUUUAUGUAUAAGGGUGAGACAUCUAGUUCUAGGCAACCAACCCGUGCUAAGUUGCCUAAGAAAAUUCCUAUUACAUCAAAUGAUCAUGACAUUUCAUUUAAAACUUUUGAUGCAUCCUAUGUUUUAACUAACAAAUCCGGCAAAGUAGUUGCCAAGUAUGUUGGGGGCAAACACAAGGGGUCAAAGACUUAUGUUUGGGUACCCAAAGUUCUUGUGUCUAAUGCCAAAGGACCCAAAACCAUUUGGGUACCUAAAGUCAAGAACUAAACUUGUUUUGUAGGUUUAUGCAUCCGGGGGCUCAAGUUGGAUACUCGACAGCGGAUGCACGAACCACAUGACUGGGGAGAAAAAGAUGUUCUCCUCAUACGAGAAAAACCAAGAUCCCCAACGAGCUAUCACAUUCGGGGAUGGAAAUCAAGGUUUGGUCAAAGGUCUUGGUAAAAUAGCUAUAUCUCCUGACCAUUCUAUUUCCAAUGUUUUUCUUGUAGAUUCUUUAGAUUACAAUUUGCUUUCAGUUUCACAAUUAUGUCAAAUGGGCUACAACUGUCUUUUCACUGAUGUAGGUGUCAUUGUCUUUAGAAGAAGUAAUGAUUCAAUAGCAUUUAAGGGUGUGUUAGAGGGUCAGCUAUACUUAGUAGAUUUUGAUAGAGCUGAACUCGACACAUGCUUAAUUGCUAAGACUAACAUGGGCUGGCUCUGGCAUCGCCGAUUAGCACAUGUUGGGAUGAAGAAUCUUCACAAACUUCUAAAGGGAGAACACAUUUUAGGAUUAACAGAUGUUCAUUUUGAGAAAGACAGGAUUUGUAGCGCAUGCCAGGCAGGAAAGCAAGUUGGUGCUCAUCAUCCACAUAAGAACAUAAUGACGACCGACAGGCCACUGGAGCUCCUACACAUGGAUCUAUUCGGCCCGAUCGCUUACAUAAGCAUCGGCGGGAGUAAGUACUGUCUAGUUAUUGUGGAUGAUUAUUCUCGCUUCACUUGGGUGUUCUUUUUACAGGAAAAAUCUCAAACCCAAGAAACCUUAAAGGGAUUCUUGAGACGGGCUCAAAACGAGUUCGGCUUAAGGAUCAAGAAAAUUAGAAGCGACAACGGGACGGAGUUCAAGAACUCUCAAAUCGAAGGCUUCCUUGAGGAGGAGGGCAUCAAGCAUGAGUUCUCUUCUCCCUACACGCCACAACAAAAUGGUGUAGUGGAGAGGAAGAAUAGAACUCUAUUGGACAUGGCAAGGACCAUGCUUGAUGAGUACAAGACUUCGGAUCGGUUUUGGGCCGAGGCGGUCAACACCGCUUGCUACGCCAUCAACCGGUUAUAUCUACACCAAAUCCUCAAGAAGACAUCAUAUGAACUCCUAACCGGUAAAAAGCCCAACAUUUCAUAUUUUAGAGUUUUUGGUAGCAAAUGCUUUAUUCUUGUUAAAAGAGGUAGAAAAUCUAAAUUUGCUCCUAAAACUGUAGAAGGCUUUUUACUUGGUUAUGACUCAAACACAAGGGCAUAUAGGGUCUUUAACAAGUCCACUGGACUAGUUGAAGUCUCAUGUGACGUUGUGUUUGAUGAAACUAACGGCUCUCAAGUAGAGCAAGUGGAUCUUGAUGAGAUAGGUAUUGGAGAGGCUCCGUGCAUCGCGCUAAGGAACAUGUCCAUUGGGGAUGUGUGUCCUAAGGAAUCCGAAGAGCCGCCAAAUGCACAAGAUCAACCAUCCUCCUCCACGCAAGCAUCUCCACCAACUCAAAAUGAGGAUGAGGCUCAAGUUGAUGAAGUAGAAGAUCAAGCAAAUGAGCCACCUCAAGAUGAUGGCAUUGAUCAAGGGGGAGAUGCAAAUGAGGAAGACAAGGAGGAUGAGGAACAAAGACCGCCACACCCAAGAGUCCACCAAGCAAUCCAACGAGAUCACCCCGUCGACACCAUCCUCGGCGACAUUCAUAAGGGGGUAACCACUAGAUCUCGUGUUGCACAUUUUUGUGAACAUUACUCGUUUGUUUCCUCUAUUGAGCCACACAGGGUAGAGGAAGCACUACAAGAUUCGGAUUGGGUGGUGGCGAUGCAAGAGGAGCUCAACAACUUCACUAGGAAUGAGGUAUGCCAUUUAGUUCCACGUCCUAAUCAAAAUGUUGUAGGAACCAAAUGGGUCUUCCGCAACAAGCAAGAUGAGCAUGGUGUGGUGACAAGGAACAAAGCUCGACUUGUGGCCAAAGGAUACUCUCAAGUCGAAGGUUUGGAUUUCGGUGAAACCUAUGCACCCGUAGCUAGGCUUGAGUCAAUUCGCAUAUUAUUGGCCUAUGCUACUUACCAUGGCUUUAAGCUUUAUCAAAUGGACGUGAAAAGUGCCUUCCUCAAUGGACCAAUCAAGGAAGAGGUCUAUGUUGAGCAACCUCCCGGCUUUGAAGACAGUGAGUAUCCUAACCAUGUCUAUAAGCUCUCUAAGGCGCUUUAUGGGCUCAAGCAAGCCCCAAGAGCAUGGUAUGAAUGCCUUAGAGAUUUUCUUAUUGCAAAUGGAUUCAAAGUCGGAAAGGCCGAUCCUACACUCUUUACUAAAACUCUUGAAAAUGACUUAUUUGUAUGCCAAAUUUAUGUUGAUGAUAUUAUAUUUGGGUCUACUAACGAGUCUACAUGUGAAGAGUUUAGUAGGAUCAUGACACAAAAAUUCGAGAUGUCUAUGAUGGGGGAGUUGAAGUAUUUCUUAGGAUUUCAAGUAAAGCAACUCCAAGAGGGCACCUUCAUUAGCCAAACGAAGUACACUCAAGAUAUUCUAAACAAGUUUGGGAUGAAGGAUGCCAAACCCAUCAAGACACCCAUGGGAACAAAUGGGCAUCUCGACCUCGACACGGGAGGUAAGUUCGUGGAUCAAAAGGUAUACCGGUCGAUGAUUGGUUCAUUACUCUAUUUAUGUGCAUCUCGACCGGACAUUAUGCUUUCCGUUUGCAUGUGUGCAAGAUUCCAAGCCGACCCUAAGGAAGCUCACCUUACGGCCGUGAAACGAAUCUUGAGAUAUUUGGCUUAUACUCCUAAGUUUGGGCUUUGGUACCCUCGGGGAUCCACAUUUGAUUUGAUUGGUUAUUCGGAUGCCGAUUGGGCGGGGUGCAAAAUCAAUAGGAAGAGCACAUCGGGGACUUGCCAGUUCUUGGGAAGAUCCUUGGUGUCUUGGGCUUCAAAGAAGCAAAAUUCGGUCGCUCUUUCCACCGCCGAAGCCGAGUAUAUUGCCGCAGGCCAUUGUUGCGCGCAAUUGCUUUGGAUGAGGCAAACCCUGCGGGACUACGGUUACAAAUUAACCAAAGUUCCUUUGCUAUGUGAUAAUGAGAGUGCAAUCAAAAUGGCCGACAAUCCCGUCGAGCAUAGCCGCACUAAGCACAUAGCCAUUCGGUAUCAUUUUCUUAGGGAUCACCAACAAAAGGGAGAUAUCGAGAUUUCUUACAUUAACACUAAAGAUCAAUUAGCCGAUAUCUUUACCAAACCUCUUGAUGAACAAACUUUUACCAAACUUAGGCAUGAACUCAAUAUUCUUGAUUCGCGCAAUUUCUUUUGCUAAAUUGCACACAUAGCUCAUUUAUAUACCUUUGAUCAUAUCUCUUUUAUAUGCUUUGACUAAUGUGUUUUCAAGUCUAUUUCAAACCAAGUCAUAAGUAUAUUGAAAAGGAAAUGGAGUCUUCGGCGAAGACAAAGGCUUCCACUCCGUAACUCAUACUUCACCGUCACUCCAAGCAUCUCUCCAUCUUUAGGGGGAGAAUUCAAAAGCAAAAGGACUUUGUCUUUGGGGGAGAAAGUAAGAGCCCAAAGCAAAAGGACCGGACUUCGUCUUUGGUAUAAUCUUAACUCAUUUAUUUAUGACCAAAGGGGAAGAAAGCACUUCGCGGGCUCUAAUGAUUCCGUUUUUGGCGAUUCAUGCCAAAAAGGGGGAGAAAUGAGCCCAAAGCAAAAGGACCGCACCACCACCAAUUUCAAAAACUUAGUGUUGAAUAUUUUUCAAUUGGUAUCCUAUUGUGUUCAAAAGGGGGUGAGGUAGUAUUUCAAAAAUGGUAUAUCAAAACCCUCUUGAACACUAAGAGGUGGAUCUCAUUUAGGGGGAGUUUUGUUUAGUCAAAAGAGAAGCAUUUGAAACGGGGGGAGAAAAUUUCAAAUCUUGAAGAUGCUUUGCAAAAUCUUAUUCAUUCACCUUUGACUAUUUGCAAAAGAACUUUGAAAAGGAUUUUGCAAAAACAAAUCAUGUGGUGCAAACGUGGUCCAAAAUGUUAUAUAAGAAAGAAACAAUCCAUGCAUAUCUUGUAAGUAUUUAUAUUGGCUCAAUUCCAAGCAACCUUUACACUUACAUUAUGCAAACUAGUUCAAUUAUGCACUUCUAUAUUUGCUUUGGUUUGUGUUGGCAUCAAUCACCAAAAAGGGGGAGAUUGAAAGGGAAUUAGGCUUACACCUAGUCCCUAAUUAAUUUUGGUGGUUGAAUUGUCCAACACAAACAAUUGGACUAACUAAGUUUGCCCAAGUUUAUAGAUUACACAGGUGUAAAAGGUUCACACUCAGCCAAUAAAAGACCAAGUUUUGGAUUCAACAAAGGAGCAUAGUGGGAACCGAAGGCCCUCUGGUCUGAGAGCAUCGGACUGUCCGGUGUACACCGGACAGUGUCCGGUGCACCAGAGGACUCCAGCUCCAACUCGCCACCUUCGGGAAUUUCCAGAGGCGACUCCGCUAUAAUUCACCGGACUGUCCGGUGUACACCGGACAGUGUCCGGUGCGCCAAGGGAGGUCGGCCUCAGGAACUCGCCAGCUUCGGGAAACUCCAACGGCUAGUCCGCUAUAAUUCACCGGACUGUCCGGUGUGCACCGGACUGUCCGGUGCAACUCCAGAGCAACGGCUACCUCCGCGCCAACGGCUCUCUGCCGCGCAUUUAAUGCGCGCUCUGCGCGCGCAGAUGUCAGGCGCGCCCAUUCCGGCACACCGGACAAGGAACAGUAGAUGUCCGGUGUGCACCGGACACCCAGGCGGGCCCACACGUCAGAAGCUCCAACGGUCAGAAUCCAACGGCAGUGUGACGUGGCAGGGGGCACCGGACUGUCCGGUGUGCACCGGACUGUCCGGUGCGCCAUCGCGCAGACAGCCUCCACCAACGGUCAAGUUGGUGGUUGGGGCUAUAAAUACCCCAACCACCCCACCAUUCAUUGCAUCCAAGUUUUCCACUUCCCAACUACUACAAGAGCUCUAGCAUUCAAUUCUAGACACACCAAAGAGAUCAAAUCCUCUCCAAAUUCCACACAACGCCAUAGUGACUAGAGAGAGUGAUUUGCUUGUGUUCUUUCGAGCUCUUGCGCUUGGAUUGCUUUCUUCUUUCUUGAUUCUUUCAUUGCGAUCAAACUCACUUGUAAUUGAGGCAAGAGACACCAAACUUGUGGUGGUCCUUGUGGGAACUUUGUGUUCCAAGUGAUUGAGAAGAGAAAGCUCACUCGAUCCGUGGGAUCGUUUGAGAGAGGGAAGGGUUGAAAGAGACCCGGCCUUUGUGGCCUCCUCAACGGGGAGUAGGUUUGCAAGAACCGAACCUCGGUAAAACAAAUCCGCGUGUCACACUCUUCAUUUGCUUGUGAUUUGUUUUGCACCCUCUCUCGCGGACUCGUUUUAUAUUUCUAACGCUAACCCGGCUUGUAGUUGUGUUUAUAUUUGUAAAUUUCAGUUUCGCCCUAUUCACCCCCCUCUAGGCGACUAUCACGCUACAAAUCCUGUCUUUCUCAAAAUGAACAUUUGUUAGUCCUAAAAUGUGUUCUCCCUUUAGAAGCUUGUGAAGAUUCUUCAUCCCAACAUGUGCUAGUCGGCGAUGCCAGAGCCAGCCCAUGUUAGUCUUAGCAAUUAAGCUAGUGUCGAGUUCAGCUCUAUCAAAAUCUACCAAGUAUAGCCGACCCUCUAACACUCCCUUAAAUGCUAUUGAAUCAUCACUUCUUCUAAAGACAGUGACACCAAUAUCAGUAAAAAGACAGUUGUAGCCCAUUUGACAUAAUUGGGAAACAGAAAGCAAAUUGUAAUCUAAAGAAUCAACAAGAAAAACAUUGGAAAUGGAAUGGUCAGGAGAUAUAGCAAUUUUACCCAAACCUUUGACCAAACCUUGAUUUCCAUCCCCGAAUGUGAUCGUUCUUUGGGGAUCUUGGUUUUUCUCAUAUGAGGAGAACAUCCUUUUCUCCCCUGUCAUGUGGUUUGUGCACCCGCUGUCGAGUAUCCAACUUGAGCCCCCGGAUGCAUAAACCUACAAAACAAGUUUAGUUCUUGAUUUUAGGUACCCAAAUGGUUUUGGGUCCUUUGGCAUUAGACACAAGAACUUUGGGUACCCAAACACAAGUCUUUGACCCCUUGUACUUGCCCCCAACAUAUUUGGCAACUACUUUGCCGGAUUUGUUAGUUAAAACAUAAGAUGCAUCAAAAGUUUUAAAUGAAAGACUAGGUUCAUUUGAUGCAAUAGGAGUUUUCUUAGGCAACUUAGCACGGGUUGGUUGCCUAGAACUAGAUGUCUCACCCUUAUAUAUAAAAGCAUGAUUAGGACCAGAGUGAGACUUCCUAGAGUGAAUUCUCCUAAUUUUGCUCUCGGGAUAACCGGCAGGGUACAAAAUGUAACCCUCGUUAUCCUGAGGCAUGGGAGCCUUGCCCUUAACAAAAUUGGACAAUCUUUUAGGAGGGGCACUAAGUUUGACAUUGUCUCCCCUUUGGAAGCCAAUGCCAUCCUUGAUGCCAGGGCGUCUCCCACUAUAGAGCAUACUACGAGCAAAUUUAAAUUUCUCAUUUUCUAAGUUGUGCUCGGCAAUUUUAGCAUCUAGUUUUGCUAUAUGAUCAUUUUGUUGUUUAAUUAAAGCCAUAUGAUCAUGAAUAGCACUAACAUCAAUAUCUCUACAUCUAGUACAAAUAGUGACAUGCUCAAUGGUAGAUGUAGAUGGUUUGCAAGAAUUAAGUUCAACAAUCUUAGCAUGAAGAAUAUCAUUUUUAUCUCUAAGAUCGGAAAUUGAAACUUUGCAAACAUCAAAAUCUUUAGCCUUAGCAAUUAAAUUUUCAUUUUCUAUUCUAAGGCUAGCAAGAGAAAUGUUUAAUUCUUCAAUCCUAGCAAGCAAAUCAUCAUUAUUAUCCCUAGGAUUGGGAAUUGAAACAUUACAAACAUGUGAAUCAACCUUAGCAUUUAAACUAGCAUUUUCAUGUCUAAGGUUGUCAAUCAUCUCACGGCAAGUGCUUAGCUCACUAGAUAAUUUUUCACAUUUCUCAAUUUCUAAAGCAUAAGCCUUUUUAACCUUAACAUGUUUCUUGUUUUCUUUAAUUAGACAAUCCUCUUGGGAAUCCAAAAGGUCAUCCUUUUCAUUAAUAGCACUGACUAAUUCAUUUAAUUUUUCCUUUUGAGCUAUGUUAAGGUUGGCAAAAAGGGAACGCAAACUAUCCUCCUCAUCACUAGCAUUAUCAUCACUAGAAGACUCAUAUUUAGUGGAGGAGUUAGAUUUAACCUUCUUCCGUUUGCCGUCCUUUGCCAUGAGGCACUUGUGGCCGACGUUGGGGAAAAGAAGUCCCUUGGUGACGGCGAUGUUGGCGGCGUCCUCGUCGUCGGAGGAGUCGCUUGAGCUUUCGUCGGAAUCCCAUUCCCGACAAACAUGGGCAUCGCCGCCCUUCUUCUUGUAGUACCUUUUCUUCUCCUUUCUUCUCCCCUUCUUGUCGUCGCCUCGGUCACUGUCACUUGAUAUAGGACAUUUAGCAAUAAAAUGACCGGGCUUACCACAUUUGUAGCAAACCUUCUUGGAGCGGGACUUGUAGUCUUUCCCCCUCCUUUGUUUGAGGAUUUGGCGGAAGCUCUUGAUGACGAGCGCCAUUUCCUCAUUGUCGAGCUUGGAGGCGUCUAUUGGUUGUCGACUUGGUGUAGCCUCCUCCUCCUUUUCCUCCGUCGCCUUGAAUGCGACGGGUUGAGCUUCGGAUGUAGAUGGAUCAUCAAGCUCGUUGAUCUUCCUCGAGCCUUCGAUCAUGCACUCAAAACUUACAAAAUGCCCGAUAACUUCCUCGGGGGUCAUUUUAGUAUAUCUAGGAUUACCACGAAUUAAUUGAACUUGAGUGGGGUUAAGGAAAAUAAGAGAUCUUAGAAUAACCUUAACCACCUCGUGGUUGUCCCACUUUAUGCUCCCGAGGUUGCGCACUUGGUUCACCAAGGUCUUGAGCCGGUUGUACAUGUGUUGUGGCUCCUCCCCUUUGCGAAGCCGGAACCGACCGAGCUCCCCCUCGAUCGUUUCCCUCUUGGUGAUCUUGGUGAGCUCAUCUCCCUCGUGCGCGGUUUUGAGCACAUCCCAAACCUCCUUGGCGUUUUUCAACCCUUGUACUUUGUUAUACUCCUCUCUACUUAAAGAGGCGAAGAGUAUCGUUGUCGCUUGAGAGUUGAAGUGCUCGAUUUGGGCCACCUCAUCCUCAUCAUAGUCCUUAUCCCCUACCAAUGGUACCUGUGCACCAAACUCAACAACAUCCCAUAUACUUUUGUGGAGUGAGGUUAGAUGAAAUCGCAUUAAAUCACCCACCUAGCAUAAUCUUCACCAUCAAAAGUUGGUGGUUUGCCUAAUGGGACGGAAAGUAAAGGUGCAUGUUUAGAAAUGCGAGGGUAGUGUAGGGGAAUCUUACUAAACUUCUUACGCUCUUGGUGUUUAGAAGUUACAGAGGGCGCGUCGGAGCCGGAGGUUGAUGUUGAUGAAGUGUCGGUCUCGUAGUAGACCACUUUCCUCAUCCUCUUUUGUUUGUCCCCACUCCGAUGCGGCUUGUAGGAAGAAGAUUUUUCCUUCUUCUCUUUGUGGUGAGAAGAAGAUUUCUUCUCCUUCCCUUUGUUGGAGGAGCUCUUCUUCUUCUCCCUCCGUUUGGUGCGGGACUCUUCCGAUGAAGUGCUCCCGUUGCUUGUAGUGGGCUUUUCGCCGGUCUCCAUCUCCUUCUUGGCGUGAUCUCCCGACAUCACUUCGAGCGGUUAGGCUCUAAUGAAGCACCGGGCUCCGAUACCAAUUGAUAGUCGCCUAGAGGGGGGGUGAAUAGGGCGAAACUGAAAUUUACAAAUAUAAACACAACUACAAGCCGGGUUAGCGUUAGUAAUGAAGAAACGAGUCCGUGAGAGAGGGCGCAAAACAAAUCCCAAGCGAAUAAGCAAGUGAGACACGGAGAUUUGUUUUACCGAGGUUCGGUUCUUGCAAACCUACUCCCCGUUGAGGAGGCCACAAAGGCCGGGUCUCUUUCAACCCUUCCCUCUCUCAAACGAUCCACGGAUCGAGUGAGCUUUCUCUUCUCAAUCACUUAGAACACAAAGUUCCCACAAGGACCACCACAAGAUUGGUGUCUCUUGCCUCAAUUACAAGUGAGUUUGAUUGCAAAGAAGGAAUCAAGAAAGAAGAAAGCAAUCCAAGCGCAAGAGCUCGAAAGAACACAAGCAAAUCACUCUCUCUAGUCACUAUGGCGUUGUGUGGAAUUUGGAGAGGAUUUGAUCUAUUUGGUGUGUCUAGAAUUGAAUGCUAGAGCUCUUGUAGUAGUUGGGAAGUGGAAAACUUGGAUGCAAUAAAUGGUGGGGUGGUUGGGGUAUUUAUAGCCCCAACCACCAAAUGUGGCCGUUGGGAGGCUGUCUGUUCGAUGGCGCACCGGACAGUCCGGUGCACCUGCCACGUCAUCACUGCCGUUGGAUUCUAGCCGUUGGAGCUUCUGACUUGUGGGCCCGCCUGAGUGUCCGGUGCACACCGGACACGUACUGUUUGCUGUCCGGUGUGCCAGUAUGGGCGCGCCUGACCUCUGCGCGCGCAGAGCGCGCAUUAAAUGCGCAGCAGAGAGCCGUUGGCGCGGAGAUAGCCGUUGCUCCGGAGUCGCACCGGACAGUCCGGUGCACACCGGACAGUCCGGUGAAUUUUAGCGGACUAGCCGUUGGAGUUUUCCCGAAGCUGGCGAGUUCCUGAGGCUGACCUUCCUUGGCGCACCGGACACUGUCCGGUGUACACCGGACAGUCCGGUGAAUUAUAGCGGAGUUGCCUCUGGAAAUUCCCGAAGGUAGUGAGUUCGUGUUGGAGUCCUCUGGUGCACCGGUCACUGUCCGGUGUACACCGGACAGUCCGGUGCUCCCAGACCAGAGGGCCUUCGGUUCCCACUUUGCUCCUUUGUUGAAUCCAAAACUUGGUCUUUUUAUUGGCUGAGUGUGAACCUUUUACACCUGUGUAAUCUAUACACUUGGGCAAACUUAGUUAGUCCAAUUGUUUGUGUUGGGCAAUUCAACCACCAAAAUUAUAUAGGAACUAGGUGUAAGCCUAAUUCCCUUUCAGGUGGCUUUGGAAGAGCUGGACGACAGAGGAUCACCCUUGGAAAGGGUUUGAUGUGCCUUGUAACCUUGCAGACAGGCUCCUCUUUAGCGCCUCCACCAUUGUCACCGUUGGAGAUGGCAAGACAGCCAAAUUCUGGCACGACAGUUGGCUUGAUGGCAUGGCGCCAAGAAACCUAGCACCACACCUCUUCGAGCUAGUAUCAAGAAAGAACAAGUCAGUUGCCAUUGAGAUCAAUGACAGGAAUUGGAUCAGGUCGUUGAGAGGCAAGAUUACCUCCACGGUGCAGAUCGAGGAAUUCGUCUCCCUCUGGUUUAGACUCCAUGAUUUCCACCUCCAACCAUAGGUGCCGGGCUCCAUUGCCUGGAAAUGGAACCCCGACGGUGUCUUCACGGUAAAAUCAGCCUACAAUGCAUAAUUCAUUGGAUCGUACAGCCACAUUAAUUCUGAUUUUGUUUGGCGGGCACGGGCGGAGCAAAAGUGCAAGAUUUUUGCUUGGAUUCUUCUACAGGACAAGCUCCUCACUGCUAACAAUCUGGCCACUCGGGGUUGGCCGCACCAACCAAACUGCUCCCUCUGCAAUGGUUCCUUGGAGACUAGCCCCCACCUCUGUUUGCAUUGCCCUUUUGCCCGGGCGGUGUGGCGUCAGAUUCUAGUUUGGGAGGGCUUGAGCCUCCUGGCCCAGGCUGACCCUACUCACUUCUCCAGCAUAAAAGACUGGUGGGAAGCUACAUCCUCCCCGCUCCCAAAGAACCAAAAGCGUGACUUCAACGGCCUCAUGAUAUACACCCUGUGGAACAUCUGGAAGGAGAGAAACCGGAGGAUAUUCGAAAACAGCGCCCUCACCCCUAUCCAAUUAGCCUUGAAGAUUAAAGAGGACGUGUGCACUUUCAAGAGAGCCAUGUUCCUCCAGUAUUAUGGUUGUUGUAGUGGUUUCGCGGAUUUGUGCGGGUCUGUUGGGAGCGCUCCUCACGUUGUGUUUGCUAGUCUGUCUUAUCUCGGUCCUCGGACCUGUAUAGUGUAUUUUCUGAACUAUCUCCUUUUAAUGAUUAGGCAGAGCUCCUGCCAUUUCCUUCAAAAAAAAAAGAUUCAAAAGAUACAAGUAAUAGAUAAGCAACAGGGCAUUAUUUAAAGCUUAUAGAAGACUGAUGGAAUUUGCUCAGUCAAUUUCCUCAGUUAAAUACCUGCUUUUCAAGACCUCCAAUGUCAUUAUAAUCUUUAGUGGGCUUUUCAUCCACCUCCAUUGCCUUCACUCGUGAAUCAUACUCUGAUGGCAAUGUAUCUAGUAUAAGAUAGCUAUCUUUAUUGACUCCAACAAGAUCACCAGGCUUUAGCUUGUCAGGGUCCACUAGCCCAACAACAGGAAGGAAUAUAGUCUUGCAACCAUCAAGACAAGAAAUGGAGAUUUGCAGCAGUUAGUUUGAUUCCUUAAACUCAAAACCAUGCAUAAAAUGCAGUUCAUAAAAUGUUUCGUUGCUUCAAAUUUUGAGUAUCAAACAUGAUUCGACAAGAGAUGUCGAAGAAUGGGAACUAAGACAAUGUAAAAUAUACAUAAUCCCACACCUGCAAGGCUGGGCAGGUGAACACAGAAGAAGAAAAAAAAUGUUGAAUUACUGAUUUGGAACACAAUGUGACAGCUGGACAAGCAUAUUACAGAACUGCUUCUUUUGCGAAAAAAAACUCAGCCAAUUAUGGCUUCUUAAACAUAUUUACAUUUUUCAGUUAUAUACAAUUUAUUACUGGCAUAAUCUGUUAUGACCUGUCUGAUUCCUUAGAUUACAUGAGGGGGAUGGACGGGAGCUGGGCUUGGGAGCCCGGCGAGCUGACGCCGUGUUGUCGCCGGCGUGGGAUCUGGAAAGUGGAAGAACAGGAAGCAGACGGCAAGGAGGCAAUCUCCUCUUUUUAAAUUGAACUUGUCUGCCCUCAACAGGGUCCAGGGGAUAUAUUUAUUUACACGACCUGGUAACAGACUCCCCUAAUUACAGGAUCUACUAACAGACUCUUGAUACUUAUCAUAACAACUCGGCUACCUUUUAGCCUUAUCUAAUGCUUUGGCUCUACAGCCUUAUCCCUUCUACUAUAGACUUUCCCUGUCAUAACAUCUCUUCCCCCCCCCCCUCCUCCUCCCACCCCUGUCGAGGAACAGCUCGUCCUCGAGCUGAAACAGCGGGUAAGAGGCCUUGAACUGCUGCAACGAUUCCCAGGUCGCGGCUUCUGGUGGUGAAUCAGUCCAGUGUACCAAGACAUGCCAAACUCCACGCUGAAGCUGUGCCUUUAGUAUCUUGUGUGGUGAAGGAAGGAGCCAGCCAUUCUCCAUUGCAGGAAGCUCUGGGGGUGUGGUUGGAGGAGGCCCGCGAAGUGGUUUGAGGAGCCCCACAUGGAAGACAUCAUGGAUCCGUACACUGGCUGGUAGCUGCAGCCGAUAUGCCACCGUACCAAUGCCUUCGAGCACUUGGAAAGGUCCUGCAUAACGAGGCCCUAAUUUCCCUUUGGGCCUGUCGACGAGUGUCAAAGCUUGGCGAUUCAGAAGACGGAGCCAGACCCGGUCCCCAACAGCAAACUCCAGGUCCCUGUGGUGAGCAUCAUAGUAUUGUCGGGCAUAAGCUUGGGCUUGCAAGAGUCUGUCCCGAACUUCCUGAAGGAAGUGAUCCCGCUCCUUCAAAAGGUCUUCACGCUUCCUCCAUGCUGCAAGUUCCCAACCGCCCCGUGCCAGGCACUGCUGCUGUGCAAGUUGCACGGCAGCACACGGCUGUGCAGACAUCUCAGACUCCAUCGAGGGCUUCUCCAGGGACAUUAUCGGUAGCCAGGGAGUUGUUGCGACACCCUCUAAGCUCCACGGCCUCACCAGGGGCCAUGAAGCAAUGGCGGGACGACAUCGACCGACUACUCGGUAUGACACAUUCUACUUCGAUCAGGUCAAGGACACGGUCAUCUCGGCGCCAACACGAGGCGUCAACAUCUGUGCGCUCACUCUCAGUAAGGGGCGCACAGACCAACGACCUCCGGACAGAACUCAACUGCAAGCGUGUGGGAGAGGAUGCCUGAGUAUCUUUGGAAAGGGCGCGCGAGCGCCUCCAAAACAUAGAUGGUCGCAACCUUGAUCAAGACUUCGUGGCGGUUGCACCGCAGACGCCAAUGGGCAACUGGUCCCAAACGGGUGUCCCCUUGGCCGGUGUGGGCUGCGCCGCUCUUGUGGAUCAUCUUCGCGCGGCGUCAUGGCCACCCAAGUUCCGGCCAUACCUGCUGGAAAAGUACGACGGAACAUCGAACCCGUCGGAGUUCCUGCAGGUAUACGUCACCGCCAUCACGGCAGCAGGUGGAAACACCGCUAUGAUGACAACAUAUUUUCAUGUAGCCUUAUCUGGACCUGCCCGGACCUGGCUCAUGAACCUCACCCCGGGGUCAGUCUACUCCUGGGAGGAGCUCUGCACGCGAUUCGUUGCAAACUUCACCAGUGCUUACCAGCAGCACGGUGUGGAGGCCUACCUCCAUGCGGUGAGGCAGGAGCCCGGCGAGACUCUCCGGAAGUUCAUCUCCCGCUUCACCAAGGUGCGAGGUACUAUACCUUGUAUUUCUGAUGCUUCCAUCAUCACGACCUUCCAACAGGGAGUACGUGAUGAAAAAAUGUUGGAGAAGUUGGCCACACAUGACGUGGAAACUAUCCCCACACUCUUCGCUCUGGCCGACAAAUGCGCCAGAGCCGCUGAAGGCCGGGCAUGGCACUUAGCCCCACAAACCGGAGCUGCCCAGUCGGGUGGCUCGGGUGUCGUCCUCCGGGACGGAAAGAAGAAAAAGAAGAAGGACCGCGACGACCAGAAGCCGCGGUCCACCGCUCUGGUGGUCGCAGCCACGACUGGAGGCCAGGGCGACCGCAACAAACGCCCACGGCCGCAGAGGGGUAACAUUGGCUCAUGCCCUAUGCACCCCAACGGUCGCCACAAGGCCACGGAGUGUCGCGAGAUCGUCGACCUCGCGAAAUGCGUCAGUGAGCGGCGCGAGCAGUCUUCCAAAGACGGCUCUCCACCUCGCCGCCGACCUGGCAAAGAAAAGGUGGACGACGGCGAGGUGGCCACGGCUGAGCGGGACCUCGGGUAUCAGUCGCCCGAGGGGGGCCUAAAGGAUGUCUUCGUUGGAGGCUCCUACUCCGGUGAAGACAACUAGACGGACCCCAGAGGGAUACCGUGCUCCACGAUCUACGGAGCUGAAGCAUGCCUUCCUCCGGAAACCCUUCUGGAUUCCCCACGGGUCCAGGCUUCCGACAGGUACAUACAGGAGUGGCCACAGCAAAAGACAAGGGCUCCCGUGUCAAAUGCAGAUGGGGACCCAGGGUCGGGACCUAGCCCUACGGCAAGUACCAAACCAAGAAGGGCUCUGCAACUCUCCUCCCAGCUGGGAAGGACCCUUCAAGGUAACGGGAAAACACCAACCUAGGGGCAACCAUCUAGUUACGACGGAAGGAAUGCCUUACCCCGAUCCCGAAACAUCUCUGUAAGUUCUAUCCAUAGGGCAAGGCUAAGGGGUCGAAUCUGUUUCCCUUUUUGUAACUAGGUAACGCAUACGUGUACGACAACCCAGUGGGGUCUGUCCCCAUAAACCCGGCCUAUUGGUCUGCACACAUGCAAGACGAGUUAUAAAGAAAAACUACCCCCUCAGUUGUGCCCCUACGAUAGAUCCAUCUUGCUGCUCCAUGGUCCUACCUUGCAGUCUUUCAGAUAGUACUUUUUGUCUAACCCACCCGUACGGUUUCUAUCUGUCUGACAUAACGGCACCCGAAUUGAGCAGCCAGGCUAGCAGUUUAGGGCCCCUGAUACGAAAGUUGGGAGGUCCGACAGCCUGGGAGCCGGCUCCAGAGAACGGAACCCUGUUCCAUGGGGUGUUCCGGAGCCUGUGUGGCCGCUUAGCCUGGUUCCGUACCCGAAAGCCUACACACUCCACCACUCUGUGACAGGGUACCUAGUAUUUGGGGCUAUAAGUCCUGUGAGUCCGACAACCUCGGGACCGGAGCUAGAGAAUAGACAUUAGUCUCCUAGGGUGGUCCAGAGCCCGUGUAGCCGCCCAGCCUGGUCCUGUACCGUGGGCCUGCACGCUCCACCGCCCUGCGACAAGUGUCCUAGUACCUAGAACCGCGACCCAAGGGGGUCCGGACACGCAACUUGGCCACCCGGACUGAAACCUACGAGUCCCGAGCAUGUAUCAAAGGAUGGCGAAUGUCAGACAGGGAACCCUAUGGGUGUACUACUAACGCUCCCUAGCUGAAGCUGUGUACAGAUCCAGUUCCCGGUGAGAUUGCCUCCCGAGAAUUGUUGACAACCCUUUCAGAUACGCCGGUGUCCAGCCUCAACACAACAAGCCUGCAUCCCAGGUGGGGGGCCAGGUACCAGGGAGGAGUCAGCAAAAUCGCACACAGCAUAAACAAGUUGAAAAUAGAUAAGUGCUAAUACUGCUUAAUAAAUAGUACUCUUGAGUACCUUACAAAAAGCAAAAGUAUUACAUUUGUUUUCAAGUGGAGCCCUAGUUCCAUCUCUACUCUGCAGGUAUGAACUACCUCCACACAGGUAGGACCGCGGGAUAGCUAGCUCCAAGCGGCUCGCCAGCGGAGGCAACCACCUCAACACCAACGGUGACGGCUGCCUCUGCACCGACGACUCGCCAGCAGUGGUGACCACCUCAACACGAACGCCACCGCGAAAAAGGUCCUCGCCCCCGUCUCCCUAUGGAGGGCUACAACGAGGCCAUUAAAGCCAAAGAGCCAGGGGUCCAGCGGCAGGUGGCACUGACGGUCUCGCUAGCGGAGGCGACCACCUCUGCAGUGGGCAGCCUCACCAGCGGUGGCGACCACAUCAGCUCCUCCAACAACAGCAAGAAGAAGACAAGGUCGGCGGCACCACCAUGAGUGCGAGCUCUCCAGUGGUGAGGUCGCCGGAAGGGAUGGCCUUGAUGCGGAUCCCUCCAGAGAACACCGGCGCACCCCAUCUAGAGGCCUGGAAAGCGGAAGGGCGCGAUGGUCACAAGAAGGGUGAGGCAUGUCUACUGCCAGGGAGAUCGACCCCUUUUUAAAGGCAGAUCUCCCCACUCGCGCCCCCGAAGCAUCAUGGGCGAAGUCCCCCCGACGUGCACCAAGGUUCCCACCUUAUGACACGGGGGCCAGGCCCCACACGUCAUACAGACUGACCCGAAGAAGGAGCGUACAACUACCCCGCGGUUAUGCUCCCCUCCAUUCUUGGGGCAACUAGCGGUCAGGAAGGCGAACCGCUGCACAAGGGGCAUGCAACCGCCCGACGGUUAAGCGCUCCUACAUCUUCGCCGUAACCAGCGGUCAAAAAGACGAACCGCCACGCAAGAAGCGUACAACCGUCCCAUGGUUAUGCGCCCCCUCAGCUUCGCUGCAACCGGCGCGCCGGUUACCGGGUGCGGAAAAAUCGCACCACCGCUUGCGCCAAUGCCAUGUCUUCUCGGGGCCGUCGCGGAAGUCUGAAAAGAUAAGUUUUUCAAAACAAGUGCAGCGACUUGAGGCACCCCGUGCAUGGCCCAACAGUGACAUUUGAGUAUGAAGGUCACGGGCCAGUAAGCCAUGGGAAUAGGCGUAGCAGUCGGCAUGGCCAUAGGCGGGCCGGCGGUAAUUGCGCCAACGGGCGCGCAGGAGCAGCAGGCCAACCACCAAUCAGACUCUGGCCCCACUUGCAGACUCAUAUCCUCCUCUGAGGCGGGCCCGGGGGCCACUGUCGGUACCCUGAAUCAGGGGUACCCUCUUCUACAGUAUGGAUAUGCUAUACCCGUACAACACCUCCAGGUCACAUGGAGAGCGGCACCCGACCCCACCACAUGGGCAGGCCUAAGGGCACCACGUGGCGAGGAAGGAUAAUACAUCCCAUGAAGCACCUUUGGGUCCGGACCUCCAUAGAGGAACACUGGACCCCUGUGAGUGCCAGUCCGGAGCUCCCGAGGAGACAUGACGGGUCCCCCAGGUUGGUCCCCGGUCCCCCCCCCCCGAGUGAGGUUCGGGCCUUAGCAAGGUCCCGGGACGGGGAGGACCCCGACACAGGCAAGGGUCCGGUGCCGACACGUGUCCAGGCCUUGCCCUACACUCCCCGCUCAGGCGGAAACCCGCCACGGCCGUGUGGCUUGUGACAUAAGCCAACGGGCCGAGCCUGACGUAAGGCCCAUAUAGCUGUGCAGCCUUUGCAUUUAUUGCGGAGAGGAUGCGCCGCCUGCCACCACGCUGACGGGCGAUGCGCCCUCUCAGCAUUUAAUGUGUCCUGUCCAAUCCGCCGGUAGACGGCGUCAGGGUCACCCAGCAGACGGCGCACCUGACCAGUCUGUUGGCAAACAAUGCACCCAUGCCGAGCGGCGCAUAGUACUCAUCAUCCCUUCUACAAGAAGCGUCCCCUACACGCUGAGGAUACGGAGAUCUCGAGCGUCAGGGCACAAGAAGAUUGCCCCAGCAGCAAACAUUUGUGGCUCCAAGCGCUAUAUUCUUUAUGUCCCUGGGCCCACAUGUCGGGGCCCGGUACCUUUGUGCAUGCCCUCCUUCAGCUAUAAAAGGGGAGGCAUGCGACGUUACACACAAGCUCAAUCUUUCAAACCCAAUCUCAGACUCACAGGCUCAUACAAGCUCUCAAGCAAUACAUCACACAGUGGAGUAGGGUGUUACGCUCCGACGGCCCGAACCACUCUAAAUCCUUGUGUGUUCUUGUGUUCUUCCCACUUUUCCAUCUAACAAGCAAAACGCUUAGGCCACUCCUCAUCUUAGGAUUUAGGGCGGGUGCACUCCGCCACCCGGCCAGAGAUUUGCUCUCCGACAGCUACAACUGUGUAUUUACAGAUGUAGGUGUUACUGUCUUUAGAAGAAGUGAUGAUUCAGUAGCAUUUAAGGGAAUGUUAGAUGGUCAGCUAUAUUUAGUUAAUUUUAAUGAUAACCAAGCUGAACUUGACACUUGCUUAAUUGCUAAAACUAACAUGGGUUGGUUCUGGCAUCGCCGACUAGCCCAUGUUGGGAUGAAGAAUCUCCACAAACUUCCAAAGGGAGAGCACAUUUUGGGACUAACAAAUGUUCAUUUUGAGAAAGACAAGGUUUGUAGCGCAUGCUAAGCAGGGAAGCAAGUUGGAGCUCAUCAUCCACAAAAGAACAUCAUGAUGACUGACAAGUCGCUUGAGCUACUCCACAUGGAUCUAUUUGGCCCGAUCGCUUACAUAAGCAUCGACAAGAGUAAGUACUGUCUUGUUAUAGUGGAUGAUUAUUCUCGCUUCACUUCGGUGUUCUUUUUGCAGGAAAAAUCACAAACCCAAGAGACCUUAAAGGAAUUCUUAAGACGGGCUCAAAAUGAGUUCAGGCUAAGGAUAAAAAAGAUAAGAAGCGAUAAUGGGACGGAGUUCAAGAAUUCAUAAAUCAAAGGUUUUCUUGAGGAUGAGGGCAUCAAACAUGAGUUCUCUUCUCCCUACACACCUCAACAAAAUGGUGUAGUAGAGAGGAAGAAUAUAACUCUACUGGACAUGGCAAGGUCCAUGCUUGAUGAGUACAAGACACCAGACCGGUUUUGGGCGGAGGCGAUUAACAUCGCCUGCUACUCCAUCAAUCGGUUAUAUCUUCACUGAAUCCUCAAGAACACAUCAUACGAACUCCUCACUAGUAAAAAGCCCAAUGUUUCAUAUUUUAGAGUCUUUGGAAGCAAAUGUUUUAUUCUUGUUAAAAGAGGUAGAAAAUCUAAAUUUGCUCCAAAGGCUGUAGAAGGUUUUUUACUAGGAUAUGACUCAAACACAAGGGCAUAUAGAGUCUUCAACAAAUCCACUGGAUUAGUUGAGGUUUCUUGUGACAUUGUGUUCGAUGAGACUAAUGGCUCCCAAGUGGAGCAAGUUGAUCUUGAUGAACUAGAUGAUGAAGAGGCUCCAUGCGUCGCGCUAAGGAACAUGUCCAUUGGAGAUGUGUGUCCUAAGGAAUUCGAAGAGCCUCCACAAGCACAAGAUCAACCGUCAUCUUCCAUGCAAGCAUCUCCACCAACUCAAGAUGAGGAUCAGGCUCAAAAUGAUGAAGAUGAAGAUCAAGAGGAUGAGCCACCUCAAGAAGAGGACAAUGAUCAAGGGGGAGAUGAAGUAAAUGUGGACAAGGAAGAUGAUCAAGUUCAGGGUCAAAGACCGCCACACCCAAGAGUCCACCAAGCAAUUCAACAAGAUCACCCCGUCAACUCCAUACUUGGUGACAUCCAUAAGGGGGUAACCACUAGAUCUCGAGUUGCACAUUUCUAUGAGCAUUACUCUUUUGUUUCCUCUAUUGAGCCAUACAAGGUAGAGGAUGCACUAAGGGAUCUGGAUUGGGUGCUAGCAAUGCAAGAGGAACUCAACAACUUCACGAGGAAUGAGGUAUGGCAUUUAGUUCCACGUCCUAAUCAAAAUGUUGUAGGUACCAAGUGGGUUUUUCGCAACAAGCAAGAUGAGCAUGGUGUGGUGACAAGAAACAAAUCCCGACUUGUGGCCAAAGGUUACUCACAAGUCAAAGGUUUGGACUUUGAUGAAACUUAUGCACCCGUAGCUAGGCUUGAGUCAAUUCGUAUAUUACUUGCCUAUGCUACUUACCAUGGCUUUAAGCUCUAUCAAAUGGACGUGAAAAGUGCCUUCCUCAAUGGACCUAUCAAGGAAGAGGUCUAUGUUGAGCAACCUCCUGGCUUUGAAGAUAGUGAGUAUCCUAACAAUGUAUAUAAACUCUCAAAGGCGCUUUAUGAGGGAAAAACCAACAAAGGGGGGAUAUCAAAAUAGCUUAUGUAAACACCAAGAAUCAAUUAGUCGAUAUCUUUACCAAGCCACUAGAUGAGAAAACCUUUAGCAAACUUAGGAAUGAGCUAAAUAUACUUGAUUCUUGGAAUCUUGAUUAAAACAUUGCACACAUUGCUCAUUUGUAUACUUUUGAUCAUGUCUCUUUCAUUUGGUGCAAAUGCAUAUUUCUUAUCAUUCUUGUACCAAGGCUACGACUAAUGUAUUUUUCAAGUGUAUUUCUAUACUAAGUCGUAGAUUGAAAGGGAAAUGGAGUUCUCGGCAAAGAACAAGGCUUCCACUCCAACUUUGACGGUAUCAACUACCCUUUGUCGUUGUUCCUUCACACUCUCAAUUGGUAUAAUCCUUCACUCUUAUUUACUUGUACCAAUGGGAAGAAAGUAUUGAAGGGCUCUCAAAGUCUCCGUUUUUGGCGAUUAAUGCCAAAGGGGGAGACAAUAUUAAGCCCAAAGCAAAAGGACCGCACCACCAUAAUUUCAAAAUUUUCGAAAUAAAUCUUUAAUUGAUAUUUGGCAAUUUCUCAAUUGGUAUCCAUGCUUCACUUGUAUUGAGAAAGCAAAAUUUCAAUUGAUAUCUAAAUAAUGGAAAUCUCUUCAAUUGGUAUCUUUUAAGAUCAUUUUUCAAAAUUAGUAUCUAUUUCAAAACCCUCUUGAAAGCUAAGAGGAGAAUUUCAUUCAGGGGGAGUUUUAUUUAGUCAAAGGAAAAACAUUUGAAACAGGGGGAGAAAUUUCAAAUCUUGAAAAUGCUUCUUGCAGUCUUAUUCAUAUACCUUUGACUAUUUGCAAAAGAUUUUGAAAAGAUUUUCCAAAAAUAUUUGCAAAAACAAAACAAGUGGUGCAAAUGUGGUCCAAAAUGUUAAAGAAAAGAAAAGCAAUCCAUUCAUAUCUAGUGAGAUUAUCAAUUGGUUUAAUUCCAAGUAACCUAUCACUUACCAUAUGCAAACUAGUUCAUUUCUGCACUUUAUAUAUUUGCUUUGGUUUGUGUUGGCAUCAAUCACCAAAAAGGGGGAGAUUGAAAGGGAAAUAGGGUUAACCUUUUCCAUAAUUAAUUUUGGUGGUUGAAUGCCCAACACAAAUAUAUGGACUAACUAGUUUGCUCUAAAACUCAUGUAUAACAGGUGCAUAAGGUUCAACACAAACCAAAAAAUAUUCAAGUUAGGGACCCAAUUUAAAAGGAGCAAAAAGAACUUGAGUGUGUUGUGGUCUAGCGCACCGGACUGUCCGGUGCACCACGACCGUACAGGGUCAAACCAGCCACUCUCGGGAAAACGCUGGCGUGCUCCGCUAUAAUUCACCGGACUGUCCGGUGUGCCAGCGGGCAACGGCCAUUCAGCGUGCAACAGUCGACUCUGACAGAUGAACAGUGCAGCACAGUACCGCGCCAGAAGUCAGAACAGCAAGUCAGAGGGGCACCGGACUGUCCGGUGCCGCAAGAGGACAAAGCCCCCAACGGUCGACCGGGCUCUAGACCCUAAUGGCUGGGUGACGUGGUGGCGCACCGGACAGCCUACAGUGCCUGUUCGGUGGCGCACCGGACUGUCCGGUACGCCCAUCGCCAGCAGCCUCCCCAACGGCUACUUUGGUAGUUGAGGGCUAUAAAUACACCCCAACUACCACAACUCCAAGCAUCCAAGAUUUCUGAACAUUACAUUCAAUACAAGAGCUUUAGCAUUCACUCCUAGACACAAUUCAAAAGAUCAAAGCCUGUCCAAGUCCCAAAUUCACCUCAAAUACUUAGUGACUUGUGAGAGAGUGAUUCCAUGUUCUUUUGAGCUCUUGCCUCUUGGAUUUCCUUUCUUCUUUCUCGUUCUUGUUCUCAAGUGACUUGUAAUCAAAGCAAGAGACACCUAAGAGUGUGGUGGUCCUUGCGGGGUCUUAGUGACCCGAUUGAUUAAGGGAAAGGCUCACUCAGACUAAGUGACCGUUUGAGAGAGGGAAAGGGUUGGAAUAGACCCGGUCUUUGUGACCUCCUCAACGGGGACUAGGUUCUUAGAAACUGAACCUCGAUAAAACAAAUCACCGUGUUCAUUCGCUUGAUUUCCAUUUGAUUUGUUUUCCCCUCUCUCCCGGACUUGAUUUUAGUUCUAACGCUAACCCCGGCUUGUAGUGUGUGUUUGAACUUGUAAAUUUCAGAUUACGCCUAUUUACCCCCCCUCUAGGCGACUUUCAAUAAGCAUAUGUAGAGCUAGAUGCACCCAUAGCAUGAGGAUUAAAUGCAGCAUUAUGAGAAACCAUAUUAUCAUAUCACCUAUCAUUAUGAGCACGACUAGUAAAUUUCUUAUCAUAAAGAUAGGCAUGGUUCUUUUGAGAACUACUAGCCAUUGGAGCCUUCCCUUUCUCCUUGUUGAGACUGGAGGUCCUUUGGCUUGUUAAGUUCUUGGUUUCCGUUCGGAAACCAAGUCCAUCCUUAAUUGAGGGGUGUCUACCAAUGGUGUAGGAAUCCCUAGCAAAAUUUAGUUUUUCAUAACUUUCUUUGCAAGUCUUAAGUUGAGCAUUAAGGGCAUGUUUGGUUCGCUGUCUAACUUGCCACACUUUGUCUAACUUUUUUGCCUAAGGUUAGUUCUUCAAUUCAGACGACUAACCUUAGGCAAAGUGUGGCACAGUUAGCCACAAACCAAACAUGCCCUAAGACUUGCAACAUCAUUGUUUAACUUAGCAAUAAUAGAAACAUGUUCAUUACAAGCAUCAACAUCAAAGUCUUUACAUCUAUUGCAAAUAACAACAUGCUCUACACAUGAACUAGUUACAUUAACUUUCUCUAGCUUAGCAUUCAAAUCAUCAUUUAAAUUCUUUAGACUAGAGAUAGAUUCAUGACAGGUAGACAAAUCAGAGGAUAGUAUUUCAUUUUUCUUGACUUCUAGAGCAAGAGAUUUUUGAACACUAAUGAAUUUAUCAUGUUCCUCAUACAAAAUAUCUUCUUGCUUUUCUAGCAAUCUAUCUUUUUCAUUAAGAGCAUCAAUUAAUUCAUUUAUUUUGUCUACCUUAGUUCUAUCUAAUCCCUUAAACAAAUCAGUAUAAUCUACUUCAUCAUCAGACGAUUCUUCAUCACUAAAAGAAGUAUAUUUGGGGAUGUCUUGAAUACAUACUUUCUUCUCCUUAGCCAUAAGGCACGUAUGGCGUUCGUUGGGGAAGAGCGAAGAUUUGUUGAAGGCCGAGGCAACUAGUCCUUCAUCUUUGGAGUCGGAUGAGGAACAGUCGGAGUCCCAUUCCUUCCCGAUGUGCGCCUCGCCCUUGGCCUUCCUAUAUUUUUUCUUCUUUUCCCUCUUCCCAUUCUUCUCUUGUGCCUGGUCAUAAUCGUUAUCGGGGCAUUAUGCAAUAAAGUGACCAGUCUUACCACAUUUGAAGCAGGAGUGUUUUCCCCUUGACUUGUUCUUAUUGGGGUACUCCUUGCGUCCUUUCAGUGCGGUCUUGAAGCGUUUGAUGAUGAGAGCCAUCUCAUCCUCAUUGAGCCCGGCAACCUCCACUUGUGCUACCUUGUUAGGUAGCACCUCCUUGCUGCUGGUUGCUUUUAGGGCAAUGGCUGCGACUCGUAGAGGGGAAGUGGACCGUUCAAGGCAUCGUCCACGUAUCGUGCUUCUUUCACCAUCAUACGCCCACUUACGAAUUUUUUGAGGAUUUCCUCGAGCGUCAUCUUGGUGUAACUGGGGUUUUCAUGAAUAAGGUUUACAAGAUGAGGAUCUAUAACACUGAAUGACCUGAGCAUGAGUCGGACGACGUCAUGAUCCGUCCAUCUUGUACUCCCAUAGCUUCAGAUUUUGUUGAUAAGCGUCUUGAGCCUGUUGUACGUCUGUGCUGGCUCUUCUCCCCUUAUCAUCGCGAAUCUCCCCAGUUCGUCUUCCACCAUUUCCAUUUUUGUAGUCAUGGUGGCAUCAUUUCCCUCAUGUGAUAUCUUGAGGGUAUCCCAGAUUUGCUUAGCGUUGUCCAAGCCGCUCAUUUUGUUGUAUUCAUCCCUGCAUAGAGACACUAGCAAGACAGUGGUGGCUUGAGCAUUUUUAUGUAUUUGCUCAUUUAUGAAUACGGGGUUGUAAGUACUAUCAAAAUGCAUCCCAUUUUCAACAAUAUCCCAGAUACUAGGAUGGAGGGAGAAUAAAUGACUACGCAUUUUAUGACUCCAAAAAGAAUAAUCCUCUCCAUCAAAGUGUGGGGGUUUUCCAAGUGGAAUUGAUAGUAAAUGAGCAUUCGAAUUAUAAGGGAUGCGAGAAUAAUCAAAGGAGUAAUUUUGAUUUACUGUUUUCUUUUUCGACGAAGAGUCUUUGUCGUCGUCAUCCCUUGGUGAAGAAGAGGAGGCGUCACUGUCGUAGUAGAUAAUCUUCUUGAUGCACCUCUUCUUCUUCCUGUCCCUCUUCUUGUGACUCGAGCCUAAGUAAGUGGGCUUGUCCUCUCUUGGCUCGUUGAGGAGCGACUCCUUCUCCUUGUCGUUGAUCACCAUCCCCUUGCCCUUAGGAUCCAUCUCUUUGAGCGGUUAGUCCCUUUAAUGAAGAGUAUAGCUCUAAUACCAAUUGAUAGCACCUAGAGGGGGGGGGGUGAAUAGGUGAUCCUGCAAAAUUCAACACUAAUAGAACAAACUUGGUUUAUAAAAUGUUAGUUAGAUCAAACCAAGUUGUGAGCUCUUGAGAAGAAAUCAAUCACAAAGAAAAGCAACAUAAGAGACACAGUGUUUUAUCCCGUGGUUCGGCCAAGUAUAACACUUGCCUACUUCCACGUUGUGGCGUCCCAAUGGACGAGGGUUGCACUCAACCCCUUUCAAGUGAUCCAACGAUCCACUUGAAUACCACGGUUUUCUUCCUUAGACUGGUUUCCCCAUUUGUGAGGAAUCUCCACAAGUUGGAGCCUCUCACCCUUACAAAGUUGUUCACAACAAAAGCACUAGAGUAAGGGAGGGAAAGAGACACACACAAGAAUCGCAGCAAAUACACGCACACAAGUCAAGACGUGAGCACAAAACACGGUGCAGAGAGUUUACAACUCAAACGGUGCUCAAAUCUCUAACACGAUGAUCCGAGUGCGUGGUGGCGAAGUCUAGGCGUCUUAGAAUGUUCAGAGAAUGCUUGGUGUUAUGUUCCAUGCGCCUAGGGGUCCCUUUUAUAGCCCCAAGGCAGCUAGGAGCCAUUGGAGAUCCAAUUGGAAGGCAAUUCUUGCCUUCUGUCGGGUGGCGCACCGGACAGUUCGGUGCACCACCGGACAUGAACAGUAGUUGUUCGGUUCCUGAUCUCCUUCCUUAUUGGGCGUACCCGACCGUUGGACCUUUGGUUCCGUUGGCGCACCGGACAGUCCGGUGUGACCAACUGACCGUUGCCGCGGGCCACGCGUCGCCCGCUGAUUGCGCUGCCAACUGUUGGCCGCGGGCGCCGCUGACUCACCGGACAGUCCGGUGAUUUUUAGCCGUGGCGCCUUCGCUUUUUCCCGAAAGCGACGAGUUCGUUGCUGGGCCAGCCUGGGCACCAGACACUGUCCGGUGCACCACAUGCUGGUGCUGGUUUGGCUAAACUCAACCAAAACUUCUCCAAUUCAUUUCCAUUUUUCUUGGUAGUGUCCCUAGCACUUAGAGAGAUAUGUUAGUAUCCAAAACAAUUUACUAGGGCUAGAAACAUACCUUGAUUCUUGAUUUGCACUUCUCAACCACUUAGCACAUAUGAACUAAAACAAUUUGUGUUGGGCAUCUAAUUACCAAAACAUUUAUAGAAAUGGCCCAAGGGCACAUUUCCCUUUCAGGUGCUCACAAUAUAUCUGUGCUAGGCGGUAGGGGGUGCAACGGCCGAGGCCGAAUUCGUGGGGAGAAUCCCGGUCUCCGUGGCGGUGGGUUCGGACUGAGCACGACGGCCACGACGGAGGAGGUGGUGUAUCUGACCGGAUGGUCCCGCACGCCAGCGACAGCGAAAACGAGGGAACAUGGGGAACUACUGUCACAGGGGCUCCACUAGUCAGAGACCCACCGACCGCGCGUGAGAUACGGGCGUGCGCGGACUGACGAGUAAGAUCCCCAGGGUCCACCUGUCGGUUGCAGCACGAUUGAGGCAAGUCUGUUGGUGCGGCUGGCUUGUGGGCCCUGCGUGUCGGCGCACGGGCCGAGUGGGUCGCGCGGUGGAAUGAAGUAAUGGGCCGAAACCGGUAUAGUGAGCCCAUUUAUAUUCUUUCCCCUUUUCUUUCUCUUUUCUGAUUUCCUUUUUCUCAUUUUGGGAUUUCAAAUUUUGAAUUUGAAUUUUGGUUGUGAACUUGCACAUAUCAAAUGUACAAAUUCAAGUCUUAGUGUAGGAAUAAUAGAUAUUUAUUUGUAUGUGUAUUUUCUGUAUAUAGUAUUUCCUUUCUCUUCUUUUCCUUGUAACUUCCCAUUUCUACAUAUUCAAAUUAGGUAUUAAAUCCUCAAUUUGGGAUAUUAAUUUACUUCCAUUAAUGUGACUUCUUUUAUUAUUAAAUGCACAUACAAAUAAAAGCCAACAUGAUGCACAAAUUAGUAAUGUGUCAUUUAUUAAUUAUUUACUUUUAGAUGUCGUGUUCACAUGUGCUAAUAAAUGGAGGCAACACUUAUAAAGGACAUCAUCUCAUUUCUUAUGUAUUACAUAUAUCAGCCGAGCUCACGGUUAAGAGCGGCCUUGGGAUCCUCUUUGAUUAGAAGAACUUUGGAUACUCUUAUGAUGAUGUUUAAUGAUGAUGGUUAUAAUUAUGAUCUUUGGUAUUUCUUCUUAUAGGGAGUAUAUUUGGGUAAUAACUGGGUUUAUUACUAAAAGUUGGCUCUAUUAAUAGUAAUAAAUACUUGACCAACUAAAAGCAACUGCUUAACCUUAACUCCACAUAUAACUAGUCCACUUUAGCCAACCGGGACAUUUGCUGAGUACGUUGAUGUGUACUCACCCUUACUUCAAAAACCACCCACCCUAGGUUGUCCCCACUGUAUUCAGUGCUCAGGAGGAGAUGCUGGCAACAUGGAGGACAUUGAGGAGUUUCAGGACUACGACGAGUUCUAGUUAUCUUAGUGGCAAACCCCCCGUCAGCUGCCUGUGAAGGCCUUAUCUUCUACGUUUCGUAUUCCGCACUUUGAUUAUGUUAAUGACUAUGUUAUAGACUCUAUGGAUGACUUGGACAUCUUGAUGUAAUAAAGUACCUUUCCGCUAUUUACUUUGAACAAUAUGUGAUGAUGUCCAAUUAUGUUAUCAUUGUGUACGUGAGUUUCUGAUCCUGGCACGUACAUGGUUCGCAUCUGGUUUGCCUUCCAAAACCAGGUGUGACAAUUAUAUAUAUUACUCUAUAUUGGUUAACCCCAACAAAUAAUCUUUCAUUCAUUUGGCAAAAUGAAUUCAUGAUUACGUGUAAAAAUGUCAAUUUCGGUUACAAAGGUACAAUUACAUUUUGUACAAUGUCUACAAUGGCAGCACAUUGAAUCUCAACGUCGCGCAGUCUGAGGAAAUCGUAUGAAGGAAUGCAACAACGCAAGGAGGAGCAACGAUUCACCUGUGUCGGUUUGGAUUCGGUGACGUCAAGUGAAUCGAAAACGACGACGAGGACGGAUUUGGGCUGUGCUUCCUUUUCUUGUCUCCAAGCUUCAACGCGUGGACAGAACAUCGAUAAUGUUUGGCGAUAGUUUGUUGGAUGCAGAGGAUGGUGGAGUUCCUAGUCGCCAGCAACUUGAGUUCGCCCCGACAACUAGGGCGGCCUGAUGGGCGGAACGCUUCCACCCGCGGCGAGUGGUCUGCAGCCGGACCCGCCCAACCUCGGGACCCUCGAUCCCAGCUUCGCACAGGUGUCUGAGUACAUCCGCCAGGAUCCAGCUAGCGUCGUUGACGAGAGCUUUGCUAUGGGAAGAGGGCGAGAGGGGAAGCUUCCAUCUUGGCGCGGGAGGGAGGGAGAGAGAGAGAGAGACAGUGUACAACGAACGCUUGAGAUCCGCCAGAUUUACAGUCUCUGGUGACGCACUCUAAAUUUACCGGACGUUUUGCCGUUCGUUGCUGGGCGGAUGCAGGAGGUCACCGAUCGCCAGAUUUAGCGGACAGAACCUUUUACCGGCUCUUGUUGGAGACAGUCUUAAUCUUCAUAUUAUAGUGCACAUUCUAAUUGUUUUUUGCUACAAUUUUCGAGUUCAACGAAGAAGCAGUAGAUUUACAAUAUGAGGUUGGCUUGUUUGACUUGAACAUGGAGCCACCUAUUGAAGAGUCUUUUGUAAAAAAUUCUUCCACAAAUUUUAAGCUUGUUGCAUGACAUGGUGCUACUAGACGAGAAAGAGAGAUAUAUGAGGGAGGCGUCUGUUUUAUUAUGGCCGCGUGGACUACUCGUUGCUGGGAGCUGGACGUGAUGCUUGUUAUCUGUUGAUUAAGUCUUGCACCUUAGUCGGACUGCAUGUUUACUUAUUCAAUUGUUUGCACUUAGUCUGCAUGUGCCGAGCGCCGAUGUGUGGUGCGCUUUCAGACAACACCAAAUCCACCAUGUUCGAGUUUGUCUGUGUGUGUGUUCAUCUUCGAUCGUAUUCGUCGCCGGUGAUCACUCGUCGAUCCUGACAAGUGGUAUAAGAGCUUCGUUCAUCUGCGACGAUCGCGAAGGUACAAGAUGACAUGCCGCGACGGCAUUCGAGCUCCCCCACGCGCCUUGGUUCCAGCAGCCGCACUAGCGAAAGUAGCGGCGAGAACAAUCACGAGCUGGUGAUCCACUGUGUAAGGGAAGGCGGUGGCGGCGGACCGGCAAACUACCCCGUGCUCAACAAGACGAACUACACCAGUUGGUUGCUGCUCAUGAAGAUCAAACUGCAGGCACGCUGCAUCUGUGGCGCCAUUGACCCGGGAGCAGACAUCCCGGAGCACAAGGACCGGAUGGCUCUGGACGCCAUCUACAGUGCCAUCCCAAAGGAGAUGGUUCCUGCGCUCGCGGUCAAGCCCUCGGCGAAGGACGCGUGGGAGGUCGUUCGCACCAUGCGCGUCGGGGGCGACUGCAUCCGGAAGACGAGCGCACAGCGAGUGCGCCGGGAGGGCAAGAGCGUUGAAGAUUUCACGCUCUGGCUCACGGGCAUCAUCAACAAGCUCGCCACACUCGGAGAUCCAGAGCCCGACGACAAGGUCAUGGAGAAGUAUCUCCGGAUUGCGCGCUCGAGGUACAAGCAGUUGGUAAUUUUGAUUGAAACUCUGCUAGAUGUCUCGACGCUUUUCGUUGAAGAGAUCACGGGCCAUCUCAUGGCCUCAGAAGAUGACCCGGAGCCCCAACCGUCCGUUCUCGCUGGCGGCAAGCUCUACCCCACUGAGGAGCAGUGGCUUGAGCGCUACAAGCAGAAGGAGGAGGGCUCGGGUUCACGCGGUUCCGAUGGCACCGGGUAUCGUAGGCGACGUCGUGGUGGCUGAAGGAGGCCUCGCGGCAGCAGAAAUUUGAGUGCAUGUGAUGGCACAGGAUCUUCAUCAGGCCGCGGCGACGACAUGUGCAGGAAGUGUGGCAAAGUGGGCCACUGGGCAUGAGAGUGUCGCUGCAAGCCGAAGGCAGAAGGGCAGGCUCAUUUGGCUUAGGAGGAGGAGUCCACCCUGCUCCUUCUCGAGGUCAGCGACGACAUCAAGCUCCAGAUGCGGGAGAAGCGAGCUAUUGAGGAAACAUCGACAGCUGCUUGCGUCGCGACCAUGACGGUAUCAAGUCCUCCACGCAGACACAUUGAACUGGUGGAGGAAAAGGUGUUCGUCGUUCUAGACUCCAAUCCAGAGCGUGACACGCGCCAGUGGAUCUUCGACACCGGCGCCUCAAACCAUAUGACAGGUGCCUGGGAGGUCUUCUCUGACCUGGACACAUCGGUGGCAAGCAUGGUUUGGUUCGGUGAUGGCUCUCUGGUGCAGAUCGAAGGCUGCGGCACCAUGCUAUUCGACUGCAAGAACGACGAGCACCAUGCCCUCGCCAACACGUACUACAUUCCGCGGCUGACUGCCAACAUUGUCAGCUGCGACCAGCUCGAUGACAACGACUUCGAGAUCCUGAUCAAAGGUGGAGUGAUGCGGGUGCGCGAUGGACAGGGAGGUCUCCUUGCAAAGAUCGAUAUGGGCCCGAGUCGGCUGUACGUGCUCGACCUCACCAUGCCCCCACUGGUCUGCCUAGCGGCAUACACAGGGGAGGAUGCGUGGCGGUGGCACGCUAAUUCGGCCACAUGAACUUCACCGCGUCGAGGAAGAUGAAGAAGGAAGGCCUAGUGCGGGGGUUACCUGCGCUAUCGCAAGUGGAGCAACUGUGUGAAGCCUGUCUCGCCGGCAAGCAUCAUCGGGCAUCUUUACCGGCAAUCUUCUCUAGCAUUCAACUGAACCAUUGGAGCUGCUCCACGGUGACCUGUGCGGUCCAAUCACCCCAACCACACCGAGCGACAAUCGAUAUUUUCUCUUGCUCGUUGAUGAUUACAGCAGGUACAUGUGGCUGACACUCCUGGCAUCCAAGGACGCAGCACCGGGCGCCAUCAAGCGAGUCCAAGCGGUGGCCGAGCGCAGCAGCGAAAGGAAGUUGUGCGCCCUGCAUACCGAUCGCGUGGGAGAGUUCACGGCAGGUCACUUCAACGACUAUUGCGUCGAGCUCGGCGUGAGGCAUGAACUGACUGCCCCAUAUACACCCCAGCAAAAUGGCAUCGUCGAGCGCAGGAACCAGACGGUGGUUGGCACCGCCAGGAGCAUGCUCAAGGCCAGCGGCCUCCCCGGCUCAUUUUGGGGGGAGGCGGUCUCCACCGCUAUCUACCUGCUAAACAGGACCAUCACGAAGGGAAAUGGCGGCAAGACGCCAUAUGAGCUGUGGCAUGGGAGGACGCCAGCGGUCCAUCACCUGCGCACCUUCGGUUGUGUGGCUCACGUCAAGAGCACAAGCCCCAAGAUCAAGAAGCUGGAAGACCGAAGCAAGCCGAUGAUUUUUGUCGGGUAUGAACCUGGCACGAAGGCAUACCGAGUGUAUGACCCGGUUUCUCGCCAUGUACACUUAAGUCAGGACAUCAUCUUCGACGAGGAGGCGCACUGGAGCUGGUCCGACAAUGGACAAAAGGAGGAUGAUGGCGAGUUCACAAUCUAGUACACCUUGGUGUCACACCCAGAGGUGGUGACCACGCUUCGGCCACGACACGCAGCUACGUUGGCAUCGCCCACUUCUCCAGUGGCUGCUACGACUUCAUCCCCUCCAACGGCUACGGCUCCAUCGUCUUCGGCAACUGCGUCUCCAUCCUCUACGACGGCUUCGACGUCAACAACGCCCGUAGGACCGACGAUCGAGUAUGCUACACCGCCAACCGUGGAUGUGGAGGAUUUGGACGUGGAUCAUGAAGAUGACGUACCCCUUCGGUUCCAUCUCCUAGACAAGGUCAUAGGACCGGCGAUGUCCCGAGGGAUCGUUCACCGGUUUCUAGAUGAAGAUGAGGAUCUACUGAUGGCUGAAGAGGACGAGCCGAGGACCUUCAAGCAGGCGCAACAACAUGACUGCUGGAGGCUCGCCAUGCUGGAUGAGAUGACAUCCAUCGAGGCGAAUGGCACCUAGGAACUGGUGGAUCCGCCACCACAUAACCGUCCGAUCGGGCUUAAGUGGGUGUACAAGGCAAAGAAGAAUGACAUGGGGAUUAUCACGAAGCACAAGGCUCGUCUCGUCACAAAGGGGUAUGUGCAGCAUCAAGGUGUUGACUUCGAAGAUGUGUUUGCCCCGGUGGCACAACUUGAGUCUGUCAGACUCUUGUUAGCGCUGGCGACGAGCGAAGGAUGGAUUGUCCACCAUAUGGACAUGAAGUCUGCCUUUCUCAACGAUGUGCUGAAGGAAGAGGUGUACGUCACUCAGCCUCCGGGGUUCGUUGUCACCGGCAAAGAAGGGAAGCUUCUCCGCCUUGUCAAGGCGCUCUACGGUCUUUGUUAGGCGCUGCGCGCAUGGUACGCCAAGCUGGAUGCUUCUCUGGCAUCUUUUGGCUUUCGGCGCGGCAUCAAUGAACAUGAUCUGUACACGCGAGGGAAAGGCAUACAUUGACUAAUCGUCAGUGUGUAUGUUGACGAUCUUGUCAUCACUGGUGGAGAUGUGGUCGAGAUCAAGCACUUCAAGCAGGACAUGAAGAGCACAUUUCAAAUGAGCGAUCUGGGAUUGCUCAGUUACUACCUCGGACUGGAAGUGAAGCCAGGCAACGAUGGGAUCGCCAUCAGUCAAGGGGCGUUCGCUCGGAAGAUUGUUGAAAAAGCAGGCCUGAAGAAUUGCAAUCCGAGUGCCAUGCCCAUGGAGACACGCCCAGGACUGAGUAAGUCGAGUACCUGUUCUGCUAUUGAUUCUACUGCAUAUAGGUGCAUAGUUGGUGCACUUCGGUGCCUGGUGAACACAAGACCGGACAUAGAAAUUGUUGUGGGAUUUAUCUCACAUUUUAUGGAGAAGCCUACUACCGAGCAUCUCCUUGCUGUGAAGCGAGUGCCGCGGUACGUAGCAGGUACUGCAGACUAUGGCUGCUACUAUCAGAGAAGGAAGAAGUCGGUAGGUUUGACCGGGUACAGUGACAACGAUCAUGCAGGUGAUGUUGAUACCCACAAAAGCACGAUGUGGGUGUUGUUCUUUCUCGGCGACAGUCUUAUUACUUGGCAAUCACAGAAGCAUAAGAUAGUGGCCUUAUCAAGCUACGAGACUGAGUAUAUUGCAGCAGUCGUCGCCUCUUAUUAGGGUAUUUGGCUGGCAUGUUUGCUUGCUGAACUGCGAGGAGAAGAAGCUGAACCGGUGAUGCUCUUCAUCGACAACAGAUCAGCAAUAGAGUUGUCCAAGAAUCAUGUGUUUCAUGAGCGAAGUAAACACAUUGAUACAAGGUACCAUUAUAUCAGGGAGUGUGUUGAGGAAGACAGGAUGAGGAUUGAGCCGAUUGACACUAAUAAUCAAUUGGCUGACAUAUUCACAAAGGCAUUAGGGCGCGGUCGGUUCGUCCAUCUACGUUCCAGGCUUGGGAUCAUCAACACAAGGUUGUUGUGCAAGACUUAAGGGGGAGAAUUGUUAUCUGUUGAUUAAGUCUUGCACCUUAGUCGAACUGCAUGUUUACUUAUACAAUUGUUUGCACUUAGUCUGCAUGCGCCGAGCGCCAUUGUGUGGUGGCCGAGCGCUUAGGAGAUCAUGCCCAGAAUCGCUCGGUCUUAGCUGAACUCGUGGAUCAGUGCGCGCCAUGUGGACGUGGGGAUGGACACGACCAAGGGUGUGGCACGAAGCUCUCAGCGACGUUUGUUUUCUUUUUCAGUUGUUGGUAAUAAAAGGAGUAGAGAAAAACAGAAAACCCUGCGCUUUCAGGCAGCACCAAAUCCACCGUGUUCGAGUUUGUCUGUGUGCGUGUGUGUUCAUCUUCGAUCGUGUUUGUCGCCGGCGAUCACUCGUCGAUCCUAACAAUGCUUCGGCUUCGGUGCCGGAUAGGUGGACUACUCAUUGCUGGGAGCUGGACGUGAUGCUUCGGCUUCGGUGUCGGAUAGACGGACGGGGCAUGGGAAACAUAAGCAUUCAAGAGGGGUACUAAUGGAAACAGAAGACCCAACGAUAAGAAUUCCUGCACUUGAAUGCUGUGAUUCCCAAAAAUUGAGGAUAAAUUACUUCCACUAGAAUAAGUGGCGCCCUUACGGGCGCCCUACCGAGACAAUAGAAUUCUUGAGUAAAUUGCUAUAUACCUUUCAUGUAAAUUGUUCUCGAGUUUUGGCAGAUUGGGGCAAUAGUAAUAAAAUACUUUAGGUGUGCAUGAGACUAUCACGAUAAUUAAUGAGCAUACAAUAUAUGUUGUUCUAACCAGGCACACCAAUCGAUGUAGAUGCAGAUGUACAAACAGAGCGCACAAAAUCAAAUUCCAAUUGAUUAAAAAACAUAUCAAUUUUGUCAGUAUAGAGAAUAAGCAAAGACAAAACACAUAUGUCAGUGUGUCUGUGAAUGGGAAAUCCAGCCAGAAUUCCUUAACUUGCUAUGGGUUCUAGAAAACAAAGCACAUAUGUAGCAUGGAAUCCUACCAAGUGAUGCCAAUCCAUGUUCCUUCUCCUAGACAGCUUUGUGAAGCCGACAUUUGUCAAGAACAUUAAUAAGAACAGAAAGUAAUUAAAGUGAUUGAUUUGAAGUUCGAACUGGUAAAGUGGUACAACAGAGCCAGAAACAAACAUGAAUAGUUGUGCAUAUUGUAAUACAUCGCACCUCCCAAAAUUGUUGAUUCUAAAAUUGCCCAAGAGGAUCUAGAUUAUACCUUAUGCUUCCCUAAAGAGUGUUGGAUGUUGCAAAAUGAUACCAAAGCAUGAACGCAUGUCAUGUAAGCCAAUUGUUGUGAUAUCUACAGAGUCUAUAGUUAUUUUUCCUCUUGUUGGCUAUUUAAGAAACUAUAAAAAAAAUUAAACCUCCAUAUUGCAGCGUACAUGAAUGCUUGAACAAGCGUAGCUGAAGUAAGCAUUUCAUACUGCAUCUUUUUCUAUUGCUAUGCGUGUUACGGACCAAUACUUCGUGAACUAAUUAUUUGGUCUGACAAACAUUUCAAGCACAAGUUACCCUUUUUCAUAAAACCAUUAUCCAAACAAAUUACGUAAAAAUGAAUCUCACAACAAAAUGGAAAUAUAAAUUAUGCUCUAGAAUAACAGUAGGUUUCUCCAAGGCAACAACUGGCCUUCCAACAAUAUCAAUGUGUGAAUACAAAGCGUGCAUAAAAACCAUUGCUUUUAGGCACGAUGACUAUGACAACUAUUUAGCUCACAACAACAUACAUUGAGAAAUAACCUCUUGCUGCUACCGUAUUGGAAAGGGAGCUCAAACUUCAUACCCUUUGACCCUUUAGGUAGAACAACUUGUUCAACAACAACGAUACUUAUACAAGGGGCAAAUACAACUAAUGCAAAGUCAGAAUUUGGAAAAUUAAUAGUACAUAAUACCCUGUCACUGUUCUUGGUAUCCACAUUCCAAUAAAGAUGAUAGUUUAUAAUGAGUACCAAACAGUUGAUAGUAAAAGCCACACCCUCCAGCCAUAAAAACAUAUCCUUUAGGACAAGUUUUAUAGACAAGCUUUAAAACUACAAACAUCAAUAAUGUUUAAAAAGCUAUUUAGUUUGAGAACGUUAAGCUAUAUGUGUAGAAUUAAAAAUUGCAUUGAAAAAUACUCGCAAAUCUCAUGGAUCUAAAGACCCAAAUCUAGGUGUACUUUUACAAACACAAAAUAAUUUGCUCUUUGUUGAAGGACUUACAAAAAUAAGCAAAUAGGUCCAAUGGUCACACUUUAAAUAAAAUUUGAUCACUGAAAGGAUAAUUAAAUGCACAAAUGCUUACCUCAAUAUAUGAGGCUGCAACAUCUGAAUGCUUCUCGUUAGUUUUUGCUAUGAAUAUAUCCCAAAAAACGACCACCACUCGAAAAGAAAGCCACCAGGUGCAUCAAUUGCUGAAAAAUAGUUUUGGGGAAGUAAAUAAUACUCUUGACAAACAACAAAGAACAUAGACUGUAAGAACUCAAAUAAAAAAUAGCUCUAGACAAGAAUAACCAAUGCUAAUGAUAUUCCCUCUCCAUUCUUGGCACAUCCUAGUUCUAAAUUUUUUUGGUGGUUCAGUAGUGCAACGACAGCCAUGAACGUAACUAUGAGCAACACCUAUGAGUAAGCACAAAUGAUAGUCAAUUACUGAAUUAUCCUUGCAGUCUUGCCAUAGUGAAGACGAACAACUGAAGCUUGUAGUAAUUGUGUCUGCAUGGUGAUAGGCAGGACGACGAUGAUGGUGGUGCUGAUGAUGAUCCAAACAACAUCACUUAUGAGGUUUGUGGUCACAGAAUGUUCUUUUUUCCCUUUUUUCAAGUGAUAUGUAAAAGCUUGUGAUCAAAAUAGAACUACACAUGUAGUGUGUACCUUUACACCUAGGUUGGAAAGGCCACUAAUUUUUUGGUGAUGCAGCAAAGACAGUCACUUGUAGAAUCUGUGGGGACCGAUGACAUAGGUUUAUCCGAUGAAACAAAUUAAAUCAUAUUGUGAUGAUUGAGUUUUUUUAUUUUGAAACAAGCCAACAUUGCAUAUACAAAGAAGCAAAAAAAAGAGUCGGCAAUAGCUUUUUCUAUUGGACAACCCUGUAGAGCUCUGCACAGAAAUGGUAAUAUGUGUCUUGAUUCUUUGGACGAAGUAUCAUGAAUGGAAGCUGUCGCCUACCAGGUGAGUCACUCUGGCACGUUGUUUAGUGCUCACCUGGUAUAAACAACGGUCAAAAGCUAUGACGAGUAACGACUUUUUCACACCUAUUGUUAAGUAUAUGGUUGGUCUAGUACUUCGUCGUUCCUGUUAAGUAUAUGGCUAUUUUAUGGUUGUUAUAGAUUUAGAGUACAUGGGUCUUACACCAAAUGAGGGAAUAUCAACACUGUUAACCAACGAAAUGUGCUUCCAAAUAGAUAGAUAAGUGGUCCAUACUAAUAGAUGUGAUGUUUUUUUACUGAAGGUCUCAUGUUCAUGUUCCCUUCAAAGUAUAUGAGGUUGCAUGCAUAUUGUCAAUCGCAGUACGGGAUCUAAUCAUCUAUGCUAAUGUUGCUGAUUUUAAUUUCCCAUUCUAGCUUGCUCUAUCUAGGAGGUCUGAUCCUUGAGAGAAAGAAAAAUAAAGAAAAGAAACCAAAUGUUAUCCUAUAAUAGAUAACAUAACUGAUUAAGAAACAAAGAAGCAGCCUAACAUAUAUUCAGAUGAAUAUUUUCUAGGUCAAACCACUGGUAAAAAUAGUAGCUGAUAAUUGUCUGACAUGUUCGUCCACUAUCGAAUGAAAUUGCAUUUUGCACAAAUUGUAGCCUCCUAAGCUCCUACCAUGAACGAACCACAAUGAGCUAAGCGAUACUCUGAUCUCUCGGCAAAACCAAAAGAUGCCUGGAACACAAACCGAUGAAAAGCACCCAACAAUCAGAUGAUAAGAUGCACUGGCAGAGGUCAGUGGCAAAACAAACCUGCACCCACGGAGGUCUUCGCAAGAUCUGGUUUAGGAACGCUCUCAGCACUAACCCCAUGGAAUGCCGGCCAGAGGCCUGACGACACGGGCGUGGAGCAGGGGUAGGAGGAGGCAAGGCGGCUCUCUGGCCAUCGACGGCCUCGUCUCUUGUGGGAAAAGGGGGUCCCGUGCAUGGUAGAUGGCUUAAUCGUGUCCGUGAGGAGCAGGACGUCCUCUGGGUCGACGCGGGGAGCGACAGAGCAGGCAGAGGGAGAGAGGAGUGCGUGUGGGAGUGGGAUGUGGGCGAGGCUAGGUGGUAGUGGAAGAGGUGGAAGAAGAGAUAGAUGGACGGCGAGUUGAAUUUUUGAGAAGCCAAAGGGCUGAUUUGCAAAAUACACAGGGCACGUGUCAUCGCUGAAACGGCUGUGCCUCCGCAAAAUGCGGUCGUGCGUGGGAGGUCUGGUCCUUGAGAGAAAGAACAAAAAAGAAAAGAAACCAAAUGUUAUUCUAUAAUAGAUAACAGAACUGAUUAAGAAACAAAGAAGCAACCUAACAUAUAUUCAGAUGAAUAUUUUCUAGGUCAAACCACUGGUAAAAAUAGUAGCUGAUAAUUGUGUGACAUGUUAGUCCACUAUCGAAUGAAAUUGCAUUUUGCACAAAUUGUAGCCUCCUAAGCUCCUACCAUGAACGAACCACAAUGAGCUAAGCAAUACUCUGAUCUCUCGGCAAAACCAAAGGAUGCCUGGAACACAAACCGAUGAAAAGCACCCAACAACCAGAUGAUAAGAUGCACUGGCAGAGGUCAGUGGCAAAACAAACCUGCACCCAUGAAGGUCUUCGCAAGAUCUAGUUUAGGAACGCUCUCAGCACUAACCCCAUGGAAUGCCGGCCAGAGGCCUAACGACGCGGGCGUGGAGCAGGGGCAGAGAGGAGGCGAGGCAGCUCUCUGGCCACCGACGGCCUCGUCUCUAGUGGGAAAAGGGGGUCCUGUGGUAGAUGGCUUAACCGUGUCCGUGAGGAGCAGGACGUCCUCUGGGUCGAUGCAGGGAGCGACAGAGCAGACAGAGGGAGAGGAGAGUGCGUGUGGGAGUGUGAUGUGGGCGCGGCUAGGUGGUAGCGGCAGAGGUGGAAGAACGGAUAGAUAGACGGCAGGUUGAAUUUUUGAGAAGCUAAAGGGCUGAUUUGCAAAAUACACAGGGCACGUGUCAUCCUUGAAACGGUUGUUCCUCCGCGAAACGCGGUCGUGCGGGCUUUAGCUUUUAACAACAGAGAUAUCACUGGAAUCCUCUCCUCUCUUCUACAAUCCUGCUGACAUUGCUGUUCUGCACCAGCACAGCACCUCAACGAACGAUGCCUUCUGCUUCUUCGUCCUCGUUUUCCUCCCUCUACAUCAUCGGCGACUCCUCGCGUCUCCGUGACGACCCCAUCAUCGAGGUCGGCGACAUAGACGAGAACGACAGCAGCGACGACGCGCUCUCAGGGUUAGGGGCAGAGCGCUUCGCAUCAUCCUUCGAAACCCAAGGGUCCAUUGACGCCCUCUGUAGAAAGUACGGAGUACCGGAGGAGUACUCGACGGUCCUCCCCGCCGGCCACGAGCGCGCGUGUUCGCCCCCGGGGUUCGCCGUCUCCGUGUACGCGCAUGCGCUGGAGACCAGCAUGCCCGUCCCGCUGCACGGCUUCUUCUGUGAGGUGCUCGGCCACUUCGGCGUCGCGCCGAGCCAGAUUGCGCCCAACGGGUGGCGUGCCAUUGCCAGCUUCGUCUUCCGCUCCCACUUCAUCGGCGUGGCCGUGAACUACGCGUCGUUCUCGCUGGGCUACACGCUGGAGCUCGAGGAUAAGCUCGCGGCAAGGGAGCGCGAGGCGAACGCGCUGCGGCGGGAGCUGUCGCAGGCCAAGGCCGAGCUCGCCGGCGCGAAGAAGGCGACCGCGGAGGAGGUGAGGGGCGCCAGGGAGGCUGUCGUGCGCGACUUCUGGGGCUCCACGGAGCAGGUGGUCCGUUUCUUGGAGCACGCGUUGGCCGUGUACGAGAAGGGAAUGGAUGAUAUGAAGCAUGCCCGAAUUUUUUGUUUUUGAGUCCUUUUUGUGUCAAUAAUUUCCAAUUAGACCCCCAGAAAACUUAAAUGCAAUUUUGGACCCAUUUCUCGGCGCCAUGAGCUAUGGCGCCGAGUUUACACAGCUCGGCGCCAUAGAUCUUGGCGCCGAGCUACCUGCCGCGCUGUCGUCCACCAGCUGACGCGGCGCCGACGUGGCACCGAGCUCGGCGCCAAGAUCUAUGACGCCGAGCUCGAAUAUGUAACCACAAAGCUUGUCUAGCUCAGUUGGUAUAGUGCAAGGCUCUUAACCUUAAGGUCGUGUGUUCGAGCCCCACUAUGAGCGUUCAAUAUUUUUUGUCUUUGUCACUGAUUUGUUUUUUAUUGUCCAGAUUUUUUCGUUUAUGUCGCUGGUUUGUCCGUGCGUUUAAUAUUUUUUUGUCUUUGUCACUGAUUUGUUUUUUUAUUGUUAUUAUGUAUUUAGAAUUUAUGUUCAAAAGAACUAAAUCAAAAUAUAAUAUUUUUAUUUGAUCACGAUUGAAGUAAGAGUGUUCUUAUUUGAUUUUUAUUGUGGUUAGCUGAGCAAACAAGGGGAGAAGUUGACGGCUUGUGAGCACUGUGGCACACAGCCGCUGUGCUCGCCGGAUAAAAAAAAUCUGGACGAAUAAACAAAUCAGUCAUACAAAAAAACUGGAUGAGAAAUAAAUCUGGACGGACAAAUCAGCGACAUAAGCGAAAAAUAUGGACAACAAAAAAACAAAUAAGUGACAAAGACAAAAAAAUAUUAAAAAAAAUGUCCACUGUGGGGCUCGAAUCCACGACCACAAGGUUAAGAGACUUGUAUUUUACCAACUGAGCUAGACAAGCUUUCUGUAUAGAAUAGAGCUCGGCGCCAAGAUCUAUGGCACCGAGCUCGGUACCACGUCGGUGCCACGACGUCCUUUUGUGCCAACGCAGCGCGUACCUCGGCGCCAUAGCCUAUGGCGCCGAGCUGUGUUACCUCGGCGCCAUAGGCUACGGCGCCGAGUAAAGGGUCCAAAAAUGACAUUAAAAUUUUUUAGGGUUUAAACGUGAAUUUUUUUCGAUGAAGGACCAAAAUACAAAAAAUUCGGUGAAGCAAGCCGUGCUGCGCAGGUACCCGCACCUCGACCCGGAGCAGCUCGUCAUGCCGGCGGACGGUGACAGUACUCAGUAAUUAGCUCGUGGCGUCGAAUCGACGCGAUAAGAUUUUUUUUGCGUGCCGGUCCCCUAACUAACCUCAGGAUCAGACAACGUUUGGCGUUUUUAAUAUUGAAUAUAAAUUGUACAUAUUUAUAUACAUUUUUUAAAUAAAAAAUAUAAUCCUGUCGGGCUAGACCAGCACUACGGACCGAGACUACAGCCCAAACAUGGCAUGACGCUCGUACCGGGCUAGCCCAGACACUAUUAAAUAGGUCGUCCCUCUGGCCGAACCGUCAUACACGGCUCAUUUGGUCGUCCAUACCUCCACACGAUAAUGAUAGUCCUCGCUUUAGUUGUUGCCACCUCGUUCAUCACCCUGCUUCUUUUCUCUCUCUCUCUCCUCAUGCCUCCGCCUCCGCGCCACCCCAUUCUCGGCAAAGGGCGUGGGAGCAGACGUCUCCUCCUCGUAUUAGUCCAAUACCAGCUCCGACACCGACCCACGCAGUGGCUAUUGCACGUCCACGAGGACGUUUCACAGUAUGCACGCACCAUCGUUUUCGCCGUCGUCGGACGUCCCGUUUGUCUUCCCAGCCUUCACCCUGUUCUUCCUCCCCAACCUACUGCCCCCGCCCACGGUCGCAGCCGCGAGCCGACCGAUGCUCUUCGACGCGGGUACGGGGCGAGUCGAUCUUGCUUCUGGCCUUUCUUUGUGCAUGCCGCCGAGGAGGACACGGUGGCGCCUGCCACACUUAGGUUAUCUUGGCGAUGAGGAGUCCAGGUCUGAGAUAUUGGACAACCAAGGCCCAUAGCGCAGCAGAAGUCGGCAUAUGCUACGGAGUUGGUUGUGGUGUUAUGUCGCCUCGGCGGGUCCAGGGCUGGGAAGGCACUUGCAUUCUCUCACCCUUCUCGGACCGACACCCGAUGCAGGUGCCUCUCGGUUUGGAGCUGCUACAGCUGGGCUUCUUUCUACGAGUUAUCGUGGCAUAAAUUUGAGUUAAUAGUCCUUCUCCGGUUUUCAUGGGGUUUUCUCUAUGUUUUAUUUGUUUGGUCUCUCCUUGAAUACUCUAACUAAAACUAGUUCCAAUUAGUUGCUCAUGUGUGGUUUAGGACCUUUAGGUAGACCAUUAGACCAGAUGCAUGCUUUCAAAAGGAAACUUGUUGACACUGAGAAUCGUUAAAUAUCUUCAUCUUGUAUUUCGGUAGUGCACAAUUGGCAGUCGAGUAGUCGACAUAAAAUCAGUUAGUGUUCUAAUGCCUCUAGAUUUAAAGCAUAGGUGUGUAGCCUUCAAAUGUUCGUUUUCCUUUAUAUGUCUUGUGGCCACCUGGGAUCAAAAGUAUAGGUGUGUAGCCUCUCAACUGGAUUCUCUACCAAUCAUGUGAUCGCUCGGUUUACUACAAGUUCCUAUUGUUGCCAACUAUUGCUUUUAGUUAGGUUUGUUUUAAGCAAUAAUGUUUAGGUCAAUCAUUCAACUAUAUGAAUGCGGAACACUGCUUAAAUUUGGUGGUACCGUGCAAAUGUGUUUUGUUACAACAGAAUGCACACAUGUUGCCCCUUCAUAUUUGUGCAAUUAAAGUUGUAUCAUAUUAAUGUGGCUAGGCCAUUGGUGCUGCUACUGUUCAGAAAUAAAACCCAUAUGAUUAAUGUCAUUUGUAGCUAUUGUUGGGGGCCUUCCUCUUCCGAAGGUCCUCAAAAAACAUAAUUCACCAUUUGUUUUCAGCAUAAGCUAUUACAUGAAGCUUUGUCUUUAGGAUGUAAGUCUGUUUCUCAUGAUGAAGGCAUACGAGAUGAAGAUAUGAUCUAAGGAUGAUAAGAAUAAACGCCAAAGCUAUCGCCAGGUUGACAACUUCGGCUCGUUAUGAAGAUGAAGUAUGAUGAUGAUGAUGAGCGAAGGGGAAAAGACUAAUUAGUCCUUAAUGACUUGUAUUACGAUCAUAAGUGAAUAUUGAGGACAUAAAUAUACUUUUACCCGGGCUAUGUCCCAUGCCUAUAAAUAGAUGAACAGUAGCACCGUAUUGUUCACGCUGAUUUGUAAUCUCCCUCGCAUCAACACCUUUUCGAGCAAGCCGAAGGUAUCAUUGUAAUACAAAUCUCGUUAAUAUUCAUGUAUGUUAUGUGAAAUGCAAAUCCGAAUGAAUCAACGGGAUACAUUUGUUGUUUUCGUCUCUUUGCAGUCUCAUCUUUCUAUAAGAUGAUGAAGGCAUGUCCUUCAUGACCUUCAUCUGAUGAUCAUUAUGUACAUGAGGAGAUGAUGCUUCAGAAGACGAAGGUCUUUAAUACUUAACAAAUGUGUUGCCUUAUUCUUGAUUCACAUCAUUUGAGAACAAGUAACCAACAACUAUCUUCAUAUUUUAAUUUUUUGUCUCUUAGCAAUAAGAUGGUAGAAUGCUCUUGAAGAACACGAGAGAAUGAUGACAUCUAUGAAGUUUGCAUGGUAGAUGAAUAUCUGAUUAUGACAGUAUUCAACUGAUGUGUUACAAGUAUCUAUGGGACAAUUUGAUUGCAUAGAAAUUUCCAACAGAGAAUUUCUUCAGCUAUUUUAACCUGGACCCCAACUACUUGUUAUUAGAUCCAUGAUGUCAAGGAGGUACAUUAGCUUAUUAGGGUUCGAUGCAAAGGUGAUUCACCUCAUCUUUAAAAUUUGUAAUUCACCCUUCUAAUAGUUUUCAGGCGGUUUAUGUGAUUGACUAAUCUCGUUUAUUCAUGGGAAAUCAUUCGCUACUAUGAGAUAACAAACAGAGCAAAUACAUAAGAAGUGAUUGCUAAUACUCUUUUUUCACUAUAUUUUUGGAUGCUCAUUCAUGCUACCGUCGUCAACAUGUUGUAUGGUUUCUUUUGCAGACUUGAAAAUGUAUCAAAAUAUUUCAAGGUUACAUGCCACACGCUACUACGGUCUCAAGAAUAGCUGCUCUUAAGGUAAACAUGAGUUACAGGCUUAUAACCUAAGCAGCAGUAAUCUAUUGUACAUACUACGAAAUGGCAAAUCACUUUUUUCUGAACCUUUUGGAAACGGGAAACCACAAAUAUAGAGAGUAAUCCCCUUCAUAUUUACUGGUGCAGAUACAAACUACAUGAAGACCACUCCCUGCUUGAAGAACACCAGUUCACUUAUGAUGCUAGGUGGUUCAAUGAUCAAAUCUAGGAAGUCCUCAUCUUCUGGAUAGGAUCACGUGAGCCUAGAUUUGUAGCUAAAGAGGUGUGGAAGUGUCGUUUCUACAAAUUUGUGUCACGUUGUCCAUAGAUUGCUUCCAUACCAAGUUGUUGACGCUAACAAAAAAUGUUGUAAUUGGUGGCUUGGUGAAAUAUUUAAUGUUGAGUUGAAAAAACAAUUGUACUACUUGUCGGCGUUUCGACCCCGGGGGGUCCCUGGACCGACGAGUAAAUUUGUCGUUGUGUGUCCCAGCCCAGAUGGGUUGGCGCAAGAUGGAACACAAGGGGGAAACGCGGCUCGUGUUAUCUCGCACCAGGGGGGUGUGCUCGUAGUAGGGGUUACAAGCGUUCGCGAGAGAGAGAGAGAGUGAGCCUGUUCGUCAGCUCGUCCCUCCGCGCGACCCUCUCGCAUGAAGGCCCUAGACCUCCCUUUUAUAGAUGCAAGGAGAGGGUCCAGGUGUACAAUGGGGGGUGUAGCUAUGCGCUAACGUGUCUGGCAGAGAGGUGCCUGAGCCCUGUGUACAUGCCAACGUGGCUGUCGGAGAGGUGUUAGAGCCCUGUGUACGCGGUAUCGUGGCCGUCGGAGGAGUGCCUGAGCCCUAUAGAAGCGCAGUUGUCGGUGCUGCUAGGAUCUUGCUGACGUCUCCUUGCUUCCGUAGGGGGCUGAGAACCACCGUCGUCAUGGACGCACGCGGGGAGCCAUCAUUACUUGUUACCGGGGCGAGCCAGAUGGGACGCCGGUCUUAUCCCCCCGUAGCCUGAGCUAGCUAGGGGUAGGGUAAUGAUGUAUCCCCCGUGGCGCGGUCGGUCCGAGCCCAAGGUCGGGCGAGGCAGAGACUUCUCCUGAGGCCAAGGCCGGGGUCGGGCGAGGACGCGAUUCCUCCCGAGGCCAAGGUUGAGGCCGAUCCCUGGGGUCGGACGAGGCGGAGACCUCCUCCCGAGGCCGAGGCCUAAGGUCGGGCGAGGCGGAGCUUCCUGUUGCGCCUGAGGCUGAACUUGGCUGUUGUCAGCCUCACCCUGGUGGGUGGCACAGCAGUUGGAGCGGGGCGAGCGGCGCUGUUUUCCUGUCAGGUCGGUCAGCGAAAGGGCGAAGUGACUGCGGUCACUUCGACUUUGCCGACUGAGGCACGUGUGUCAGGAUAAGGUGUCAGGUGAUCCUCGCAUUGAAUCCGCCUGCGAUACGGUCAGUUGGUGAGGCGAUUUGGCCAAGGUUGCUUCACAACGAAGCAUGCCCGAGCUGGGCUUCGGGCGAGUCGAGGGUGCGCCCGUCGCUUGAGGAGGCCCUCGGGCGAGGCAUGAAUUCGUCCGGGACUACUGUUCCCGCCCGAGGCCGGGCUCGGGCGAGGCGAGAUCGCGUCCCUUGGUAGGUGAGGCCUUGACCUAAACCGCGCCCAUCAGUCUUUGCGGUUUGUGCUGAUGGUGGUUACCAGCCGUGUUUAGGAGUGUUGGGGGUACCCCUAAUUACGGUACCCGACAGUAGCCCCCGAGCCUCAAAGGGAGUGUUGGUACUCGCUUGGAGGCUUUGCCGCACUUUUUUGCGAGGGGACCGACCUUUCUCGGUUACAAUUUGUUCCGGUGGGUGCGCGCGAGCGCACCCGCCGGGUGUAGCCCCCGAGGCCUCGUGUCACACCCGGUUUUAGAAGGCAAACCGAAUGCGAACCAUGUACGUGUCAGGAUCAGUUAUUCACGUACACAGCAGUUACAUAACAUGGACAUCAUCACACAGUGCUCAAAAUGGUAUUAAAAGGGAAAUAAUAGUUGAUUACAUCAUACGUCUGAGACGUCCACAUAGUCCUUACAAUAAAAAUCAAAGUGCGGAAAAGAAACGUAGAUAAACGCGGCCUUCAGAGGCAGCCGACUGGGGGUUGCCGCUAACCCACGCCUAGAACUCGUCGUAGUCUUGGAACUCCUGGAAGUCUCCUUCCACGGCUUCAUCUUCUCCUGAGCAGUGGUUGCAAUGCUGACAACCUGGGGACGGGGGGGGGGGGGGGGGUUUGGUGUGUAGAGCAAGGGUGAGAACACAUCAACAUACUCAGCAAGUAUCCUGUUUGGCUGUAGUGGACUAGCUUUAUGUGGGGAUAAGUCAAGCAGUUGCUUUUAGUUGGUCAGAUUAUUAUUUACUAAUAGAAAGCCAGGUUUUAGCAUUAACCCAAGUUAUUAGCCCGAUGUACCCUUUCCAAACGGAAAGAAUACCACUUACCAGCACCAUAGUCGUAACCAGAACCAACAAUCUCAUAGCUACCUGUACCAUAAUGUCUCUGAUCAAGUACCACUAAUCACUGGAGCACGGCUGAUAUAUCAGUUUUCAAACACUCUGCAGAGGUUGUGCACUUUACCCACAAGCCGUGAUUCCCUUUCUGCCCGUAGAUCAUGACUCUCCAUUGAUCACUACCAAGGUGACCCAGCAGGGCAUCACUACGUAGCCUUUACAAAGAUUCCCCGGGGCUGUAGUCGCCCGUUAGGUUUCCUAAAUGCACCGCACUCCUCCCCAAGGGGCGAACCCAAACUUGGCAGAGCGAGCCGCAUACACCGAGCCCCAUUGAUGGCACGACGGCUAAGCGAACUACACCCCGGAUCCUCUAAUUAUUCAGCUAAGGGCACCCCAUUCCACCCUCAUGGUUGCACUGUUUUCCCGGGCGGUCAUCCAUAGAACAGGUCCUUACGGAGAGGCACUCGAGAAACCGCUCGAGCCCCCUUAAAGGCCACAAGUAUAACAUCAUAAUAAGAAGAGGGAAAACAGCGUAUCAUAGAUAAACUCAUCAUGUUCAUUGAUUAGAGUUUGAGCAAUAGCAUAAAGCUAAACAAUAAUAAUCCAACCCAAAUAGGUAAACAAGGACAUGGAUAUCAAAGCUAGUCAAUCCUUAGGUAUAAAUGUGUAAUGCGGGAGGUGAUUUAAAGAAUGAAUAGGACAGAGAUAGGUCAAGGGACACUUGCCUUCACCAAACAGAUGCUCAGGGUCUUCAACUUUGUGGAACUCGAAGAGCCUGAUCACUUGGUCGCCAACGCUUGAUCGUCGAUUCCUCGAAGCCCAGAAAUGAGUCGCGAUCUAAUCGCGACGCGAAGCGAAGACGAACAGGCACAAGCAAACAAACAUGUACAUAUGCAUAAGAACAUUACACCAUACAAAGAGAAACAUAAUCAAAACAUGCAAUACGAAAUAGAGCGCGUUACUACAGUCACGCGAGAAAAAGAAAUGUGAUAGUUGAAGCUACGAUCGAGGGGUUAGCGUAUUUACGCUAAACAAGUAUUAAUUAUAGCAUUUAGUUCGACAUGGUUAUAUUAAUCUACCCUUAUUAAAUGUAGAUUAAAACUACUACCUAGUUUCGACUGAAAUACUAUUUUAAUAGUGAAUAAUUACUCAAACAGCUACUUAACUGACCUGAGUCAUUAUAAGCGAACUGCUUAACCUCGCGCGCGGACAACGCGCGACACGCGCGAACGGCGCGCGGCAAGGCACGCGACACACGCGAACGGUGCGCGACAACACGUGAAACAUCACGCGACAACAUGUGAAAACAGCGCGACGGUAAGCUAGAAUCGCUAACCGAUCCCGCAUCCCUAUUAAGAAAGUGUUAAUUACAACAUUUGCAUCGACAUAAUCACAUUAACGGGUAUUUAUACGUGAACAGGUUAGAGCUAUACCUAAAUUGGAAUGUUAUUUUAUUAGUCAUUGGACAAACAAAUAAUCCAUUAACUAGCUAAAUCCUGUGAUGCGACAAAAUACUAUUAUUAACGUGUACUCGACAUGACCACGAGGUUACCACAAUCAGAACAUGAUCAAAUGUAUCUGCUAUGCAUACACAAUGAAUACAUACUCGCUCACGAUUCAGUACGAUGGGAUCUCAUGUGGCCACAAUCCAUCUCAUCCACGAACUAGUCCUGCGCGACGUGCAAAGGCGCGAGCAGCUUCGCCGGGGCUGCUCGAACCGUGCUGGUCGAGCGAAGAUGCCGCGAGCCAUGCCGGGGCCGCUCCUGGGCGAGCCGUGGGCACGCGAGCCACACCUCGCACGAGGGGAGCUUGGCCACGCUGCACGCCAGGGGAGGCCACGGCUGGGCCGUGCGGGCCGUGCCGAGCCGCCGCGCAGGCAGGCUGUGCCGAGCCGCCGCGCAGGCCACGCGGGAUGGCUGCCGCGCCGACUGGCCGCCGGGCUGCGCGUCAGAGGGCCGCGCCUAGGCCGCCCGCGCCAGGGUCGCGCCCGCGCCGAGGCCACGCGCGCAGGGGCCACAUUGCCCGCGCCGGAGCCGUCGUGGCCGAGACCGCCUGCCCGGCCGAGAUCGACGCGCGCCCAUGCCACCGGGGCUGGCUGGGGGCCGCGCCCGCGAGCCGUGCGGCCGCCGGGCUGCGCCCGCCACCGGGGCCGAUGCCCGUCGCGCGCGCCCGUUCGUCGCGGGGCCGAGACCGUCGCGCGCCUGCUCGCCGAGCCGGGGACGCGUGCUCGCGCCAGGGGGUCGUGCCCAGGCCGCCCGCGCCGGGCCGCCGGGGCCGCCGUGCCGGCAAGGCCGAGCCCUUGCCGCGGCUGCGGCUGCGCCCUGGCCACUGCGCGCUGGCGAGCCGCGCCGGGCCGCAGCGACGCCGCUGCAGGGGGCGGCGGGGAGAGGGAGGCGCGGGGGAAAGGGAGGGUGAGGGCGAGCGGCGUCAAGGAAGAGAGAGGGAUGUGCGCGGGAUCGGGGAGGGAGAGAAGGAGGUAGGGGAAAGGGGGUGGGGCUGACGAGCGGGCCCCACCAGGGGGGUGGCGGCGGCGGAGGCUGGGGGAGGGGCGCGGCCUAGGGUUAAGGGGGUGGGGCUGCUGCGCGCGGGAUGGACCAGGUGGGCUGCGCGGGGGAGGGGGCGGCUGGGCCGCCGAGCCAGCCGGCCCAAGGGGAAAGGGGGAAGGAGGGGGGCUGCUGGGCCUGCCAAAGAGCCGACCCAAGAGAGAAGGGGGAUCCUUUCUAUUUUCCAUUUUCUUUAUCUUUUGUUCUUUCCUAUUUUCUUCACGAUGUUAAAUUGAAUUCCUCAUUAAACCCAUGCUCCACAAAAUCACUCAUCAAACAAAGUGAAAGUAUACGCCAGCAUGAUGCGACAAUCAAAGCGCUCAUAGGGUUUUAAUUUACUAGGCUUACACGUAGAUAUAAUACAAAAUAAUUCCCCACUAUUUAGGGAAAGAAAAGAAAGAUCAAGGAAAAGAGAGGGUAACACCUGAAUUUGGUGGAUAUUGGAAAAGAAAUUUUAUAUCCCCAAAUUCAGGGUGUUACAAAUCUAACCCCCUUAACAGAAUCUCGCCCUCGAGAUUCAAGAAGGGGCUAGCAAGAAAAUGAGAUUGGUUCAUUGGUUGAUCAUGACCUUCUUGAGUUGGCUUUCACUCUGCAACCUUAACUUGCGGACUUGUUGCUUUGACUUUCAGAUGCUCGAGACCAAUUGAUGCAGUUCUUGAGGAUCUCCUGGACCUGUGGGUUAGGACCCCCACAUGCUUCCGUUGCGCCACUCCGAUCUUGUUGGUUGAUGUUGAUCGCAUUGCCUUCAUUGGGGUUAGCGGCUAACCCCCUUAACAGAAGCAUUGAUACGCACUUGGUGAAGAUGCUGCCAACUCUGAUCUUGACCGAUUAAGAGAGGUUGGAGGUUGCCAAAUGGACAGGUGUGAGAGGAAAGAAUAGCGAGAAAACAUAAGUAUAGACAGAUUAGAGAGAGUAGGGGGAGAACCCAACUACUUAACUCUAUGGCACUCAACUAGUAAACUGAUGUCAUUGCGGACCAAGGGCCACAACACAUCAACACUCAUCACAAAGAAGCAAAUCAGUCAUCACACAAAGACAAACAGCACAAGCAUACAACAACAAACAUCUCGUUGCUAUACGUCACUUUUAAUUAAAUGGUGGUCUUUCCUUACCAAGGGAAAACUAUUCUAAGGCCAUCGAAAGGCAAGGGGAAUAAUAAGACAUACAGAAUAAGGGCAUGAGCACUAUAAAGGAUGGAGCUAAAGCAAGGAUUGUAACCGACAGGGGAGAGAAUGCAACCAAAGUCAAGAUAGGUAAAACAUCAUUCUCAAAUCAAAAUAGGAAAGAUGAUAUUUCAAAAGGUAGGCAUAGGGUAAGCAUCAUGGAAAGAUCUAGAUAUUAGGAAGGUAAGGGUGAUAUCGAGCAAAAGCUAAGACUUGCAAUGCGACAGAGGAAAAGGGAACGGACAAGAGCGAGAUGGGCAAGACCUCACUCUUGGAAUGAAAUGGGAGAGGUGGCUUUAAAAUGCGGGCAAGCAUCAAGGUAAGGAUCGAGGGACGACAAGGGUUAAGGUGAUAAUGGUCGAACACACAACAAAGGAUUUUUUUGACAGAACUGGUAAGGUGUCAAAGAAGGGGGAGCAGUCAGUGAUGAAAUAGAUGAGGCAUUAUCCCCGAACAGGGAUGGAAAAGAGGAGGCUCAAAGGGGUAGGUUCAAUGUAAGCAUGUGGGCAAGGGCAUAGGUAUCACGAGGGUUUAAAGGUGAUAACGGACGAGGAUGUAGGAGAGGAGGUAAAUGUGCAUAAGAACCAAGAAUAUAAGUACCACAAAGGAUGGAGUUAAGACAAGACCUACAAACGGAAAAGGAGAGGGUACGUCCAAGGGCCAGAUAGGUAAACUGCCACUCUUAAAUUGAGGUGGAAGAGAGGAGAUUUUUUUAAAGAAUAAGAAUAAAGAUAAGUAUCAAAGCAAGACUGAUGGAUGACAAGGUAAUGGUGGUAGCAAAUAAAACACACAACCGAGGAUGGAAUUAAGACAAAACUUGUAAGGUGAUAAGAAGUGAAAAUAAAUCAAGGGAGAGAUAGGUAAUUCACAGCUCUCAAACUGGGUUGAAAGAAAGGGGAGACUUUUAAAAGAUAAAAUCAAGGUAAGCAUUUAGGUAAAGACAUAAACAUCGCAAGGGUCAAAAGCGAUGAUGGACGGGCGUGUAAGAGAGAAGAUAAAGGCAUAGAAGGGCCAGUGGUAUAAGUACAACAAAGAAUGUAGUAACGUCAAGGCUCGCACAUGGUAAGGAAGAGGAUAUUGCAAAGGGUGAGAUAGGUAAAACACCGCUCUCAAAUUGAGUUAGAAAAUAGGAGAUUUCAAAUAGCCGACCUAGAAUAAGCAUCGAGGCAGGAUCCACCUAUUGCGAAGGUAAGGAUGAUAUCGAACAAAAGCUCAUGAAGGAUGGAGUUAAGGUAAGACAAGACUUGCAACGUGACAAAGGAAAAGGAAAUGAACAAGAGCGGGAUAGGGAAAACAACACUCGGAUUGAAAUGGAACAAAUGAGGCUUUAAAAAUGUGGGUGAGUGUCAGGGUAAAUAUGGAGAGAUGUCAAGGGUCAAGGUUGAUAACAGACAAGGCUAUAAGUGAAGAGGUAAAUGUGCAUCAGAACCAAGGAUCUAAGUACAACCAAGAAUAGAGUUAAGCUAAGUCUUGCAAAUGGUAAGGAAUGGGAUAUAACCACGGGUGAGAUAAGCAAGACGCCACUCUUGAACGGAGAUGGAAGAUUGGAGAUUUUAGAUAACAGGCAUGGAGUAAUUACCAAGGUAAGAUCAAGAGAGAAAGGUGGAGGCAAUAACAAACAAAAGCACAACAAAGGACGAAGUUACAAACUCGCAAGCCAAAGAAGAGGAUACGACCAAGGUAAAGAUAGGUAAAGUGUAGCUCUCAGAAUGAGACGGAAGAGAGGUGAUUUUAAAGGGCAGGUAUGAGACAAACAUCAAACAAAAUAUAAAGGUGUCUAAGGUGAAGGUGAUUAUAACAAAAGGCAUGACAAAGGAUAAAGUUAAGGCAAGACUCAUGAAGUGGCGAAGUGGAGAAAACAAUCAAGGGUAAGAUAGGUGAGGGUGCAAUAGAAUGGUUGAAGUAAGAAUUCAUUAUCGAUAGAAGUUAUAAAGGAACAACGAGAUCACCAAGGAUGGGCAACAUAAAAUGAUCGCUCAUGGACCGUUGAGAAAUAGGGGUGGUCAAGGACAUGUUAACUGAAAUGUCCUGAACAGUUAUUGGGAUAUAAAGGUAGGCAUAAAAAGAUAAGAGUAUGAGAGAUUUCAAGGAGAUGAGCAUACCAAUACCAAGAGUAAAGAAAUUGCCGAAAGAUAGCGACUUAACAACAGAAAAGGAAAAGGUCUCAAAAGACAGAAAGGUCAUGAACAUAUAAACUGAAAUGUUUUAAGUAGGCAAUAGAAAUUUAGAGGCAAGUAUUUGAAACAAGAGUAUUAAAGGGAUACAAGCAUGUCAAUACCAAAGGACUAGAGUUCGCCAGAUGGUAGCAAUUUGAUGACGAAAGAGGAAAGAAUCCCAAAAAGAUAAGAAGAUUAUGGUCAGGGGCAUCUACAAAGGUGUCUCAAGCAAAAGGGUGAGAAUAGAACUAGUAUGACCAGCAAGUAAUAAACCAUAAAUAAAUGAAGGAUUAGAAUAAAACACAAUUUUCAGCAAGGUAUAAUAUAUAGUAGAACAUAGGUUUGGUCGAUAUGACCAACUUUUGAAGGGAUACCAAAGUCAAGGCAGGGACAGAGGUCUAUAAUCCUUAGAACGACCAUUCUAUUCUAGGUUAGCGGUCCUACAGUCAGCACGGCUCUGAUACCACUUAUGUCACACCCGGUUUUAGAAGGCAAACCGAAUGCGAACCAUGUACGUGCCAGGAUCAGUUAUUCACGUACACAGCAGUUACAUAACAUGGACAUCAUCACACAGUGCUCAAAAUGGUAUUAAAAGGGAAAUAAUAGUUGAUUACAUCAUACGUCUGAGACAUCCACAUAGUCCUUACAAUAAAAAUCAAAGUGCGGAAAAGAAACGUAGAUAAACGCGGCCUUCACAGGCAACCGACUGGGGGUUGCCGCUAACCCACGCCUAGAACUCGUCGUAGUCUUGGAACUCCUGGAAGUCUCCUUCCACGGCUUCAUCUUCUCCUGAGCAGUGGUUGCAAUGCUGACAACCUGGGGAUGGGGGGGGUUUGGUGUGUAGAGCAAGGGUGAGUACACAUCAACAUACUCAGCAAGUAUCCUGUUUGGCUGUAGUGGACUAGCUUUAUGUGGGGAUAAGUCAAGCAGUUGCUUUUAGUUGGUCAGAUUAUUAUUUACUAAUAGAAAGCCAGGUUUUAGCAUUAACCCAAGUUAUUAGCCCGAUGUACCCUUUCCAAACGGAAAGAAUACCACUUACCAGCACCAUAGUCGUAACCAGAACCAUCAAUCUCAUAGCUACCUGUACCAUAAUGUCUCUGAUCAAGUACCACUAAUCACUGGAGCUCCCUUGGCCGCUCAUAACCGCGAGCACGGCUGAUAUAUCAGUUUUCAAACACUCUGCAGAGGUUGUGCACUUUACCCACAAGCCGUGAUUCCCUUUCUACCCGGAGAUCAUGACUCUCCAUUGAUCACUACCAAGGUGUCGGUGUUUUGGGUCCGACCGCACACCCGGGGUUGCCCCUCAAGGUGUUUUUAGGAGUAGGACGGUGUCAACGACUGUAGCAAAAUGGUUCGUGCCGAUCGCACGAGGGACAAUGGACAAGAUUUGCAGGUUCGGGCCGCUUAGAAGUGCGUAACACCCUACGUCCUGGUGAGUAUAUGAGCGUGGUUACAAGAGGACUCUCUGGAUUGAGGGCGCAGAGAGUUUACGUGGGUGGCUAAGUAAAAUAGGGUCGAUCGAUCUGAAGGGGUGCCCCCUAGGCCUUAUAUACUCGACCGUGGGGCAGUACACGUGGAUAUGAUAACAACAAGUAGCUGAAAGGUAGUGAACCUCUUGAGUUUAUCCUUACGUAACUCUCGCCGACUUAUCCUCGCAUGGCUCUGUUGCAUGGGGGCUUCAGCGCGGGAAAGUCGGAUCUCUGUUGCGAUUUACUCGUUCGACGUUGUGGGCCGUCCGGGUUUGCAUCAAUCCGGUCUUACGUCUUCUCUGCUUUGUUGAUUGUCUCUCCCGAGGCCCACGAAAGAACGACCUUACGAUUUAUUGGGCCUUUGGGCCUUUCGGGAGGUCUUUUACUUCUUUAGUGGACCCAGGGGAUAUCUAUCCCCCACAAGCCCCCGAUCUUUGGGUUGAUUUGGAGGUAAUCAACCCAAAGAUCCAAGGUCCAAAAAAUGACUUCCUGAUGUCUUCUCUUGCUCCGAUCACUCAUUCGACCGAAGUUUAGCUCUGUACUUGUGCCUUAGAGGUCGGCAUUUUGAUUUGUAGGAUUCUGAACUUCAUUGGGUGCACCGGAGGUGCACCCAAUGGGUGUAGCCCCCGACCUUUGAGUAGAUUUUAGAAGAUAAUCUACUCGAAGGUCUUCCCCAGAAAUUAUCUCCAUGCGCGCUCCUGUACCUCGGUUGAGGAUUGGUCUUUUCAAUCUUGUCCCACGCCUUAGAAGUCGGCACUAUAUCGGGUUAGAAUGAUAAUCCAUGGGGUGCACCGGAGGUGCACCCAAUGGGUGUAGCCUCCGACCUUCAAAUGGAUUUUUUAAGGAUAAUCCGUUCGAAGGUCUUCCUUUUGCUUGUAAAAAUUGGCAUGAAGCUAUUCGUAUUAUGCUUUGGAGGUCAGCAUUAUGUCAUCAAAAUUUUGCUGCAGAGGUCAGCAUAUAUUUUGUCUUUAGCAGCCGAGUCUGCAAUCCGUCCAUAUCUUGUUAGGUAAUGCAAUUUAUUUGCUUCUGCGACUUGAUUGGACGUUUAAUGGACGUUCUCUGUCUAGUCCUCACAUCACUUCUGUCGGUCAUAUCUUGUACUUUGUUGGCUAUAUUUGGCUUUCCUCUGAUCCUUACUGAUAUCUCAUUUUUGUCUUGAGGUAUUUACUGCGUGCUCUGCACGAAUGUGACCGUUUUGGAAAAUAUACUGAUAAUUCCUGGGCGUCCCCCCCAAUGGGUGUGGGCAAGGGACGGCUUGGUACGCUGAGUGUUUUAGCCGGCUGCUUCUGAGUAGUAAUGUGAUGGGACGGCUAGUGUAAUCAUAUCCUUUGCGCUGUUGACUGGAGUCCUAAUGGGUGUAGUGUUGCACGAAACGGCGUCUGCCGUCUGACGUGUCUUCAGAUGGGUGGGAGUGCUUAUUGAAUGCUUUGCGACUGUUCAGUGACCGCGGUUGGAAGUGAGCGGUUGCCUUUCCUUUCUAUAAAUAACGCCCUUGCUCCUCUGGUUUUUUCACAUCCUUUGUUGUUCUCUGUUUCUUCCCUUUCUUCUCUCCCGUCUGCUUCCACCAUGGGCAAGAACAACAAGCGCAAGCGUGAGCCGACUCCUCCAUCGGAGGAGUUUGGUGACUCGGAAUACUCAGAGGAGGAGUUCUCCUCUGAGUCCGAGGGGUCUCCGGCUCCCAUCCCCCUGCGUGAGUCGUCUGAUGACUCAGACGACUCCCAGGGGCUUGCGGCGGAGGUCUGGACGUACAUCCGGGCCGUCGAGCGCUCCGGGCUCGAGGGCUCGGAUGAGUCUGAGUUCUCCUCGGACGAGGAGGACUCGGACGGCGGCGAGGACGAAGAUGAUGACGACGACGACGACGACGACGACGGUGGCGACGGCGACGGUGACGGCAGCAACGGCGGCGGAGGCAGCGGCGGCAAGGGCAGCACCAGAGGCGGCAGCAGCACGGGGAGCACCAGAGGCGGCAGCAGCAAGGGCAGCACCAAGGGCGGCGGCGGCAAGGGCAGCAGCAGCAAGGCCAGUGGCUAAACGCCACUGGUCUUUAGAUAUUAGUAUAGUGUAGUUAAAAUAAUGUAAUAGUAAUGUAGAGUAGUAUAGUGUAGUUUAGUAGUAGUAGUAAUGUAGAGUAGAAGUAGGGAAGCACCAACUCGCGAAGAGUUGGUUUGUAAUCUUAUUGACUUCCCCUUAAUGAAGAACUGUCGUUGACCCCCUUUUUGAUGACUCGCUUUCUCUGAUUGUUGAACUGAUUCUUUUGAUAUAGUAGAUGAAUAUCUUUGCGCAUCACAUUGACGCCUCCAGAAGCAGCUGCCGAGUAAUAUCUUAGUCGAUGUCGGCGUUUUUAGAAGCAAUGCCGAGCGAUUUGAAGGUUGACAUCAGCGUUUUAGAAGUAACGCCAAGCAAUCGAACACGAGAUCAGCGUUUUAGAGGCAACGCCGAGUGAUAGAAAGUCAUCAUCGGCAUUUUAGAAGUAAUGCCGAGCGAUUGAAUACGAGGUCAGCGUUUUAGAGGCAACGCCGAAUGAUAGAAGGUCGGUGUCGGCAUUUUAGGAGUAAUGCCGAGCGAUUGAACGCGAGGUCAGCGUUUUAGAGGCAACGCCGAGUGAUUGAAGGUCGGCGUCGGCAUUUUAGAAGUAAUGCCGAGCGAUAGAAUACGAGUUCGGCGUUUUAGAGGCAACGCCGAGUGAUUGAAGGUCGGCGUCGGCAUUUUAGAAGUAAUGCCGAGCGACAGAAUACGAGGUCGGCGUUUUAGAGGCAACGCCGAGUGAUUGAAGGUCGGCGUCGGCAUUUUAGAAGUAAUGCCGAGCGACAGAAUACGAGUUCGGCGUUUUAGAGGCAACGCCAAGUGUUUAAUGGUCGACAUCGACAUUUUAGAAGUAAUGCCGAGCGAUUUAAACACGAGGUCGGCGUUUUAGAGGCAACGCCGAGUGAUAGCCAGCCGCACGAGUUAUUUUUAGGAUAAUAACCGAGCGAUGAAGUGGCACGUCAGCUUUUUUGGAAAUAACUGUUAGAUGUCCACGUGGCAUGCUGGGAUUUCGGAAAUAACUGCCGGGUGAUGACUGGGCACUUUUUGAAGGGGUAUCUGGCUCAAGAAUAUCCCAUAAGAGUUGCGCUUUUAGCCGCCUUUGCUUUCCGUGCCCUAGUUCUUGCAUUCCCGCAUCUGAAUCUUCUCUGCCACUCGCCUCCUACUCUGUUCGCCAGUGAGAAGCAAGAUGGCGCCCAAGAGGAAAACUGCGAACUCGUCUGCUGCGGUGAUCCCCGCAAUCGACCCCAACAGUCAGUUACCCUUCGCAGGUAACCACAUGUCUGUUAUUUCCGAAGCUGAGCUUCUCCGCCUCGUCUCCAUCGGGGUUCUUCCUCCGCGGGAACUCUGUUCUUGGCGGAUUUGCCACGGGACUACUGUCCCAACCGAAGAUACCCACGAGUCAGUAGUUUACGCUCCUUUUCUUCUCCGCGGCCUCGGCCUUCCUAUCUCUCCUUUUUUCCGUGGCCUUCUUGACUUUUAUCACAUCAACUUGACCCAUUUGAACCCUAAUUCCAUUCUCCAAAUCUCCAUUUUCGUUCACCUAUGCGAAGCCUACCUCGGUGUGCUGCCGCAUUUCGGUUUAUGGAAGUAUCUGUAUCAUUGUCGCCCUGGGAUGGCCGGGGGGCAACACCAGCUGGUCGGAGGUGCCAGUUUGGAGAUGCGCCGUGGGCGGAAGACCGAGUAUCUUGAGAUUCCCCUCAAAGAUAGCAUUAAAGGGUGGCGUCUGGAGUGGUUUAUAGUUGACAAUUAUGGAAAUUCUCUCCCCUCCCGGUCGGGAAGACAGCCAGACGUUCGCACUCCGAGUUGGACUGAGUCUCCUACAGAUCAGGAAGUGGCCGAGGCAGGCGUGCUGCUUACUGAAGUCGGAUUACUGAAAGAAAGAGGUCUGACUGCCGAAGCUGUGGUCACUGAUUUUGUUUUCAAGAACAUUCAGCCACUGAAAGAUAGGGCCUAUCCAGCAUAUCUGUAUCAAGGGAUGGCCGACUCAACUCGGGUCACCAAUAAGAGAAUUCCUUCUGCUGACUUGGUAAGCCGGCUUGAAAUGAUCCUCAGGGGUAAAGUUUCGAAUGUUGGUGCUCCAGUGGCAUACUCGGCUUGGAACCUGCCUCCUCCCAAAGCUUUCACCCUUUUUGUGUCAAAUCCGCCUGUGACUGAUAGCAAUUUGGGCCUUAGAGUGCGACCUUCUGCUGAAGAAGUCAGUACUUUGGUCGCUUCGCUCGGGGCAAUUCCUGAUGAUGAACGGCAGGUUUAUUUUGAAGUGCCUCUGAACCCUAGUGAUGCCGACAUAAACGAUAUGCUUGAUCUGUUAGCUGAGGAUUCAUCCGAUGCUGCUCCUGAUGGUACGUUGGCAGUGGUGCCCCUUCCAGAGGUUGAUACAACUUUGGAUGUCCCGAAACCUAUCAGCACUCGCCCGAGGCGCCCUAGCCGAACCAGUCAGCCCGAGCCUUCUGCUGAUGAGCAAAAGAAAAAGAGAAGACGCCUCCGGCGAGUAUCCAGUUUUGAUGAGGACGCCGGUACCUUAGCUCCUGCUGCUGAAGAAGUGCCUGCAACUGGUCUUACUGACACUGAUCCCAAUGGGUGUGCCCAAACUGUUGCUGAUCCCAAUGGGGGUGUUGUUUGCGUUGCCGCCGUGGAGGAUGAAGAGGAAGAAAAUGAGACUCCCUUAACUCGGAAAAACAGUCGGCAGUUCAUCGCCAGCGGUGGAAGUAGUGGAGUUCCUUCUCCUGCUUUGUCUGCCCUUAUUGGUCUGCAAGAACUGUCCAUGGCCAAUUUUGAUCAAACUCUAGAGGAUAUGGUCCCAGAGGAUUUGCUAUCAGAGCCUGUGGAUGUUGAUGCAACAGAGACUUGUGCUGCCGUGCCCGAUGCUGGGUUGAGGUCAUCCCGUGCCUCGUCGACCUUAGAGCAUGAUCUCGAGGGUCGGGAUGCUGACUUGGAUUGUCCUGGUCCCAUGGAAGUAGCUGAAGGCCCGUCAACCUUAGAGGUGGUUACGGCAGAGAGCUUGGACCCCUUGAAUAGUGCUGACACGCGCCCAGCCCCCGAGGAUGUCGUCGGGGAAGACUUAGCUCGGGUGAAGAGUAUAAGCCACUGCCCAGCCCCCGAGGGUGUUGCUGGGAAUGAUCCGGCUCAAGUGGGCAGUGCCAACUGUGACCCAGCCCCCGAGGGUGUCCAAGCAAGGUCUCCUUCCUGCACUUCCAUGGAUGUUCAUGCAGGUUCACCUCCACACUCUGGCGGUAUGGUGGUGGCCCAGACUCUGGAUCAGGGGGUCGCUUUAGAGGGCAGCAUCCCCACUGGUCUGGCGUUAGGCUCUGUUGAAUGUACUGAACUCGUUCCUGCUGGUCUGCUGCAAGCUGCUUCGGGUGGUGGUCUGGCACCUGGUUAUCAACUGAUUUCUCCUGACUUGGGGAUCCCUUCGUUCUUUUCCAACCUCCAGGUACUGUGCGGUACUUUAGCUUGUUCUUUACGUUGCAUGAAUUUUUGUCAUUAUGCUUAUCCGCUCUUCUCAUCAGGCUUUGGUGGAUGGGAUGGCCAGCCAGCUGAAAUCGCAGGGUGCUUCCAUCCCAGAAGUGGCUUCAUCUCUUGAGCGUUGGAACCCGGUGUCACUUCAUCGUCGUGUAUCCGAGUUGGAGGCAACUAACGCUGGUUAGUGCCCUUCUUCUUCUUCCUUGCUUUUAUUUGUGGAUUGUUUUACCUUCUGACCUCAUUUCGUUUGAUUACCUCUUGAUAGGAAUGACUCGGCAGAUUGCAGUUCUUGAGGAAAAACAUUCCCGAGAUCAAGCUGAAAUGGCUCAACGGUGUGCUGACUUCGAGGAGAAGUAUUCUCAGAGCCAGACUGAACUGAAUCAGGUUUCCGCUGCUUUGGAUGACGCCAACGCUCUGAGUUCUUCUCUUCACGCUCGGCUUGACUCUGAAAAGGUAACUUACCAAACCGUGCCUCGCCUUGUUAUGCUCUUACUACUUACUUGGAUUCUGAAGGAGUUGAUUUUUGUUUGUAGGAAGAAAAACGUAUCCUUGCUGCCUCUCGCGACAAUCUGGACAGAUUGUACCGAGAUUCUAGCAACUCGCUGACCAUCCUGGAGAGGAGUCACCGCUUUACAAUGGAAGAACUGGACAAUCAGCGCUGCAGGCUGCAAGAAUCUGUGGACGAAGUGACCCGCCUCAAUCAAUUGAUAUCAGCAAAGGAUGCCACCAUCAAGGGACUCCGAGCUUCUAAGAAAUCCAUUGCUCAGGAGUUAGAAACUGCUCAGCUGGCUGCUAAAGUUGCCGAGGAAACUGCUGUUACUCUCAAAGCUCAGCGUGACAAAGCUAUGGACAAGGCUAUUCGGGCGGGACGAAUCUUGAUGAGAAGACCCGGCGUGGUAGUUCCUGAGGACAUAAAGGCCGACGUGCAUGCUGCCCCCGAUUCCUCGAAUCGCCCUUCCUCGUAUGUCGUUCCUGAGAGAGACAUUGAAAAAUAGAGGAACAUUCUGCGUGCUAUGAGCGCGCGGUUAGUACGAUCAAGUACUCGCUAGAGGAUAUCAGCUUAUCAUUCGAAUGACAUGAUUACUUUCUUUAUUGUAUCAGAAUUUAUUAGUUCGCGAGUUUGUGGUAAUGCUGCAUGAUGAUUAUGAAGUUUGUUUUCGGGAUAUGGAAGUCAUCCCCUGAAUUGCAUAAGCGCGAGUAUGCUGCACCGGCUUAAGCCAUCGCUGACUUUUAGCCGAUAGCUCCGUUCGUAGGGCAUAGUGGUCACCCCGAGUUAAGUAAGCGUGAGCAUGUUGCACCGCCUUAAGUCGUUGCCGACUUAAGUCGAUUGCUCCGUUUGUAGGGCAUAGUGGUCACCCCGAGUUAAGUAAGCGUGAGCAUGUUGCACCGCCUUAAGUCGUUGCCGACUUAAGUCGAUUGCUCCGUUUGUAGGACAUAGUGGUCGUCCCGAGUUAAGUAAGUGUGAGCAUGUUGCACCGCCUUAAGUCGUUGCCGACUUAAGUCGAUUGCUCCGUUUGUAGGGCAUAGUGGUCACCCUGAGUUAAGUAAGCGUGAGCAUGUUGCACCGCCUUAAGUCGUUGCCGACUUAAGUCGAUUGCUCCGUUUGUAGGACAUAGUGGUCGUCCCGAGUUAAGUAAGCGUGAGCAUGUUGCACCGCCUUAAGUCGUUGCCGACUUAAGUCGAUUGCUCCGUUUGUAGGGCAUAGUGGUCACCCUGAGUUAAGUAAGCGUGAGCAUGUUGCACCGCCUUAAGUCGUUGCCCCCUUAAGUCGAUUGCUCCGUUUGUAGGGCAUAGUGGUCACCCUGAGUUAAGUAAGCGUGAGCAUGUUGCACCGCCUUAAGUCGUUGCCCCCUUAAGUCGAUUGCUCCGUUUGUAGGGCAUAGUGGUCACCCUGAGUUAAGUAAGCGUGAGCAUGUUGCACCGCCUUAAGUCGUUGCCCCCUUAAGUCGAUUGCUCCGUUUGUAGGGCAUAGUGGUCACCCCGAGUUAAGUAAAAAUGCAAGUCAAUCGCAAAUGAGCCGAGUGUCUUUGAAAUCUCUCUUUAUUGAUGACGUAUUUCCAUUUUACAGAAUACAUGGUCGCCCCAGCUGUUUUGAAAUACAGCUAGGGGUAAAACUUUCUGAGGUGCUCUAUGUUCCAGGAGUUCCCAAUUUCUGUGCCAUCCAUCUGGGUGAGGCGAUACGACCCGGGCCGAGUGACUUCUGCUACUAUGAAAGGCCCUUCCCAUAGGGGUGAUAACUUGUGUCGUCCCUCCCCCGUUAGAAUUCGGCGGAGGACGAGGUCUCCUAUUGAAAAGAACCGCUGCCGCACAGCUUUGUCGUGAUAGCGCCUUAGAGUUUGCUGGUACCGUGCUGAUUGGAUUACUGCAUUCAGUCGCUCUUCCUCAAGUACAUCAACAUCUUCCAGCCUGGUGGCCUCGGCUUCUGCUAUGCUUUCGAAGAUCAAUCUUGGCGCCCCAAACUUGAGAUCAGCAGGUAGCACUGCCUCCGAUCCAUAGACCAUGAAGAAAGGAGUAUUUCCAUGCAGGGCUCGGCUAGGUUGGGUUCUUAAGCUCCAAACGACAUAAGGCAGUUCUCUUAUCCAUUUUCCUGCGAAUUUUUCAUUCUUAUCGAAGACCCUUUUCCUGAGUGCCUCCAAUAUCAUUCCGUUGGCUCGCUCAACCUGCCCGUUGGCUCUUGGAUGUGCUACAGAUGCGUACUUGAUCUGAAUGCUCUUUUGUUCGCAGAAGUCAAAGAAUUCUGAACUGGUGAAGUUGGAUCCCAAGUCAGUGAUGAUACUGUUUGGUAUCCCGAAUCUGAAUAUUAUGCUUUGUAUGAAUUCCACGGCUUUAGCAGAGGUUAAAGAAGCAAUGGGCUGAAACUCUAUCCAUUUAGUGAAUUUGUCAAUUGCCACCAAUACAUGGGUAUAUCCUCCUUGAGCUUUCUUGAAAGGUCCAAUCAUAUCCAGUCCCCAGCAUGCGAAAGGCCAAGUUACUGGUAUGGUCUGUAGUUGCUGUGCUGGCAUGUGCUGUUGCUUUGACAAGUAUUGGCAAGCUUCGCAUCUCUGAACUAACUCGGCUGCAUCGUUCUUCGCCGUCGGCCAAUAGAAUCCUGAUCUGAAAACCUUCCCGACUAGUGUUCUGGAUGCUGCAUGUACUCCACAUUGCCCUGCGUGGACUUCCUCCAGAAGUUGCUUCCCGGUGGACGGGAGAACGCACUUCAUGAGGACGCCUGACGCGCCCCUCCUGUAUAAUACCUCCCCAAUGAGUGUAAAGUGAGCCGAUUGUCUGGCAAUACGCUCUGCCGAGUUCUUGUCAUCUGGUUCUUCUUCAUUCUUUAUAUACUUAAUAAUCGGUCGUCUCCAGUCAUCAGAGUCUGACUCGGGUUGAUCUAUGACGUUGCACUCUUCUGUUUGAUCCAUCGAGAUACUCGGCUGGAGAAUUUCUUGCACGAAGACCCCGGGCGGGACCUGAGUCCGACCGGAUCCGAGCUUGGACAGUACAUCGGCCGCCGUGUUCCGAUCUCUUUCUAUAUGAUGAAACUCUAGACCCUCGAAUUUAUCUUCCAGCUUUCGGACGGCGGCGCAGUAUUUUCCCAUUGAAUCACUUGAACAAUCCCAUUCCUUGUUUAUAUGGCUGAUGACUACCAGAGAAUCUCCAUAUACCAUCAAUCUCUUGACGCUCAGUGAUAUGGCGAUGUUUAAUCCGUGUAUCAAAGCUUCAUACUCGGCUGCAUUGUUAGAGGCCGGGAAUAGCAACUGGAGAGCAUACUUGAGGUGUUCGCCUCCAGGUGCAGUGAAGAGAAUCCCUGCUCCUGCUCCCUGCAGCUUCAGCGAGCCAUCAAAAUACAUUCGCCAUACUUCUGCUGUCUCUGGAUUGUCUGGAACUUGCUGUUCUGUCCAUUCCGACACGAAAUCAACCAGUGCUUGAGUUUUGAUGGCGGUGCGAGGUCGGAACUCGAUAUCGUGGGAUCCCAACUCGCAAGCCCACUUGGCUAUUCGGCCAAUGGCUUCCUUGUUGUGAAGAAUGUCCCCUAUUGGGAAACCAGUAACUACUAUGACUUUGUGGUCGUCAAAGUAGUGACGCAGCUUGCGGGCAGUUAGAAGUACUGCAUAUAAUAGUUUCUGAACCUGAGGAUACUUUUUCUUCGAGGGGCCUAGAACUUCACUGAUGAAGUAGACAGGAUGUUGUACUGGAUAGGCAUGUCCUUCUUCUACUCGCUCGACUACCAACGCAGUACUUACCACGUGAGUCGUGCAAGAGAUAUACAACAACAAAUCUUCAGCCGGUCGAGUCGGCGUAGCUCGCCAGGGUGGUUUCAAUACCGGUGGUGUUGUCAAGAAUUUUUUCAGUGCGUCUAGAGCUUCUUGUGCUUCUGAAGUCCAUUGAAACUUAUCCACCUUCUUGAGCAGCUAGUAAAAUGGCAAACCUUUUUCUCCCAGCCUGGAUAUAAAUCUGCUCAGAGCUGCCAUACAUCCAGUGAGUCGCUGAACCUUCUUUUGCGACCGAGGAGCUUCCAUCUUCAUGAUAGCUUCAAUCUUAUCUGGAUUAGCCUCAAUUCCCCGGUGGCUGACGAUAAAUCCGAGCAACUUUCCUGCUGGUACCCCGAAAACACAUUUUUCAGGAUUGAGCUUCCAUCUAUAUCUUCUCAGGCUGUUGAAAACCAACUGUAAAUCUUCGAUGAAGUUUUCCGAAUUCUCUGUUUUGAUCACCACGUCAUCUACGUAGGCCUUCACACGCUUGCCCCAGUGAUCGGCUAAGCAUGUUUGAAUGGCUCUCUGAUAAGUCGCUCCAGCGUUUUUGAGGCCGAACGGCAUGGAGGUAUAACAGAAAGCACCAAACGGAGUGAUGAACGCCGUUUUUUCCUCGUCUUCUUUUGCCAAACUAAUCUGAUGAUACCCGGAAUAGCAAUCUAAGAAAGACAGCACAGAACAUCCGGCGGUGGAAUCCACCACUUGAUCUAUCCUCGGGAGCCCGAAGGGAUCCUUCGGACAGUGUUUGUUGAGAUCAGUAUAGUCGACGCACAUGCGCCAAUCCACUUUAUUCUUUUUGAGUACAAGAACAGGGUUGGCUAACCACUCGGGGUGUAAUACUUCUCUAAUAAAUCCAGCCGCGACCAAGCGGGCUAACUCGGCACGAAUGGCCUCUCUCUUGUCGGGCGUGAAACGACGUAGCUUUUGCCGGAUCGGCCUCGCCUGAGGAUAGACCUUCAAUUUGUGCUCGGCCAGUUCUCUUGGGACUCCCGGCAUAUCCGCAGGUUGCCAUGCGAAUACGUCUCGGUUAUCUUGCAGGAACUGGACGAGCGCGCUUUCCUAUUUGUCAUUCAAACUGGAGCUGAUGAUGGCCGUCUUGCGCUCAUCAGCGAACCCCAGGUUGAUCCGCUUGGUUUCUUCAAUUGGCCGCAUAGAGGUUACGGCCUGAGCUUCGUUUGCCGGUACGGCGAGGUCUUCCUCAGGCUUAGAGUUCGCCGGCGUAGAAAGAACCGUUGACGGCUUGGUGGUGAGGGCUGCUUGGAUGGCCACUCGGAAACAUUCUGCGGCGCCUUGGAAGUCGGCGCGCACAGUUAUGAUUCCUUGCGGUCCUGGCAUCUUCAGUAUCAUGUAUGUAUAGUGCGGAAUGGCCAUGAAUUUGGCCAGUCCCGGCCUCCCGAUGAUGGCGUUGUACCCGCAGUCGAAGUUCGCCACCUCGAACCUGAGGAACUCGGUUCUGUAGUUCUUCGGAGUCCCGAAGGUGACCGGCAUGUAGAUGUGGCCCAGCGGGUAUUCCCCUUCCGUCGGCACGAUGCCAAAGAAAGGAGUGUCCGACUCGUGGAGCUCUCUGAGGUGAACUCCCAAGCCUUGGAGCGUACGGGGGAAGGUGACAUUGAUGCAGCUCCCCCCGUCUACUAGCACCUUCUUUACCCGGCUCUCUCGGAUCACCGGAUCAACGAGGAGCGGGUAUUUGCCUGGAUGGUCGAAGUUGAGCCAUUGAUCCUCCCGAGUGAAAGUGAUCGGGUGCUCCGACCACCGGUAUGGGGCGGGAGGACCGGUGGUCGCCACCAGUAUCUGGCGGUCGUUGAGCUUCUGUUGUCUUUUGUUCUCCUGCGAUCCAUGUCCGCCGAAGAUGACGUUGACCUCCCUGUCAACGCGGGGGAAAGCUCCUCCUCCCCCCUCCUCCUGCUGACGGGGCUGUCGUGGUUCAUCUGGUCCUCCCCUCGGCGGAGGAGGCGGUAGAGGUUGGAAGGGUCGGCCGUGCCCGACGGAGUGCUUGAAGUCCCGGCAGUUUCGAAGAGUGUGGCGCAUGUCCUUGUGGUACGGGCACUAGGCGUCGAGGAUGUCGUCCAGCGUGCGCUCGCCUCCACGAGGUCCUCCUCGGGCGCGAGAGGCGGGUGGUCCGGCGGCGUGUACUUCUUCUCGAGGCCUCUUCUCCCAGCGUUUGUCGGAUGGCUGGUUCGCGUCGCGUCGUGGUGCUGCCGGUGCAGGCUUUGCUCCUCCGAUGAGAUCCUGGGCCCGCUCGUCGGCGGUGAUGUAGAGGUCGGCUUCCCGGAACAGCUCCUCGGAGGUAGUCGGUGCCUUUUGUAGUAUGGCUCGGACGAAAGCCGAGUCAUUGGAUCCUCUAUAGAAGUCCUCGAUCACAGCCGCCUCCGUGACCUCGGGGAUACGGUUUCUCAUGGUCUGGAACCUUUUGAGGUACGACCGGAGAGUCUCGUCCCCCCAGCGCUUGAUGGAUUUGAGGUCCCAUGGUUGCGCUGGUUUGUCGGAGAGGGACUGGAAGUUGGCGGUGAAACGUCGACUGAAGUCUCCCCAGUCGUCGAUGCAGUGUCGAGGUAGAUGUCGUAGCCACUGCAGCGCAUCUUGCCCAAGGACGAUGGGCAGAUACGCGGUCAUGACGUCUUCAGACGCCCCGGCAGCCCGAGCAGCGGUGGUGUAGACGGCUAGCCAACCCCCUGGAUCCUGCUUAGGUUCAUAUUUGUCGACGUUGGAUACCUUGAAGUUGGGAGGCCAUUGGAUGGCCCUAAGGCGCGGAGUAAGAGCGGAUACUCCGCACGUGUCUUCCUGUCGUCGGGGACGAUGUCUGUCCCGGGGAGGGGAGUGGUGGUGGUGGUUCCUCGACCGUCCCCGGGUGGUACCACCAGUUGAAGCUGUUGCCGACUCAGUCCUGGUGGCCUGGCCUUGAGUCGGGAAGCUGUGAUCUCGGUCAUACUCCUCCCGACGGCGAAUUUCGUUUUCAUGCCGCCGUUCGCGCGAAGCAUUGAUAGAGCUUCGCGCGUCUCGGCGACUGUUGAUGGCGUGUCGCAAAUCGUUCGGCGGGUGGGCGAGUGGUAGAAGAUGGUUGGCCGCCUGAGUGAACAGGCGUCGGUAUCCCUCGGCGUCGGGAGUCCGAGGAAGUCCAUCAGCUAUCCGAGCUAGAACGCCUCCGACUUCGCUCGGCGUGUUCAUAGCUCGGGCGAAGUCGGGGUUCAGGUUGCGCCAGAAGAGCGGAUUCUCCCGGCGUUGCCUUGCAUCUUGCUCGGCUUGCUCCUGAGUCCGUCGGCGAUCACGUCGUCGGGAGUUCCUUCGUUCCCUGAAGACGCGUUCCUCCGGGGUUUCUCCUAUCUCCGAGACCUCGUCUCGCGAGACAGGCUGCUCCGGAUCCCGUUCUCCGGCCGCGUGAUGUCGUCGAACGUUCCUGCGUCGGUUCCUCCGUCGGCGGGAUUCUCGUUGAGGUGGUUCUUCUCCAGGCGCGGUCGGUUCGUCGUCAGAGACGGCGGGCGACUCCACUCUCCCGAUGAAGAGGACGUCGGGGUAGAAUGGUGCUGCUGUCAUGGCGACUUUCUUUCCGUUCUCCUUUGAGGCCGGAGGAACGGAAAGAACGACUUGCCUUUCCCUGGUCUCCUUCUUCCUCGCGAUCCGUGUCCAUUCAUUUGUCGGGGAAGUAGACAGCGGAGUCUCCCGGGUCGGCGAGCCUCUAGCUCCAGCCUCUCCGAAGACGAUCUUUUUCCGAAGGGCUGGAGGUUGCGUUCCUCCAGCUUUUUCGGGGUUCGUUGGAGGAGACUUCUUUUCCGGCGGGUCCGCGAUGCGGUGUAGAAUUCCCUCUUCAUCCGCUAUAGAUGAGAUUGUCCCGAAGCAGAAAAUGGAUCCGGGACGCACGGUGAUCUUGCUUUGGAAGGUGACGGCCAUUGAGCUAGCUUGGAUCGUCGACACACCCCCUACCUGGCGCGCCAGCUAUCGGUGUUUUGGGUCCGACCGCACACCCGGGGUUGCCCCUCAAGGUGUUUUUAGGAGUAGGACGGUGUCAACGACUGUAGCAAAAUGGUUCGUGCCGAUCGCACGAGGGACAAUGGACAAGAUUUGCAGGUUCGGGCCGCUUAGAAGUGCGUAACACCCUACGUCCUGGUGAGUAUAUGAGCGUGGUUACAAGAGGACUCUCUGGAUUGAGGGCGCAGAGAGUUUACGUGGGUGGCUAAGUAAAAUAGGGUCGAUCGAUCUGAAGGGGUGCCCCCUAGGCCUUAUAUACUCGACCGUGGGGCAGUACACGUGGAUAUGAUAACAACAAGUAGCUAAAAGGUAGUGAACCUCUUGAGUUUAUCCUUAUGUAACUCUCGCCGACUUAUCCUCGCAUGGCUCUGUUGCAUGGGGGCUUCAGCGCGGGAAAGUCGGAUCUCUGUUGCGAUUUACUCGUUCGACGUUGUGGGCCGUCCGGGUUUGCAUCAAUCCGGUCUUACGUCUUCUCUGCUUUGUUGAUUGUCUUUCCCCAGGCCCACGAAAGAACGACCUUACGAUUUAUUGGGCCUUUGGGCCUUUCGGGAGGUCUUUUACUUCUUUAGUGGACCCGGGGGAUAUCUAUCCCCCACACAAGGUGACCCAGCAGGGCAUCACUACGUAGCCUUUACAAAGAUUCCCCGGGGCUGUAGUCGCCCGUUAGGUUUCCUAAAUGCAUCGCACUCCUCCCCAAGGGGCGAACCCAAACUUGGCAGAGUGAGCCGCAUACACCGAGCCCCAUUGAAGGCACGACGGCUAAGCGAACUACACCCCGGAUCCUCUAAUUAUUCAGCUAAGGGCACCCCAUUCCACCCUCAUGGUUGCACUGUUUUCCCGGGUGGUCAUCCAUAGAACAGGUCCUUACGGAGAGGCACUCGAGAAACCGCUCGAGCCCCCUUAAAGGCCACAAGUAUAACAUCAUAAUAAGAAGAGGGAAAAUAGCGUAUCAUAGAUAAACUCAUCAUGUUCAUUGAUUAGAGUUUGAGCAAUAGCAUAAAGCUAAACAAUAAUAAUCCAACCCAAAUAGGUAAACAAGGACAUGGAUAUCAAAGCUAGUCAAUCCUUAGGUAUAAAUGUGUAAUGCGGGAGGUGAUUUAAAGAAUGAAUAGGACAGAGAUAGGUCAAGGGACACUUUCCUUCACCAAACAGAUGCUCAGGGUCUUCAACUUUGUGGAACUCGAAGAGCCUGAUCACUUGGUCGCCAACGCUUGAUCGUCGAUUCCUCGAAGCCCAGAAACGAGUCGCGAUCUAAUCGCGACGCGAAGCGAAGACGAACAGGCACAAGCAAACAAACAUGUACAUAUGCAUAAGAACAUUACACCAUACAAAGAGAAACAUAAUCAAAACAUGCAAUACGAAAUAGAGCGCGUUACUACAGUCACGCGAGAAAAAGAAAUGUGAUAGUUGAAGCUACGAUCGAGGGGUUAGCGUAUUUACGCUAAACAAGUAUUAAUUAUAGCAUUUAGUUCGACAUGGUUAUAUUAAUCUACCCUUAUUAAACGUAGAUUAAAACUACUACCUAGUUUCGACUGAAAUACUAUUUUAAUAGUGAAUAAUUACUCAAAUAGCUACUUAACUGACCUGAGUCAUUAUAAGCGAACCGCUUAACCUCGCGCGCGGACAACGCGGGACACGCGCGAACGGCGCGCGGCAAGGCACGCGACACACGCGAACGGUGCGCGACAACACGUGAAACAUCACGCGACAACAUGUGAAAACAGCGCGACGGUAAGCUAGAAUCGCUAACCGAUCCCACAUCCCUCUUAAGAAAGUGUUAAUUACAACAUUUGCAUCGACAUAAUCACAUUAACGGGUAUUUAUACAUGAACAGGUUAGAGCUAUACCUAAAUUGGAAUGUUAUUUUAUUAGUCAUUGGACAAACAAAUAAUCCAUUAACUAGCUAAAUCCUGUGAUGCGACAAAAUACUAUUAUUAACGUGUACUCGACAUGACCACGAGGUUACCACAAUUAGAACAUGAUCAAAUGUAUCUGCUAUGCAUACACAAUGAAUACAUACUCGCUCACGAUUCAGUACGAUGGGAUCUCAUGUGGCCACAAUCCAUCUCAUCCACGAACUAGUCCUGCGCGACGUGCAAAGGCGUGAGCAGCUACGCCGGGGCUGCUCGAACCGCGCUGGUCGAGCGAAGAUGUCGCGAGCCAUGCCGGGGCCGCUCCUGGGCGAGCCGUGGGCACGCGAGCCACACCUCGCACGAGGGGAGCUUGGCCACGCUGCACGCCAGGGGAGGCCACGGCUGGGCCGUGCGGGGCCGUGCCGAGCCGCCGCGCAGGCAGGCCGUGCCGAGCCGCCGCGCAGGCCACGCGGGAUGGCUACCGUGCCGCCGCGCCGACUGGCCGCCGGGCUGCGCGUUAGAGGGCCGCGCCCAGGCCGCCCGCGCCAAGGUCGCGCCCGCGCCGAGGCCACGCGCGCAGGGGCCACAUUGCCCGCGCCGGAGCCGCCGUGGCCGAGGCCGCCUGCCCGGCCGAGAUCGACGCGCGCCCAUGCCGCCGGGGCUGGCUGGGGGCCGCGCCCGCGAGCCGUGCGGCCGCCGGGCUGCGCCCGCCACCGGGGCCGAUGCCCGUCGCGCGCGCCCGUUCGCCGCGGGGCCGAGACCGCCGCGCGCCUGCUCGCCGAGCCGGGGACGCGUGCUCGCGCCAGGGGGUCGUGCCCAGGCCGCCCGCGCCGGGCCGCCGGGGCCGCCGUGCCGGCGAGGCCGAGCCCUUGCCGCGGCUGCGGCUGCGCCCUGGCCACUGCGCGCUGGCGAGCCGCGCCGGGCCGUAGCGACGCCGCUGCAGGGGGGGCGGGGAGAGGGAGGGGCGGGGGAAGGGGAGGGCGAGGGCGAGCAGUGUCGAGGGAGAGAGGGACGUGCGCGGGAUCGGGGAGGGAGAGAAGGAGGUAGGGGAAAGGGGGUGGGGCUGACGAGCGGGCCUCACCAGGGGGGUGGCGGCAGCGGCGGCUGGGGGAGGUGCGCGGCCUAGGGUUAAGGGGGUGGGGCUGCUGCACGCGAGAUGGGCCAGGUGGGCCGCGCGGGGGAGGGGGCGGCUGGGCCGCCGAGCCAGCCGGCCCAAGGGGAAAGGAGGGGGGCUGCUGGGCCUGCCAAAGAGCCGGCCCAAGAGAGAAGGGGGGCUCCUUUCUAUUUUCCAUUUUCUUUAUCUUUUGUUCUUUCCUAUUUUCUUCACGAUGUUAAAUUGAAUUCCUCAUUAAACCCAUGCUCCACAAAAUCACUCAUCAAACAAAGUGAAAGUAUACGCCAGCAUGAUGCGACAAUCAAAGCGCUCAUAGGGUUUUAAUUUACUAGGCUUACACGUAGAUAUAAUACAAAAUAAUUCCCCACUAUUUAGGGAAAAGAAAAGAAAGAUCAAGGAAAAGAGAGGGUAACACCUGAAUUUGGUGGAUAUUGGAAAAGAAAUUUUAUAUCCCCAAAUUCAGGGUGUUACACCUCGAAGGAGUGGUUUGACUCCUCUGAGGUCUUAAUGCCUUUCGUGAUGCCUCGGCCGGCCUGGUUGUUCCCUCAUGCGGCCUGGCCAUAGCCCGGGUGCAUGGUCAGGUUCUGAGUUUUUAGGCUGGUUUGUUGACGCUGUCAACGGUUUGGCCGUAGCCGGGUUUGCGAGAGCAGCCCCCGAGCCUCUGCACAGAGCGAGAGGACGAUCAAGGACUGUCUCGACUUUUAUUAUACGCCCCUUCAUCGCCUUUUCGCAAGGAGGAAGGGGGAGAAAGCGCCAUGUUGCCCUCCGAGAGCGCCGAACAUGGUGUCUCCAGUGAGUUGCUAACGGGUGAUCCGAGUGGACGCUCGUGCCCCGUUCGAUAAGGGUUGGCUAGUGGCCCAGAGGCGCGCUCCAAAAGUACCUGCAGGUGAUUUGCCGGACCCGAACCCGUUCGAUAGGGUCCGAGGGCUCGAUGCCUCCCUCUGAUGGGAUUCCGUUACAAAAUCGCUCCUGUUGGUCUUGGAAAUGUCCUAGGGUACCUCGGGAGCGUAGCCCGAGCCUCAGCCAUGUAACGGACAUACCCAGAGUCAUCCCUCGCUCUGCGUGCUCUUGGGCAGCUGUCGAACCCUUCCGAGGGGCCAGCCUUUGAACCCCUGAUCAGUAGUGGGCGCGGAGCCCGAGUGCUCUGGGCGGCUGUCGAACCCUUCCGAGGGGCCAGCCUUCGAACCCCUGAUCAGUAAUGGGCUUGAAGCCCGAGUGCUCUAGGGCGGCUGUCGAACCCUUCUGAGGGCCAGCCUUCGAACCCCUGAUCAGUAGGAGGGCUCGGGGCCCGCUUCCUUCGUGGAGAAGGAUCCUUUUCGAAAUAUCCCCUUUCCCGGUCCCUGUAGCAAGAGAGAGAAAGGGGAAGAGGAAAAGGAUAUGAAUUUAAAUGGUGUGACGCACCUUUUUUGACGCGAUUGUUAUGGCGGAGGUGAAACGACGCCUGCUUCGCCUGCCAAAGGUGUUGCUUGCCCUGCCGAGGAGUUAAUGCGACGGGACGGGCGAUUCGCGGGGUGGCCGCGUGCACGAGUCGUUCGAGGAACAGAACACGGGCACGUCGUCUUCACGCCGUGAGAGAGGGCUCCCCUUGCUGCUUCAGGAGGGGAUGCGAGCCUACAGACGAUUUGACCGCUGCUUCCGCUCGUCUGCUGCCGCCAUUACUGUCGGUCCACUUUUGGCCAUAUCAACCGUCGCGCCUCCUCCCACAGCUGACUGACCCGUGAUCGUUGCACUCAAUUGGCACCGUUGGGUCGCGCGCAGGGCUGCCUCGAGUCGCGACACCGAUUCUGCAGUCGAGAAGGCGCGGCAUUGGCGCAAGUGGCGGUGCGGUUCCUUGCACGUAGUAACCGGCGCGCCGAUUACAUGACGUGUGGGCCUGGGCCUCCAUGCCGGAUGCGACGAAGCCGAAGAGGUGCGCCACUGCGGUGCGGUUGCAUGCCACCUGCAUGGCGGUCCGCCCUUUCGACCGCUGGUUUCGGCGAGGAUGGAGGAGUGCUUGUAACCACGGGGCGGUUACAUGCUCCGUGCGCGGCGGUUUGGCUUCUUCCGUUUCGGGUCAGUUUGCAUGACGUGUGGGACCUAGCCCCGUGUCGUUGGGGGGGACCCCGGAGCACGUUGGUGAAGACUUUGCCCGUUAUGCUUGAGGAUGCGAGUGGGGAGAGCCGCCUUUAAAAAGGGAUCGAUCCUUCGGGCGGUAACCAUGCCUUCGCACUCCCCUCAUGCAUCGCGCCCUUCCACCUUCCGAGCCCCCGGAUGGGGAGCGCCCGCGUUGCCUUCGUCUUGCUGCUGUUGGAGGACCGGACCUCUCGGGGGUUGGUGCCCUUCAGCCAUUGCUCGGCUUCAAGGAUUUUCAUCAUGCAGCUCGGCUGCAUUCCCCCACCAAUGAUCAUCCAGGAUGAUGACCACCAGUUUGGUGGUUGGGAGAAGCAAGCCGGGCUGCGGCCUCUGCCUCGCCCUCAGCUUCAAGGAUCUUCAUCAUCCUCGCUGUGGAGGAGGGCGGGGCGAGUCGGGGCCUGCCUCCGCGUGGGCCGGCGGCCCGCUUCUUCCUCCGGCAUUCGGGGGAGAAAGGCAUCCUCCAGCUCUAUGGAGGAGGCGUCCUCCAGCCAUGCGGGGGAAGGCGAACUGCUGCUGCUUGGACAGGGUGCAGCUGUCCGUCCUCCACCCCGGGCGACGGUCGUGCCGUGCGCGGGCCAGCCACGUCCAGGUCCUCCCUACGCCGUCGGCUGCACAACACGUCAUACUCCACGAGGGCGGUACUCAUGUUCUGGGACGGUCCCGUUCUUGUUCUUGUGGCGAGAACGGGAGUGAGGACCUGCCGGUGCGCUUUGGGGCGGCCGCCGCUCGCUGGUGCGGUGUUGGUGGGCAGGUGGCCGCUGUCGUCGGUGCCGAGGUGGUGGUCGCCAGAGGAGGUUUCUCCGCCGACGAGAUCGUCGGCGCCACCCGUGGUCAGACCCCCGGCUCUUUGGCUUUGAUGGCUUGUCCUCGCCCCUCGUGUGGGGACGUGGGCGAGGGCCUUUCCACAGUAGCGUCUGCCCUGAGGUUAUCGCUGCUGCUGUUUAGCCGCCCGAAGCGGAGGUCGUUGUCGCUGCUGGUGCAGUGGUUGCCGGCGAGCCACCUGGAGUUUGUUGUCCCGCAGGCCCUCUGGUGUGGAGGUUGUUCAUACCCGCGGGAGUGGAACCGGAGUUUCGUUUGUAAUGGCACCCUGAGUAUGGGUGUUUGUUCAUUGUGGCUGUCGAGGCCUGAAUAUCUGGGUAUUUGGGCGUGAAGCCGUGUUUCUUCCUUAUUUCGAGCACUAGGACUCGCCUGUCGGCUAGCUGAACCGCUUAACCGAGUGUGAGUUGCCUUGCGCGGAAGGUGACGAGUGAGGUAUCCAUAUCCCGAAGGCGUAGGAGUCCCUCGGCUCGGUCGGCCUUGCCACUCAAGGCCUCUCUUGCUCAAUUUUAGAACCUUCGGCCACUCUACGAUGAGCUGGAGCCGGAGGCAGCGGUGUCAGCGUGGACAGAGGCGGAGUCGGCUCGAAAAGAGGCUUUGUCGGCCUGGGAGCAGGUAGCUUCCUAGGCCGAGGAGGUGCAGCAGCGGCGGCUAGAGCUUGGCCACGUCAUCCGCGAGCGGGACCAACCUCGGAGUCAUGCUGCCGAGGCCGUGAGCCGGGCUGAGGUCCUCGGGGGACAGCUGGCUGAGGCUACGGAGUGGCCAACUGAGGUGUCUGCUCGGGCCGGGGCCCUAGCGGAGACCCGGGCUGCGAUGGCCCGAGCGCGGUGCUGGUGUCCUCCUUCGAGGUGGAGAUCCUUCCGCCCGUGUCGCCUUCCGAGGCUAGGCCAGAUUUCGCCGAAGGUGGAAACAACGCCGAGGGUGCUGCUGCUCCCUCUGUCGAUGUCUGAACCUGCAGGAAUAGUCCAGCUGUCUGUAGUAUGCGUAUGUUUUUUUGCGGCCGCCGAGCCCUAAACAUCUUAUUGUCGUAUUAUAAAGCUACGUUUCCUUUCCUCUUGUUUUGAGUAUCAGGACUUGUUCGUCGGUAGCAGAAUCGCUUAUCCGAGCGAGAGUUACUUUUCGCGAAAGGUGAUGAGUGAGGUAUCCGUAUCCCGGAGGCGUAGGAGUCCCUCGGCUCGGUCGGCCUUGCCGCUUACGUGCACUCUUACUCGUUCACAGGAUUCUGUUAUCGAUAUAGUCGAGAAGGCACAAAAAUCAUUCUGGUAGAAAAGACUUUUUCCGAGGAAAAAUUUAACGCAGAGGGGGUUCCCCCCUUCUAGCCCCCGAGGGAGGGUCGAGCUUUGCCGAGGCAAGGCUGACCCUUCCUUGACGGUUAGACUUUAUUUGUGUAUGUAAAGAGAACGAGGUAUAUGAACGACUUGAAACAUCUUAAGGGUAGAAGCGACGUAGCUGUUUGAUGUUCCAAGCAUUGCUGUAGACCUCGCCUUGAUUGUUGGCCAGCUUGUAUGUUUCGGGCUUCAAAAUCUUGGCGAUGAUGAACGGCCCUUCCCAGGGAGGAGUAAGCUUGUGGCGCCCUCGGGCGUCCUGCCGCAGCCGAAGUACCAAGUCUCCCACCUGGAAGCCUCGGGGCCGAACCCCUCGGGCGUGGUAGCGUCGCAGAGACUGCUGAUACCGCGCCGAGUGUAGUAAGGCCACAUCCCGAGCCUCUUCGAGCUGGUCCAGUGAGUCUUCUCAGCUGGCCUGGUUGCUUUGGUCGUCGUACGCCUUUGUCCUUGGGGAACCGUAUUCUAAGUCUGUGGGUAAGAUAGCCUCGGCCCCAUAGACUAGAAAGAACAGCGAGAAACCCGUGGCUCGGCUUGGCGUCGUCCUCAGACUCCAGACCACCGAGGGUAGCUCUUUCAUCCAUCGCUUGCCAAACUUGUUGAGGUCGUUGUAGAUCCUCGGUUUAAGUCCCUGCAAAAUCAUACCGUUGGCACGCUCCACCUGCCCAUUCGUCAUGGGGCGAGCUACGGCGGCCCAGUCCACACGGAUGUGGUGGUCCUCGCAGAAGUCCAGGAACUUCUUCCCAGUGAACAACGUGCCAUUGUUGGUGAUGAUGGAGUUUGGGACCCCAAAGCGAUGGAUGAUGUUUCUGAAGAACGCCACCGCCUGCUCGGACCUGAUGCUGGUUAGGGGUUGGACCUCGAUCCACUUGGAGAAUUUGUCGAUGGCGACCAGCAGGUGCGAGAAGCCCCCGGGUGCCUUCUGCAAGGGACCAACGAGGUCCAGACCCCACACAGCAAACGACCAGGUGAUGGGUAUUGUCUGCAGGGCCUGAGCGGGCAGGUGCGUCUGUCUCGCGUAGAAUUGACACCCUUGGCAGGAGCGUACAAUCCUAGUGGCGUCGGCCACCGCGGUCGGCCAGUAGAAGCCUUGUCAGAAGGCGUUCCCCACGAGGGCUCGAGGUGCUGCAUGGUGACCGCAAGCCCCCGAGUGUAUUUCUUGCAAUAGCUCCUAUCCUUUGGUGACGGAUAUGCAUCGUUGGAGAAUGCCUGAGGGGCUACGGUGGUAGAGCUCCUUUUCAUCACCCAGUAAGACGAACGACUUGGCGCGCCGCGCCAGUCGCCGAGCUUCGGCCUUGUCGAGGGGUAGCUCUCCUCGGAGGAGAUAUUCCAGGUACGGGGCCUGCCAGUUCGGGUUAGGCGUGACCCCAUUCCACUCUCUCUCGACGCGUAGGGCCUCACCCUCGGCGGCCGAGGAUACCUUAGGCUGGGCCGAGGCCUCCUCGGGCUCGAGCGUGUCGUCGAUCUUGACGUAGGGUUGAUGUAUGUCUCUGGAGAAGACAUCCGGGGGAACCGUUGUCCGCCCCGAGGCUAUUUUAGCCAGCUCAUCCGCAGUCUCGUUGUACCGUCGAGCGAUAUGGUUGAGUUCCAGCCCGUAGAACUUGUCUUCCAGGCGCCGAACUUCGUCGCAGUAGGCCUCCAUCUUCCGGUCGCGGCAGUGGGAGCUCUUCAUGACUUGGUCAAUGACAAGCUGCGAGUCGCCACGAGCAUCGAGGCGCCGAACCCCUAGCUCGAUGGCGAUGCGCAACCCGUUAACCAGAGCCUCGUACUCGGCCACGUUGUUUGACGCCGGGAAAUGGAGGCGCAGCACGUAGCGGAGAUGUUUCCCUAGGGGUGAGAUGAAGAGCAGACCAGCAUCUGCUCCUGUUUUCAUCAGCGACCCAUCGAAGUACAUGGUCCAAAGUUCCGGUUGGAUCGGAGCUGUUGGCAAUUGGGUGUCGACCCAUUCCGCCAAGAAAUCUGCCAAGACUUGGGAUUUUAUGGCCUUCCGAGGGACGAAUGAGAGUGUUUCGCCCAUGAGCUCCACUGCCCACUUUGCUAUCCUACCAGAGGCCUCUCAGCACUGGAUGAUCUCCCCCAGGGGGAAGGAUGACACCACAGUCACUAGAUGAGACUCGAAGUAGUGUCGCAACUUUCGUCGUGUCAGAAUUACUGCGUAAAGUAGCUUCCGAAUUUGCGGGUAGCGGAUCUUGGUCUCGGAUAGCACUUCACUGAUGAAGUAGACCAGCCUCUGGACGAGUAGUGUAUGCCCUUCUUCUCGUCUCUCAACUACGAUCACGGCGCUGACCACCUGAGUGGUUGCGGCUACGUAGAUCAAGAGGGCUUCUCCUGCAGCGGGGGGCACCAAGAUGGGCGCAUUUGUAAGGAGUGCCUUUAAGUUUCCGAGGGCUUCCUCGGCCUCGGGGGUCCAAGUGAAGCGCUCGGUCUUCCUUAAGAGGCGGUACAAGGGCAGCCCUCUUUCGCCAAGGCACGAGAUGAAGCGGCUCAGAGCCGCAAGGCAUCCCAUGACCCUCUGUACUCCUUUCAAAUCCUUGAUCGGCCCCAUGUUGGUGAUGGCCGCGAUUUUCUCCGGGUUGGCCUUGAUGCCUCGCUCGGAGACGAUGAACCCCAGGAGCAUGCCUCGGGGUACUCCGAAGACACACUUCUCGGGAUUGAGCUUCACGCCCUUCGCUCUUAGACACUUGAAUGUCGUUUCAAGGUCUGAGAGGAGGUCGGAGGCUUUCCUCGUCUUGACAACGAUGUCAUCGACGUAAGCCUCGACCGUUCGGUCGAUGUGCUCUCCGAACACGUGGUUCAUGCACCUUUAGUAUGUCGCACCUGCAUUCCUCAAGCCAAAUGGCAUAGUAGUAUAACAAUACAUGCCAAAAGGUGUGAUGAAAGAAGUCGCGAGCUGGUCGGAUUCUUUCAUCUUGAUUUGGUGAUAACCUGAAUAGGCGUCGAGGAAUGACAGGGUUUCGCACCCAGCAGUGGAGUCCACAAUUUGGUCGAUGCGAGGCAGAGGGUAGGGAACCUUCAGACAUGCUUUGUUUAGACCAGUGUAGUCUACGCACAUCCUCCACUUCCCACCUUUCUUCUUUACAAGCACAGGGUUAGCUAGCCAUUCGGGAUGGAAUACCUCUUUGAUGAACCCUGCGGCCAUCAGCUUGUGGAUCUCCUCGCCUAUGGCCCUGCGCUUCUCUUCAUCAAAGCGGCGUAGGUGCUGCUUCACGGGUCGGGCUCCAGCUCGGAUAUCCAGCGAGUGCUCGGCGACAUCCCUCGGUAUGCCCGGCAUGUCCGAGGGACUCCACGCAAAAAUUUCGGUAUUUGCGCGGAGAAAGUCGACGAGCACUGCUUCCUAUUUGGGGUAGAGCUCGGAGCCGAUCCGAACCUUCUUGUCGGCGUCGUUGCUGGGGUCGAGAGGGACGGACUUAACCGCCUCAGCUGGUUCGAAGUUGCCAGUGUGGCGCUUCGCAUCAGGCACCUCCUUGGAGAGGCACUCUAGGUCGGCGAUGAGGGCCUCGGACUCGGCGAGGGCCUCAGCAUACUCCACGCACUCCACGUCGCAUUCGUACACGUGUCGGUACGUGGAUCCGACGGUGAUGACCCCGUUGGGGCCUGCAUCUUGAGCUUGAGGUAGGUGUAGUUGGGGACGGCCAUGAACUUGGCGUAGCACGGUCUCCCUAGCACCGCGUGGUAGGUUCCUCGGAACCCGGCCACCUCAAACGUGAGGGUUUCCUUUCAGAAGUUGGAGGGAGUUUCGAAGAAGACGGGCAGAUCGAGUUGUCCAAGGGGCAGGACGCGCUUCCCGGGGAUGAUCCCGUGAAAGGGCGCCGCACCAGCCCGGAUCGUGGAUAGAUCGAUCCCCAAGAGCCCGAGGGUCCUGGGGUAGAUGAUGUUGAGGCUGCUGCCUCCGUCCAUGAGGACCUUGGUGAGCCUGGCGUUGCUGAUGACGGGGUCGACGACGAGCGGGUACUUUCCUGGGCUCGGCACGCAGUCGGGGUGGUCGCCUUGGUCGAAGGUGAUGGGCUUGUCGGACCAGUCUAGGUAGACUGGUGCCGCCACCUUUACUGAGCAGACCUCCCGGCGCUCCUGCUUGCGGUGCCGAGCUGAGGCGUUCGCCACUUGCCCACCGUAGAUCAUGAAACAACCGUGGACCUUGGGGAACUCCUCUGCCUUGUCGCCCUCCUUCUUGUCGUUGUCUUGGCCUUUGCCAUCUCCCGCCGGGGACCCGGCUUUAUGGAAGUAGCGCCGAAGCAUGACGCAUUCCUCAAGGGUGUGCUUGACGAGGCCCUGGUGAUAGGGGCACGACUCCUUAAGCAUCUUGUCGAACAGGUUGGCCCCUCCAGGAGGCUUCCGAGGGUUCCUGUGCUCGGCGGCAGCGACAAGAUCUGCAUCGGUGGCGUCGCGCUUCGCUUGCGACUUCUUCUUGGCCUUCUUCUUUGUGCCACGCUGGGCGGAUGCCUCGGGGACAUCUUCAUGCUGGCGUCCCUGAGGCUGCUUGUCCUUCCGGAAGAUGGCUUCGACCGCCUCCUGACCAGAGGCGAACUUGGUGGCGAUGUCCAUCAACUCGCUCGCCUUGGUGGGAGUCUUGCGGCCCAGCUUGCUCACCAGGUCGCGGCAAGUGGUGCCGGCGAGGAAUGCCCCGAUGACAUCCGAGUCGGUGAUGUUGGGCAGCUCGGUGCGCUGCUUUGAAAAUCGUCGAAUGUACUCUCGCAGGGAUUCCCCCGGCUGCUGGCGGCAGCUUCGGAGAUCCCAAGAGUUCCCAGGGCGCACGUACGUGCCCUGGAAGUUUCCAGCGAAGGCCUUGACCAGAUCAUCCCAGUUAGAGAUCUGCGCAGGAGGCAGAUGCUCCAGCCAGGCUCAGGCGGCAUCAGAGAGGAACAGGGGGAGGUUGCGGAUGAUGAGGUUGUCGUCAUCCGUUCCACCCAGCUGGCAGGCCAGCCGGUAGUCCGCAAGCCACAACUCCGGUCUUGUUUCCCCCGAGUACUUGGUGAUGGUAGUCGGGGCUCGGAACUGGGUCGGGAACGGCGCCUGUCGUAUGGCCCGGCUGAAGGCUUGCGGACCCGGUGGUUCGGGCGAGGGGCUCCGAUACUCCUCUUCUCGUCGAGGCAGGCUCAACGGUCGCGGUGGUGGCGCUCGUUGCCGAGGCGAUCCGGGGCUGCAGGCGUCGCGUCCCGCGUGCGCCUGGUGUAGACCGAGGCUUCCCGCAUGAGUCGGGAAAUCGCUGCGCGAUGCUCCGGGGGGAACCCUUGCCUUCAGGAGGCAGAGCUCUUGGCCCGUUGGACCACGACAUCCUCCAGGAGAUUCUUGAGUUCUCCCUGGAUACGCUGACCCUCGGUGGUGGAUGACUUCGGCAUUGCUCGGAGUAGUAUCGCCGUUGUAGCCAGAUUCUGGCCGACCCCGCUAGAGGCAGCCUUGCCCUGGCAUCGUCAACGAUACGGCGCUGGACGUCCCGGGCCCGAUGACACGCUUCUCCGGCGAGUGCUCGGCCUGCCCACUCCUACUCGAUGUUUUACCGGAGCUGCACAAGUUGCCCUGCUUCCUCGUCGAGCUUGGCCUGCAUCUCGCAGAUUUGCUCGAGCUGUGUGUCUUGACCCCCCGCAGGGACUGGGACCACAUCUAGCUCCCGCAGGAUGUCAACACGAGGCGCAGGCCCAGGGGGAUCAUCAUCCUCCGGCAUACCGAGGUGGUUGCCUUCGUCGUGACCCCCUAGAUCGACGUGGAAACAUUCGCGACUUGGGCCACAACCCUCGUCGUCAAGGAUGUGGCCAUCAUCGGAGCAAUCGGAGAGGCAGUAGUCACAUGCGGUCAUGAAGUCUCGCAUGGCACUGGGAUUACCGAGCCCGGAGAAAUCCCAACCAGAGUCGGGCUCGUCUUCUUCCUCGGAACCCGAGGGCCCAUAGGUUGAGACGGCCGUCAGUCGGUCCCAGGUUGACCACAUGUGGUACCCCGGAAGGUUAGGGUAUGCCUUUACGAAAGCGCUCACCGAAGCGGGGUCGCUUGGUGGAUCAAAGCUGAAUCUAAAAGGCACAGGGAGGAAAACGGACGGUACCUCUUGAUCGAUGGACGGUGACGAAGUCGCGUCGGGGACGGACUGCACCGUUAUCUCAGGUACGAGGCUAACGCCCAGCAAGCCCUUCGCGAGUGUGCAGGCGUCAUCUGCCCGCUUGGGGUUGGCACGUUGCGGGGAAACGACACUCGUCGUUGUCUCAGGCGCGAGGACAACACCCGACACACCCGACAAAUCAAAUUGGAAAUGAGAGGGUCGCGCGGAGGGACGAGCUGACGAACAGGCUCACUCUCUCUCUCUCUCUCUCUCUCGAACGCUUGUAACCCCUACUACGAGCACACACCCCUGGUGCGAGAUAACACGAGCCGCGUUUCCCCCUUGUGUUCCACCGGACAGUCCGGUGCUCCCAGACUGAGCAGACUUUGGCUGAACGAAUCCAUCUCAUUUCCAAUUUGAUUUUUCCUGUUUCCAGCACUUAGACACAAUACAUUAGUUUCUAAAAAAUGUACUAAGUCUGAGAAACAUACCUUUAUCCUUAAUUUGUACUUUGUCCACCAUUUUACACUUAGGCACUUGUGUUGGACACUAAAUCACCAAAAUACUUAGAAAUGGCCCAAGGGCACAUUUCCCUUUCAAUCUCCCCCUUUUUGGUGAUUUAUGCCAACACAAUAUAAAGCAAGUAGAACAAAUACAAAAUCAAUUCAAAUAAGAACUCAAAUUGUUUUGAUUCAAAUUUGACAUAUAUGGAUCACUCUUUGCCACCACUUGGUUUGUUUUUGCAAAUCAAACUCAACUUUCUAUCUCUAAGUCAAACACACAUGUUAAGACAUAAAGAGAGUCAUUCCAAGAGAAAUUGAUUCACGAUUUCAAAAACUCCCCUUUUCCCAUAAUCAACACUUCUCCCCAUAAUCAACACUUCACCCCACAAGAAGCCAACUUUUGACAAGAGAGACAAUAAAAGAUUUUUGACAAACUAAAAGCUCUAUUCUACUAUUUUCAAAAUCUCUCAAGUGGUAGCUGAUCCAUUUAUCACUUUGGCCUUUAUUUUCUCCCCCUUUGGCAUCAAGCACCAAAACGGGAUUAAUCUUGGCCCUAGAACCCCAUUGCCUCACCAAAAUCUUCAAUAAGAAUACGAAGGCAAUAAGAGUACAUGAGAUGAACUUGGAAUAAGUUACCCUCUCAUCGGAGUGCAGUGGAAGUCUUUCAUGGUCUAAGUCCACCUUUUCCCUUUAAAACCUCCUUUGAGACUAAAACAAGCAAACUCAAGCACAUGGUUAGUCUCAAAGGGUCAAGUUGUAGCACAACUCCCCCUAAAUAUGUGCAUUACUUGCAAAAAGGACUUGUGAGGUCCGGGGAGUGUUUGUACAACUUGAGCACCAUAAGUAAGCAACGAAAUGCAUAAGGAACAUGAUCAAGGGCAUAAACACAUGUAUGCUAUAAAUCAAUCCAGGUUCCGCGAAUCUAAGACAUUUAGCUCACUACGCAACCUGCAAAAGGUCUGCUCAUCUAGAGGCUUGGUAAAGAUAUCGGCUAGCUGGUUCUCGGAGCUAACAUGGAACACUUCGAUAUCCCCCUUUUGCUGGUGGUCUCUCAAAAAGUGAUGUCGGAUGUCAAUGUGCUUUGUGCGACUGUGUUCAACAGAAUUUUCCGCCAUGCGGAUAGCACUCUCAUUAUCACAUAGGAGUGGGACUUUGUUCAUAUUGUAGCCAAAGUCCCUGAGGGUUUGCCUCAUCCAAAGUAGUUGCGCGCAACACUGUCCUGCAGCAACAUACUCGGCCUCAGCGGUGGAUAGGGAAACGGAAGUUUGUUUCUUAGAGUUCCAUGACACCAGGGACCUUCCUAAGAAUUGGCACGUCCCCGAUGUACUCUUUCUAUCGACCUUACAUCCAGCAUAGUCGGAAUCUGAAUAUCCAAUUAAGUCAAAGGUAGACCCCUUUGGAUACCAGAUCCCGAAGCAAGGCGUAGCAACUAAAUAUCUAAGAAUUCGCUUCACCGCCACUAAGUGACACUCCUUAGGAUCGGAUUAAAAUCUAGCACACAUGCAUACACUAAGCAUAAUAUCCGGUCUACUAGCACAUAAAUAAAGUAAAGACCCUAUCAUUGACCGGUAUGCCUUUUGAUCAACGGACUUACCUCCUUUGUUGAGGUCGGUGUGUCCGUCGGUUCCCAUCGGAGUCUUUGCGGGCUUGGCGUCUUUCAUCCCAAACCGCUUUAGCAAGUCUUGCGUGUACUUCGUUUGGGAGAUGAAGGUGCCGUCCUUGAGUUGCUUCACUUGGAACCCAAGGAAGUAGUUCAACUCGCCCAUCAUUGACAUCUCGAAUUUCUGUGUCAUCACCCUGCUAAACUCUUCACAAGACUUUUGGUUAGUAGAACCAAAUAUUAUGUCAUCGACAUAAAUUUGGCACACAAACAAAUCACCAUCACAUGUCUUAGUGAAAAGAGUUGGAUCGGCUUUCCCAACCUUGAAAGCAUUAGCAAUUAAGAAAUCUCUAAGGCAUUCAUACCAUGCUCUUGGGGCUUGCUUAAGUCCAUAGAGCGCCUUAGAGAGCUUACACACGUGGUCGGGGUACCGUUCAUCCUCGAAGCCAGGGGGUUGUUCCACGUACACCUCCUCCUUGAUUGGCCCGUUGAGGAAAGCGCUCUUCACUUCCAUUUAGAACAACCUGAAAGAAUGGUGAGCGGCAUAUGCUAGCAAAAUACGAAUGGACUCUAGCCUCUCCAUAGGAGCAAAAGUCUCCUCAAAGUCCAAACCUGCGACUUGGGCAUAACCUUUUGCCACAAGUCGAGCCUUGUUCCUUGUCACCACCCCGUGCUCGUCUUGUUUGUUGCGGAACACCCACUUGGUUCCCACGAUAUUUUGCUUAGGACGAGGCACCAGCGUCCAAACUUCAUUCCUCUUGAAGUUGUUGAGCUCCUCUUGCAUGGCCAACACCCAGUCCGGAUCUAGCAAGGCCUCUUCUACCCUGAAAGGCUCAAUAGAAGAGACAAAGGAGUAAUGCUUACAAAAAUUAACCAAUCGAGAUCGAGUAGUUACUCCCUUGCUAAUAUCACCCAGAAUUUGGUCAACGGGAUGAUCCCUUUGAAUCAUAGCUCGAACUUGGGUUGGGGGUGCCGGUUGCGCUUCUUCCUCCAUUACAUGAUCAUCUUGUGCUCCCCCUUGAUCACACGCCUCCUGUUGAUGAACCUGUUCAUCGUCUUGAGCUGGGGGAUGCACCAUAGUUGAGGAAGAAGGUUGAUCUCGCUCAUUUUGUUCAUGUGGUCGCACCUCUCCAAUCGCCAUGGUGCGUAUUGCGGCCGUUGGAACGUCUUCUUCAUCUACAUCAUCAAGAUCAACAACUUGCUCUCUUGGAGAGCCAUUAGUCUCAUCAAAUACAACGUCGCUAGAGACUUCAACCAAACCCGAUGAUUUGUUGAAGACUCUAUACGCCUUUGUAUUUGAGUCAUAACCUAACAAAAAACCCUUCUACGGCUUUGGGAGCAAAUUUGGAAUUCCUACCCUUCUUCACUAGAAUGUAGCAUUUACUCCCAAAAACACGAAAGUACGAUACAUUGGGUUUGUUACCGGUCAGCAGCUCAUACGACGUCUUCUUGAGGAGGUGAUGAAGGUAGACCCUGUUGAUGGCGUGGCAAGCCGUGUUCACGGCUUCCGACCAAAAGCACUCGGGGGUCUUGAACUCUCCAAGCAUCGUCCUCGCCAUAUCGAUGAGUGUCAUGUUCUUCCUCUCUACCACACCAUUUUGUUGUGGUGUGUAGGGAGCGGAGAACUCGUGCUUGAUCCCUUCCUCCUCAAGGAACUCCUCCACUUGAAGGUUCUUGAACUCGGACCCGUUGUCGCUCCUUAUCUUCUUCACCUUGAGCUCAAACUCAUUUUGAGCUCUCCUUAGGAAGCGCUUGAGGGUCCCUUGGGUUUCAGACUUAUCCUGCAAAAAGAACACCCAAGUGAAGCGGGAAAAAUCAUCAAUAAUAACUAGACCAUACUUACUUCCUCCUAUGCUUAGAUAGGCGACGGGUCCGAAGAGGUCCAUAUGUAGCAGCUCCAGGGGUCUUGAUGUGGUCAUCACAUUCUUGCUGUGAUGCGCUCCUCCCACUUGUUUACCUGCUUGACAAGCUGCACAAGGUCUAUCUUUCUUUUUCGAAAGUAACAUUGGUUAGACCUAUCACGUGUUCUCCCUUUAGAAGCUUGUGUAAGUUCUUCAUCCCCACAUGUGCUAAGCGGCGAUGCCACAGCCAGCCCAUGCUAGUCUUAGCAAUUAAGCAUGCAUCUAGACUGGCCUCCUCUUUUGCAAAAUCAACUAAAUAAAGUUUGUCGUCUAAUACACCCUUGAAAGCUAGUGAACCAUCACUUCUUCUAAAGACAGACACAUCUAUAUUUGUAAAUAGACAAUUAUAACCCAUAUUACAUAAUUGACUAACAGAUAGCAAAUUAUAUCCAAGACACUCAACUAAAAACACAUUAGAGAUAGAGUGCUCAUUUGAAAUUGCAAUCUUGCCUAAGCCUUUCACCUUGCCUUGGUUCCCAUCACCAAAUAUGAUUGAAUCUUGGGAAUCCUUAUUCUUGACGUAGGAGGUGAACAUCUUCUUCUCCCCUGUCAUAUGGUUUGUGCAUCCGCUGUCGAUAAUCCAGCUGGAACCCCCGGAUGCAUAAACCUUCUUCUCCCUUGCCAUAAGACAUGUGUGACGCUCGUUGGGGAAGAGGGAUGACUUGUUGAAGGCGGUGGCGGCAAGUCCUUCAUUGUCGGAGUCGGAUGAGGAGCAAUCCGAAUCCCACUCCUUUCCAAGAUGUGCCUCGCCCUUUGCCUUCUUGUAGUUUUUCUUCUUUUCCCACUUUCCACUCUUCUUUUCCUGGUCACUAUCAUUAUCGGGGCAAUUAGCUAUAAAAUGACCAAUCUUACCACAUUUGAAGCAGGAGCGCUUCCCCUUCAUCUUGUUCUUGUUGGGGUGCUCCUUGCGACCUUUUAGCGCCGUCUUGAAUCUCUUGAUGAUGAGGGCCAUCUCUUCAUCAUUAAGUCCGGCCGCCUCAAUUUGUGUCACCUUGCUAGGUAGCGUCUCCUUGCUUCUUGUUGCCUUGACAGCAAGGGGUUGAGGCUCAUUGAUUGGACCAUUCAAUGCGUCGUCCACGUAUCUUGCUUCCUUGAUCAUCAUUCGCCCGCUUACGAACUUUCCAAGUAUCUCCUCGGGCGUCAUCUUGGUGUACCUAUGAUUCUCACGAAUAUUGUUCACAAGAUGAGGAUCAAGGACAGUAAAAGACCUUAACAUUAGGCGGACGACGUCGUGGUCCGUCCAUCGCGUGCUUCCAUAGCUUCUUAUCUUGUUGACAAGGGUCUUGAGCCGGUUGUACGUUUGGGUUGGCUCUUCUCCCCUUAUCAUCGCGAAUCUCCCGAGUUCGCCCUCCACCAACUCCAUCUUGGUGAGCAUUGUGACGUCGUUCCCCUCAUGAGAGAUUUUGAGGGUAUCCCAAAUUUGCUUGGCGUUAUCCAAGCCGCUCACUUUGUGAUAUUCAUCCCUGCACAAUGAAGCUAGAAGAACAGUAGUAGCUUGUGCAUUCUUAUGAAUUUGCUCAUUAAUGAACAUGGGACUAUCCGUACUAUCAAAGUGCAUUCCACUCUCUACAAUCUCCCAUAUACUAGGAUGGAGAGAGAACAAGUGACUACGCAUUUUGUGACUCCAAAAACCGUAGUCCUCUCCAUCAAAAUGAGGAGGUUUACCAAGUGGAAUGGAUAAUAAAUGAGCAUUUGUACUUUGAGGAAUACGAGAGUAAUCAAAAGAAAAGUUCGAAUUGACCGUUUUCUUUUUCUCGUAGUCUUCGUCGUCCUUUUGGGAAGAGGAAGAUUCGUCACUAUCGUAGUAGACGAUCUCCUUGAUGCGCCUUGUCUUCUUCUUCUUCCCGUCUUUGCGCUUGUGGCCCGAGCCCGAGUCGGUAGGCUUGUCAUCCUUCGGCUCGUUGAAGAUAGACUCCUUCUCGUUGUUGUUGACCACCAUCCCUUUUCCCUUAGGAUCCAUCUCUUCGGGCGAUUAGUCCCUUCUUGAAGAGAACGACUCCGAUACCAAUUGAGAGCACCUAGAGGGGGGGUGAAUAGGUGAUCCUGUAAAACUUGAAACUUAACUCACAAAAACUUGAUUAGGAGUUAGCACAAAUAAUGCCAAGUGACUAGAGAGGAGUCUCAACAAAACACAAUAACCACAAGAGAUCAAUCACAGAGAUGGCACAGUGGUUUAUCCCGUGGUUCGGUUAAGACCAAUGCUUGCCUACUCCACGUUGUGGCGUCCCAACGGACGAGGGUUGCAAUCAACCCCUCUCAAGCGGUCCAAAGACCCACUUGAAUACCACGGUGUUUUGCUUGCUUCACUAUAUCCCGUUUGCGAGGAAUCUCCACACUUUGGAGCCUCUCGCCCUUACACUUAGAUGAUCACAAAGAAGCACGGAGUAAGGGGGAAUAAGCAACACACUCAAGACAAGAAAUCACAGCAACACCACGCACACAAGUCGCAACAAGAGCUCACAACACAACUCAAUAAGUUCACAACUCAACUAGAGCUCUAAUUGCUAUCGCAAAGAAUCAAAGGCGCGGAAUCGAUGUCUUAAUGCUUAGGAAUGCUUAGGAGAUGCUUGGUGUAGUCCUACUUGCCUAGGGGUCCCUUUUAUAGCCCCAAGGCAGCUAGGAGCCGUUGAGAGCAAUCUAGGAAGGCAAUUCUUGCCUUCUGUCGCCUGGCGCACCGGACAGUCCGGUGCACACCGGACAGUGUCCGGUGCCCGAUUUCUUUCCUUCUACGGCGAAGCCGACCGUUGGCAGCCAGAGAGCCGUUGGCGCACCGGACAUGUCCGGUGCACACCGGACAGUCCGGUGCCCCCUUCUAGCCGUUGGCUCAGCCACGUGUCCCGCGUAGAUUGCGCGGCCGACCGUUGGCCCGGCCGACCGUUGGCUCACCGGAUAGUCCGGUGCACACCGGACAGUCCGGUGAAUUAUAGUCGUACGUCGCCGGUAAAUUCUCGAGAGCGGCCAGUUCGCUCGAGCCACCACCGGACAGUCCGGUGCUCCCAGACUGAGCAGACUUUGGCUGAACGAAUCCAUCUCAUUUCCAAUUCGAUUUUUCCUGUUUCCAGCACUUAGACACAAUACAUUAGUUUCUAAAACAAUGUACUAAGUCUGAGAAACAUACCUUUAUCCUUGAUUUGUACUUUGUCCACCAUUUUACACUUAGGCACUUGUGUUGGACACUAAAUCACCAAAAUACUUAGAAAUGGCCCAAGGGCACAUUUCCCUUUCAGUGCUCUCGAACAGUAUCACCUUGCUAGCCGAAAAAGGUCAAGCGUUCGAGUGAGCUACAAAAAGGGUAGGUUUCCUUUUCAACUUAUACCCUUCUCCACAUUUUGGCUAAGAUAAAGUGUAGUAUAUGUAUUUUAAUAUCUGAUAUGUAGACCAUAUAUCCGCAUUAAUUUUAUUUUUUAUGAGAAGGGUCGACUUUAAUUUUGAUUUUUUGGAGGGUCCAGCAUAUCCGAACCCUUGUGUGUCGUAUAGAUUAAAUAUAAUUGGUGUGUCGUUGCAACGCACGGGAAUUGUACUCACUUCUUAGACUUUGUUUUUGUGGUUUUCAUAUUGUAUUGUAAAUUGAUUUUUUGUAUUAGUUUAAUUCUUCAUUGGUUAUUGCAAGAGAGUUUAUAAGAUUGAGAUCGAUAAUAUUAUAUGUUAUUUGCUUUAUGUAAUCAUUGUGCACUGAUAUUUUGUAUGUUGUUGCAACGCACGAGCACUUGACUAGUUUGUAUAUAUAUUUAUGUACGUGCAUGUUGGUUUUCAGUGGUCUACUUGGCUGGAUGCAAAAUAUGACCAACAGACAUUAUCAGUGGUCAGCAUUUGUACGAGCUCAAAUAAGUUACAUGGUUAAGUUACAUGGUUACGGUAGCAAUCACACUUAAGUUACAUGGUGAUCUAUUCAUAAUGUUAUAUGCUAGUAUGUUCUUCUUUGCAUUUCCCAUUACCGGGAAAUUGAGAAGGAAAAGUUUGAUGUUAAUAGCCCUUCAUGAUACCUCUUUGCAAAUAACAUGGAAUCACAACUGCUUCUUAGCCAACUUUCUGUUAUGCUCCAGAGCAGGGUAAACUCUCUGAUACUGCAAGAUAGCCCAAACAAGGUGCCUAAAGGAGAACUCGGGCCACAAAGGAUCUGGAUUCUGCAAGUGACUAAACGUUGUCUGCCAAAGGAGGAAAUUGCUCAAUCGAGUCUCGCCCGAAGUCCGGAUGACGAUAUCAGGAUCUGGGCAUCCGGCACUAUACAUGUG
rnacentral:lncRNA from 1 species